rnacentral:lncRNA from 1 species
CUCUCUCUCUCUCUCUGACCUCAAAACCAAAAUUUCAGUUUCCAAAGCUCAUAGCAAGACCCAAAAGUGACCAAAUCAGCCAUGGAAAAUGGGGCUGUGAACCAGCAAAUACCAGUGGACACAACUUCUGCAACAAUCACCAUAAAAAGGCAUCCUGAGCUUGCUGUUGCAGAAGGUUGAUGAAAAUGAUAACAAAAGGCUGGCGACCCAACUGCCUAUUCUUGCUUCCACACAACCCAAGUGGCUCAAGAAGCUGUUGUUGAUGCUAUCCAAUCUGACAAGUUCAACGGCUAUGCUCCUACUGUUGGCCUUCCUCUUAAAAUCCCAAAUCCUCGGCUCUGCUUCCCAAGGCUCACUAGACAUGAAGUGCUUCUCUUCAUGGUCGUGCAGGAUCAGCAUCUGCUUCUCCAAGUCUGCAUACCCAUUUUGAUUUUGAUUUGCCAUUUUUGUUUAACUACUUUACUGAGUCUCUAGCAUAGUAGCCGACAAUGGGAAAGCAAAGUUGAUUGGCAGACAAAGUGGGAAAGCAAACUUGAUUGGCAGACAAAGUGGGAAAGCAAAAUUGAUUGCCAGCACUUUCGUUAUGUGCAAUCCGAGCUCUCAGUCCACACACCGAUAAAGAAAAGCAAACUCAGCAAGGGCACUGACCCUAAAGUAGCGAUAAGAUCUCUGCUCCCUGAUCUUCCCUAUUAUUUCUUAUUAUAUUUAUCUGCUUUUCUUUUACUAACCAUUAACAGAAAUGGACCCUUGGUAAUACUAAACAUAUUAUCAGUGGGAGACCGUUACUAAUACUAACAUUUUUCUUAUUUUAUUCGGUGGUGAUUUUUAACCCCAUAUUUAUUUUAUUUACUGUAUGGUGUAGGUUUAUUACCCAUACAACAGCAUUUAUUUAAAAGGGUGGUGCGGGUUUAUCGUCCACGCCUUUACUUUUAUUUAAAUGUAUGGAGCAGAAUUAGUGCCCAUACAAGCACCUUUACUUUACUGCAAAUUUACUUUACCGCACAUUUAUUUUAUUUACUGUAUGGUGUAGGUUUAUUACCCAUACAACCAGUAUUUAUUUAAAAGGGUGGUGCGGGUUUAUCGUCCACGCCUUUACUUUUAUUUAAAUGUAUGGAGCAUAAUUAGUGUCCAUACAAGCACAAUUUACUUUACCGCACAUUUAAUUUUAUUUAAAGUAUGGUGCGGGAUUAACGUCCAUACAGCAAGCAAUUUAAUUUAUGAAUUUAUUUUACCGCACAUUUACAUUUAUUUAAAAGGGUGGUGCGGGUUUAUCGUCCACGCCUUUACUUUUAUCUAAAUGUAUGGAGCAGAAUUAAUGCCCAUACAAGCACCUUAACUUUAUGAAUUUAAUUUACCGCACAUUUACAUUUAUUUAAAGUGUGGUGCGGGUUUAUCGUCCAUACCAGUAAUUUAUUUACCAGCAAUUUAUUUUAUGGAUUAAAUGUGCUGUAUGGUGAGUUUUUUUUUACAAUAUGCAGAUCAGGACCAGAAGUUCCUUGAUCCUCAUCAUACAAUUACAUCAGGACUUGAAGAUCCUUGAUGAUGAUAUUAAUAUGAGAGCUGGCAGUCUCUCCGGUACUGUAUUUGUAAACAUGUGAUCGAAAUUAAGGGUCCUUGAUCCCUGACAUGUAAAUAAGGACCUAGAGUUCCUUAAUGAUGUAACAGUACCGUAUUGGUUCAUAGUGCCGUACACAUUGAUGAUAACUGUACUGGCAGAUGAAUAGAUACGUAUUCAUGACUUGAUGAAUAGUACUAUUCACAUGAAUAGUGACGUAUGCAUAAAUAUGAACCAUUUUGGAUAAACCGUCACUAUAUACAAAAGGGAACCUACAGUUUCAUGGUGCCGUACACAUUGAUGAUAACUGUACUGGCAGAUGAAUAGAUACGUAUUCAUGACUUGAUGAAUAGUACUAUUCACAUGAAUAGUGACGUAUGCAUAAAUAUGAACCAUUUUGGGUAAACCGUCACUAUAUACAAAAGGGAACCUGCAGUUCCUUAAACUCAUGGAUGAGCAAUUAAAUGAGAUGCCAGAAGUUCCUCAAAAUAUGGACAAUUAUGUAAGGGAUUGAAGUCCCGAAAGGACAAUCCUUUGACAUGUCAAUAUUGAUAUUAUGCACGCCUAAUGCGUAGCAAAUUAUAUGGGUUAAAGUCCCAGAAAUUAAUUGACAUGUAUGUAUUAAUCUGUGGCAUGCCUGCAGCAUGACAGAUAUAUGGGUGCACGCCUGUUGCGUAGCAAAUGAUAUGGAUUGAAGUCCUGAAAGGACAAUCCUUUGACAUGUCAAUAUUGAUAUUAUGCACGCCUAAUGCGUAGCAAAUUAUAUGGGUUAAAGUCCCAUAAUAUGGGUUAAAGUCCCAGAAAUUAAUUGACAUGUAUGUAUCUGUGGCAUGCCUGUAGCAUGACAGAUAUAUGGGUUCUAAAUGUUCCAACUCCCUAAAUGGAGAUUUUCCACGCCCUAUGUAAAAUAACGCUCCAAUGGAGGUUAUAAUCCACAUUCUCACAUAAUAAAAGCACCAUGAAGUGGCUUGGGUACCCAAAAGCAAAAGAAAUGCUUAUAAUUGAUGCAUGCGCAUGCACAUGAGAAUUGUGAGAUUAUGAAUUGAUGAAUGACAAUUUUUGGUUUUGGAGUAGCUACUCAAAUCAUCAAUGGGCUGUGUUGAUUGGAACCACGUUCAAUUAUUAAAUGUCGACAAUAUCAUUGGCCAAAAUGGAACGAGGUAAUUCCAUUAUAAAUGAGAAUGAACGUGAAAGAACAAACCCGCAAUACGAACCCCAAAAUUUGUUAAUACUUAAAUUUAUACUUGGGUGUUCGGAAUAAAAGGGAAUAUACCUACUUUGUAUGACACAAUGUUUCUGGCAGAAACAAUGAAUGUUGGGUCUUUUCCAUAUUUACAGAUUCAAUUGUGCCCCCCCCCCCCUUUCUGCACAAUUACGGAGACCAACAUAUUAUCUUUAAGGGUCAUUAAAUGCACAGAGCAAAUCGCCAGAAGCGAUUCCCUAAAGAUGUAUAAAUAGCUGGGUUAAAGCUAUAUAAUGUGUCAUAAAAUUUAAUCCCCUUUUUAAACAAAAUCCGUUGAGAGGAUUGACAUUGCAUAAAGCAAGUCCCUAAAGGACAUGUGCUUGAAGCACAAAAAUUUGUACUCAAUAUUAAUAUGCAUAAAUUACCUCAGUGAGUACAUUGAUUAUAAUGUGAUUGCAACACAUUAAAGCUUCUGCACCCAUUCACGAAAUAUUUGUCUCGAUCGAGCAUUAUACCAACGAGAUUCUUGCUUAUACUAAGAAAGUAUUGAAGCAUUUUUAUGAGGAUUAUCCGUUGGACACUUUAAGGAUUUUCCGGAAGUAUACUAGACCAGAUAGAGCUCAGCUCCACACUGUACUCUUUUUCCUUCAUCCAGGUUUUUAUCCCAUUGGGUUUUUCCUGGUAAGGUUUUAACGAGGCAGUGUCGCUCAAGGGUUUAGGGUAUACUAUGAAAAUUUUUAUGGUCGCUUACUGGACAAAAGAUAGUCCUAAAUUNNNNNNNNNNNNNNNNNNNNNNNNNNNNNNNNNNNNNNNNNNNNNNNNNNNNNNNNNNNNNNNNNNNNNNNNNNNNNNNNNNNNNNNNNNNNNNNNNNNNGGGGGAGAUAUUCACAAAGGGGAGCGUGGUUUUUAUAAAGACCUCCAUACACUGUACUCUUUUUCCUUCAUCCAGGUUUUUAUCCCACUGGAUUUUUCCUGGUAAGGUUUUAACGAGGCAGUGUCGCUCAAGAUUAACUCACAGAAGCAGUGUCAACUACGAUAUUCAGAAAGGUGAUCAACAGUAUGACUUCAAGAUAUUUUGUCAAGCAUCAGGGGGAGCGUGCAAUCAAUAAAGAUCUUCAAACACUGUACUCUUUUUCCUUCGUCCAGGUUUUUUAUCCCACUGGGUUUUUCCUGGCAAGGUUUUAACGAGGCAGUGUCGCACGCGCAUCAAUAUACACAGAAUUUUAUGUUACACAUGAUUAUGUACUCUUUUUCCCUUUGACCAGUUUUUUUGUCCCACUGGGUUUUUACUGGCAAGGUUUUUAACGAGGUAUAUUCCAUACCAUUUGUGGUCUCCAAGGGGGAGUGUUGUAAAUAUAUAUGGUGGAGCCCACCUCUUACCUAUAAAUAAGCCCCCUCCCCUUCUCUUUGUAAUAACAGAGAUGAGAUUGUAAACACACAGAAAUGAAUGAGAAUACAUUCCCUUCUCUCUCUCUCAAUUCUCUCCAAAUUCUCCAGAUUUAUAACAAUCAUCAAAUUUUUUUAAAAUUAUAUAUGUUUUAUUUUACUUUUGAUUAAGCUUAUAAAUUUUCAUUUGAUAAAAAUAAUAUCGGUUUUUUUGGCAACUACUUAAAACAUAAGGUAUAAUUUAUUUUGCGUCCCAAAAAAUAAUAUAUGUUUUUUUUUAAUGACUAUUUUAAUUUUUCAGUUUUCAACAAUGUAACUAGAUCAAGAGUUAGUUGAAAAAUCUUACAAUAAUUUAAACUGAGCGGAUUGUAGUGGUGGAAAGCAUACUUCAGUUUCAUUUUUUUUUCUUAAUGACAAUGGAUUUAUUAUGUAACCUUUGGUUAAAACAAAAUCUCGUAAUUUAUUAAAUAAAUAGAAAAUAUUGCAACCUUCUUUUCUGGUUUUUGUCUCAUUAAGUAUUUUGAUUUAUUUUUUAUUUUGUUGGAAGUAUUUUGUUUUAAUUAUGCAUAACAAUUUAAUUUGGUGAAUUCAGUUUGAAUACAAACGAUAGUGUAAACUGUUACUUAUUUAUUAUUUUAUUUUAUUUUAUUUUUUUAAAAUUCAAAAACUUAUUAUUAUUGUUAUAUAUUUAAUAGUAAUGAUUAUUUAUUUUAGUGAAAUUUGCAUAAAUACCACCUGAACUUAUAGUCAUGUCAGUCAUUACCACCUAAACUUUUAAAUUUUAUUUUUAACCACCUGGGCUUUGUAAAGUGUAGUAAUCCACCACCUACAUAUAACUCCAUUAAAGCUUCCGUUAAGUUUAAGGGCAUUUUAGUCAAUUAAAUAUAAUUAUAAAUAAUUAUAAUAAAAAAUAGUAUAUAUAAUAAAAAUAAAAAAUGUUAACCUAAACCAGGCCUCUCCAACCCCAACACUCACACCCUCCUCUGUAUACACCCUCUACAUAACUCCUUCAACGUGAGUACUUGAUUGCUUAAGUAUUCCUAUUGUUAUGCAAAUCAGACUUUUUUUCUCAUAUGGGAUGAGACUAAUAAAGGAGAAUUAUACAUUGUGGAAUGAGAUGAAAGCAAGGGGCUUUAAAGCGAACAUAUAAUGGUUGCUUGCUGGUGAUGAGGUUCCAAAUUAAACUUUGGGACAUGGACAAUGACAAUGUGAACCUGGUUUUUUUUUUUUUUUUUUUUUGGUUGCAUCUUUCCCUGUAGAUAGCAUUAAUUCUGUGAUGGAUAAGAAUAGUUCCAUAGUUCCAUGCCAUCCAACACUUAUUGAGCUAGUGAGAUUAGGUAUGUCAAGCCCUCACAAAAAGGACAUUCGAAAGAAGAGGUGAUCAUUGGUGUUGUGCGGCUGAUUUUCAUAUACGAUCACCAUAAGAUCAAACCAGGGCACAACCACUAGGAGGUCGUUUGGUACACAGGCUUAGUUUGGACUGGCUUGGAUUAAAUUUAGUACCAUGUUUGUUUCAUUUAAUUCUAGUCUUAGAUGGGAUUGCUAAUACCGGGCCCACCAAAAACACCUCCUUAGGAGGGGACUACUAAUCCCAUGUAGAAAUGGAGGAUUAACUAGUCCUAUGUUUACCAAUGUAUGAGAUGCAUAUAUUAUAUUGUAAUACUAAUAACAUAUAUUACUAUUAUUAUUAUUAUUACAUACACAUAUACUAUAAUGUACAUAUAUACAUGUAUAUACACAUAUACAAGUAUAUAUAUAUACACAUAUAUACAUAUAUAAUAUAGUAUAAAUACAUAUAGAUAUAUACACAUAUAUUAUUAUUAUAAUAUACUCAUAUACACAUACAUAUUAAUAUUAUAAUAAUAGCAUACAUGUAUACAUGUAUAUAUGUAAUAUAUAUUAUAUUAUAUAUUAAUGUACAUAUAUACACGUAUAUACAUGUAUAUAUAUAAACACAUAUAUACAUAUAUAAUAUAUAAAUACAUAUAUAUAUUACGUAUAUACAUGUAUAUAUGUAAUAUAUAUUAUUAUAAUACAUGUAUAUAAGUAUAUAUACAUAUAUGUGUAUAUAUUAUACCCAUGUAUGUAUUAUAAUAUACAAAUACACACGUAUAUAGACAUAUACAUUAUAUAUUUAUACUAUAUGUAUAUAUAUAUAUUAUAAUAUACAUAUAUACACGUAUAUACAUGUAUAUUAUUAUUAUAACAUACCCAUAUAUAUUAUCUAUUAUAAUAUACAUAUGUAUAUGUAUAUGUAUUAUACCCAUGUAUAUAUUAUAAUAUAUAGAUACACCUAUAUACACAUAUAUUAUAUACAUGUAUAUACGUAUAUAUAUAUAUGUAUAUUAUAAUAUAUAAUAUAUAUACAUAUAUUAUACAUAUAUUAUAUAUACAUAUGUAUUUUAUAAUAUAUAUAAUAUAUGUAUAUAUACAUACAUAUAUAAUAUACAUAUAUACAGGUAUAUAUAUGUAUAUUAUUAUUAUUAUUAUUAUUAUUAUUAUUAUUAUUAUUAUUAUAACAUACCCAUAUAUAUUAUAUAUUAUAAUAUACAUACAUAUAUAUAAAUAUAUGUAUAUGUAUUAUACCCAUGUAUAUUAUAAUAUACAUAUAUACACCUAUAUACACUUAUAUAUAUGUAUGUACGUUUAUAUUAUUUAAAAUAUAUAAUAUUAUUAUAAUAUACUUAUAUACAUGUAUAUACAUAUAUAUUAUAUAUAUAUUAUAAAAUACAUAUAUACAUAUAUAUAGAUAUUUUUAAAAAAAUAAAAAAAUUAUAGUCCUAGUCCAAGCAUACACCAAACGCAGGAUAAGUGUUAUCCAACUUAGACCAAGCCAAGCCAAGCCAAGCUAGUCCCUAAGCAUAGUCCAUGCCAAGACAGUCCUGUGUACCAAACGAGCCCUAGGAGUUUAGGAAGGCCUCAAUUUCUGCCAUCACCAUAAGAUUAUGACCUCCAUCAUUGUUGAACGCUUCUUUUAUUUUUUUUUAAAUUUGUUUUUUAAUAAUUAUUUUUAGUUGUUGUUAAUUAAUGAAAAUACCCUAAACUUACCGGAAAUUUUAAUGGAGUUAUACGUAGGUGGUGGAUUACAACAUUUUUAUAAAGUUUAGGUGGGUAAAAAUAAAAAUUAAAAGUUCAGGUGAUAAUGACGCACAUGCCUAAAAGUUCAUGUGGUAUUUAUGCGAAUUUCUCUUUAUUUUAAGAGUCAUAUUUGUUGACCCAAUAGACAUGACUUUAUAAAAGGGUGUCUGGAGUCUUAUAAAUAAAGAACUCCUCAUUCAUAGAAGAGUACGAACAAUUCUCUGUUACUCUCAUACUCCAUAUCUGAAUCACACUCAUCAUUCUCCAUCUCCUACAAUUCUCUUUAUCUAUUUCUUGGACAAUCGAUCAACACUUGGCAUACCUGUCUGCCGUUGGCGUGCAUAACGGACCAGACAUCCUGUGAGUCUUUUGGGUUGUAUCUUGGGAGUUGUAGACACAUCCAUAACCUGCACGUAGGAAGGCGUCUAUGGCUUUAGGACAACGUUUAUCGUGCCUCUCUUGGGUUCACAGGCUAGACUUUCUUUCUCCUUUAAUCUACCUAUUGUUAAUUGUGAUUGUUUUAAUUGGACAUAUUUAAUCCGUUUUAUAUUUACACAAAUCUACAUUUAUUUCUAACAUAAACUACUCUAAUUUUUUUUUUUUAUACAAAUAAACUACUCUAAUUUGGUUAAUUCAUGUAAUGCCAUAUAUUUAUAUUAAAUCCCAUUAUAUCCAAUUCAGUUUACUAUCUUAAUUUAUUAAUUUUUAGUUCUUACCCUUAAACUUCUUUAAACCAAAAAAAACUUUUCACAAUAGAAAUUAUGUGAACAGCUACACUCUGCGAUAUUGAGCUGCUACAAACCAUUUGUUUGAGAGUACGAAGAUCACUCGGGAUGAAUUGGAAUUCUGAAAGGUCUGAAAGACCACGUCCAAUUUAAAUCUAACGUCUAAAUUAAUCUUAUUUAAUUUUUUUUGAAUGUUGCCCUAUUUUUCUACCUACCUUAUCUUCAAAAUUUUAAAGACAAUUUACCCAUUUGUAAAAUAACGUCUAAGGACUUCAGGACAAAAAACCCAACUAACAUACCCCAUCUUUUGGUUUGACAAAAAGAAGAAGAAAAAAUUAAAGAAGAAAGCGUACAUUUUUUUCUCCUCUGCAAAAUCGGCCAACAAAAAAUUUUCGCGUUUCAAUAAUUAAUAACACUAAAAGAAAAUUGAACCAAACAAAUUAAGAAAGUCUCAUCUUCUCUCUCUUCACUUUUCUUCUUUUUUUUUAUUUAUUUUAUUUUUAUCAUUAUCAAAGCUGCACAAUGAUAUCCAACUUGCACCGCCUAAUUUGGCAGUGAGUUUUGUUGGUCGCAAUCUCUAGAUCUAUAGUGCUUCUCAAUUCUCUAAUAAAUUUUCUGGUCUUUUAUGGCAAGGGUUGUGGUCUCUAUGAAGGUUGAAGACAGAAAUUUCAGAGAGGCAAAAACAAAGCAAUGAAAUAGAGGGAUAAAAAGUUCUCAAUCUGCAUGUCAAAUCUGCUAUUCCACCAAAGAAUUGUGAUGAUGUGGAAAGAGAAAGUGAAAAGAGUUCGUGUUGGUUUUGAUCGGAGUGGGUCCUAAUUUUUUCUGAGUCGGAGGAGAUGGGUGUUGUUCAUGGUGGUUUUCUCUGUUGUCAAGAGAGCGAGUUGGCGUAGCUGGGAUGCAUUCCGUGUAUUCAGAAAACACUAAAAUAGGGUAGGGUAUUUUAGGAAUAAUGGGGGGUGGAAAAGUAAGAUUGUAUUUUUUAAAAUUUAUGUUAUGGGUGGAAAUAUAAAGUGGGUAGGAAAAUAGAAUAGGUGUGUGAAAAUAGCAGUACUCUUUUUUUUUUACUACAACCGAUUGGGAGAGGGGAUUUUCAUUAAGUAUUGGAAAUGGAAUUUACAUAAAUAUUCAUUAAGUAUAGCGAUUUUGAAACUCUGUCCACAUAGUUAGACACAAAAGAACACUGACAAUGAUCUUAGUUGUUAGGAGCAUCCACAAUGAUGCUUUCUAUUUCUUAGCUAAAAUUUGGCUAAGAAUAUAAGAAAGCUAUUUUAGAAGCUCUCCAAAAAAUUUCAACUCCAACCAUACUCCUUAAUUUGGAGAGUCAUAAAUGCCAUAACUCUUUUUUGAUUGGUCCAUCUCUAUUAAAAAAAAAAAAAAAAUAGUUAGCAUUAAAUAAAGGUUUGAAAUACUCAUUAAAUAAAGCAGCAUUAAAUUAUAGGGAGCCACUCUCUCUCCUCAAAUUUAAGAGCUCCUAAAGAAUCCCUAUUUUAGAAAGUGGAUAGGGAGCGUGGUUGGAGUUACAUUUUUACGAUCCCUCCCUAAAAUUUGUCUAAAGAAGUGAUUUAAGGAGCCCAUUGUGAAUACUCUAAGUCCACUCUAUUAAGCAACAUUUUCAGUUGAAAAAAGAAAAAGCAAAAUCGAAAGAGGAGACCAAUGAACUACGGGUCCAAAUUCAGCGCAUAAUAAGAGGCAAAUAUUGCAACACUAACAAUCACUUUCCCAAUUGACCAAAAGAGAAAAAGAAAAAUGAAACAACAUUAUGCUUCCCCAAUGGAUCACUAAUUUGGGUCCAAGUGAUGUCUCAGGAAAGGAGGAAGAAAGCAAGCUAUGAGGAUCAUGCAAUGGAGCUCAUGGAAUAAAGUAAGCAUAGUGAAGUACAAAUAAUUUGGGUUACAAUACUGAUUUAGAAAAACUACAGAAACCAUAUCACAUAAAAAACUACAGAAACCAUAUCACAUAAUACCUAAACAUUGUUCUUUAAAAACUGUCUAUUACCGAUUUAUGCUCCUUGUCUAAAUAGGAGAGCUGCUGCGGCAGCUUCAUACAAACAUCAUUAGCUCAGGCCGGGUAUAUACGUUAUGAUCCUCAUCCUCCAGCAAAGGGUAGGAUGCUACAAGGGCAUCUUGAGCUCCAAUAUACAGCGAGUUGUAAAUCUUCCAGUACACCUCCCUAACCUUCCUAGCAGGAUGGAACAGCCCCUGCAGACAGUAGUUGAGCACAACAGCAGCACCCAAAGCCACUCUCAUCCCUUCAAUAGCUUCCAUGACAGCAUUUAUAACGUGAGGGGAUGUCUCAAAUAUGUUUGGCCAGACAUAGUUCAACAAGUGGACUAACGCAUCUUCGCAGCCCAAUCCAGCUACUCCCAAAGCCAUGUGCUUGACAGCAGAUGCUGCAGUUUGCCUGUGAACCAGAUCUCUGUCCAUGAGGGCAUCCUCGAGCAACGGGGUCACUGCAUAGAUAUAGUCUUUCCCCAUUUCACCAAUGUACUCAAACAGGAAAGAGAGGGAUUUCAAAACACCAUUCUGCACAUUAAGUUCUGGAACACGAUACUCAUUCAUCAGUGCUGGCAAAACUGUAAAAGGAGAACAGGUUUCGGCUACUAUUGCAAUUGCCACGGUGGUGCAAACACGGUUCUGACGUUCCUGCACUUUGAGAUUGUUCAGUAGAGUUGCCAGGACAUCUUGUGGACCAAUGGCCUUAGCAAUGUACCCAAAAGUGUUCACAGUAGCACGCCGGAUACCCUUCUUAUGAGCCUUCAGCAUCUCAAGAAGCUCAAAACAGAUCCUCAUCCAUUCCCUCGCUGGAACAAACUCAGCACCGCGAUCAGCAAUACGACCAACAAGGUCAAUACAGUUCUCCUGGACUUUUUCGUGCCUAUUCUUCAAAAUUGGAGUCAACCUGGGAAGCAAAUCCUUUAUAGGAGGCGUCAUCUUUGUCAUACCAAUAACAUUCACAAUUGCCUUUAGUGCUCCCAGAAUUGAUCCCAGAACUUCUGGGUAUUCUUCUCCCAAAUAUUCAUACAAGACAACACCAAGAUGACCCAUCAGUUGUUCCUCUUGGCACUGCUUCAUGACAACAGCAAUCCUCGAAAUAAGAUCUGCAGCUUGCUGCCUGACCUUUGCACUCUUGUUAUUCAAGCGCCACUUAAUGGUACCACAAAUCUGGGGAAGGUAAGGUUUCACCCUCUGCCCCAGAGAGUUCACAACUGCACCAAACCCAUUAAGCAUCACAUUUGCAUCAUCACUGGUCUGCUCUUGGAAAGCAUAAAGGAUACCAUCAAUGAGAAGCUCCUCCAACCGAGCAUCAAUAUCUGAGGCACCCAAAUUCACCACCACCUUCUCAAUUGUCUCCAUAACCAUUCGCCUAUAUGGUUCACUCUCAUCUUUGAGAUCCUCAACAAUUCUCCCCACUAUAUCAGCAACACCCACUUUGUUUGCUAUCUCCACAGUUGUUUCCACCAGUUGCCUGUAGUUCCUCCUAUCCAAAGCCAUCCUUCUAACCCAGAAGUUCCUGAAGAACUCAGGAAGAAUAUCACUUCUUAUAUACUCAGGCUCUACACCUUCGGUACUCACACACUGUUUCACCACUUUGAGCACAAUUUUUUUCAUUUCUUCAUCAGGAGACUGGAAUUCUCUAAUCAAAAUAACCAUCACUUCCUUGGUAUAGUAACUAGCAUACAUUGCAUCCAUAAGAGGAAUGAUAAAACCAAUUGCCUUCAAGAAGGCAGCCAAAACCUUACCACGGUGAGACCUAAUACCCUUCCACAAUGGCUUCAAGACAGAGUCAAAGCUUUCAAUACCAUAUGGGGCAGAAGCCUCAGCAAGAGCAGCAAGUGAUAGCGCAGUAAUUGUCCGAACCUUCUGAUUUUCAUCACUUAGACCAUUCUCUAUAAUUUCCACAAGGGACCUCAAGUGAGGAAGAACAGCACACCCUAUCAAAAUGGCAAUCUGCUGAACAAUCUUGAUUCCAGUGUGCCGUGCUUGCCAUGAUUUCUUGCUCUGACACACAGCUUUCAAAAAUGGCAACAGUGCAGGAAUACCAAGCGCAGAAGCAACAACACUGAAAGCUCUCGCAGUAGUGUUCCUAACAUACUCAUCAAUGUUAUCAAUAUCCGGACGCAUAGCAGCAAUCAUAGUAGCCAAACCAGCUGCUUUACUAAGAUUAGAAAUAAUUUCUCUCCCUUCAACACGCGCAUAAUAGUCUUCAUCAAUCAAUAAAGGCUCAAUCACAACAAGAAUCUUAUGCACAUAAGGACGUACCAGUUCAUCCAAUUUAUAAAGCACUCGAUCAAUUACCUUCACCAAAAGAUGCCUCUCUUGGUCUUCCAACGUGGGUUGCAUAAGCAAAGGUAGGAUACGGUUAAACAAGGGGCCAGCACCAAACUCCCGAGCCUUAUCAGUAAGCUGCCUCAACGCUGUCUUCCUCUGCUGCGGCGUACCAUUCUUAACCUUAAGCAAAAGCUUCAUAAUCUUCCGCUCUUUCUGCUCAUCAGGGGACAACUCCUCCUCCUCAUCUUCAUUCAACAACGCCCCAAAGUACUGGUAAUCCUCAGGCUUCAUAAAUGGCAACCCACCAGGCAACUCCUUGGGCACAUCAAACUGCUGCCCGCGAUUCUCUUCUGGAAUAGAAUACCCGGGAGUCCCCAUCGGAGUUGGGGUCGCCAGCAGCUUUCUCGCCGGAGUCCUAAUCGGCACAUAAGAAGCUGGUGGGUCCAAAACCUUAUACCCCUCUUGAGGAAACAUAGCAUCCAGCUCUUCAUCAGUCAAUGGCCUAUUCCUGUCCUCAAUAUCCUUCUCCCACCUCAACAGAUUAUACUGUUCCGGCGUAAUUGCACCACGCAGAUUAAUAGCCCCGGGCGUGGGAGUAGCCAGCUCAACUCCACCAACAGGAGUCACACCAGGUGUAUAGGCCGCAGCGGGGGUUGCCCCAGCCAUUGGGGUUGCACUGCCCAUUGUGGCAGGGGUCUCAUCCCACCUUGACCUCUGCCGUUUCGGAGUGGGCGUGGCCAUCCCUGGAAGCUUCGGAGUAGCAUCCCAAGCCAUCCCAGCAGGGGUGGCACCGGGAGUAGCGCCACCAGACGGAGUGGCAUCCGAAUCCACCAACCGCCCCGGCGUUGGUGUCUCGUCCCACCGGUUCCUCCUCCCCAAGGACGGAGUCGAAUCUGCAACCCUUCCUGGAGUCGGGGUCGCAUCCCACUUUCCUGGAGCGCUAUCCGGUAAGUCCCAAUCCGAAGUUUUGGCCUUCUUGGCCCCACCUUCAUCCUGAGACUGGUCCCACCUGUUCCUCCUCUUCUGAGGCACCGCCGCAGCCGCCUUGUCCCCUUUCUCAGGCGCCGCCUUGGCCGCCUCCUCUUCCUCCUUCUUCUUCUUGGCAAUAAGCCUCAAAGUGUCCUCCUUCUCCCUCUUCAACGCCUCCUCUCUCAUGAUAUCGCUAUAAGUCCUCACCGACGGGUCAGGAGUCUUCUCACCAGCCGCAAACGCAUCGUGGCGGUCGGGCGAGAGGACCUGAUUAAGCCUCCGCCGUCUAUACUCAUCCUCACGAUCGUAAAUCCUCUGUGUCUUCUUAAACCCUAAAUCCUCCUCUUCGUCGCCGCCUCUCGGCAUCUCCUUCGUGAUGGACUUGGGGGCCGUGUACGACGGCAUCCGAGCCGCCUCAUUGCCCAUGGCCUCCAUGUUCUCUUCAUCUUCAUUGACAGGGAUGGAGGAGACGUAGGAAUUCUUGUCAGUGCCGCCGUAGAGGUCUGUAUCGAAGGUGACGGAGGUAAGUGCGGCCAAUUGCUUCUCCAUCCUCUUCCUCUCUUCCUGUGUCUUCUCUAUGUCCGAUUUAUCGUCAUCGAUACGCGCCAUUGUUAGGGUUUUGUCUCGAAAAAAACCCAAGAGACUGAGAGAUAGAAUUAAGGGUUUGAGUGGAGAUUGAGCUUCAAUUCAGAAAUUGGGGUUUUCUUGAGCACACCCACCGAAUCGCUAUCUAGAAGGUAGAUCGGAUCAGAUAAAUUAGGGCUUAUGGAGCGUACCCUGGUUUUGGGGUAUAGUAUAUGCCAAUGCGAUGGGCUUGGAUAUAGAUUAACCCCUUCCCAAUAUGCUUAUGAAGUCGGUUGGCCCGAGAGGUGGGGGGCAUGUUCCGGAUUAGUUCCUUUUUUCUUUUUUCUUUUUUUUUUUUUUUUUUUUUUUUCAAAGGACAUAGUCUAAAAUAUUAAUAAUAUUGAUGAUAUUAUCGUUUUUUCGGGUUACGGAUAUUUUGGAACGUAUCUAUACAUAUAUCGUAUAAAUAUCGAUAAUAUCGAAAAAUAUCGAUGUCGAUAAUUUUGUGUAUACUUCAGCAAUAUUUUGUCAAAAUAUCGCUAUAAUAUUGAAAAUAUCGAUGUAAUGGAAAAAAAAAAACACAAAUCACACACACAAAGGGGAUUCAAAUCCUUGCCAUUUCACUCCUCCAACGCCGUAACCAUCAUGUUGCUUAUGUUUUUAUGAUAAUAUGCUAAAAUAUGUAUAUUUAUAUUGUUUUGUUUUGAACAAUUACAUGCAAAACUAUUUUGGGGAUUUAUCAUUUUAUGACUACUUUUCAACAAUACACUUACUCUACACAUAGAGAUGAUGAAAAUCGUGAAAAAUUUGAACCUCAUAAGAACUCCGUGUGGUACUAAGUCACUCAUGUAUCUUACUAUACAAUGUAUAAAGUGUAAAAUAUUGUAGUAAAUCAUUAUGGUGUGUUUAAUUUUUUUUGAUUAAUUACUACAUAUUUUCUACACUUAGUGUUUGUUAGCUCACUAUAUAAUCAACUUAAAUCAGUUAAUCCCAUCAUGCAAUGCAUUUCCUUCCAAUUUUUUGUGAUAAACUAAUAAAUAAUUGAUUAAAUAAACAUCCUUCAUAGUUUCAAUAAAAAUUUCUAAGUUUUUCUUACAAUUUGGUUUUUAUUCAAUUUUUAUCGAUAUCGAUAAUAUCCUGAUAUUUCCAUCGAAAUUUCUGUGUUUUUUGACUACCGAUAUUUUAGAUUCUUCAGUUUCACUUCAAAACUGUGGCCGAACAUCACAUAAUAAAUCAAAUCAAACCAAUUUAAGACGGUGUGAUUAGAUCGGUUUGGGCCUAAACCCAAUUUUCUUUCAUUUUGUAUUUUUAAUCAUUAUCCCAAUUAUAAUAAACAAAAUGGGUGCACAGCAUAGAAGUAUCAAAAUUUUGGGGGUCAUUUCAAAUUAGUACUCAAGCUUUAAAAUUUUGCAUGUAGAUACCCAACCUUACAUAAAACAUACAAAUUAGUCACUCUGUUAGUUAGACCGUUAAUAGAUCUGUGAAAUGAUGAUGUGGCAAACAUGAGCUCCAAUUUUUUUUGUUGAUGUUUAAUAAAAUAUUAAUAAAUAAAAAAUUAUUUAUCUUUUAAAAUAAAUUUAAAAAGUAAAACAAGAUCUAAUAAGUAAAAAUUCUAACCAAUCAAUCAUCGAUCCCCAACCUCAUCUCAGCCCUAUCCUUCUCCACUGAACACAAUAAUGACUCACCCCUCGUCCUAUUCUCCACUCCAGCACUUACCCCUUGCCGUCCCUUAACCCAGCUGCCACCAUAACCACCCAAGCCAGCCCCAGCCAGCCAUAUCCACAACUGGACCACCAACACCUAACCAGAUCCACCACCUCCCCCAUCUCCCACCUCCUUUUGUCGUGACUGUAACACCCAAUUCACUCAGACCACACAACAACCAUCCCUUUUCUCAACCCAACCCAUACCAUUGAAAUAAAUAAGUGUAGAAGAAACACAAAAAUGAAAAAUCAAUAAAACCUAGACAUAAAAAAUCAAACCUAGAUAUCAAAAAUCAAACCCAUAUUAUAAAAAAUACAUUAAACUUAACCCCACUUUCUCCACUUGUGAGUAACACCAUCAAAGAUUCUUGAAUCAAAGGCGAAAUAUGAUAUGAGGAAAUAUAAUGAAUCAAAGAAAUUUAGCAAGAUUCUUGAAUCAAAGGUGAAAUAUGAUAUGGGAAAAUAUAACGAAUCAAAGAAAUUUGGGACUUUCGUGAUGAGAUGAGAGAGAGAGAGAGAGAGAGCUGGUUUGUUGGGGUCUGAAGGGUUUGGGGUUUGGAGUGAGGCUGCUGGGUUGGUGUGAUCUAGGUGGAUCUUCCGUACGUAAUACAAUAUGAUAUUAAAUCCAUAUCAUAUUAUGUUACUUAAUUAUCAUUUUGUUUAAUUAUUAUAAACCCAUUAAAAGUUUGCGGUUCAAACCUAAUGGAUUUAAAACCGCUCAAACUUAAAGGUUUAUAUUAAUUAAACUUUUUAAACCAUACAUGACGUAAGGUUUAAAAUCAAUUGUUAUUUUUAGUUUUCCAUUUUUAGAAAACUCAUUUUGUAUAUAAAUUGACUGUUAGAAUGAAUUAAUCAAUCAGUUUUCAUUCGAUUCUAUUCCAUUCUCCAUAGUCAUUGUGUUCCGUAUUAUUCUUGAUUAAGAGUUCCGCAAGAAACCUUUGAUCAAGUGGUAUAAGAGUGAACAGAUUUUGCUGUAGCCUGUGGUUUAUGGUCUCAACUCGCAAACAAAUCGAGGUUUCGGGUGAAGAUUUUGUUGGACCAUUAAUUUCAGAAAAAGCUCUUCGACAAAAGAAGAAGAAAACAAUGGCAGAAGGAGAAAGAACUGAUGCUAAGAUUGCGUCGUUGGAGCAACAAAUGGAGAAAAUGACGCUGAUGAUGGCAAAGUUGGUGGAGGAUCUUGCACGCAAACCGCAAGAUGAGAUUCCAGGAGGAAAAAGAGUCUGCAGAGGAGUUUGGUGCAGGUCAAAGCCAAGAGAAGGAAUUAGAUGCUGAUAAAGUUGGUAAGUCCAAAACUUCUAUGAAUAGUCUUGAAAUUGAUGUUAAGAUUGAUAGUCCGGUGUAUGAUGGUGAGAUCAAUACCGAGAAGUUGGAUAAUUGGAUUGACCAAUUAGAAACAUAUUAUACUAUUUAUGAGUAUAAUAAUCGUCAGAGGAUCAACUUUGCAAUGUUAAAGUUGACCAAUCAUGCUUUGACAUGGUGGAAGGCUUAUAACAAACGUUAUAGUAUAACGACUAUGACGUGGAAAAAGUUUAAGCUAGCCAUAAGAAAGCAGUUUUACUCUGUUGGCUUCGAAGAGGAUAGAUGGUUCAAGUGGCAGCAUUUGAGGCAGAGUUUUGGACAAUCAGUACAAGAUUAUGGAGCCGAGUUUCAAAAAAUCAGACUAUGGCGUUGGACCUAGACUUGGAAGACCAUGAACUCCUUAUGAAGUUUAUUGGGGGCCUAUCAUUGUAUAGUCGCAAAGAGUUGCGAUUGUUCAAGGUUGAAGACUUUGAAGAGGCAAUAGUAAUGGCAACUGUCAUCGAAUCAAAGAACAAGAAAGUGGACAAAAAGGAGGACAAGAAGGAUUCAAGGAAAUUUGAAGUUGGGAGUAGCAAUAGUAAAAAUAGGGAGCAAAGUUCUGGAAAGAAGCAUACAAACUGUGAGCAUUGCAACAAGCCAGGUCAUAGUAAAGAAACAUGUUACAUUCUUCAUCCCGAGCUUAGGGAGAAAGAAAAAGAGAAAAGAAGUAACCGAAAAGAUCUUAAAAGAGCAUUGAAUGCUAACAAGACUGUGGAAAUUCCAAAAACGGUGCAACCCGACAUGAAGUUGACUCUCAUGACCCAGCAGCUUGUUCAUCCAGAAGGUCAUGAAGGCUUGUUUAAUGUUUGUAUACAGGUAAAACACGAUUUGAUAGACACUAUAAUUGAUUCAGGAAGCCAAAAGAAUCUCAUUGCAGAGGCAUUAGUCCGGAAGUUGCGGUUAACAACCACUCCUCAUCCUAACCCAUACCUGUUGGGAUGGAUACAGAAAGAUGUUGAGUCACAAAUUACUCGACAAUGUACUUUCAAGUUUGCAAUUACUAGAGAAUACAUUGACGAAGUAACUUGUGAGGUAGUACCAUUGGAUGUAUGCCAAGUAAUUUUUGGUAGUCCAUACUUGUGGGAUCGUGGUGCAGUGUUUUAUCGACGACAUCAAAAGUAUAUAUUUCUGAAGGAUGGAGUAGAGUACUUCAUUCAUGCCAGCAAAGUUUCCUUAAGUAUUAGUUUGAUUAGUGCUAAUCAAGCUAAAAGGAUGGUGAAUGCUUGUGGGAAGUUCAUCUUAUUGGUGGUUCUACCACGAGAAAACACCUCAUCUACAUAUGUGUUAUCUACUAUGAUGCUUACUCCUAGACAGAAACUUGAUAUGGAGGAGUUACAAUUGCAAUUCUCAGACUUGUUUGAGAAUGUUGAAGGCUUACCACCGCAGCGCCCAGUAGAGCAUGAGAUAGAACUCGUUGGAGAAUCUCCAUUGCCUAAUUUGGGUAUGUAUCGUCAUUCAGUGUAGGAGAGCGAAGAAAUCAAGAGACAAGUCAAAGAGCUCCUAAAGCAAGGAGUAUUGAAGCCAAGCUGCUCACCUUCUGGAUCCCCAGUAUUGUUGGUCCCAAAGAAAGAUGGCAAUUGGCGUAUGUGUAUUGAUUUUCGGGCGCUCAACAAAAUCACUAUUAAAAACCGGUAUCCAUUGCUAAGGAUAGAUGAUUUAAUGGAUCAACUACAGUCAGCUCGAUGGUUCACCAAACUAGAUUUAAAGUAUGGUUAUCAUCAAGUCAGAAUCAAAGAAGAAGAUCAUGGAAAAAGCAUUCAAAACCAAACAGGUCCUCUUUGAGUGGCUAGUGAUGCCGUUUGGUUUAUGCAAUGCUCCGGCAACAUUUAUGCGUCUCAUGAAUGAGGUACUUCAUUCAUACAUUGAUGAUUUUGUCAUUGUUUACUUGGAUGAUAUCUUGGUGUUUAGUCCUACUUGGGAAGAACAUUUUAUUCAUGUUGAGAAAGUGUUAGGGACAUUGAGGCAAUAUCAGUUACGACUAAAUCUAAAGAAACGUGAGUUUGGGAAGAAUUCUCUAGUGUAUCUUGGUUUUAUAAUUGGUGACGGAGAAUUGAAAGUUGAUCCGUCCAAGGUACAGGCUAUUACAGAUUGGCCUAGACCUUGUACAGUAACUGAAGUACGCAGCUUUAUGGGAGCAUGUCAGUAUCUACGUAAGUUUAUCCGCCAUUUUUCUCAAAUUUCUGGGCCAUUAUUUGAAUUGACUAAGGUAGGAAGAAAGUUUGAAUGGUUAGAUAAACAUGAAGAUACCUUCAGAUUGCUUAAAAAGAAGAUUUCAGAUGCUCCAGUUUUAGCUUUGCCCAAUUUGCAAAGAUCAUUUUAGGUAGAAACGAAUGCUAGUAAUUACGCCUUGGGUGGCAUUUUGAAGCAAGAUGGGAACCCAGUUGAUUAUUAUUUUGAGAUGUUUAAUGCUGCAGUGCAAAAUUAUCCUACCUACGAUAAGGAGUUGUUUGCCUUACACUAGUGUGUGAAACAUUGGAGGUGCUACUUAUUAGGUAAGGAAGUGAUAGUGCACUCAGACCACAAGCCUUUGCAGUACUUACAGACACAGUCUAAGUUGCAACAAGCUUGACACAUGAAGUGGAUGUCCUACUUGCAACAAUUCAACAUCAUUAUCAAGUACAAGAAAGGGGUUACAAACAAGUUGGCUGAUAUGUUGUCUAGACCUCCAGGACAUUCCGCUUUAUUGGUGGCUAUGCAACUCCAACCUGAGUACGUAACAAGUUAUGAUGGUGAUCCAAAAUUCAAAAUGUUCUUCGAUAAGCUACAACGUGGGAAGCCAUGCCAAUUUGAGAUGAAUGAUGGCUUAAUGUUCAAGGGAAAACAACUAUGCAUCCCCAACAAUGGAGACCGAUUGCAAUGGAUCAGGGAGGCUCAUACUUCUAGAUGUGCAGGUCACUUCGGAGUUGACAAAACCCUCCUCAAUCUACAACGUUAUGUUUAUUGGCCUCGGAUGCAUGUGGAUGUUUCUCAUUUUAUUCGAGGAUGCGUGUUAUGCAACACCUCAAAACCAUCAAGGUAGUUGGGGUUGUAUACACCACUUCCGGUACCAAAUAGGCCUUGGGAAAGUAUCUUAAUGGAUUUCUUGGGUGGUUUGCCUACAACUACCACUGGGUUUGAUUACUUGUUUGUUGUGGUGGACCAAUUCAACAAAAUGGUGAUCCUAAUUCCUUGUAAGAAGAGAAUUUCAGAAGAAGGUGUCGCAAAGUUGUUUUUCCACCAUGUUUGGAAACAUUUCGGGUUACCUACUUCUAUCAUUUCGGAUCGAGAUAGCAGAUUUCUUGGUCACUUUUGGAAGUCUUUAUGGGGAUUGAUGGACACAAAGCUGAAACAUAGUACUGCUUUUCAUCCUCAAACAGAUGGACAAAUAGAAGUGGUAAAUCGGACCAUGGUACAUCUAUUGAGAGGAUAUAACUCUAAGCAUCCUCGUACUUGGGAUGCGAGUUCACCUUAUCUACAAUUUGCCUUUAAUAGGGCAAUUCAUAGUUCUACUUUGAAGUCACCUGUCAAAGUUUGUUUGGGCUACCUACAUUCGAGUCCAUUUGAUAUGGCCUUCUCAGUUGCAGACAAGCGAAAAAGAGAAGAAAAUGAUGAUAGGCUAAAAGCACAGCGACUCUUGGAGCGCAUUUCGAAGAUCCAUAAAGAAGUUGAGGAGCAAUUACAAAAGUCAAAACAGCGAUACAAAGCGCGACAUGACAGACAUAGGCUCCAACAUGACUUCAAAGUAGGUGAUCUGGUUUGGUUAAAACUCAGCAAGAAAAGAUUACAUGGUGUAGGAAGGAAAUUAAAGCCAAUUCGAUAUGGGCCAUUCAAGAUCUUGGAAAAGAUUGAAGAGAAUGCAUUUCGACUUGAGCUGCCACCUUACAUGCAGAUGUAUUCAGUAAUAAAUGCCGAGUAUUUAAAACCCUUUGAGCCAUCAUUAUUGGAUGAUGAUGAAGACGUUAAGGAUUCUCGACUUCCCCCGCUAGACGAUCUAUGGUUUGAGAGGGAAGACCCAUUGACAGCAAACUGCAUUCUUGAGAAGAAGGUCAUUACGACUUGGCGUGGUCAGAUAGAAUCGUAUCACAUUGGAAGAAAGGGGCAGUUGCCAAGCAAGUCAAAAUGGUUUCGCAAGGAAAAAGGAAUUCAAGAGUUCCCUAAUUUGCAGUUUUAGCUUUGCAGGAGCUUCAACUUCCCUAAAAUGGAGAGCCAUGAUCCAGGUGGAUCUUCUGUAUGUAAUACAAUAUGAAAUUAAAUCCAUAUCAUAUUAUGUUACUUAAUUAUCAUUUUGUUUAAUUAUUAUAAACCCAUUAAAAGUUUGCGGUUCAAACCUAAUGGAUUUGAAACCGCUCAAACUUAAAGGUUUAUAUUAAUUAAACUUUUUAAACCAUACAGGACGUAAGGUUUAAAAUCAAUUGUUAUUUUUAGUUUUUCAUUUUUAGAAAACUCAUUUUGUAUAUAAAUUGACUGUUAGAAUGAAUUAAUCAAUCAGUUUUCAUUCGAUUCUAUUCCAUUCUCCAUAGUCAUUGUGUUCCUUAUUAUUCUUGAUUAAGAGUUCCGCAAGAAACCUUUGAUUAUGGUGGGGGUGUGGAAACAGGCAAUCAGGCUGGGGUGGGACUGGGAGGAGAGAGUAGCAGCGAUAUGAACCAUCCCCACCCAUGACCACCGUAGAUAUCGCUGGAAGUGGGGAUAGGGAUGACAAUGGCUCGAAUCAUGGGUGGGUAUGCCAUUCCCAUCCUCAUCCCCGUUAGGCCUUUUUUUCCCAUCCCUACGUUCAUACCCGCAAUCUUCAAAUCAAGAUUCUUCUGCAAAAAUAUGAAUAUUGUUUGAAUGUAUUAAGUUAACUUUAUUCUUCUUUAUAAGGAGGUAUAUAUAAGAGUUUACAGGGUGCUUUACAAGGAAUUAGAUACAGUAAAGAAUUAUGAAAGUAUCUCUUAAUUAUACAAUGAUUUACCAACUAUAUAAAAAUAGGAAAGUAAAUCCAUUAAUUAAUCAAGGAAAUAAAUCUCCUUGAUUAAUUAGGAGACUUACGUCAACACUCCUCCUCAAGUUGGUGCAUAUGUGUCACCAAUGCCCAACUUGAUAAGCGAGUCAUGAAAUACUCUGCCACAAACAGCUUUUGUUAAUAUAUCUCCCAGUUGAUCUUCUGAUUUUACGAAUGGUAGGCGGAUGAUCUUCUUCUCAAUCUUCUCUUUGAUAAAAUGUCUAUCCACUUCAACAUGUUUGGUUUGAUCAUGUAGAACUGGAUUAUGGGCAAUGUUAAUGGCUGAUUUGUUAUCACAAUAUAACUCUAUUGGCUUUCCUGGCUUGAAACCCAAUUCUGUCAAUAGUCUUAUGAUCCAUAGUAGUUCACAAACUCCAUGAGUCAUUCCUCGAUACUCUGCUUCUGCACUAGACCAAGAAACCACAUUUUAUUUUUUACUCUGCCAAGUGACUAGAUUACUUCCUACGAAGGUAAAGUAACUUGAAGUAUAAUGUCUAUCAGUAAUGGAGCCAAUCCAAUCAACAUCUGUAUAUCCAACAACUUCGAGAUCUCUUUUUUUUAAGAACAUUAAUCCUUUCCCAGGUGCUGACUUUAAGUAUCUUAAGAUCCGAUCAAUUGCAUUCCUAUGGGACACAUUGGGUGAAUGCAUAAACUGACUAACCAUACUCACAGCAUAUGCAAUAUUUGGUCUUGUGUAGGCUAAAUAUAUCAACCUUCCAACAAGGCGUUGGUACUGUUCCUUAUUGGUUGGUUCUUGAUCUAUGCCUUCACAUAACUUAUGAUUCAUCUCAGUGGGUGUAUCAGCAGGUUUGCAUAUAAGUAUUCCUGUUUCAGUGAGCAGAUCUAAUACAUACUUCCUUUGAGACAGAAAUAUACCAGUUGUGGACCUGGCUACUUCAAUUCCUAGAAAGUACUUCAGAUCACCUAAAUCCUUCAUAUCAAAUUCAUGAGACAAAUACUUCUACAGUUUCAGUUGCUCUCCUAUUUCAUUUCCAGUUACGACUAUGUCAUCUACAUAAACAUUCAAUGCAGUAAGUCUUUUUCCAUCACGCUUCAAGAAUAAAAUGUGAUCUGCAUUACUCUGUAUAUAUCCAAAAUUCUUUAUGGAUUUAUUGAAUCUGCCAAACCAUGCCCUGGGGAUUGCUUUAACCCAUAUAAUGACUUUCUGAGUUUGCAAACUUGACUUUUCUUGUCACGAGCUAAGUUACAUCCUGGUGGUAAGUCCAUAUAUACUUCUUCUUCCAAGUCUCCAUGUAAGAAUGCAUUUUUUACAUCAAACUGAUGUAAUGGCCAAUCGAGAUUUGCUGCUAGAGACAGAAGGACUCUGAUAGUUUUAAUCUUGGCUACUGGGACAAAGGUCUCUUGGUAGUCUAUCCCAUAUCUUUGGUGUGUACCCCUUCGCCACCAAUCUAGAUUUAUAUCUUUCAAUUGAUCCAUAUGCUUUGAGUUUCAUAGUAUAAAUCCACCUGCAUCCCACUGUCUUCUUCCCAUGAGGUAAUGGCACGAGUUCCCAUAUGCCAUUCUUCUGGAGAGCUCGCAUUUCUUCGUUCAUGGCUUCUUUCCAUUUUGGGUCUUCCAGUGCUUCAGUUAUACUGUUAGGAACUAGUAUGUCGGCUAACUGUUUCACAAAGUGUACCCGUGACUCUGAUAAUCUGUUGAUGGAUACAUAAUUGUUGAUGGGAUAUUUUCCUUUGGCAUUAAGAUCUACUUCUCAAUGUACUGGAGGUUUGCCACGGUUCUUCCGUUUUAGAAUCUAAUAAGCAGGCCCUAUGCCUUUUGAAAUCAAAUUAUGAUGGGAUAUUUCAUCAAUGUUAUUAGUUUCAGGACAAGAUGUUACCUGAAUGACAUCCUCAACAGGUGAUUGGAGUUGAAGAAGUAUCUGGAUUGUGCAAAAUCUCAUCAGUUUUCUCCUCCUGAGUUGGACAACAAGGAGACGACAGAUCAGGCUGAGGCUAGUUUUCGGGUAGAGACCGGUCGCUUCCAAGCUGUGACCGGUCGUUUUCUGGCAGAGUCUUAAGCGACCUGUCGUUAUUAGGCUGCGACCGGUCGUUUUCAGGCAAAGUCAUUGGCGACCGGUCGCUUUCAGGCUGGGACGAUUAUGGAGGGAAAAAAUAAAAAAUUUGAGAAGUGUUGGUGUCGCAAUGCUCCUCCUGUGCAGCUAAAAAAUAUAUGUCGUUCUCCCGGAACACAACAUACAUAGAAGUAUAAACUUUCUGACUUGAAGGAUGAUAACACUGGUAUCCUUUUUGAUGAGGUGCAUAGCCAAUGAAAACACACUUUUCGGCUCGGGGAUCCAAUUUGGUUCGUUGGUGAUCAUGUAAGUAGACAAAUACAACACAACUAAAAAUCCGGGGUUCCAGGUUUGGGGUAAGAGGUGUUUGGAUAUGGUGGUGAAGUGUUUGAAGUGGUGUUUGAAAAUUUAGGAUACUAAAGGGAAUCUGAUUGAUAAGGUAUGCUGCAGAGACGACGGCUUGGCCCCAAAAUGGUCGUGGCAUAUUGACACCAAAGAGAGAGGCACGAACGACUUCCAAUAAGUGUAUGUUCUUUCUUUCUGCCACCCCAUUCUGUUAGGAAAUGUAAAGGCAUGAGCUUUGAUGUAUGAUGCCAUGAUCUUGUAAGAACUGGUUAAGAUCAUAGUUGAGAAAUGCUCCAUCAUUGUCAGAACGAAGAACCUGAAUUCUAGCAUGAAACUGAGUCUCCACCAUUUGAUAAAACUGUUGAAACCUUGAACUGACUUCCCUUUUUGUUUUGAGAAGGGAAACUCAAGUCAUGUGUGUGCAAUCAUCUAUAAACCUAACAAACCAUCGCGUCCCUGCCGGAGUGGCAAUUUUAGCAGGUCCCUAAGCAUCAGAAUGAACAAGAGAAAACGGAACCAAACUUUGAUUUGAACUUAAUGGGAACGGGACAAGAUGGCUCUUAGCCAAUUCACGUAUCACACUGGAAGCUUGAAACAUCAAAACUGGAAAAUAAUGAUGGAAACAACUUCUUAAGAUAACCGAACGAGGCAUGCCCAAGACGUUUAUGCCAUAACCAAAUUUUGUCUUUCUCCUCCUCAGGACGAGUUCCACUGGUUGUGAAAGCUUGACCACCCUUGACCUCACUAUCCGGUACCCAGUCCAAGUAAUAGAGUUUGCAACGUCGAGUAACACAACCAAUUGUUGUUCCUGUGAGGAUGUCUUGAAAAACACAAUGAUUCGGCCAAAAUAUUAUAGUACACCCCAAAGUAGUAGUAAGUUAUGCAACAGAUAACAAGUUAUGGUCCAAAGGUAGAACAAGUAAUACAGAAUCCAGAUGUAGGGAAGUAGAGAGAGAUAAAGAGAUAAAGAGACCUCCCUAACCACAGGGGAGGGGGUACCAUUAGUAUUAGACACCACAGACUGAGUGGAUGAUUUGCGAUUAAUAAGUUGGCCAGGAUCAAAUGUCAUGUGAUCCGUAGCGCCCAAGUCGAUAAUUCAUGACGAGUUGUUGGAGGACGUAUGAAAAUUAGAACCUUUGGUGGUGGUGAUAGAAGCAGGAGUUCAGGUAGCCAGGUUAGCAGGAUUGAUCGCAUGCUUCUGUGAGUCUGCAAUAAGAUGGAGAAUCGUAGGGGUUCCUGACAUCGCAGCUGAAGGAAGAUGUGAUAUGAGAAGGUGAGGAAUUUGAUGUAUGAGUUUGAUGUAGGAAUUGGAUUUAAGAGGUAUGUGUAUAAGAUUUGAGGGUAUGUAUUUAGGAAUUUAGAUAAGAGCAUUUGAGGACUUUAGAUUUGAGGGAUUUGGAUCUAGGGAAAAUUAUGAGGAAUUUAAUUUAGGGUUUUGGAUUUGAAUAUGAGAAAUUUGAGAUAAGGGUUUAUAGACAACCUAGGAUCGAUUGCUUUGAUUCCAUUCUAAAAUAUGAAUAUGGUUUGAAUGUUUUAGGUUAACUUUAUUCUUCUCCAUAAGGAGAUUUAUAUAAGAGUUUACAGGGUGCUUUACAAGGAAUUAGAUACAGUAAAGAAUUAGGAAAGUAUCUCAUAAUUAUACAAUGAUUUACCAACUAUAUAAAAAUAGGAAAGUAAAUCCCUUAAUUAAUCAAGAAAAUAAAUCUCUUUGAUUGAUUAGGAGACUCACGUCAACAUCUUCAUCCAUGCAUGCAUUGGGAACGAGUUCCCUCACCCGUCCCAUUACCAAAAAAAUAAAAAAAUAAAAAGCCACUUUGUUUUAACAGCCCAAGUUCAUACAUAACUUUAACACAUCAAAUCUCAAUGAAAAUUUUCGUAUAAAUACUUGAUUUCAAGCUUAUGAAAUUUUCUUCAAAGUUACCCAAUUCGUUUUCCAAAAGAAACUUUGUAAUGAAAGAAAAUUAAGUCAAAAGAGAGGUUCAAAAAAUAUGAAAUAUGCAUUAUUCUGAAAUUCUUAUUAUUUUCUUUGGAAAUAUAGGUUCAAAUAGAAUCAUUGAAACACAAAAAUAAUAAGGGAAAGUUACAAUUUCUGAUCAAAACAUGAUACAAAGCAUUGAACUUCAAAUUGAAAACCAAAGAAUUUACUAAAGACACCCAAAACUAUAAAAACUCUUACCCUUAUGCUUUCCUUUUCCAAAGCUCAAAACUUCCAUCUUUUUUUCUUUCAAAAUUCUUCCUCUAUGAACGUUCUACUAGUAAAGUGUAGGGGUGGGCAUCGGGAGCGGAAAAUCAGAACAUUAAACUAGACCGAAUGAAAAAUAAAAUAAAAUUGGUUGACUAAAAAAGUCAACGAACCGGCACAUAAUCGAAAAAUAAAAUUUUCAAGCCCAAAAAAUAAAAUUUUUGUUGGAAUUGGUAUUAAAUUUUUUUUUAAAAAUUAAUAAUAUUAAUAAUCCAAUUCAAAAUCGGACCGAAACUGGUGAGAACCAGAUGGACCGGUUUUAAAAACAAAAUUCACUAAAACCGAACCAAUUAAAUAAUGCCGGUUUCAGUUUGAGGUGAGAACCGGACUGUGCCCACUCCUAGUAAUGUGAGCUAAAAACUCAUAUGACAAAUCACUCUCUAACUUUAACUAUUUAUAGGUGGAAAAGUCAUGAUUAAAACCUAUUAAUAGAUCUUCCAUCCUCUUUAUAGUUGGGAUUUCUCAGCACACUAGCUGGGAUUAGUCAGCCAUAUAGAUUGCUUACAGAGCAAUCUAAGUUCAUCCCCAAUAGCCACCUCCUCAUAUAGACUCUCCACCUCUAACCUAGCCCUUACACCUCCUCCUUAAAUCUUGCUCCCACCACCACCAGCUUAUAUAGCCUUCACUAAUAAGCACCCUAGAGUGCUUACAAGGCUGAAGAUAUUUUUUUGAAAGAAACAAAAUAAGAGAGAAUGAAGAAGACAAGACGAAGAAUGAAAUAUUUGGGUGCAUGAUUUUUGAGAAAAAAACUGUUGUAUCUCAACUUACAUAUAAGAUAAAACAUUGGGCUGAACUAAAUGACCAAAAUAUUGAUGAUUUAUAUAACAUCUAAAAUUAAUUAAUUUUUUUUAAAAAACGUGUCAUUAUAUUGUCGAAGCCUUCAGCCUGCUCUGACAAAACUGCAUGAAGUUGAAUUUGAGCAAAUGCACAUUUGGAGUCUCAUUUGGUCGAUUUUUGGGAUACUAGUCACCCAAAGAGGCAUCGAGGCUCACCCCAAUAAAAUCAAGGCCAUCCUCAAUAUGAAACUACCUGCCACAACGACAAAAAUACAAAGACUAACGGGCAGAACAACCGCUCUCAACCGAUUUCUUUCAAGAUCUAUAGACAAGUGCAUGUCAUUCUUUAAAGCCUUAAAGAAAAGAUAAAGAGACAAGUGAGAUGAAGAGUACGAAGCAGCUUUUCAAGAUUUGAAGGCAUGUCUUACUUCAACUCCCCUAUUUCCAAAGCCCGUACCAAUUGAAGUUAUUUCUAGCAUAUUUUAACUCUAAAGAUCAUACUUAGUACUUUGUUGUUUAUGUGACUUUUGGUAUAUUUUCACAUUGAGAGCAGCAACGCAUGCACAAGAUUUGCAUAAUGAAACUUUAGAGAAGCAAAAUGAAAAGGUAAGAUGAUGAAACUUUGAUUAUAACAAAUCAAAUUCUAAGAUAUGUAUUUCACAUGCAUGAAGUGUAUGUGCACUACAAUCUCAAAAGCUAGAAUAAGAUCACGUUGACAAAAUUUUAGGUGUGAAAAACAAAUAAAUCUCAUGUUAUGCAAUAUGGAGUCGUACAUGGGUUCAGACCCAGCAAAUGGUAGCUAUACUUCUGUCAAAGAUACCUCUCCUGAUCAACCUCAAGAAUUGUAAGCUAAUACGACACAUACCUCAUUCAUUAUCUGCACAAGGUUUCUGCUCUUAAUUUUGUCUGAGCUCUGAACUUGUAUGUUUUUUAAAUUUGCAUAUAUAUAAUUGACAAUUUGGCAAGAGAAAAUUUAAAAGUUAAAAAUGUGUUCCUAAUAUUUUAUAAACCAUAUCUUUUUAUUAUUCACUUCCACAGAGCCCCUAUUGGCUCUCGUGAGAAACUGGAAGCUCAAAAGCUGCUGCUUGAUAAAAUUGUUUAUAGGAAAGCAUAUGGACUACAUCAUAAAUAAAAUAGGGGAGCUUCUGUUUGGAUAUGAGAAGAGCUAAGAAGUAAGGUUAGGCCUGCGGGGCGCAGCCUCUAGUUAAUGAUUGGGGACUGCAUCAAGAUGCUUGUAAGUCCUUCUUGCAACUCCAAACAUUAAAUUAAUACAGAUAUACAUGUGUUUGGCUUAGAUCUAUACUAUAAUGAUUUCAAGUAAAUCCCUUCAUUUUGUGCCUCAGAUCUUAAUUUUGAGUUCUUUUCAACACAGAUGAGAACUUAUGAGAACCACUGUGGACCUUUUUUGACAUAUGGAAGGAAAUACACGUGAGCUAUUGCCAACAUUUGCAAUUGUGGCGUUAGCAUAGAGAAAAUGGCUGUAGUAUCUUAUCAGACCUAUUCUCAGAAAUCACAUGUAUAGUUCUUCCUUGUUGAUCAAAUGAUGUAAAAAAAAUAAGUAGUCGUUGAAACAGUAAACUGAAAUCUCAUCUUCUACCUCAAGUGGAAGCAAAAAUUUGGUCAACCACAUUUCAUAUGCAGCAAUUGACAUCUCAUAACUUAUAUUGAACUAAUUACAAAUACAAAUUCAGAAUCACUGACAAUCAACUAAAGUUUCCUCCUUUUUGAAGUCCUGGCUUGCCUUCAAACAUUUCUCACUUUUCUUGAUUGAAGAUGUCUCGAGCUUCUUGGCCUUCAAGAUCUGCCUACAACACGAACAAGCCUUCUCCUAGACUUUUCCAAUUGUUUUUGUGGGUUCAGAAAAUCCAUGAACCACAAUAUUCCAGAUACGUUCAUCUAGAGACCAUAAGAAAGACUUCAUUUUAGCUUUCCAAGCACCACAGUUGUUCCCAUCAAAAUAUGGUGGAUGCAAAACUGAGCCUGUGACACACUCCAUCCUAAGGUAUGUCGGAUCGAGCUAAGAAUGUUCAGUAACUUGUUCUGAUGCCAAUUGAAAAUACCUAUAGGAUGUCUUAAAAUACCAAAAGCGUAAAGUCUGUGUUUUGAGCAGUUAAGAGUAUCAUGAUAAUACAAAUAAAACACGCCAAGGGGAUUGAUACAUCAAUUUAGAACGUAAAACAAGAGAAAAACACAAAAAGUAUUUUACGUGGUAAAACCCUACCUCUGGAGAAAAUUCACAGGACCUGAUAGUUCAAGAUAAAUCCACUAUUGAACGAUGAUUACAAGAAGUAUACAAACUUGUCCUAGACACUCUAGACAACGUACCAACUUCUUCGUAACUCAACUUCUCGCGGGAUUUCUCCUUCUCUCCUUAUGUUGAAUCCGAUUCUUGACGUGAUCGAUCUAAGCUCACCGGAGGUAUGAGAACCUUGUAACUUAUGCAAAUGAAUGUAAAUGAAUGCAAUGACAAAUCACCAAGAUAAUCUUACUCUUGAUGAUUUAUCCUUAUGAACAACAAAGCACAACAACUUUCUUUUGUGUAUAUGAAAACUCAAGAAAUACUCUCAUCGUUGAAAGUUGUAAUACAAAUUAAACCAAGCCUUACUUUUUAUAAUGGUUUUCAAAACUGGAAAUAAGAUCAAUUAGUUCAUAAUCAACAUAUUAAUUUUCUAAAAUCAUACUAAUUGAUUUCCAAUCAAAGAAGACUUUUAAUGUUCAAAACUGGAAAGCAAUUUAUAAAAUAAAUUAUUCUUUCUUAAAAUAAAAAGUCUUCUUAAUCAUAAUGUUAAUCAGAUUGUGAGUUUGAAAUAAUGCUUGAAAUACCACAAUCAGAAUGCAUGAUUGAAUAAAGAAUUUACCUUAGUGAUCGUCGGUUGACAUAUGAGCCUUUAGAUCAUAUCUUAGAAUUUUGACAGCCACCAUCACAACUAAUUUACCAUUUAUACUUAGUCUAAUUGGUUUCUAGGAAAUGCCAAUCAUAGAAACAAUACUAACAAAAGUAGAUGCAAAGCUUGGUUUUAUGAAUUGUUUCUUGCAAGAUAACAACAUAGUUGUAUAAAGCCAAGGCGUGCAUCCAGGGGCGGAACUAGCAUAUGGGCUAGAGUGGCUCUAGCCCAGGGACCUUUUUAAAAAAAUUAAAAAAAAUUAGAUGUGGUUGUGUUUAAUUUAUGAGGGCCAACGUGGGUUACGUGGCCAAUGCAUUGGACCAUUGGUGGUUGGCUGUUGUCUUUUUAUUAUUUUAUUAUUAUUUCUUGUGUGGUCUAUUUCCUAUUCAAUAAAGUAUUCUAGUUUCCCAUUGAAUAAAGUAUCCUAGUCUGAUAUGAUGAAAUAUCAUAUUCCUAGCCUAGUUUGUCCUACACAACUUUAUAAGUAUCUUAGUCAGUCUAAUAAAAAAAGAAGAAGACGAUAUUCAUAUUUAUGAAACUUAGCCCUAGCAAUCCCAAAAGAAUAUCUACAGCGUUUUGUAUUUUGUGCUACCAAAGUUGACUUCAUCGUCAACACGCGUAUUAAAGGUAUCUAACUCUCCACAGUCUCGAAUUUUUAUUUUUUUUCAUUGAUUUGUUUAGUAUAAAGUAAAUUGUUUUGUUUUUGAUAUGUGUUAUUAGAUUAUAAUGUCACAUCAAAACCAAGCAAGUAAAAGAGCAAAAACUAUUCAUUCAUUCUUCAAGAAAAAAAAUAAUAGUGAUAAAUUAGACAAUGACAAGGCUUUUACAUUCAAUGAUAAGGCUUCACCAUCAAUUGAGUUACCUCAUCACACAUCUCCCGUAGUUGAACCUAACCUAUUUGAUGUUGCUUUUUUGGAACGAGACCAUGGAAAACGUAUUCAAAUAUCUGAAUACCAUAUUAAUCAACGUGAUGAGGUUCGGCGUGCUUAUAUCAAAGUUGGACCUUACCAACCAAAAUUAUCAGAAUAUCCAAGGUCUCAGUUUGGGUCGCAAUAUCGCCGAUUUCAAUAUUCUUGGUUCUCCCAAUUUCCAUGGUUAGAAUAUUCCCCUUCAGAAGAUAAAGUCUAUUGUUUUCCAUGUUUUAUUUUUGGUAAUGGUCGUCCUGCAUUAACUAUUGAGGGUUUUAAUAUGGAAAAGAUUUAAUGAUAGAAAGAAUUGUGUAUUUUUGACUCAUGUUGGAGGUCCAUCUUCAUCGCAUAAUACUUGUGAAAGAUGUAUGGAGGAUUUGAUGAAUCCAUCUCAACAUGUCGACAAAGUUAUUAAUCGACAAUCAAAGGAAGAAAUUUUGAAAAACUGGUUACGGCUCAAGACAACGAUAGAGUGUGUUCGGUGGCUUACAUAUUAGGCAUGUGUUUUUAGGGGUCAUGAUGAAUCUUUGGAUUCUAAAAAUCAUGGAAAUUUUAUUGAAAUGGUCAAGCAUACAGCAAAGUUUAAUGAUGAGGUGGCUGGAGUUGUUUUAGAGAAUGCCCCAGGAAAUGCAAAAUAUACCUCACCCAUGAUUCAAAAGGAGAUUUUAAAUAUUCUCGCAAACAAAGUGAGAAAAAAAAUCGUGAAGAAGUUGGGGAUGCUGCUUUUUGUAUCCUUGUUGAUGAAUCACAAGAUACGUCAAAUAGAGAGCAAAUGGCUAUUGUUUUAAGAUUUGUUGAUAAUGAUGUUUUUCUAUGUGAACGUUUUUUUUGACAUUGUGUGGGUUGAAGACACUAUUGCAUCAACACUUCAAAAAGAGAUGAAGAAAGUACUUGAUCUCCAUGAAUUAUGUAUUGACAAGAUGAGAGGUCAAGGAUAUGAUGGUGCGAGUAAUAUGCGGGGUGCAUGGAAUGCGCUACAAGCAUUAUUUCUUAGAGAUUGCCCAUAUGCAUAUUAUGUACACUGUUUUGCUCAUCAACUACAGUUAGCAUUAGUUUCAGCAUCAAAAGAAGUGGCUACAAUUUGGUUAUUCUUUUCAUCAUUGAAUUCAAUUGUCAAUGUCAUUAGGGUUUCACCAAAACGUCAUACUGAGUUACAAGUUGCUCAAUCAAUGAAUAUUGUAGAGCUAUUGAUUACUGGUGAACGAGAGACUGGUAGAGGAGCUAAUCAAAUUGGUACCUUGCAUCGACCUGGAGCUACUCAGUGGAGUUCUCAUUACGAUUCCGUUUGUGAUUUAAUAGAAAUGUAUGAUGCAAUUUGUACGGUUCUUGAGAAUAUAAAGGAGGAUGGAUCCACAGGCUCCUUACAUGGGGAAGCUACUAGUGGAUACAAUGCGAUUAGGCAAUUCAAAUUUGUAUUCAUCUUGCAUCUAUUGAAAGAAAUUAUGGGACUCACAUAUAUCCUUUGCCGAGAACUACAACAUAAGUCUCAAGACAUCGUGAAUGCUAUGAACCUAGUUGGUACAACAAAAGAUGUCCUUGAAAAAUUGAGAAUAAAUGGUUCAGAAACUUUUAUUGGGAAAGUAGAUUUGUUUUGCAAGAAACAUGACAUUGAUAUGCCUGAUAUGAAUGCUCAAUAUAAAGUGGGAACAGGUCGUUCUUGUCAGCAAAAGGACAAUAUUACAGUUGAGCAUCAUUACCACUUUGACAUAUUCAAUGAUGCAAUAGAUUUUCAAUUGGCAGAGUUGAACAGUAGGUUUAGUGAAGGGGCAAUGGAACUUCUUAUUCUUAGUUCAGCUUUGGACCCUAGUGAUUCUUUUAAAUCAUUUAAUAUUGGUAAAAUUUGCAGCCUUGCAGAGGGAUUUUAUCCUCAAGAUUUCACUCUAAAAAAGUUACAUAUUUUGAGAUGGCCCCUAAAACUUUACGAGGCAGACGUACCUCAUCAUCCUAUACUUUAAAAAGUAUCUACACUCUCUGAAUUAUGUCAGGGAUUAGUUGAAACAAAAAGGUCAAAAAGAUAUUAUUUGAUUGAUAGGUUGAUUCGUCUUGUGCUAACUCUCCCUGUUUCUACGGCAACUACUAAAUGAGUUUUUUCAGCUAUGAAACUUGUUAAAACAGCUCUUCAUAACAAGAUGGAGAAUGAGUUUCUAGCAGAUUCUAUGGUUGUCUACAUUGAAAAAGAACUUGCUGACAAUAAAUUUAGAUGUAAUAACAAAAGAUUUCAAUUUUCUCAAGGAUCACAGGGCACAACUUCAAUAAGCACACUUUUAAUUAUGUUGUUGAACAUAUUAUUUAAUGCAUACUUUGCGUGGUUUAUACUUUUAUUUGAUUUAAUGUAUAUACUAUUAGCAUGGUUUAUAUGAUUUAAUGCAUAGUUCUAUUUUAGUUAAAAAAUUUAGCUAGCCCACCGGUCGAAAAAUUUCUGGUUCCACCCUAGCUUGUAUCUCAUUUUUAACGCAGCUUUUAUAUUUUUUGGUCUGAGCAUCUAAAAUUCCUAAAACGUUCCUGUGCAUAUAUUUGAGAUAAAUGAUCAAGUGUUCCAUGUUUACUUGGUGAUUUAUCAAACACUUUAAUCAUUCAUAUUGCAUUCAUUUGCAUUAUUUGAUGACUCAUACGGUUGAGGGCACCAAGACCAUGGUGACGAUUUUCCUCUGGCAGCCUUGAAGUAAUCGUGACCAGUAUUGCGUUCAACAUAUGGAGUGUCGAAGAUUAUCCCGUGGUAGAAGUUGAGUUACGAAGAAGUCGAUAAACAUUAUCUAGAAUGUGUCUAGGAUAAGUGUGUGAGUACUUCUUGUAAUCAUCAUUCUAUAGUGGAUUUGUGUUGGACAGAUGAGUCAUGUGGAUUUUUCCUAAAGGUGGGAUUUUACCACGUAAAAUAAUUCUCUGCAUGCUCCUUUAUUUUAUGUUCAGCACAUUUCAGGAUUGAUAAACCAUAUCAAUCCUGCUACCAAAGUUUACUUUUUGUUUAUUGAUUAUAAUAUUAAAUUGGCCUAUUCACUCUAGGCAUUUUAAGUCAUUCUACAUGUAAUUUCAAUUGGUACCCAAAUUCCACUUUGGAAUAUGAGCCGAACCCUAUGCGUGUCCGACACCUGACAGGUGCCGAGCACAUUUGACCAAAUUUCCCUUCUAACUAAAAUUCAAAAAUUUCUUUAGGGUUCGACUUCUGCCAAAAAGUCGGCAGAGUCUCCCCUGUAAAUUACUUGUUCCCAAACUUUUUCACCUGUACGACAUACAAUUCAAAUAUCCACAACCGUUCAGCAUGCACAAUGUUAGAAUUUAUGCAACCAAAUAACAAAUCUUUAUGGCCUCAGGCCUUAUAGAAAUCCUAGGGCAAUUUCAGAGCAAGCUACUUCAGUAAUUUACAAAAACAGAAUAAUUACAAGAUAACAUCCUACAUAGAGGAAAAAUGAGGAGUGAUGAGUGAUGACCACCUUGUAGUGGUGCUCUAGUACACGACUACGGCCUGGGGGAGCAAAACAUUUAAAAGUGUGAGUGGAUAAAAUAAAGUUUUGAAAAAUAUAAUAUCAACAUACUAACCCCACUGUUAAAACAUUUGAAAAUUCAUUUAUAUCCAUGUUCUAUAUUCGUACAAAAGUCAAGCAUGCAUAUCUAUAUACAUAUAACCGAUUAUGCAUUUGAACAAAUCCUUAAAACCAUUUGAAAGCAUUGUAAAGAAACAUUUCAUUUCCACCUAGCUGUACCCAUCAUAUAUCCAUCAAUUCCAUGAUUUUCUACGAAUUCCCACAUUAUACAAUCAAUUCCUUGUGUCACAUAAUGAGACACAUCCUCGCAGGCCUCGGUAAUAGAAAGUAGACCCGAGCUGCAUUCCUCGCAAGACUCAGGAGACACUUGGUGAACCUAAGCCGCAUUCCUCGCUCCUCACGGUCCGGAUAUCCCUAAGACUCGUGAGGCAACUGUCAAACGUGCGCUGACUCAACCGAAGACAAUUAGGAUGUCUGUGGACAUCAUUAUAUCCGAACGCAACAUUUUGGGUACAUAUGGUGGUUUAAAACACAAGCCUUUCUUGGACAAUUAUAAUACUAUAUCUCAUUAAAUCCUUAAAUCCUGUUAUCACUUCCUUUUUCUACCUUCCAAGCCAUUCACAUUUAAUCAUAAACAAAUUUCUUUUAAAGUAUGUGAACUCAAACUUAAUACUUGUAAAACGAAAGCCAUACAUAAUUCCUUAACUUAACUCAAUCAUGAAAAAUCCUUCAGAAUCGUUCUCAAACUAAAUUUGAAUAUGCAUAAAAUAUUAUUUAGAAAAUUGGAAAUCAUAAAUUAUCAACUCCAUAAGCAAAACAAUUAAUAACUACAGUUCAAAAAUUUCUUAAAACUAUUUAGAAAACAAAUGUCCACUCACUAUGCGUCCGAGCUAGCCUGACCUUUCGAGGGUCCUUCCUGCGAGUUCAACGAAGCCCGGUUACCUUUGCUCGAAGAUCAAUUCCACCGUUAAAGCCCUUAAACAAACUAUUUUUUCCUUGAAAAACCUAGAAAGUUUUGGGUUUGGAUUUGACAAUUUCUACUUGAAAUUGGGUAGGGUCUUUAAGGGAAAUCACAUAAGGGAGGUAGAGGAGUGUUUUGGGAGUAAUUUUGUGGUGGGUGGUGGCUGGAAUUGGCCAAAAAAGUCAUCGGUGGCCGCUGUUUUGAAACAUGCCGGUUUUUGGGCUUUGUUUUUGAUCGAUUUUCUGGUUUAAUCGCUUGGAAUCAUGUCUUGAUAUGCGUAUGUAUGGAAAGAGGAGAGAGAGAUGAGUUUGCAAGUUGUGGCACCAGUUUUGGUGGUUGGACGGAGGAGAUAUCUUUGUCUGAAGUUUGCUGCUCGUGAAGGAGGAGAAGAGACUAAGAAAAUCUAGAUUUUUAAAAACUGAACUUCGAAAUAUUUACGGUUAUGACACUGAGCUUCCAUAGAUCAUAACUUCUUCGUUAUAACUCCGAUUUGAGCCCACUACGUGUCUGCAAACUCAUCUCGACGUGUUUUACACAACGGUAUCACCAAAAUCCCUAGAUUCCUUCUUGAACAAAAAGUCAACUUUUAACCCAUUAAAAUAUCCCGGGGUAAAAUUGUCUUUUACUUGAAUAAAUUAAUAAUUAAAUGUUAAUUUAGGAUCGGGUUAUUACAUGAUGGGUAAAAAGAGCUCUGUAGCUUGUCCUUUCUUUUCCUAUUGAGUGACUUCUGCUUUUUACUGACAUUCAAAUUAUGAUAGUUAUCCCAAAAAUCAAUUUCCUCGCUUGAACUGUAUCCUUGUUCAAUGUCUCGAACUUGGCGGCAGCAUCGAUGGCGGUAAUGACAGCGGUUUACCCUCUUAGUGUUCUUUAGCUUGUACGACAGAAAACAAGUAAUAUCUUCUAGUGCAUCCAAGUAUGUCUCACAUGCAGCCCAACACAUCUUACAGAGGCUUUUUCCAAUGCAUUGGAAUAACCCCAGCUUGAAUAAUAGAUAGAAGAAUAAUAAAGAUGAACAAAAGUUUUAAAAAAAAUAUGAAAACGAAACAAAUCAAACAUUUCUGCAACUAAAUCUAAAAGAAAAUGCUCUUCCAAGGCUAGUCUACGAAGCAAACUCUAACGAAAAUAAGAAGAGUACAACAAAAGAAGAAGGAGAAAUUACUUAUGUAGCAGAGGACCAAGAUCAUUAACAGUUCCAAUAGAUUGGAGACACAUAGAUGCUCAAUAAAGCAAAUGAAAUCCCAAGGUCCUGAACAAACAUCCCUGCAGAAUCAAACAUAUCAGAGUAAUAUUAGCAGUGCAGUGAAGUACAAUCAAAAAAGUAAUCGUCUUUCUUUUAUCUUUUAAAGGAAGUAAGCAAGCAGCAGAUUACGAACAAAAGCGAAUAAGGAAAAAUUGUAUGAAAAUUAUCUGAAAGGUUUUGGCAAAUAGAUAUGAAAAAGACUCAUAGCAGGCUCCCAAGUCAGUGCAACACAACCAUAUCAUACCAAUUUUUAUAUGAAAUUACGACAAAUGAUUGAACAUAAUUAUGGCCAGGCAGGCAAUAAAGAGAACAUUUCACCAGAACUUACUCGCAUGAGCCACCAAACGUGGUCUUAAAUGGAGCCAAAGUAGACCACCAACCCCAUCUGCAGCUUCACUGAUGACAUCCCCAUCUGCAAUACAAGUUCAAGAUCAAAAGAAUGUGUUUAAUGCUACCAACUCCUCCAUCCCAUUGAUCUCGUUGCCCUCGAAAAAGUAUAUCAAGCUGCACAUCAUUACAGUUUGAGAUAUUCUGAAGCAAACACCUUGCUAAACAAUAGUAAUUAAGUUAUUGCGCAGAUUUGCAGGAGACAAAAAAAAACAUUCGCUUGAUAUACAAGUAUUAAUGUAUGUUCCUUCCGUUUGCAUACGAAUUCAAUGCGGUCGAGGCCCUUCAACUUGCAACUACUGACGGCAGAGACUUUAUCUAUAUUGCUACUCGGUUCUGUCAACCUUCUUUGUAUUGUCUAGAUUUUGAAGAAGCCAUAGUUAUACUGGAAAUGCACUACUGAAACUUCUGAGGUAUACACACAAACUGCUGACGACAAAAUCUUGUUUUUGUCAUGUAUAUGCAGAUGAAAAGAUAAUGAGAACAAAUUCCAAGCAUGAUAAUAGAUGAAGAAACCUUAUUCUAACAGAUUUGAUUUAAGAAUAUUUGAGAAGAUUAGAAAGAACAAAUACUCUUUUCUUGUGCAUGUUACAGAUUGAGUGCCAUCUCAUGCUUCCUGCAUGAUUGGAAAAAGAACUAUAAAACAAAGGGUAAAAAAACCCCUAAAAAGAGUUGUAAAACAAAAAUGGGAAGUCAGUGUUUUGUGUAGUUUGCAGAGAAUUUGAUGAAACAACGAACAUAACUCAUAAACUUACCCGAUCUAUAGCUUUAUGAAACUAGUGGAGAACAAGAAAUGGAUCUUCCGUCCAAUGCAAUUUGCAAGAGAAGCAGUGGCAGUUGGAUGCAAUUUAUCCCACGUUCUGCCUUUUGGUGUCUCUUCUUUUCUCUCUUUUUGCACGUUUAAUCUCUUUUCUUUAAUUUUAAUUUUUACAAUAACUUAUUAUCCGACAUGUGGGGGGACAUCAUUCUGGUUGAAUUGAUGAAUUCGGCAGAUGCAAACCGUAAUUACCAAUUUGGUUUGGUUUUGACCAUGAACUAAUCAACAUGUUUAAAAAUCGAACAGAAAUGUAUAGUUUGGUGUAGUUUGGUUUGAACUUUUAUAGACUGACCUAAACCAAAUCGGACCAUCUACUAAUAUAUAUAUAUAUAUAUAUUUGUUUUAUAUGUGUAGUAUUCUAAUUAGACUAGCUUUUCCACACACGCUUCCGCGUUUGCAAUAGGCUUUUUUUUUAAAAUUUAUUUAAAAUUUUAAUUUAUUUUAGAAUUAAAAAUAAUAAUGGGUAGUUGUGUUCCAUAAAAAUAGGAUCUAUUAUCAAAUUUUGUUUUAAUAUGAAAAAUGUGAAUUUACCAUAUUAUCCUCAUUUAAUUAAUAAUUUCAAUUCUUAAUGUUUGAAUUAACCAAAGGUAUUUUUUGGUAUUUUGAAUGUUUCACCAUUCUAUAUAUAGAUAGAUAAUACCAAUAUAGGAGUGUUAAUUUGAAGUUUGAUGGACUUUUGGAGUUAUCUAUAUAUAUAAAGCAAAAAGCAGAGAAUGAUGAAACAUUCAAAAUACUAGAAAAUGCCUUUAGUUAAUAUAAACAUUAAUAAUUGAAAUUAUUAACUAAAUGUGGAUAAUAUGGUAAAUUCACACUUUUUUAUAUUAAAAAAAUUAAAAUUAAAAGAAAAAUAAGAUAAUGGAUCUUAUUUUUAUGGAACACAACUACCUAUUAUCUUUUUUAAUUCUAAAAUAAAUUUAUAUUUUUUUUAAAAAAGUAUCUCUCAGACAUGGAAUCGCGUAUAAAGAGACUAGUUAAUAAUAAGUGAGCUUUAAUUCGGCUGCAGAUUUAGAGUGAAAUCAAUCCAAUUCGGACAUGAUUGUUUUCUCUUGCAAUUUUGUAUGUCACCAAUCAUUAUUAUUAUUAUUUUUUGUUUUAAGGAUAUUUCUGGUAUAUUGAUUUUUGGUGGAUAAUCAAUACACUCAAAGAAAAAUAAAAUUUUGAAUAUCAAAACGACACAUCAACAGAAAGAGAAACUCUUGAGGCUGUGUCCAAAUAGAACCCGAAGCUUUUUAGCUGUAGUGAAUGAAAAAGGGAAGACCACCCUUCCCGCUCAUUCCCAAUUUCCCCUUCUUCACCUCACAUGGACUCGGCGGCAAAGGAUGAGCAACCUGCUCACGUCAAACACUUGGCGGCAUUUCUCAUCCGCCACCACUCUGACCAGCUUCACUCCAUGGCUCUUUCCCAAGACCCGAAGCUUCAUUUCCCUCUCUACGUCAAGUACAUCAAACCCUCAUCAAAACCCAUUUUACUUUUUUAUCUUUUUUCUUUUUCAAUGGUUUGCAUUGCAUCUUUCACUCGCUGACUCUUUAAGCUAUCUUUCUCUAUCUCUCACUUUGUGUGUGUGUAUAUAUAUCUUAGUUUUGCAGAGCUCAUGGAUGACGAUCCUCCGCUUUCACACCUCGUCUUCUCUCAACCCACCGAGUACUUGCGGCUUUUCGACGAGGCGGCUGUUUGGGCUCAUGUAUGUAUUCAAAUUGUGUGCUUAAUUACAAUUGUAGUCUUAAUUUGUUGAACUGAGCUUGUUGAAAUGAUGAAUUUUGAUUUGAGUAUGUGUGGUAUUCUGUGUAGAAAGUCAUAUUGGGGGAUUUGAAUGGUUCCAAUAAAGGGAUAAAGAAAGAAUUCAUUCAUGUUCGUAUCAAUAUCAGCGGUUCACCACUUGAAUGCCCUGGUUUGCUUCUGUUUAAGCUCUUAAAAAUUAUUUGGAGCCAUUUCUUUCAACUGGGUAUUCUUAAUUUUGUUAUAAACUGUUGGUUGAUGUGUGUGUUACGUAGAGACUUUUCCGAGCAUUGGGCGUGUGAGAGUCAAGCAUCGUGGGAUUCUGCUCACUCUCAAAGGGACAGUAAUUCGAUCUGGAGCAAUCAAGAUGUAUGAAGGAGAGAGGAAGUAUAUGUGUCAGAAAUGCAAGCACGAGUGAGUUUUUUUUUCUCUCCUCAACUAUUACACACAUACUAUGUUUGUGGAAAGAAAGAAACAUCUGGAUAUAUUAAAAAUUCUUGUGCUUAAAGAAAUAUAAUGUUCAUAAAUUUGGUUCAUUUCAUUCUAAAUCUUGACUAGCUAUGUUAGCAUCCUUGCUGCUCAAUAUGUUUUGAGAGCAUGAAUAACCUAGCUCAGUGCUAUUGUAAUGUAAUUUACCAAUUACAGUAAAACUGUCUAUAAAAGUAAAUUCUGCAUCUGAUCAGCAGUUUUUCUUGGAAUAAUUUCAGAAUGAAAGAUAGGUACUAAAUAUGAUAUUCUUUUACUAUUUCAUGUGGUAUAUUGAAUCUUUUUCUUUGAGAACAAAUUUUUAGUUUACUGGAAUUAUAGAUGUAGCACAUAUGCAGAUAUUAUUCCAGUAUAUAUUGGAAUAAACUCCUCUUUGCGUUGAGUUAAGUUAACUUUGUUUAUCUGCAGAUUCCUGGUUUAUCCUGAGCUGGAAUCGAGAAACUCCAUAAAACUGCCAUCAUAUUGCCCCUCCCAGGUUAUUUACUUCAGCUCAGAACUAAGAAUAUUAUUUGCUAUUCAUUGUUUGGAAAGUCCAAAGGCAACAUUUAGAUUAGCAUUAGCAACUAUCAGAAGAGGUCAUGUGGGUACAUGUAAAACAUUAAAAAGUCUUUAGAUUUUUUAAAGUAGGAUCAUAGUCAUCUAGAUCUUUGAUUUUGGUUUUUUUUGGACUUCUUGUAGUUUGCAAUUAUACUUGGGCUUUAGCUUAAGUAGUACAUGAUGGGUUUGAUUGGGGUUGGUCGUUGGUUUCAAUCAUGCUAAGAAUGAAGAGAGAAUAACACUUUAAUUUUGAAGAUUGACACUGUGUGUGGAUUCAGAUGUUUAAUAGGAAACUUAGUGUUUUAUUUUACUUAUUGUUUGCAUUUUUUACUAGUCACGUCUCUUCUGAAUUCUGAUAUAAUUAUGCUUUUGGAGUUUUGGCAUCUGAUCUGAUUUUCCCAAUGACAGAGGUCUAAACCCUGUGAAGGCACAAAGUUCGGGCAUUUAGAAGGUUCUAUUACAUGCCAUGAUUAUCAGGAAAUUAAAAUCCAGGAGAGCACACAUGUACUGGGUGUUGGGGCAAUUCCUCGCUCAAUUCCUGUCAUUCUAAAGGACGAUCUUGUUGAUAUUGUUAAAGCUGGAGGUACUACAUUCUGGGAUCUCUGCUUUCUUUUCUUCUUUUCUUUUUGUUUUUAAUAAUUUACCUCCUGAUAUUACGUAUUCCAAAGUGAAACUUAAUUUCAAUUUGAAAAUUAUCCCAGUUUUAUUAAUUGGAAAUAAGUAAUUAUACAUUUUUGUCAAAACAUACUUUUAGUCCCUGUAUUUUGCUUAGGAAUUUUCAAUUUCAACCCCGUCUAAUGCACAAUCAUACCCUUGUAAUUUGGUUGCAAUAAAGCCCAAAUCUCAAAAAGUGAUCACUUUUUCAUGUUUUUAAAGGGAUUGGAGUGGGAAUUUGACAUUUUAAGUGCAACAAUAACCACCUGAUGGUACAAAAAAUUCAAAAUCCUUUGCCAAAUCCCUUAGAAUAAUACACAUGACAAACUGGUAAUCUUUUGGGCUUGAUUGCAACCUAUUGAAACUACAAGGGCGUUAUUGUCCAUUUUUAAACUACAGGGUCGAAACCAAAAAUGCUAGCAAACUACAGGGACCCAAAGUGUAUUUUGGCCUACAUUUUUGGAUAAUACAAGAAUGUGCUUGUUUUCAAGUUUCUUUCAGUGUAAACCAUUUAAGAUUACCAUAUAUUGUUUUGCCUUUUAAAAUAUUAAAACAAAGCUCAAUUAUGGUUUACUUAAAGAUGAACUUCAUGGAAACUUAGCAUUUUAAAAGGGUGUUGCAUAAAGAAAAUUCUUAACUUUGUACUAGAGAACUACAAGAAAAGAGGUGUGCUAUCUCGAAGAUGAAGCUGUUGUAUAUUUGCUCUUGAGUCUCUUUGUACUUAUUUUGUAUUUCUUCUUUCUCUGUUAUUUCCUCUUGGAUAAAUGUUGUUUUAUUUGGUUGUACCUGAAAAAUCCUUGACUGUAAGAUGGCUAAUAACUAAGCCAUUUUACAAAAUCUAUGAGAAAACCAUAAAUCUUCACACUUUUAUGGUCAAGUAAUUUUCUUAAGUAAUCAUUUGGACUUGGGUGGCCAGAUGUCAAUAAAAUUAUUCUCUAUCAAUUCUCACUAAUUUUAGAUAAAGAUCAUAGAUAUCUGUUUGCUCCAACUAGGAAACUCUGCUUGGUUGCUUAGCAACUUGAGCUCUACUAAACUGAUUCAGUCAAACAAAACGUUGUAUAAUUUCUUGAGUCCUUUUCUUUGAUAAUGUAAUUGGAGACAGCAUCAGAAUUUUGUGUAGACUUGUACAAAGAUGGCAUAAACUUGAUCCUUAAUCUUAAUAUCGUUUGCUAUUAACAAUGGUGCGAUUUGGACCUACUCUUUGAAUAUGUGGUUGUUUGUUAUGUUAAUUUGUGCCUGCAUUUUUUCCUCAUUAUUAUGUAGCAUCUGUUCUCAUUAUUAUAUAGCAUUUUUCUUGUCCUGCUUUAAACGAAUGAAUCUAUAUACAUAUAUUAUAUAUAUAUAAUGUAUAUUUGUUUAUGUUAUAAGAUUUUUUUUUAAAAUUCGCCUGUAUUACUUGAUUUUGUUGUGUAAUGGUGAAUAUGACUUUUAUUAAUUGUUAAUGCAGAUGAUGUUAUUGUUACUGGGAUAUUAACUGCAAAGUGGUCUCCAGACUUAAAAGAUGUGCGUUGUGACCUUGAUCCUAUAUUAAUUGCUAAUUAUGUUAGGUAAAUUUAAUAGUAAUUUUUUUUUUGAAUUUACAUCAUGAAUGGAUUUAAGGAAUACCAUAUGGGGUUUCUUGAUAUCUUCUGUGUGAUCUAGGUUGUAUGAAGCUUAAUAUUGUGUUAUGUACUUGUAUAAUUGAAAUGUAUAUCAGUAACUUACUGAGAAAAUCUUUAUUACUAUUUCUUCUAUUGGAUUACAGUCCCACCCUUCCCAAAAAGAAAGAUGACACAUUCACAUAGCUCAAGUUUUGGAUUUUUAAAUUUAAGUAUACCUUAGCUGCCUUGGUAGCUUAACAGUGUUGUAUGCCGGUGAAGAUACUGUUUGAUAGUGUAAGCAAGUAGAACUAGAAACACUCAAUAUUAGUUUUUCUUCCGGCAGAUUUCACAUUUUUAUAUUUGUUUUUCUAAAGAAAUUGUUGUGUUUGAUAUUUAGGAGAACUAAUGAGCUGAAGUCAGAAAUUGAUAUACCUGAUGAUGCUAUUAUGAAAUUUAAGCAGUUCUGGUCUGACUUCAAAGAUACCCCUUUGAAAGGUAGAAAAGUUAUUGAUUCACAAAUAUAUACGAGAGGGUAUUAUCAUAUAAACUUAUCUUUUUUGUGCCUGUAGCAUUGCGGAAUAUUUAGGAUAUUAAAGUUUAGUUAAUUGUUAUUUCGGAGUGAUCUGAUAUUGUACUAUGAGCUUGAGUAUCUUUUUCCAUUAUAACUUCUUUUUAUUUUCUUUCGAGAAUUAAACAGGGCGAAACGCCAUUCUACGAGGCAUUUGCCCACAAGUCUUUGGACUCUUUACUGUAAAGCUUGCAGGUAUUUGGACAUCAACAUCCCAUUCAUGUUAUUUACUAGGAUUUCUAGCAUUCUGAAUGAACUAGUUUAGGGGUUUUGGUGGUAUAACCAAUAAAAUUAACUGAUCUGUCUGUUUGUCUUUCCCUCCUUUUUCCUUUCUACAUUCAGUUUCUCAUUCAUUUCUUUUUAAUAUUUCCUGUAUAAAAAUUAAAUCACAUUUCCUUGUUCAAAGUAGUGGCAUUAACACUUAUUGGAGGUGUGCAACAUGUUGAUGCUUCUGGGACAAAGGUUCGAGGAGAGUCUCAUUUGCUUUUGGUUGGUGAUCCAGGUUAUUUUUCUAAUAUUUAUUUAUCACUUUAGAAGUUUUCAGACCUGAAUAUUUUAUUCCUAGAAAGGUUUAAGUCAACUGAAACUAAAUGCCAUGGUUCAUUUCAAUCACACUGUCACUUGCAUUUAGCCAUUUUCGUAAUACAGCUUUUGAUUUCAUACUAAAAGACUCGUUAAUUAUAAUACAAAAGACUCAUCAAAAUACUAAAAGACUCAACACUUAAUGCUAAAAGGCUCAUUCAAUGAUAGGAAUCUUAGAAAAAAAAUUAGAAGACAUUGAGACCAAACACUUUAAUUGACUAUAUUUUAGACCCAAAAUUCGGCUUAAUCUCUCAUGAUUGCUUGCUUCAAUAGAUAUCAGCCAUAAUACACACACAACUGCACAUGCACGCAUGUCAGAACAUACACUCGCACAAAUAUCCCACUGAAGUCCUGUAGAUGUGUUAUUGGAUCUUGACCAACCUUUGGACUGUGAAUUAUAGUCAUGGACUCUAUAUGUAACCGUUGGCAGCUAAAACUCUCAGGUACUGGAAAAUCUCAAUUUUUGAAGUUUGCUGCAAAGUUGAGCAACCGAUCUGUUAUUACAACUGGAUUAGGAAGCACAAGUGCUGGAUUAACUGUCACUGCAGUCAAGGAUGGCGGUAAGUUUUUAUAUCUCCAGCUGAAUUCUUAAGUUGUUUCUUCUAAAAUAAAUAAAUAAAUAACAAUUAAAGAAUGAUGAAUCAUUAAGUUGGCAAUGGUUCCAUUUAGUUUGUCCUUCCAUUGCUUUUUCCUCUCUAUUUUCAUUUAUUGACAUUAUGUAUGUAUGCAAGUGUUUUUCAUCCUUCUAUGUGACAUGUUUGGAAAUUAGUAGGAUAGAAAGCAUCAAUGCAAGAUAUGACUGAGAGACAUAUAUUCAUAUCAUAUAGAGAUGAGUGUUGGUUGUGCAGUGUGAAUGCUUCUACUGACAAGUUGCGCUUGUCUAUAGUUGAACUUCCCCUUGUUCAUGCCUCUUUAUAAUUAUAUAAGAUCGUUUUUCCUUUUUUUUUGGUAAAAUUCAUAUGGGACAACUUCGAUCAAAGAUAUAGUGAACAAACAAAAGUAUGACUAUUUCUUAUUUAGCAAAGAAUUACUCAUUAAAAAGUUGCUUUAAUAUAUUGUUUUGCUUUAAAACUCUGUGUAAAGCAUCAAACUACAAUAAAGAGUGAUUUAAUAUAUGAAGACACAAAAGAACAUUGUUAAAGAACUGAUUUGUUUUUAUGCCUGGAGAAUUAGCCAAACAUGAAGAAAGAGUGGUUUAUAUUAACUUGGAAGGCAUAUGUGACCCUAGUUACAUGUUCCAUGUCAACCUAAAUAGAAGAAUAAUGAAAUACUAAAAUUCUCUGAUUUUUUAUUUUUUAUUUUUUAUUUUGAUAAAAAUCUCCAAAGGUUGAUUUCAUGCACAAAAUUUUCAGUUUAAAGUUUUCCACUUAAAUCAGAUUUAGUUUGUAAUCUAGAUCUCUUGUAAGCAUGACUUUCUAUUUUUUUUUUUAAAAAGAAGAAACAAAAAUAUUCUAAAUUUCUAAGCUUGGCCAUGAACUUACGUCAUUUAAUUGAAAAACAUUAUAUGACCUCUAUGCACUGUUUUACUUUUUCUUCCGGUACAAUAUUAGAGUAAAUGGAUUAACUAUGUUUAUGAAAUAUCUAGGCGAAUGGAUGUUGGAAGCUGGAGCCCUUGUUUUGGCAGAUGGUGGGCUUUGUUGCAUAGACGAAUUUGAUAGGCAAGUCCUUUGAUGGCUUUUUGGAACAUUUAUUUCUAUCCUUUUUCAUCAUGCAUUCAAAUUGGUAAUACAUGAUUUAUAUGUUUUGAAGUUAUGACCUUACCAUGCCCCGAUUCUUUUUGUCAUUAAUAAUUCAUUGUCAAUAAUAUUACCUCUAUAGUUAUGCUUGUGAAAAAUAACUUAGGGAAGCAACUCUGUCAUUCUCGAUGGAGAAAAAAGAAAAUUUCAAAUCUUAGAUGCCUAGUUGCUUCUACUGGAUUGCCCUGGAUGAUAAUUAAGUGGGAAUGAACAUAUGCAUUUGCACUAAGCUCUAUUAGACUCGGGAAAUAUAUAUAUAUAUAUAUAUAUUAAACAAGGAAAGGAAAUUGUAACUUCUAUUCUCAAUUAUUUUUAGUUUUGGAAAUUCUGACAAAGUCUUAGACAAUUGCAUAAUAUAAACUUGAACUUUAGUGGUUGACCUUGAAGUUGUUUCCUUGCUUCUUGCCAUAUAUUAUCAAGUUAAUUCUGCUUUGUCAGCAUGCGAGAACAUGAUAGGGCAACCAUACAUGAAGCAAUGGAACAGCAGACCAUAAGUGUUGCCAAGGUAACAUCUUUUGCUUAUGUUUUAUAUUAGUUUAGGAAAAAUAUGCUGUCCUCUUGGGAAAUUCUAGUCUAUGUGUAAGGUGGGUUUAGUGUGUCAAAUAGGUCAAAAUCUGGCCAAACGAAAUAGUGUUCUCCGCAGACUUUUUGCUAAGAUAAGCAACCAUAAGGUUACUCUCAAACCAUCAGGUUACCUAAACCAAAGGUCUAGGUAAGCUGGCCUCAGUAGACCUAGAGCAUCGAUGGUCUUCACUCUUAAUGCAGACUUGAUUAAGCAUAAGGGUGGCCUUGGGUUGCUACGAGUUCGGCAGCCAUGUGGGGCAAUGAAGUAGAAAUUUUGCUUACUCUCACUCAGGCUAUCACUCAGCUUGUUUCUUAUUGUCUUUGUUCUGGUCUUUUUCAGUGUUGCUCUUGAAUCUUCUGUGUUUUUCUAAAUAUUAAAAAGCAGAAUCAGCUGCAAGUCCCACAAAUAACAUGCACAUUAAUACAGUUCGAUGCAUUACUCUUCAGUGGAAGCUAUUUUCCUUUAUUCUAUCAGAGCAUGCUAUAUUUCUGAGAAAUAAUACAGUAAAAGAGGAUAAGGAAAGUUAGGAUUCAAUGAAUUUCAAAUUGCUAUAACAGAUGCUAUUAUGCACUACAGAUAUUGGAUUGCCCGUGCUGUUUCCAUGUGCUUUAUUUAUCUAUGACAUGCUUCAAUUUCUAUCCAUGUGUAUAGAACUAUUUUCUUAUCCCUCACGCUUCUAAACAACAUGUUUAUAUAUUUUCUGUUUGUUCGAAAUCCUGUAUAGAAGUCUGCAGCCUAUACUAUUAUUGAUUGUUUAAAAAAAAAGUUCUAUUCUAUGUUUACUCAGAGCUGACUAUUCCUCUCUCUCUGUAUCUCUCUUUGCUAGGCAGGUCUUGUGACAACUCUCAGUACUAAAACAAUUGUUUUUGGUGCAACCAAUCCCAAGGGACAGUAUGAUCCUGAUCAAUGUAUUACUUACAUUCAGAAGAUAUUGUUAGUUGGAUUUAUUUGUCUAGAUUAUGGUUUUCUGAUUAUGCACAUCUGUCAUUUGUGGAAGACUAUAAACUUUCUUUUGUUGAAUUACUUGUAAUAUCUAACGGAGAUCAUUAUUGCUAUUCUUAAAUUUUAGCCUGUAAAAAACACAUUUCUUCUAAAAUAGUAGUGGCUCAGCUUAUCCUAAACUUUAUUCUCUUAUUUUCAUCUUGUAGCUUUGUCUGUCAAUACGGCACUCUCUGGUCCCUUAUUGAGCAGAUUUGAUAUAGUCCUUGUACUCUUGGAUACAAAGAAUCCUGAGUGGGAUGGAGUCGUGUCAUCUCACAUUCUUUCUGAGGUAAUCUGCUCUUAAGAUCGUGUAAGUGGCACCCUGUUGUCUUGCAGCCAUUUGGAUAAAUCUAAUCAUGAUUUUUUCUCCCUUUUACUAAACCACUUCAGGAAGAACCAGACAACGGCAAGCAGGAUGAAGAUUUAGCAAACAUCUGGCCAUUUCCUAUGCUCCGCAGGUAAAAUGUUUUCUUUAGUUGAAGAGAGCUUAAAUUCAAACCCUGAUUUUCUGUUUUCCAGAAAGUUGUCUAUGUAUAAGUUAUUUUUUCUGGUUAAGCCCAAGUGGUGACGGAAGGUAGGGAAAUAGGUUAAGACCAGGCUAGGUCAAAGGUUGAAGUCCCUUAUAUUGUUUUAGUAAAAAAAAAAAAAAAAAAUUCCCUUCUAUUGUAACAACAAAUAUUAUUUUUGUGCUUUCUCAUGUUUGUUAUUUUCAAUAAGUAAAAAGUAGAAACAUCAACAAGGGGUUAGAUGAGUCGUCAGGCUUGUGGUUUACCUCCCAUGUGUUAUGGGGUUCUAUUUCUCACGGUACCUAGCUAUUUGCUAGAGUUUCAUAGUUCCCAAAGACUGUAAGGUUUGAAGGGGGACCAGUUUUGAAUCUGAGUCUGCCAAGCAGAUUUGGGGGAUUUCUGAGUAGUAAAAAAGAGAAAAAAGAGAAACAAAGAACAAGUAGAAACUUCUCAGAAUGUACACUAACAAAUCGAAUGAUAAAGAGAUAAAUCCAUGUUUGUAGAAGCAGAGGUCAUGCCAAUUUUCAGAAAACUUGGCUGACAACUUACGUAUUGCUCCUGGCAAUUGUUAGGUACUGGUUAGUGUACUAGUACUACUAAUCUGCCUACAAAAGCAGUAGAUUAGAUAAAAGCUUGUGAGUUUUGUCUUUUCUAUGCUAGUUUUUCCUUUGAGGAGGUGAAUAAGUAGACUUUUGCAUCACCUGUUUAUAAUGGAGAGUAUCCCACCUAAAAACUAUUAGCGAUCAUUAUGUAUUGUAAAGAUGAUUAUCUUAUUUAUGUGUCAAUACGUGUAUAAAUGUGGCCAGCUGUAAUCAAAGGGACUCGAGUAUUAUGCUUUGCAACAUAUAGGGUAUUGUUAAAACUUUCCUAAAAGAAAAUUACAUUUAAAAUAGUAUGUAUAGCGUCUUUGGAUGACCCUUAGUAAACUCUACAAAUACACACAUGCUUGCACGUGUAAAUAGUGUUGCGCAUAUGGCAAAGGGUGCACUUCGUAUGGGAUCAAAUGCUCCUCUUAUGGUUCAGGGAUGGGCUACAAAAUAGGACGUACCUUCCCUCCUACUUUGUUAUUUUGUACAUGCUCUUUUGUCAGUUCUCUCAUCUAUUCAACCCAAUUUGGUUGAUAUUUGGUGCAAUUUCUAUCUAUACUUGACUGUGUGCUCUGAUGAUAAAACAAACAUAAAAUUUAAGAAAUGGAGAAUCAACUGAGUCAUGUACAGCCUUAUAUGGCCUUCAUACAUAUAAAGUCAAUGAAUAAUUCCUAAAAAUUCGUCCUAGAAACUAAAUCAGUUAAACCAAUCUGGCAAAUGAACUCAAUCAUCCCACACCAUAAGGCUUUUCAUAUCCUGCAUCAACAUCUUUCAAAAUCAUUAAAAUAUCUGAACUAUCUACGUCCGAAAGCAUGAACUCCUUAAGGUACUAUAGUCAACAACCAAAAUCCCCUUAAUGGAGGUGUUCUCUUCUGUUACACUGAUAUGUUUCAAGUAAAUUUUGUGUCCGACCCUUGCAUCAAAUUCUAUAUUCUUUUUUUGGAACAAAUCUUGCAGAUAUAUUCACUUUGUAAAAGGGUACUUCAGACCAGUCCUUACAAAGGAAGCUGAAAUUGUCAUCUCUAGCUAUUAUCAACUCCAAAGAAGAUCUGCAACUGGCAAUGCAGGUUCCACCUUAAACAAGUUCCCUUUGUUAAAUCUUCUGUACUUGUUCUAUCCAAUUAGUUUCGCAAUCUUUUGUGACUCAGCAAGGACAACUGUGCGCAUGCUUGAAAGCUUGAUACGCCUAGCUCAAGGUACAUUAAUUUCUUUGUGGAGCAAAUAUCUUAACUCAAUCUCCCGUUUCAUUCCCUAAGAUGUUGACUGGGCCUAUAUUGCAGCUCAUGCAAGACUGAUGUUCAGAAAUGAGGUCACUCGUUUGGAUGCGAUUACAGCCAUUUUAUGCAUUGAAUCAUCCAUGACUACCUCGGCCAUCGUAGACAGUGUUGGAAAUGCUCUGCAUUCGAAUUUCACUGAGAACCCUGAUUUGGAAUGUAUCCUUGCCAGCUAUUUGUGCAUGCAUUUUUCUUUUGUUAAGUUCUGUCCUUGCAUAUUCAUUUUGUAUGUGCAUGCUAAAAUGUUAAGAAGCAGAUAAAUAAUUUUGACAUGCCCUAAAAACUGAACUGAAUAGUGUGUUGUGGAGAGGACUUUCACUAUCUUGACCCAUUAUUCCUAUCUGUCUAGUGUGGUCAGGCAACAGAGUCGGUGUUCAUUUCCUCCGGUUUAAGGCCAAUUUUGUAGACCCUUAUUGGUUCUUAACCGAGCUAUUAAAGUCAAGUGUAUGGAAGCUAUAUUGGUUGCCGCUUUGGUGUAUAGAGCAAUUAAAACAGCUAAAAUUUGGAAAGGUAAAGGCGAACAUGGAUGUGGUUGGAGGUUGUGUAGCUAAUUUUUUUUGCUUUUCCAAAUCGAGUUGUGUUAAAAAUAUAUGGGGGGAGAGUGAGAGCUUAGAUUCUUUAUAUGCCUUUUGCAGUAAAAUCAUAUUGUUGGAUUUAUGUGCUAGUAGAGACCUUUUCAGAAAAAUAAGAACUGAAAUCUUUAAUUAAUUAAUUUGUAUAUUUUAGAGUCUUAGCUUGCAGUUAUCCAAAGAUUGCUAUUGAUCCCUUGACUAUACAUCCGAUAGAUGCCACACAAGAAAGACUGAUCCUUGAAAAGCUAAGAUCAUUUGAUGAUUUCCCUGAUGCAAAUAGCACGCGAUAAGCUUGGCAGGUGAGAUGCUUCGAAAGCCUUAUGUACAGAUGACAAACCUAACAUCUUGUAUUCUUUUCUAUGGAAUUAAUUAUGUACUUUUCAGAGUUUUCAUUCUGGUUGAUUUUGCAGUAUUCAUUCAUGCUGAAGUACAUUGAAUGGUCAGUAAAUUAUGAACGUUCAUUCUCAAUGUACAUUCAUUGAUAAGUAUUAGUAGAUUUUGAAUGUACAAUCUGAAUGCAACUAUUAGUUCAUUUUUCAUGUACAUUUCGAAUGAAAAUCCCGUAUGUACAUUAUUUAAUGGAUGUGUAGACUUUAGGUCCAUUAAUAAGACCCUUACAACUUGAGAAAACAGUAAAACUUCCAAUCCUUGUAAUCACAGUUUAUACUUUAUAGAAGUUUUUGCAAACUCAGAAGCUUCUGACCGGCUUCCUCUGAUAUAUUUGGAUUGGCUGCGCCACCUAAAUGAAUAAUAAUUCAUUUGUAAUUUGUUGAUUUCCUCCGCGAAUCUAAUAUUUGAAAAUGGUUGCGUUCCAAUAAUCCAUUAUAUAUAUAUAUAUAUAUAUAUAUAUGAUGAUGCAGAGAAUAAGAAUAUGUGAGACAUAAGUUGCAAACCCUCAUUCACGUUGUGCCAGAUGAACAUUUUCAUUCUAUAUAACAAUUUGCACCAUGUUUGAUUUUUGAAAGGAUCUUGCUAAGGUGAGUCACUCAUGCGCAUGCUUGAUUCUUUUAUGGUUAAUGAGAUUUGAGUACCACAUGCAUCAACAGUUAGAAAUUGCCAACAGGCGCUUGGAUGACUGACCGAAGUGCAACUCGUUAAUAGUGAAGGAAUAUAGUCUAAUUUGAGAAAUCAUGGACCACCGGAUUCCUCAAAUUUAUCAUUCUCGAGAGAAGCUCAAGGCAGUGAUUGGCGGAAACACUUAAUACUGAAAAUAUGUGGUUGCAACUAUAUGAUUUGCACCACUGCAAGUAGAUUGAUGUCGUCUUCGAAUUCGUACUUUUGCGUGCUGCAUUUACCCCUAAAAAGAAAAGGUGGCUAAAAGCCCAAUAGUGGGAUAAAUCCUCAAAUUUAGCAUUUUCACUCUCAAAAUCCAUCUUUAGUAAGUGGGCUAAAUGUUUUAUGUUGCCCGGUCAAAUCCAGUCAGAGGGCAAAGGGCCAAAUACUAGGUCAAAUGUGGGCUAAAUUUUAUGGGUGGGCUAUGUUUAGCCAUCCACUGCUAGAGAUGGACUAACUAAUUUUGACAAAGAAAUUGAAAAAAAAAAAAGAAAAAAAAGAAAAGGAACUGGCAGUUUUAACGACAAUGACUAAAGUAAGCAAAGUCAAAACUUUUGGGUGGGGGCCUAGCCCCAAUGGCAAGUUCACUAUUAUAAGCGCUUACCAUGUCCAAUUGCAAGACGAGAGAUUAUCCACCUUUAAGCAGAUCUCCUGAAGAAAAUGUGGAGGAUCACUAUGCCUCCUAAGGUAAACUUUUUUCCUAGUUAUUUAUCAGAAACAGACUCCAAGUGAGAAAUCAUUUGCACAGAUUUCUUCCCCAUGUUAACCUUGAGUGUCCUUUGUGCAAAAAUCAAAGUGAAAACUAUCAAUUAUCUAUUUUUCAAGUGCCCUUUUGCUAUAAGCAUCUGGAGAUGUACCUCACCCCUCUCAAUAUCUAUCCCGCAAGAUUUUGAUGGUGUUUCUUGGUUAUCUACCCUCUGUAGUAAAUGAUGCUGUUAUUAAAGCCUUACUGAUUUGCUAGUAAAUUUGGGACCCUCAUAACAAAUGUGUUUUCUAAGACGUUUCCCCACAUCCUGAGAGAGUCCUACAUGUUGCUGGUCAAAUUGGUAUGGACUAUUGGAAACUUAAUUUCAAGUCUUUCUCUAGUGUGCAGCAUCUGAAGAACAUUAAAUGGUAGCCGUCUCCCAUGGAUUGGGUCAAAAUUAACUUUGAUGGUUCUGUUUGCAAUAAUAAGGUUGCUACAGGUUUUAUUAUUCGGGAUUGGAAUGGCCAUGUGUUGCUGGUGCCAAAAAUGCUAGUCAAGCUUCUAUCAGAGUUGCGGAGUGUCUUGCUUUGCGUGAUACCCUUUGUUUGGGGGUGGGUAAAAUUCACCCAAUUUGCCAAGGAAGAAUUCCUAGUGGCUGAGAAUUCCUAGAGGCCGAAGAAUUCCGAGUGGCUGGAGAAUUCCUAGCGACCAAAGAAUUUCUAGCGGCCAAAGUGCUUUCACAAAAAGGUGACCGGGGUCUUUUCUUCAAAGGCCAUGGUGCCUUCUCAAAAAUGCGGCCGACGUGUUCAAAGGCCGUGGUGCCUUCUCAAAAAUAUGGUCGGGCGCUUCCCUUCUUAAAUAUUUGGAGCUCCCAUACCACCCACCUUGGCGGAUGGUCGGCAGAUGGUCAUCCAACUCUAGAAUUCUAAAAACUCAAGGGGCACGAGGUUCCACCAGAUGUCAAGAUGAAAUCUCGGAGGUCAAAGCACAAGCCAUGGAUUCACGCCCAAGAUUUCCGGAGGUCAAUGUGCAUGUGAUGGAGGCCUCACAAGGAAACAAAUCAAGGAGAUUGAUGAUAAUUCAGCAUAUUCCAAAACAUGAGAGAAUCAAGCGAUCAGAAUAUUUCCACCAAUGUGAUCCCACGAAUUCAAAGGGCUUCAAAAGGAAAGAGUUUAUAAAGAGUUGACAUUUGGCCAAUCAAUGGCCAGCCUAUGGGCUGACGGAAGCCCUAUAUAAACCUCACCAAACGAAGGCAGAAGACACACAACAUCAGACAAACAAACCUACUUUUCGUCUUGCACUUUUUUUUUUUCCUAGACUUAGGAUUUUACUUUUCAACCAACUAGUGUAGUGAGUUCUCCCUUUUUCUAGUGCAAGUUUAUAUUUUUCUUGUCAUUUAAAUUCUUGUUCGAUUUACAUUUCUUGUCAUUAACUUCAAGUUUAUUUUGAUUCCUUUACAUUUCAUUGUCAUCGCACUUCAAUUAAGUUUAAUUUCAAGUUUGUUUAUUUUAUUGUUCUUAUCGCUUUCAUUUUGUUCUUGCUUUAUUUAUUACUUUGAUUCAUUUUAUCGCACUUCAAUUCUGAUCUUUACGUUUAUACGCAUAUUUAGUUUAAUUGCAUUAUUUUUUACUUAAAACCCUAAAAAUCACAAAAAUAUCCAUACGAAACCUAACAAUCCUCGAGCCCGAGGAAGUUAAAGAAUCUAAGCCAAGAGGAGGUUCCUUACUUGGCCGAUCAAUCGUUUGAUCAGAAGUUAGAAGCACAACACAUCCAUCUACUCACAUUCCAUUCAAGUCCAAAUUCGGGAUUUGGUAGUGGCACCCCCCCGCAUUCAAAAGAAGAGGCCGUCUCAGCCGAAAAGAGGGAAAUGGCACCCCCCGCAUUCAAAAGAAGAGGCCGUCUCAGCCGAAAAGAGGGAAACACCCUUGCCCAUGCAAUUCAUAAUGGGUGGUGCAAGAUUUGUGUGGAAUGGGACUCUAAAUUGGUUAUUGAUUUCAUCAACAAGGUGGUCUCUAUUCCUUGGAGUAUUUUAUUGUUAGUUCAAGAUAUUUAGCUACUGGCUUCAUCUUGUGAAGAAGUUUUGUUUAUUCAUGUCUUUCGAGAAGUCAAUUUUACGGCAGAUGCUGUUGCUGACUUAGGCCAUGGCCUCUCCACUUUCCGUGUGUGGGAGCAUGGUCUGCCGCUGAACUGUUCUUUUCCUUUUUAUUUUGAUUCAUUUAGGCAUGCGCCCUCGUUUCCGUUUGUGAUUGUUCUUAUUUCUCCAUAAAAAAAUAAACAAAACUUUAGUUGGGUCGGAUUUAUGCACAUUACAAUAAUCAGGUACCAAAUUGAUGCAAAUGAAAGUUCGUGUACUAAAUAAAAUAUCAUGUUUGGACCUUGUUUCUGUAUGAUUGACUGAGCUUGAGAAUUAUGGAAAUUUCAAUAAUUGUAUAUUUGUUUUUGGUCAAUCGAACAGAUUGCGGAAUUGAGGAAUUUGCUGCUACAUGUGAAUGUGCGUUGUGUUUAUGCCAAAGUGCAGGUAUUUGGGUAUGACUGGAAUCAAAAGCAUUGCUACUUUUUGUUGGCGUGACUUGUGGAUAUUGACUUACUUUCCUUACACACCAAGAAUUCCUAUUAUAAUUGUAAUUGAUUUACUUUAAUUCCUGAUUUCCUACUGUAAAUAGAUUUAGGAAUUUAUUAUUUACUUGCCCAUUCAGGUUUCGUUGUAUUAUAAAUAUGACCUCCUACAAGGAGAAGAAUACACAGAAAAUUCCUACAAAAAUAUUCUCUCAUAGUUUUCAUAUUUUAGCAUGGUAUCAGAGCGGCGAUCUUGGAAUUGCUGACUCUAGUUUCAAAACUCCGCCGCCGUUAUGAGGGUUGAUGAUUUUUUCAACCCUCAUGGAGGUAGCACCACCGACUCCUUCUCUCAUUCUCAACCAACCAUCAUUGAGUUGAGUGCCCAGAUGGCUCCGCCCCUACAGAUGCAGACUUUGACCCCGAACCCGAUCCAGAAUUAGGAUCCUUUUUUGACGACCCCGACCCCGACCCCGACUAUGACGACGACGACCCCGACCCCGACUCCGAAGACGACCCCGACCCGCACUCCGAUGAUGACCCCAACCCCGAAUUUGUCUAUGAUUCAGACCCCGAUCCAGAAUCAGGAUCUUCUUUUGACGACCCCGACCCCGACCCCGACUAUGACGAUGACGACCCUGACCCCGACUCCGAAGACGACCACGACCCCUACUUCGAUGAUGACCCCAACCUCGAAUUUGUCUAUGAUUCAGACCCCGAUUCCGAUUUCGACUCCGACUCCGGCCCCGACUCAUGCUCAGAUUCCGAUCCAAAUUCCUACUCAACCUGUAUCCUAUGCUUCUUUCGCUGCACAGCUUAUGACUUCUAGACUAACGACCCCGACACAUGGACCAAAUUGCGCAUAUUGUGGUGAUCCGAGACACACUUGUGAGACUUGUUUUACAUCGCAUGGCUACCCCGAUUGGUGGGCUACUCCUACAGAUCGAGGACAAUGCAAUAUGACCAGUAAUGGUACUGGUUAUGGAUUCCAUACUUCCGAUAAGAUUGAUUCCAAGAGCUGGAUAAUUGAUUCUGGUGCAACUGAUCAUAUGACGUUUGAUCCUAAUGAUUUUCUGAAUACUACACAACCUCGACGAACCUGUAUUGCAAAUGCCAAUGGUGUUACUUAUCCUGUGACAGGGGCUGGCACUGUUGCACUCUCAUCCUCUCUCACACUGUCUAAUACUUUACUUGUUCCAUCUUUAUCCACUAAAUUGUUGUCAGUUAGUCAGCUUACUGAACAAUUGAAUUGUUGUGUACUCAUUUACCCGAGUUUUUGUUUGCUUCAGGAUAUUCACACUAAGGAGAUUCUUGGUCGUGGUACUAAGAGAGGGGGGCUAUAUUAUGUCGAUGACUUCAGUCCCGGUGUGGCUAACAGUGUGACACAUUCCUUUGAUAGCAAACAAAAGCAAAUUUGGUUGUGGCAUCGUCGAUUGGGACAUCCGUCUUUUAGUUAUAUGAAGCAUCUUAUACCAGAUUUAUUCUCAGGUUUCAAAGACUCCGACUUCACAUGUGAUACUUGUAUUUUGGCCAAGAGUCACCGUGUGCCCUACCCGUUGAGUACGAACAAGUGUACUACUCCAUUUACAUUAAUUCACUCUGAUGUCUGGGGACCUUCGCCUAUCACUGCUCCUUCUGGUGUUCGAUGGUUUGUCACAUUCAUCGAUGAUUGUACACGGAUGACAUGGCUUUAUUUGCUGAAGAAUAAAAACGAGGUGUUUUCCCGUUUUCAGUCCUUCCACAAACAGAUGAAAACUCAAUUUAAUGCUCAAAUCCAGAUUCUUCGCUCCGACAAUGGUGGAGAAUUUGUCAAUCAUGACUUUCAGACUUACUUCCAACAACAUGGAAUUAUCCAUGAGACGACUUGUCCUCAGACACCGCAACAAAAUGGUGUUGCUGAACGAAAGAAUCGACAUCUUCUUGAAACCGCCCGAGCACUUCUGAUUGGCGCUCAUGUUCCUCGCCAUCACUGGGAUGAUGCUAUUGUCACUGCAGUUCACCUGAUCAACCGCAUGCCUUCUGGUGUAUUGACCUUUAAAACUCCUUUACAGGUGCUUGCGCAACACAGACAUCUACCCUCUGUUUUGGUACUCACACCCCGAAUCUUUGGAUGCGUGGCUUUCGUUCAUCUCCACAAAAAUCAACGUAGCAAACUUGAUCCCUGUGCGCUUCGUUGUGUUUUUGUGGGUUAUGCCACUCAUCAGAAAGGUUACCGCUGUUAUCACCCUCCUACCCAACGAACCUAUGUCACUUUGGAUGUGACUUUUCUGGAAUCUGAGCUGUUCUUUCAUGACCCAUCAUCCAAUUCUGCGCUUCAGGGGGAGAUACGAAGUGAAGAACAGAAUUGGAGCAACUUGGCAAACAAAGAAAUUCUCCCAUGUACAGAAAUGAUUGAUCAUCCCGAGUCUGGAGCACGAGAUUACUCUCUGUUGAAAAGUGACCAAUCGCCCAUUCAUAGCGAUCAAUUGCCUGACCCACCUGAUCCAUGCGAAGAUAUUUCUGAUCCGAGUCCCACACCUACAGACAAUACAGAACAACAAGAUGAAGACCCCCCUUCUAACUCAACAGUACCAACAGACCAAUCUCCUGAGAAUAUCCUUGAGGUAACUACUCCUACUAGACUUGUGCAUUUAGAUGAUAAAACUAUUGGAUAUCAAUUACCUUUCAGGCAAAAUCGUGGGAAGCCACCAAACCGUUAUUCACCGGAUAUUGGCAAGACAUCCAAGUAUCCAAUUGCAAAUCAUGUAUCCACUGAGAAGCUGUCUGAACCACUCAAGGCUUUUGUGCAUCAGUUGUCUGCUAUCCAUAUUCCAACCAAGGUCUCUGAAGCAUUGAAAGAUCCUAAGUGGGUCCAAGCUAUAAAAGAGGAGAUGAAAGCUCUUGAGAAAAAUCAGACUUGGACAUUAGAGACUAUACCACGAGGAAAAAAGACUAUCGGAUGUAGAUGGGUGUUUACUAUAAAACACAAUGCAGAUGGAUCUAUCGAGCGAUACAAGGCAAGACUUGUGGCAAAAGGGUACACACAGACCUAUGGUAUAGACUAUGAAGAAACUUUUGCACCAGUUGCAAAGUUAAACACCGUCAGAGUCUUAUUGUCCCUUGCAGCUAAUUUGGAUUGGCCACUACACCAGUUUGAUGUAAAGAAUGCUUUUCUACAUGGUGAACUCACAGAGGAGGUGUACAUGGAUAUUCCUCCUGGAUAUAAUACUACUCAGACUGGAACAGUUUGCAGGUUACGAAAAGCAUUGUAUGGAUUGAAACAGUCACCACGUGCAUGGUUUGAACGGUUCACCAUGGCAAUGAAGAACAAUGGUUUCAAACAGUGCAACUCAGAUCAUACUCUGUUCUUGAAACAUCAAAAAGGGAAGGUAACAGCAUUAAUAAUCUAUGUUGAUGAUAUGAUUAUUACUGGGAAUGAUAAACAGGAAAUAUCACAGCUACAAGACUAUCUGGCUACGGAGUUUGAGAUGAAGGAUCUAGGUGGACUCAAGUAUUUCUUGGGAAUUGAGGUGGCUCGAUCGCAGCAAGGCAUAUUUCUCUCUCAAAGGAAAUAUGUCUUAGACUUGUUGACAGACACAGGAAUGCUAGAUUGUAAACCUGCGGACACUCCUAUUGUUCAGAAUCAUCAUCUUGGAGAAUAUCCGGAUCAAGUGCCAACUAACAAAGAAAGAUACCAAAGGUUAGUGGGAAGAUUGAUCUAUUUGUCACAUACUCGACCAGACAUUGCUUAUGCGGUGAGCGUUGUCAGUCAAUUUAUGCACUCUCCAAGUGAAGACCACAUGAAUGCAGUUCUUCGGAUACUUAGAUAUUUGAAGUCUGCACCUGGAAAAGGACUUAUGUUCUCAAAGCAUGGUCAUCUAAAUAUUGAUGGUUAUUCAGAUGCAGAUUGGGCAGGUAAUGUAACAGAUAGAAAAUCCACAUCGGGUUACUUCACAUUCGUGGGAGGUAAUUUGGUGACAUGGAGGAGCAAGAAACAAAAUGUAGUAACUUUAUCCAGUGCAGAAGCCGAGUUCAGAGGCAUGACUAAAGGGAUUUGUGAACUUCUUUGGUUAAGAAAGUUGCUUAUUGAACUCGGGUAUAAACCUACAUCCACAAUGAAUCUCUUUUGUGACAACAAGGCUGCUAUAGCCAUUGCACAGAAUCCGGUUCAGCAUGAUCGUACUAAACAUGUUGAGGUAGAUCGACACUUCAUCAAACAGAAGCUUGAGGCUAAAGUGUUUCAGUUUCCUUUUGUGAAAUCCGAGGAUCAAUUGGCGGAUAUUUUGACAAAGGCGAUUUCCAGUAAAGCAUUCCACAAUUCACUGGAUCAGUUGGGCAUUGGCGACAUCUAUGCACCAACGUGAGGGGGAGUGUUGGCGUGACUUGUGGAUAUUGACUUACUUUCCUUACACACCAAGAAUUCCUAUUAUAAUUGUAAUUGAUUUACUUUAAUUCCUGAUUUCCUACUGUAAAUAGAUUUAGGAAUUUAUUAUUUACUUGCCCAUUCAGGUUUCGUUGUAUUAUAAAUAUGACCUCCUACAAGGAGAAGAAUACACAGAAAAUUCCUACAAAAAAUAUUCUCUCAUAGUUUUCAUAUUUUAGCACUUUUCACUUUUGGAACAAGGGCUUCUGGGCAGUGCUUAUCAGCCAUAGUAAUGAGAAAUUCUUUGGUCUGGUGGGUGGACCAUGUCACCGGUUUGGCCACAGACAAGUAAGGGUCACUCUCUACAUUAGGGUAGGACUAGUUUGGGGUCAUGGUUGUACGGGUGACAUCAUCAAUUCACCGGACCAAAGAAUUUCUCCAUAGUAACGCCAUCUCCAACCAUAGGGUGCCAAACUCAAUAUUUGGGAAUUUAGCCCAAAAAGCUCUCCAACCAAUGUAUAGCAAUAGUCUAAAAUUUUGCCCAGCUAUGUUCCGGACUGGAAGUUAGUGGAGCCGACACCCAAGUGAUAAAGGAAAGGGCGAAGCAAGCAAGGGCUAUCGGCCACUUUCGCAUAAAGGAAGCGAACCGUGUCGCGUGUUGGGCAUUUAGCCAUUGCCAUAAAAACAAUGCGCAUGUUUUGAAUUUUUCACCAACUGGCUAGUGGAUCACUAGCUUAGGUUAAAAUUUGGCAAUUUCAUCAGAAUCAUCAUCUACUAUUUUUGGUAUAGCCUUCUCACGUGAGCUCAUUGUAUGAAGGAGAAUGAGAUUGAAGAAGAUUGUGUGUUUGGUUGGAUAGAGCAACUCUUCUUAAAUAGACAAGGGGAUGGAGGUUGGAAAGGAUGACAGAGGAAAUCAUGAUAAGAUAUAAAGAGAUAAUGUGUAGGGUAAACAAAGAUUCUCACUCAGAAAAUAAUGACAAAAUGACAAAACGAGAUAGCCUACGUGUCUGAUUAUAUAUAAUGAAGAUAGGAAAAAUGAGGGAAUUCAUUAAAGUGAUAUAAAGAGAGAUAGACAAGAGUUCAGAACAUGAUUGAAACAAGACAAUAGGAGAUGGGCAACUAAGGAGGAAUAGUUGAUCUGAUUGCCAUUAUGUUCUCCCUUACUGCAUCCAAAAAUAAUCUUACAAUUUUACAAUUCCUACUCAUGUGCUAAUUCCAUAUGGUUAGCAAACGAUUUAAUCAGAAUUUUCCCGUACCAAUUCCUUAGUGCCCCAUUCUUCAAUUCCUUCAUUUCUGGUAAGUAAAUACGUCAUCAUCGUAGUUGUUAUUUCAAGGGCAGAUCUAAUAGUAGCAAACUACAUUCUGGAUAUACACUUUUCAAGAGCGUUGUUACUACUUGUUGCUGUGGGAUACAUUCACGGGGACAAGAAAUCGAUAUCCUUAAGGCUAAUUCAUAAUUACUGCUUGUUGCUCCUCUUGGAAUUGAAAAUGCCAAAACUAAUGACCGAGGUGCCAUUACUUCAGGUUUUGCUUAAACGUUCCACUAGCAAUAGCGUUACUUUCAUAUUUUGCAUAGUUGAUAACAUUUGGUGCAUCUUGGGAUCUAAUCAUACUACACGGACAGCGAGCUACAUCCAAUUCCAACAAUGUUUGUUCGUGGUAAUGUGGGUAUACCGGUAACCAUCUUCAAAUAUUCCUAUUCCUUUCCUAUUUUCCAUUAUUCCAAUUAAAUCGAUUGUGAAUUAAGUAUAGUAUGCCCAGCCCUAAUCAAACCAUCAGUUCGGUAUUGUCGAUACACAAAUUUUUCUGAUCGAAUGCGCAGCCCUAGAUUCGAAACAAGAUGCUUGGAAUAUACCAUAAUAAUUAAUUCAAAAGAGAGAACUCUUUGCUUCAUAUACAGGAGAGGUCCUAUGGCUACACAAUAAUUCGAACUGUGGCCGGACCUAUGGUUUAUAGGUUUCCGGCAAAACAAUUAUUCACCUCUCAAUGUUUGUCAUUACACUUAUGCAAAAGUAAAGUGGAGCUAAAAUUAAAAUAAACUAAUCGCUUUGAAAUCUUGUAUGUGAUAAAAUGAUGGUCUCAAUUCCUGCCCUCAAAAUAAUACGCAGGGAAUACCAAUAAUCUUCUUGCAUGGAAAAUGAAAAUCAGUAGAGGCCCAAAAAUUUCCACCAGAACAAUCCUACUACUGCCCAGAUGACAGCAUUAAUAAUGGCCAUCACAAAGCCCAGUUUGAAUACAUCAGGAAGAUCAACGUAACCAGCUGUUGGAAAGAAGAAACAAAAUCUUAUCAGUCAUCACCGAGAACAUAUUCUACUAGAGACAAUUCAAUGUUUUCAAUGGUUGACUAUAGAGUGCUUAGAUUGAGAGAGAGAGAGAGAGAGAGAGAGAGAGAGGGAAAAUAAAAUUUUCCAAUAAUUGUUUUUUUUUCAAAGGGGAUUCAAUGAAGCAACUGUUAUUGGAGAACAGAUGAACAUUACACAAAUGCAAUUGAUUACAAAAAAAAAAUUCCAAAGUUAAGCAAAUGAGGUCAGAAGGGAGCAUACCUCCGUAGUAUACAGCAGCUUGACCGCUGCUAUAAUGCGUUAAAGCCCCAAAAAGAUUUGUAUUAUAAGCUAAAGCCAAUGCUGCCAACACGCCAGGUACCCCAGCUGCCAAGUGCAUGGCAAGAAAUGCAGAGUAUAAAGCACCCACAUGACCAGUUUGACUUGCAAACAGGUAGUGGAUGGAGAAGUAAGCUGCCUGAAGAACACAAAAUGCAGCUGGCCAGCUCAAAGAGUAAGACUGAAGGGUAUUGGCUACACUAUUAGACAUCCAAUUUACGAUACCAAGGUUUGUCAAUUGGCCAGCCAUACCCACUAGAACAGAAAACCAAGCCAAUGUAUCCCAUGCUGAUUUUUCACUUAAGCAGUCAUCCCAAUCAAGGACUCCUAACAAAAGGAGUAUAGAUAAGCCAAUCAUUGCAGUUACAACACUUGCUAUACCAAGAGCAUCUCUGCAAGAGAACCGAAAAAAGAGUUGGUGAAUCAGAAGAUUCAGAAUCCUAGUAGGACAAAAUGCAUUCUUGGGAAAUCAUGAACAGAAAAUGUCUAUAUCUAUUAUAUAAUGGAUUUACUAUUGUCAACAAUCACUAUAAGAAAAUCUUGCUGGGUUGAAAAAUGUUGCACUAAAGGUGACCUUAUGAGGAAAAAUUAUAAUUCAAAUAAGAAUGUGUAAAAACCAUUUUUGGUCACUGCAUUUAGAACCAAAAUCACAUUCGGACACUGUGAUUUCAAAUUUAUCAAUUUGGUCACUUUGUUUGAUUUUGUUAGCAGUUUUAAGUACAGUUCAAAUUCGGUAAUUGAUUACAUAGAUCCCGAAUUUUCAAUUUGGCACAAAACAAUCUGUUUGUUUUCGAAAAAUGUUGUUGCGGGAUUGAAAGGCCCCCUUACUGGAUUUCUAAAACUAAUUUUAAUUUUCGUGUUUAUUUGAUAGAAUGAUUGAGUCUCAAAGAAUUUUGAGGAUUUCAACUCCAAGUUUGAGAUUUCUUCGGUUUUUGUUUGAAAGACAAAUUUAAGGCUAUAGACAUGGUUUUCGGUCAUCCUCGAGUAAAACCCAAGAGUUUCAACAAGUGUUUGCUUAUCAUUUGAAGCCAAUUUGACAAAGAAACAAAAUUUGAUGUUAGGUCCAAGUUUUUUUUGGCUGUAACCUCAUCUUUGACAACUUAUAUCUUCCAUUAUAGUUGAAGGUUAUGAAGAAUCUCUACAUGAAUUUGAAGCUCUUGUUACACGCUUUAAUACACCUACAAUAUUGUUUUUUGAAAUUAAAUUUUUACAAUUACGAUUAUAACACUUAAAACAAGCUCAUUCUCACUGUUGAAUAAGUUCAUAAAAUCAGCUCUCUUAUGAAACCACAAAUGAACACAGUAAGUUCGUGGAAAUAGAGGUCCAGAAAAUCCAACGUGUUUAACCCCCAAAAAGAAUACAUAACAACAAAAUUAUACUUAACCCACUAAACAUGACUUUGACGAAUAACAUCUGUCGGGAAUAGAAUUGAAAGUUUCCGAAAAGGCACAAAAGAAUAUUAUUGUAAUCACUAAGUCGAUGGAAGCAUCCCAAGCAAAGUCUUAUUCUAAGUGCAGAAUAUAAAGAUUGCCAAAAAAAAGAAUAUGCAAUUAUGAUCUACAGGACAUGUAAAAUUAAUAAUGAAUAGUGCUAAGCAAGAAAAGCUACAUACCCGAAGACCCACAAAGAGACAGCAAGAAGCAUUGUGCCAACCAUAAUGAAUUCAUGUUUUGUGACAGGACCCAUAUGCUCGAGUUUCUUUGUAGCCAUGGCAGGGGCAUCAGGCGUGUCUUUGGUUUCUGGAGGGUAAAGCUUGUAUAAGACUAGUGGAGUAGCUAGAAGCGAAACAAAUGCGGGUAAGCUAGCAGCCUUGAACCAAGAAACCCAAGGGCUUGAAAUUAUCAACCCAAGUUCCUCAGCUAAUUUAAGGCACAAAAGAUUUUGCGCCGCAGCCGUUAAGAAAAGAGCACUAGAGUUACCCGCGGACUGUCAUGCAUCACACAACACAGAUGCAUAAGUCACAUAAUAAUCACAUGAUGACACAAAUAAAAUAUGCUAAUGGAUCCAAGGUCAGAAUAUCUAAUACUUAAUGCUGAAUUAAUGAAAUAGAAAGGAAACUAUAGAUCUUGUAAUUUAGAUACAGCGGUUCUCUUAUUUCAAACAUGAGUGCCUGCCCUUUCUUCAAGCAGACCACAUGUUCCAAACACAGUCCAGGAUAAAUAACCAAAUGCACAGAUAAGAUACAGAAGUUUUAAAUCUGCAGUUUGAUUAGUUCAACGAUCCACAUUUAAAUUUUAAUACAAUCUACUGAAAAUUAGACAGAGUGUUAUGGUCUUCUUUGCAAUUUGGCUACAGACUACAAUCUCUACCAUGAAGAUAACUUAUAUUCUCAGUGAGUAUCCUUAAAAGGAACCAAUCAAACUCACUGGUUUCCAACUAUUGCAAUGCUUCAUGACUCCUAGGAUUUGGGCCAACAUUACAAGAUAGAGAUCACAUUGAAGAAGCACAGAGUAAACUGCAAAGGUAUAUAUGGCUUACGGGGCACAUUUAACAUAUCAUGUGAACAGAGUACUUAAGGCCUACUUCUACGGGCACAAUCUACUGCAUUUCCCUUAAAUAUUUCAUUUACUAAACUGCAAGCAUAAUACUUAAACCUAAAAUGUUGAUAACUUGUUGACUUAGAAUACCCUCAAACCAUUAACUGGUCUAACCAAGUAAUGAAAAAAAAUGUGAAUUACGUUCCAUGUGAAACACCCACGAACUAUAAAACAUAUAAGCAGAGACAGAUUCAUAUGAUCCUUUGUGAAAUAUAUUUAACAAUACAAGGGAGUAAAAUCACAAACCUGAAAUUGAGACAUAAUCAGAUAAGAACCCAGCUUUCCUUUCGAGGGGUGAUCGGGUUUACUCCCGGCAGAGAGGGACAAGGACUUAAUAAUAGGCAAGAAAACACCACCAGCCCUGGCCGUGGUACUCGGCAUUGCCGGAGCAAUAAGUGCCUCGCUUAUUGUCAACCCAUAAGACAAACCCAGUGUGCUUUUCCCCAACCACUUCACAAAAUAAGUGGCAAUCCGAUCCCCCAAGCCGGUCUUCACGAACCCACGAGCGAAGAAGAAGGAAAUAACAAUCAACCAGAUCACCUCAUUGGUGAAAGCACUAAACGCCGUUGUAAAGGGCAGAGUUCCGGUGACAAUGGAGGAUGUGAGGCCGAGAAAGGCCCAAGCGCCGACGGGCAAUGGGCUCAGAACCAGGCCGGCAAUGGUGGAUAGGAAAAUGGCGAGCAAUUGCCAGGCUUGUGGGGAGACUUCGACUGGUUUGGGGACCAAGAAGCGCACGACAAGGCCUAUGGCGAUGGAGAUGAUGAAGGGGAUGGGCUUGGCGCCUAGAGGGGGCUCUGGUGGUGGUUUGAGAGUGGUUUGGGGCUGUGGAGAUUGAAAGGCUUGAAUUGGGAAGUGGGUUUUGUUGGGUUUUGAGGUAGAAGAGAAGGAGACGGGUUCGGAGGCAAAGAGGGUUGGUGAUCGGAGGGCGGGAGAAGAAUUGGGGCUUUUGGAGAUGAAGGGUGGGGAUUUGAGAAUGGGGUUUGAGCGGCGGAAGAGGGAAGCGCGAGUGGAGAGAGAGAAGGAGGAGGUGGAGAGAGAGUGGAGGGCAAAGCUCUCCAUUGUUGCUCACUUGAUAGAGAGAAAAUGAGAGGCAGAAAUGAAUGAGAAUUGGAAUUGGGAAGAGGGGUGAUGAGAGAGAGAGAGAGAGAGAGAAUUUUUGGUGUAUUUUUGUGGGAGGAGCGGAACUCCCAAAGACGGGAGAGAAAAAGACAGACAGACGGAGACGCAGACGAUGCUGAAUAUGUACUGGUAAGCACCCGAUGUGAGGAGGGAAUUCAAUGGUUUUAUUUUUUUUCUUUUUUCUCUUUUCUUUCCUUUUCUUUUUAUUUUUAUUCAGGUUUUUUUUUCUUGAUAUAAGAGCAUGGCUAGAAUAGAAGCCAUGCAAUGGGUAGGGGUCAGGGGGUAUCUUGGCCUCUCAAAAUUGUAUCUACUCCCUCAAAAUCUUUGUUGUUUUAUUUUAGCGGUUAGGGGUUAGAGUUCAAAUUUUAUUUAUUUUAUUGUGAAAUAUCAAUAAUUAUAUGACUGUCCAUUUGUGAUCAAUCUAUAGUAUCUUGUUAGUAAAAGGGAGCUUCACUAAUACAAAGAAAAUAGGAGCUGAAUUUAUAAAAAAAUCUUCACAUAGAAUAUACUUUAGAAACACACUCAAAAUUCAUUUAUUAUAUAACAAAUUAGUGUUAAAGUUCCUAUAAAGUACGGGUCUAACGCUAUCAAGCCCAACAACAAAAAAACUCAAAAAACACCUAAAACAACCCCAGCCCACAUUUAUAAAAAAGCCCAAACAUUUUACUAUCUCGAAAACCAUAACUUUCGUCCAAAAAAAAAACCGUAACUUAACUUCCAGCACGCGAACCUUCAUUAAGUCAUCUCUACAAAACGUCUCUUCACUCAACGUCGUCAUCAAAGCAUCUUCAUCAUUUGUCCAAACCGAGACUCCAUAACCACCACCAUGCUUGAUAUACUUUUAAAAACAAAUACUAGACACUGACCUCCACCUUCAAAACGAAGACAAAAUUUCAGAGAACAAUUUCAACAAGAAAAAGCUUCAAAGGUAAGACAUUUACAAACCAAACCUUUACUGUAAUAUUGAUUAUUUGCUAUAAAGAUCCAUUCUAGAGUAAUAACAGUAUUUUAGAUUCGAAUGAAGGACAAAAUCUUGAAACUAUAUUGGAUUUCACUAUUGGACUGACUGCAUAGGACCAUUAUUUUAGUCACUAAUUUAGUUGCUAGUUUACUGUCAUGUUGAUUAAUGGCUAUAAAAUUCCAAUAUAGGAUAAUAACACUGCUUGUACACUAUGAAAUCCUAUUUGUAAUGCAUGUCUACCACUAUAAAGUUCCAGUAUAUGAAAAUAAUACUACUUGUUUCCUAUGAAAUCCUAUUUGUAAUGCAUGUCUACCACUGUAAAGUUCCAGUAUAUGGUAUUAACACUGAUUGUUCCCUAUGAAAUACUAUUUCUAAUGCAUGUCUACCACUGUAAAGUUCCAGUAUAGGGUAAUAACACUGCUAGUUCCUUAUGAAAUCCUAUUUUUAGUGCAUGUCUAUCACUGUCAAGUUCCAGUAUAGGGAAUUAACACUGAUACUUUACUAUCAUGUUCCUAUUUCUAAUGCAGGUAUUCCAAUUAAAAGAUGAAGAAAGAACAAACCAGAAGAACCUCCAAACCAAAAGGCCAACAGUCAUCAUCCAAAACAAAAACAAACAAGAAGCCAAGCAGAUGGGAGGACCCAAAUUAUGUGCAGAUCAAGAGCAACAUGCUCUCUUUUGCAACAACAAUUGACAACAUCAGACAAAGACUUGAACAUCGGCAUGAUGUCUUAACAUUGCUAUCGAAGACACCUUUUUGGACAUUGAUAGAAGCAAAUAUCCAAAAAAGAUUAACAAAGGUAGAGUGCAUGAAGUCUAACUAUGACAUCGUGAGACUCAUACAAGUUUAUGACACAAAGACAAAGAAGUUCAAGUUUAAUGAUGGUGACAGUGAGAUGAAAAGCCAAGAUGUGGCUGAAAUUUUUGGCUUGCCAAACAGAGGCAAGAACCUCAACAAUGCCAAAUUUGCAUUUUGUAAAAAAAUAUUUCAGGGGUUAUAAGAAGAUAAAAAGACUUCAAUUGAUAAGUGAUUGAACUUAGCACUUGAAGAUGAAACAGAAGAGGGUGCUAUGGAUGUAAUAAGAUUGAUAAUCCUACAACUCUUCAUGACCAAUCUCUUCUACAACUCUGGUUGUACACUUGCUUGGACAUAUACAACCACAAUAGACACCUUAGAAGAGAUGAGGAAAUAUAAUUGGGCUCAAGGAGUUUUGGACUACAUGUAUUUUGGAUUAGAACAAGCAAAGAAGAACAAGGACAAAAAAAAGCAGCCAAGCGUGAGUGGCUCCCUAAUCCUAAUACAAAUCUCCAAACUGCAAAUUCAUAACAUUAUUCUAAUGAUAUGAAUUGACACGUGAUAUUGCAAAAAAUAUUGUGCAGUAUUGGCUGCGUCAAAGAUCUAAACUACUCACUCCAAUUUCUGGAAGAGAACAAAUGACACCAACAACUAUCAGAUGGAGUCUUCAAGAACUCAAUGCGGAGUUUCAUCAUCUAAAGAACAACUAGAUAAAGGUACUCUUUCCUUUUAAAUAAUUUGUAGCUGAUAUGACAACAUUGGUAAUGACAUGUCAUAGACAUACAUUCUUAAUACCAUAUCAUAGAAGUAAACUAUGAAUACCAUGUCAUAGAGGUAAACUAUGAAUACCAUUUCAUAGAAGUACACUAUUAAAACCAUGUCAUAGAAUUACACUCUUAAUACCAUGUCAUAGAACUACACUCUUAAUACUAACUCUACUCAACAAACAAAUAAAAAGCACUAAAGCUCAAGAGCUGGAUGAUAUUGCUGAAGAAGUGAAUGAAGAGAAUGAUGAUGAUGCUGAAGAAGAAAAUGAAGAGGAGGAUGACGCUGCUAAAGAAGUGAAUGAAGAGCAUGAUGAUGCUGCUGAAGAAGAAAAUGAAGAGACGAAUGAUGCUGUGGAAGAAGUGAAUGAAGAGCAUGGUGAUGCUGCUGAAGAAGAAAAUGAAGAGGAGGAGGAUGCUGAAGUAAAUGAAGAGCAUGAUGAUGCUGCUGAACAUCAAGUCCAGCAACACCACCAACUACAAGAAGACCUCCAAACUGAAUCCCAGAAUACCGGAACUCAACGUUGUUUGAGGAAAUUGUUAGAUCAGUCCCAGAAUAUACAAGGAGGAUGAAAUACAGCUUACAGAAGAGUAUAUGAUGGAGAUCAAUAAUGCUGCUAAAUAUUGGACAAAGAAAUGAGAGCAUCAAAAGAUCCAUGAUGCAAUAGCAUCCUGCAUAAAAAAAGAAUAAAUUGAUUCAGAUGCUAUACAAUGAAAAAGAAGAAUUAAGGAAGCAUCAUCAACAAUUGCAGAAGAUGGUUAAGGAAGCAGCUUAUCACAAGAAUACCAUACAACUUGAUGUUUAUGAGGAAAAAUCCUACAUGACAAAGCUGCAGCUAGAAAAUGAUCAACUUCUUGCAGAGAAGAUUUCCUACUUGGAGAUUAUUAAUGAAAAGGAAGUUGUUAUUGCCUUGUUGAGAGAUAAAAAAAAUUAGCGCAAGAACUACAGAGCGAAGACGAUAAAGGAGAAAAGAAAGAAGGAGAUAAAUUCGAGAAACUUGCAUCCGAGGGCCACAAAAAUCAAAGAAACAACAUUUGAAAAGAUCGCAACAAAACCAGAUUCCUCAUUCCCUAAAGCAGAGACAAUAGCACAAAAGAGAAAGGCACAAAAAAAACCUCAAGAACCAGCCAAAUCAAAGAAGAGGACCAAAGGUUCAUUCCUGCAAUGGAAUACAUAUCAGGUCUACAACAUGCUGGAUGAACUCUCACAAGAAAAGCUGAGAAAUUACUGAAAAAAUUCAGUUGAUGGGCAAGGCAAUGUGUUUCAUUCAUUUUUAAUGCAAGAUGCUAUUAUUGAACAUGCAUUAGAAAAUAAGAUUUCAUUGUGUUAUGACCCUAUACUUGAACUUUACAGGGGGUAGACAUGCAUUAAAUACAGGAUUUUAGAGGAAUCUAGCAGUGCUAAUACCCUAGACUGAAACUUUGCAGUGAUAGACAUACAUUACAAAAAGGAUUUCAUAGGAUACAAGCAGUGUUAUUACCCUAUACUGGAACUUUAUAAUAGUAGACAUGCAUUAGAAAAAGGAUUUUUAGGAAAUAAGCAGUAUUAUUACCCUAUACUAGAACUUUAUUAAACAUUUCUUUCACUUUUAUUGACAAUUUUUCUAACUACAAAUACUGUUACAGCACUACUUUUUGGCAAGGGACAAGCAUUUUGUUCAAAGAUGACAUACAAAGCUUAUUAAGAGAUACUAAAAUUUAUGGACAAAUAAUAUAUGCGUAUGCUAAGAUACUUCAUCAUGAUGAAAAGAAGGACUCUAAAAGACAACAGAAUGCAUACAUCACGUACUACGCUUACGUAAGAUCAUAGCUAUCCCAUUACUUCUAGUAAAAACCACAAAUUAUUCAUCUUCCUAUACUUUUCAUAUUCUCUCUAAUGCCGAAACUAUUAAUCUUGCAGAGGUAUCUCACAGGUAAAAUGCACCUAAGAACAUUCGAUGAAUAUUUUGUCAAACUCCUCGAAUGCAUAGGGAAAACUUCAAAGGUGUUCAUUCCAAUAACGGAUGGCAGACACCACACCCUGCUUGUCUUUGACACCAAUUCAUUGCAAUGGACGCACUACAACUCAUUGACAGGGGAAACUGAGCAAACCGUUGAAUACUACAACAAAAAAGCAAUAAUUUUGAUAAGACAGACUCCUACUAUAAACUGUUAAUACAAGGCAUGAACAAAACCAUUUAACAAAAAUCAGUGAAGCUAACAACAUACUUGCCUACAAUGCAAGCAAACACAUCAAAUGUCUUCCUCAAUAAUGUCAAGGAAUGUGCUCCAACAAUUUUAGAAAAAACAGCUUCAUACUUCUUGAGUUCAAGAAGCCCAUCUACGAUGAAGAAUUCACCGACGAGAUUGCAAAACUUCUUCCGAACCUAGAAGUUACACCAUCAAUUGAUCAAACAAUACAAUAUCUGAUGAAACGUGAUCCCACCAAAUUCAACUUUAAGGAGGACAGGGAAUGCGCCUAACAACCUAAAAAGUCGUAAGUGUCACAAUAACACUUUCCUUCCCCCAAUUCAAAUUAAACUAUGAUUCACUAAAUGUUGCAUAUAUAUAUGUGUGUGUGUGUGUGAAUUUGCAGAAACGAUUGUGGUGAAGGAAAACAAAUUGAAGAAAGAUUGAGUACAUAGCAUGUGUGGGAAAUGAGAAAAUAAGUUUUAUUGAAGACAAUGGAAAGUGAAAAAAGUUGGUAUUUCACAAAAGGGAAUGAAGGAUGAAAGCAUGGAUUUCAAAAAUUUUAGAACUGUAAAAUAGUAAAUGUUCGGCUUCUAACUUCCAAAUGUCAAAUUGUUAAUACGUAGCUUCUGAACAAAAUCUGUUGCUGCUUCUUAACUUUCAAAUGUCAAAUAGUUACUGUGUAGUGAGAUUCAAAUGUAAAAAAUUAUUACUAUGUAGCUUCUUCUAAAUUUCAAACUGCGCAUUAACAGUGGGUUUCAAAAUGGAUAUUAAUAGUGACUUUCAAAAAACCCAGCCCAAGUUGAGAAAAUCAAGGUCAGAAACGAAAUAAAGCCCAAAACAAAUCAAACAAGCCAUCGCAAAAUACAGAAAAAAGGCCCAGUCUAAUUUGACCCAAAAAAGAGCCCAAAUAGACUAAAAAGUCUUAUAAAAAAAGAAGCCCAGAAAACUCAACAAGCCAAUAAAGCCCAAUUUCACUAAGCCAUUGAAAAAAAAUAUAUAUAAACCCAGAGAACAACAGUACACACACCAAAAAAGCAAAAAACCAACUUACCUCUCACUCCGAUCUUUGCGACACCAACUCCAAAAGCAGGCGACAACCUCCAUAACCACCAGGUAGGAGACAAACUCCAUAACCACCAAUCAAAGACAAACUCCAUAACAAGAAAGCCGGCUAAUCGAAGUUACAUUCUGCCAUAGCCAAAAGUCUUCAAAAUUGACACUACAAAACCUUAAAAAAGCAACUGAGCACAAGGACAACCCAGGACAAAAGGAAGAAAAUUUCAUCCAUAAAGAUCGACAGAAGGUACAAUUUCAAAAACCCACACUCACUUUCCACUUUCGUCUCAAGAUUUUGCUAAUUAAUGCAAGAGUACCACAUUUAAUACAGGUAACCAACGAAAAGGUCCAACAAUGACAGAAACAAACACUCAUCAUGCAAAAAGCACAGAAGACCAUCCCAAAUCAAACAAAGAAGCUUCAGAAAUGGCUGACAAAACAUUAGUAUCAAACUCCCAGGUAUUACAAAAUCUCUUAACUUCAAAGUCCAAUAGCAAUGUUUUGACAUGUUUUGAAAAGAUGCAUGUUUUGACUGCAAUGUAUAUGUUUCACAACUAUUAAUACUAUGUCAUAGAACUUGAACUAUUAAUACUAUGUCAUAGAACUUCAAAAUAUAUAGCAUGCUUUGUUAAUCAAAAUUUGGGGUUGCUAUGCAUCUUGCUCUUCUAGUGCACUACUUCGCAGUGCACUUGAAGACCAAAAUAUAUAGCAUCCUUUGUCAAUCAAAAUCUGGGACUGCUAUGCAUAGAAGUAGUAAUACUUAUGUUUCAUCUUUCUUUUGUUUAGUUAAAGUAAUCUAUUUGUUUCACUUUGCAGGUGGUCAUAUGGAAAAAGAUAACCAUGUUGAAAUUUUUUUUUUAAAAAAAAAGGCUACAAAAGGAUCCCAAGCCAGGAAAAGCACAAAACAGAAUCAACAAACACACAAGGCACACCACCAACAACAGCAAAAGCCAAACUGUCAACACUUAAAGCCAAUCCACAUAAACCAAAGACCAAAGCUAAACAAACACCAAAACCAUCCACUCCCAAAUCCACAAACACACUGAAACCAAAGAAAACAACGAAGACCAAAGAACACCAUCCCAAACACAAAAACCUCAACCAAACAGAGGUAAUAACCCAAAUUAUGUGUAGAUCAAGAGCAAUAUGCUCACAUUUGACAACACAUUGCAAACGGUAAAAGACAAGCUUGCAGCAAGAAAGGAUGUCCUCAAGAUCCUACAAAAAACGCCAUUCUGGAGCAUCAUCAAGGCUUACAUGGAAGGUCAGUUCACCAAGGCAGAAUGCCAGAAGUCUAAUUAUCAAAUAAUUAGACUAAUCAAACUCUAAAACCCCGCAACCAAAAAAUUCAAAUUCAGUGAAGGCAACGAGUAUGAAAUUACAAGCAACAAUGUGUUUGACAUCUUUGGAUUGCCAAACAAAGGAAACAAGUUGCCAAGCACAACAACUUCCACAAGAACAAAUUUGGACUUUGAAAAGAAGUACUUCAAGAAUUCAAAAAAAAUCACAAAAACUUACCUUGAUAGGUGUCUGAACACAACAAUAGCAGAUGACAGAAACAGAAAUGCAAUGGAUGUUGUGAGGUUGUUAAUCCUAGAGCUCUUCAUCACAAAUCUCUUUUGCAACUCUGGGGCGACAAUGGCUUGGACCUUUUUGACUAUGAUCGACACCUUAGAAGCAAUGAACAGCUACAACUGAGCGCAAGGAGUCUUAGAAUACAUGUAUUUUGGACUGGACCAAGCCAUAAAAAAUAAAAAGGACAAGACAAAUCAACCAAGUGUCAGUGGUUGCCUUGUGCUAAUCCUGAUAAGAAACUACAUCCAUUUGUUAAUCCUAUUUUAUUAUUUGUUUUCAUGUGGAUUAACACUUUAUUUUGAAAAACAUGUUUGCAGUAUUGGCUAUCUGAAGGAACUAACCUGAUCAGUCCAAUUCCUGGAAGAGAAGCUCACAAACCAGUGGCUAUGAAAUGGAGCCUUCCGGAGCUCAAUAUCAAGCUGAAUAUUGCAAAAUAUGAAAACAUUAAGGCAUUUUUCUUACUUCCAUAAACAUAUAUAAUGUUAGUACACCAUAAUUACUACUGCCUCCAAUAAUUCAACAGAUAAAAGCUGCUGACAAUGAAAAAGAAGAAGAAGCAACAAAGACUGAUCAUGCAGACCAUGAAGAACAAGAAGAAAAUGAAGAGGAUGAUAACUUUUAUAUCACACUUAAAGAUUGGGUAAGAUAGCCUACAAUGAUCCAACAUUUAUAUUUCAAAGCUGAAUUGCUGGUGUACAAAAACAUAUACAUGUAUAUAAAUUUGCUAAUACUCUUUUUUUCAUUUCUAAUAUUUGUUAUAGUUAAAGAGUCAAACGCAAAAAGGAAAAAAGCAGACUGUUAUUACCCAAAAAUAGAACUUCAGCUUCUAUGAAAAUGUGGACCAAAGUUCAACCUAGACAAAAACUUCACAACAUGAGCAAAAUGAAGACAAUGCACAAUCAUUGGGAUGCAAAGCAGAUGAUGAAAUUGAAGAACAACCAGCACAAUCAUUGGGACGCAAAGAAGAUGAUGAAAUUGAAGAACAAGCAGUUGACCUUAGUGCAGACUCAAUGAUGGAGGAGAACACUGUUAAUGUCCAGUAACAGCAUCCAGAACUUGAUAGCCAGGAAGAAGACUUCAACAACAUUUUUGGGGACAUAGUGGGUUCAAUCCCAGAGUACUACAAGCAUGAAAUAGUUCCUACCCAUGAGAAAAUCCAACAACUGAAAGAAGCAGUCUACUAUUGGAUUGAAAAGGCAGAUACUCGAAGGGAUAUGAUGCAGACUGCUAUAGAAUCCCGCAUAAAGAAAAAUUCAUUCACUCAACAAAUAUGGACUGAAAAAGAAGAUUUGGAGCAACAAAUUCAAAUACUGAAAAAGCAGCUUGAGCCAGAGAAAAAAGGAAGUACAAAAUUACAAGGGGAACUUCAUGCACGAAAAUCAAACAGGAGACAACUACAGGAACAACGUGAACUACUUGAAGGGGAAAAGUUGUCCUACAUUGAGAGAAUGAAAGAAAAAGACACUAUUAUUGCCUCUUUGAAACAUGUGAUGGGAAAAAAUUUCAAACAACGUGAACAAGGAGAAAUUCCAAUGAAAGAACAAGCUGAUAAUGAGAAAAAAGAUGAGAGAAUAGCAGAAGAACGAUAAUAAAAGGAAGCAGUUCAAGUUGAAACAACAGAAAAGAUUGAGCAGAAAAUUGAGAAACUAGCAGAGAACCUUGAAAUUGAAAGAGCAGAUGGAAAAGCCAAUCAGAAAGAUGAUAAUACAAUAGAAGAAAAUAAGGAAGAAAGUGAAUUAGAGAUGCAAGAAUCUCCUAAUGAUGAAGAUGAGAAUGCCGAUGAAAAAACUCCUAAAAAGUCAGUUAUCAUGCAAGCGAAAGAAGUAGGAACACGGCAGUUACGUUCUGGCAUCAAAAUAAUCAAAGACAGAAAGCCUGCAAAGAAACCAGAUUACACAUACCCUGAAGCACAUAAGAAAGCCCGAAAAAGAGCAAGCCGAAGUGAAGACGAAGCAGCAAACAAAAAAAAGGACAAAGAUACAUACCUUCAAUUGCACAUGUAUGAGGUCUACAACAGGCUGGAUGAAAUAUCAAAGAAGAAGUUGGAAAAUUACUGGAAAUCUGCAUCUGAUUCUGAUGAGUGAGCCAAUCUGUCAUAGAAUUACACUGUUAAUACUAUGCCGUAGGACUAUCAUAGAAUCACACUGUUAAUACUAUGUCAUAGAACUAUCUUGUUAUUAAACUGUUAUGAGAUUAUUAUUUGUUGAAUUAUUUUUUAAACAACAUUAUUGUUGCAGGGACGCUUUUUGCCUACACAAUAGGACAAUAUUGUACAAACAUAACAUUGAAAACCUGAUGGGAGAUGAUCCAAUUUCUGCACUAAUCAUCAAUGCUUAUGGAGAGGCACUUAAUGAUGAUGCGAAGCAAAACCCUCAGAAACAAAAAAAAUGCAUAUUUGUCUGCUAAUAACUAUGUAAGAUCACAUCUAAUACAUCAAUUUUAUAUCACCAACAUACUCACUAAUCACCAACAUAUGACUUUUGCAGAUAUUUUUGAGAGGUACUUCGUACAAGCUGACAUAUCAUGCUUUCUAUAUGCCACUCCUAGAAAAUGUUGGAAGAGUUGAUAGAGUGUUCAUACCAAUUACAGACGAGAACCUCCAUAUGCUGCUUGUCUUUGACACCGAUGCAGCAAAAUGGACACACUUUAACUCAUCCAGGGGGACAUCAGAACAAACUCUCCAAUAUUAUCACAAGAAGGCAACUGUUUUGGUAAGUAAGACUGGUGAUUAACAUUGUUAAUACAUAUGACACUAAAUUUAAAGGAAACUAAGCACAUACUUGACUAUGAUGCAGGUUGAGACAGCAAAUAUAUUCCUUUGUCUUCUUAAGGAAUGUGUUGCAACAUCACUGAAAACAAAACUCGUCCAAAUUCCUAAUUUUGAUGCCAAGAAGCCGAGAGGGCUUAAUGAAGCUUCAGCUAAAAUGAUAGCAAAAAUACUUGCCAGCAUCAAACUUACACCAAAAUAUGCUCAGACAUUGAAGUAUCUAAUUCGUCAUGAUAUUACUAACUUCAAGCUGACUGAGAACAGAGAAUGUCCCCAACAAGCAAACAAUUCGUAAGUUACGCAAUAACAGUAAAAAUUUAAUUCUCUUCAACUAAAAAAAUACUGAACUAACUCCUGCAUAUGUAUCUCUAUUAUGCAACAAUGAUUGUGGCGUCUUUGUCAUGCACUUCAUGAAGCAGCUUUCCAAAGACAAACAAAUAGAAUCAGAUUUCAACAAAUCAAAGGUUUGGAAAAUGAGAAAAGAAGUCCUCAUGAAAAUUAUGAGCAAUGAAAGAAGUUGGAUUUCCAUCAAAGAGAGAAAUGCGAAAGAAUAAAGUUGUAAUAAAAUAUUUUGCCAAAAUUCUUGCUUAUAUUGUAGUUUCUUAGGACUUGUGUAGGUUUAAAACAUUGAAGUAAAGUGAUUUUAAAAUUCAAGUUAUGUACUUAUUCAAAAACCAGUUUAUUUACGUGAAAUAACAGUGUAUGUAACCUGAAAUAAUGGUCUCCAUAACACUAAAACAACUAAAAAGGUGAACUCCAACAAAUACCAACGCACUCUAAAUACAAUGUUAAUACUAUUUGAUAGAAAUAAAUUGUUAAUAUCAUGUCAUAGAACGAUCUUUUAAUUUCAACUAUGAUGUAAACAGCGUGCAUUAAAUAGUGUUCGUUAAUUUAUAGAUAAUUCAAACAACAGUAAUCCUUAAUUCAUAUCAAACUUCAAAACCAAAAUUUGCAAAAUACAAAAAAUGGUAAAUAUUAUGUAUUAAUACAAAAAUUCAAAGAGUAUUCAUAUGCAGUAACUGCUAUUCACUGUAUUAACAACUUGCAUAUCAAUUUCUAUUCCUUUCAACUAUGAUUGUCAUUAAUCAAUCACAUAGCACUUUAACUUGUUAAAAACUAACUACAUUCAUUCAAGUCUAUAUACUCUAGAACCUUUACAUCAAAUAGAAGCCUUGCAAGUCCUCCUAUUAUGACGAUCACAAGAUCCGCAGCUCUUGCAUUUCACUUGCCUUUUAGUUUCACUGCUUGACUCGAAAAGCUUUGUCGGAGGUCAUCCCAAAGGCUUUCUUAUAUGAGGAGGUAGAAGAAAAACAUCUCCAGGAGGAGGCUUCUCAAUAUCAGGUAUGGGAAAUAUAGGGGUUGCAAAAGUAGCCCUAUAAAAGUCUGCCUUGUAAUACUCAUCAACAAAGUUGUACAAACAUAACCCGGAAUGUUGGAUAACUUGAAUCGCAUGUAGACACGGAAACCCAACCAAUUGCCACUGAUAACAGGAGCAAAACCUCUCGUCCAAAUUGACCAUAACACUUAAAUCAGCAUGAACUUCAAAUAUAAAUUCACUCUCGCGACAUAUCCUCCAAUGACGACCCUUUGCAGCUAAAUUCUUCAACUCAUCCUCAAUAACCGAACACAAAACACCACACCAUUUCUCGGAUGCAAGCUUCCUCCUAGAAAUCAUCUCCAUCAUUUUGACCCUAACAGUGUCAAUCAUCUCAUAAAUUGGAAGCCUACGCACAUCCUUAACCCAUAAAUUAAACGACUCGGACAAGGCAUUACUAACCUCCUCAUACCUCUUUCCCGGAAAAAAUGCAUUAGCAAAAUUUUGGAUAGGGAGAUCAGCAAAAAACUUAUCAAUUAUUGUUGGACCGCCAUCAUCUCUUAAUUUUCUCAACCUAUCUUGAUAUUACUCAAUAGUCGGUGCAUACAACAACUUACAAAAAAGUCAUAAAAUAUGAUCAUUGAAAGAGGAACCAACAGAAUGCGGAUACUUCUUUUUCAAGUUCUCUUUCAAAUGAUAUAGACAAAAAUCAUGGGCAGAAGCAGGAAAAACAGUCCUAACAACAUUGAUAAUAGCACUAUGCCUAUCAGAAAUGAAUGUAAGUUGCCUACUCUCAUCUCCAAGACUUCAGAUAUCCUUUGCAGAAACCACCUCCAAUUGUCCACAGUUUCACCAGAUACAAUUGCAAAGGCAAAAGGGAAUACCUCUACAAGAAACAGAGAACUAUAUUAGUUAGUUUGAACAUUGCAAGAGCUAACAGUGCCAUAUGAAGCAGAGUAAAACUACAAUGCAUAAAAAUACUCAGAUGCAGGGUAUGAACAGCAUAGCAACUGUUCAUACCACUCAAUGGAAGUCAACAACUACAGCAUUUACAUUUGCAUAACUAUACUGUUCAUACCACUCAAUGGAAGUCAACAACUACAUCAUUUACAUUUGCAUAAUAGGUACGACAAAAGUGUACAACUCCAUACUACUUAACAUCAAUUGAUUUGCAUAAUGGGUACAAAAAAUUGUAACAACAGUGAAAAAGCAUUGCAUACCUUUAUUUCCAUUCUUUGCAGUAGCUCCUAGAAGAGUACCCUUGUACUUGUUUGUGACGAAAAUAUCAUCAAUGAACAACAUAGGCCUACACCAUCGAAAACCAUCAAUGGAGGCCUUAAAACAUAUAAAGAUCCGCUGGAAACGAGAACCAUCCUCGCCACAGUCAAGCACACAAUGAGGUCCGACAUUGCUGGCCUUCAAAACAUCCACAUACCAAGACAGGUGAGCAUAAGACAACUCCUUAUCACCACGUAAAUCCUUAGUGGCCGACUCCUUCCCAUACCAAGCAACAUGAUAAGGGAUAUCAAAUCCAUAAUUUUCCUUCAAAUAAGUAAUCAGCUCAAUAGGCCUUACCAAAGGAUUGCUACGAACUUUAUCUUUGACAAUUGAAGAUACCAAACGAGACCCCAUUGCCUUAUUUCUCUUCUCACUAAUCAAACCACUGCAACUGUGUACGUUAUUUAAAUUCUUAAUAUAAAAAAAUCCAUUUACAUUGGACUUAACAUCAUGCACAUGCCACUUACAGCCAUUUGAUUCCUUCUUAGCACACACGGUAGUAACACGACGAGGCUCAUUUUUCAAAUACUUCAUCUUAAAAUCAUUCUCAAUCGAGUACUUAGCCAACUUAUCACGGAAUUCACAAACUCCACCCUCAAACUUCUGACCCUCAUGAGUAAUAUAACCCUCCCAAUCAGUAGACAAAUACUUACGACCUCCACAACUACCAUAUUUGCCCAAAUAAUCAUUUCCAAACUCACUGCUAAUACCAUCAAAAUCCAUACUCAAACAUGAAGAAGAAGCUGCACUUGAAUCAACAAUACUACCAGCCACACUUGAAUCUUUAUAUGUAUCCUCAUCUUGCGCAAAAUUGUCAUUAUUAGGAAUAGCCUCCAACAACAACAAAAAAAAACAAUUAUGUUCGUAUUAAUAGUUUGAACAUGAUUCACUACAGCCUUAUCCCUAACAACAAUGUGAAUUAAUUAAUCCUUCAUCUGUCCACAUACCAUAAACAUGAUUUUCAAAUCAUCAUCCGAUUCCAAUAAAAAAUGGGAGCAAUCCGUAAAAGAGUACCUUAACUCAAAAUGACCUAACUUAAGCUUAAACCUACUGAACAACUCGUUGGACACCCAAUCAAAAGUAGUAGUUGAAGACAAAAUAAGCAUUAAAGUUCCAGCACCAGAGGUGCACUUCGCCACUCUCGAAUCAUCCAUAUCUCUACAAACAAAACAACAAACAAAAUAAAAAUGACUACUAGCAAUAACAAUGGAUGCCGAGUGUAUUAAUAAUGAAUUAUAGUCGACUCAAAAACCAAUAGUGCAUAAACAAAAAAAACACGAAUAUACUCAGAUUCAGCUGAAAAAACAUACCUCAAUUAAUAUGAAAACCAAAUCGAAUAUCAAAUUUUUUUACCACACCUCAAACCAAAACACAAGAGCAAAUCCACAAUCAAAACGAAUCUGAAAUCAAUCCAAAUUAAAAAUGAAAACCUAAUCAGCAACUUAAUUCAUCAAGCAUGAAAUCAAUAAAAAUCAGACUACAAUAUAAUCAAAUACCUAAAAAAACGAAUAUGAAUUCACAAGAAAAAAUCGAAUACCUCAAAAUCGAAGAUCACAUAUCGCACCAAGCUCUAAUCGAGUCUCAUGCUAUGCAAUAUCAAUCCAAAAAUUACCAAAUCAAACAAGAAAGAAAAAAAAAAUUGAAGCAAUAGAACUCCAAUCUACACCUUACACCAAACAUCAAGCUCAGAAGAUCGAAAAAGGGCAUCUGGAACCACAUCAUACAGGCUCGUUUGGAAUAUUCGAUCUGCUGAGGCUGCCAAACAGGUUUCAGUUAUGAGGUCACCAACGUAAAUUUCAAGAAAUUCCUAUCCUAGCUAGCGAGUUUUGGCCCUAUUUCAAAAAAUUCAAACCAAAAGGUCAAAACCGUAAUGUAACAUAGAAAAUAAAUCCAAAAAUCGACAGCUGUCGAUUUUUGGGUUUAUUUUGGGUGUGUUUAUAUACUUUAAAUAGUAGUAUAUUUAUAGUUUCAUGUCUAGGAAUGGGCAUUUCACUAAUUUUGUAUUAGUAAAACUCCUUAAUGAUGUAUGUUGUGAAAUUAUUACAAGUGCACAAUUCGCACAAGUAAUAUUCAGAUAAGUGAAGUAUCGUUCUCACGAAGACUGUAAUUUCCUUUUAAGUACCAAUUAUAAUUAAUUCAUAAGUUUAUUUGAAUAAUUGAUUAAUGAGAGUGAUUGAUUUAUUAACAGUGGAAAAUCAAGUUGAAGAGACACUAGAGCAUCCGAUUUUACCAUAAUUAAUUUCACUUAAUUCUUAUAGUCAAUUAACCCUAAUUACUACUUGUGUUAACAGUUGGUUUAUCUUAAUUCAUUCGAUAUCCCCUCUCGGGCUCAACCAAAGUAUUCUUAAUUAACAACAGAUUUAGAAAAUCAAGAGCCCAUUAAGUUCUAUGAGAACUUGAAAGAAAACUGCAUGAGUCAUGUUAGUCCCUCUCGGGCACUCAUUCAAGACAUGGUCUUUGUUACGAGAAGCAAACACCAAACAUCUCCCUCGGUCUCCCCUUGGAUCAUCAAAUCAAUUAAAUAUUGGACAUAUAUUCAAAGCAUUAAGAUCAGUAACAAAUACUCAACAUGGAAUAGUAAUCAGAAAUUAAUAUAACUAUAAAAUUUAAGUAUUCAUGGUUACUGGAGAGGAAAAUUAGUUCAUGACAAAGGAAAAGAGAAACAGAGAAUUAUUGUCAUAAAACUGAUUUGGUAAAUAGAUUUGAUCUCUGGAUUCUCCACAGCAACACCUUCAUAAGCUCCAAAAGCACUGCAGCAGCAAACUCUUGGCUCUCUCAUUAAUGUAUUUGUAGGUGUAUGAAAUAUGGUAGAAGAUAAAUGGUAUAAAGAUCCUCCAUAGAGAGAGCUUAGGGUGACCUUAUAUAGUGUAAAACAACAAAACCUUACUCUAAAAAGGUUUGGAAAAACUCUCCUAAACCAAAAUAAAAUCCCAAACAAUUAAGGCAACUAACUAGUAAAGAAUCCUUCUUUGACUUGGAAACACGUCAGCCAACCUGCACGUUUUAGGGUGCCAAAAUAAAUGGCCACCACGACGCCGCCAUCCAUGGUGGUCCGUUACAACCACAUGUCAUGGCCUAAUCUUAAAGCCACAUCAUUCAUUCCCUCAUUUGCCGCCACACUACACAUACGCUCUUGUGUACAACCCUAACGAAACCCUAGCCCCUGUGCAAUUGGGCUCCACACAAUUCUCUCCUACUGAUCCACGAAGUCAAGCAAACUUAGUCUUAGUGUUGACAAAUGACUCAAAGAGUGGAGAACCAAAACAAAUUGGUUGGACAACUCCUUAACUAGAUUACCUUGGUCCAAGACGUUGCCUUUGGACCACAAGGGGAAGAGAGAAUGAUGAAUAAAUGCACUCGCAAGCAGUUCGAGAGGUCCCAUGCAGGUCGAGCAGGAGCAAGCAAACAAGGAGAAGGAUAAGAGUGAGUUGCUCAGCACAUCGACUUCACUCACGGCUGAAUCAUGGAGGGUACCGACGUGAAUCGUAGGCCAUGCAAGCAAAAGAUGUUGAGAAGCUCGUGAAUGACUGAUUUCGAGACUUGAAGAUUGGAGGAGAUUUCAAAGAUGUUAUGCGUAAGGAGGUGGACCUAGUGAACUCAUAACUAUUCACCAUAGAGAUUGAAGAAGCGGCUCUAAUAAAGCAAUUUUCAGCUCUUUCUUUUACACACUUCAAAAGGUAUUCCGAUCCCAAGAGCUAUCUAAAGCACUUCAAAAGUUUUAUGAUUCUCUAGAAGGUCGAAGAUGCGCUGAUGUGCAAGGUGUUUGCAAUGACCUUACGAGGAGCAACCCAGGAUUGGUUCCAUACCCUGCCAUCCAGGUCGAUUAGCAGCUUCAAGGAGUUAGCUUUAGUCUUCACCAAGGAGUACACUUCUUAUUGGACCAUCAAAAAGGACCCUAACCACCUGUUCAACCUGUGCAAGAAGCAUGGUAAGUCCCUUCGAGACUACAUCAAAAAAUUUAAGGUGGAGAAAGCUAACAUUGUGGGAUACGAUGACCGAAUCGCAUCAUUUGCCUUUAAGAAGAGUCUACCGGCCGAGCACGACCAAUAUUACGAGCUAACUAUCACUUCUAGCCAAACUCUGGCAGAGAUCUUAGUGAUUGUGGAACGCUACAUGCUCUAGAGCGAUGAUCAAAUCUCCAAAAGAGGUGAUAAGCCCAUCAGUAGGAACUAUGGAGGAAAGCGCAAGGCAUCAUCCCAAGGUGGCACAUCAGCAGAUGAAGGCUAUACGAAGUUCACUAUUCCGAUACAUUAAAUCUUGGCCCAAGUAAAGGAUAAGCCUCGGCUGACGAGACUACCACAUUUGAAGGGAGAUCCUAAUAAAAGAAGUACCAACAAGUACUACGCCUUCUAUGGAACACAUAGGCACGACACAGCCAAUUGCCGAUCUUAGAAGAUACACGUGUCCCUUGAAUGGUGCAAACGGCUCAAACUUCGAGCAGGAAUGUUAGCAACUCUUUAUUUCUAGAUAGCCGAACCAGCUAGGAAACAGACUUCUUUGCAGGGCAGAUUGUAGUCUUUGAGCUGGUCAGUUGGAGACUUAAUUUGACUAUCUCACACAUUCUGCAUGUCGCCAAUCUUCCUACUAUCCACACUGACGAGCAGCUUUUACUUGAGUCUUCUCAGCAAACGAGACCUCUUUUGAAGAAGACUUUAUCACAACAAAAGGAAGUUUUGGCUUCUUCCUUAGUGGAGACACAUCCAUUACCCCCAAAGUUGCAGCUUCAUCUUUGGAGGACCUGGCAUCGACCUUUCUCUUUGUGGGGGGUUCAGUAGAGGACUCCUCCUGUUCGGCAGGCAAAUCAUCCUUGUCCAAGCCAUAUUGCUUCCGUCUCUCAACAUCCUUAGCAGGGGGCAGGCCACCACAUUUCUCCCGAUACUUGCUCAACAACCAAUGCCAUUUGCGAAACCUUGCAGGGAUUUUCAAGACCCGGGAACCUUAGCCAUGUUCGGCUCAAGAUCAAAUUUCUUGCUAAUGUCAUCCUUUGCAAGCAGAAGACAGAAUUUAGUCAGUCACACAUCAAAAAAAUUCACACAAAAUUGAAGCAGAUCAAUAGAAGUAUAAUGUACCAUCGCAGUAAGUGAGGGGAACAAGUGGACCAUCUCCAACCUCGCCUUCCCACCGCCCGCUGACCUCUAAUACAUCGACAUGCCAUACGUGAUCUCCUUGGCUAAGAUUGUCAAACAACAGAUUUGCAUACACGGACCUGGGCAUACUUCUCGUAACACCUCACUUCAAAGAAGUAGAAGAACUCUUGCACAAUCAGAUCCAACUUGAAGAAACGACUCAGAUUCUCAAAACACAUGAUCGCCCGGUAGAUGUUCAAAGUACAUUGACUUGGAGCACACUCCAUGACCUUCCUAAAGAACUUCGACCUCAGAAACGUGAAGCCCAAGGAGAAGUAAAAGGGGCGGAAUGUGAUAAUUCUGGCAUCCGGAUCAUUCAAGUCCACACAAGUUGCAUCGUUAGUCAAAUACUCUAGCAGCUUGAGAUGCUCAUCAUUAGGUAUGGUAGAAGCAUAGGUGGCAAAGCACAAUUUAGCAACAUAUGAGAACAAUCACAACUAGAAUGUCAUGUUAGUUAGAAAUCAUACCAAUAGGUCGCAAAGCAGCAUAAAACUUGCUAGAAAUUGUGGGACCAUAUAUUUCACAGGCUAAUAAGAAGAUGACACAUGGAAAAGGAAUAUUCCUUCAGUCAAACUAAUUACCCUAAUUAAUUCCUAUUUUAAUUAGAGAAAUUAUCUUUGAUUUAAGAUAGGAAUAUCUCCCUAAAUCAAGGAACCAAUCUCCACCAAAUCUCUUGGAGUAAUUUCUAUCAUCUUUUUGGGGAAGAAUAAUCCAAACCAAAUAAGGAUUAUUCUCUCAAAACCUUAGCACACAAGGAGGCUAUAAAUACAUGGCUACAUAAGGCAUUCAAGGUAAUUCCAAAAACCCUACAAAAAUCCUCUCUAUCUCAUUGUCGUCGCCACUCCCUUUCUCCUCUCUCCCACAUGGCUAAGUGCCACCACACACAGUUCCGGCCAAUCGGCCCUCCUCGUGAGAGAAAAUUCCAUCCAUUUUAGCUAUUGCCACAUCUUUUCUCAAAGAUCCAAUUGAACUAACAUAGGCAUCAAAGAAACACCCCCCCUCGGGUGUGGUCUAUUUAUUUUGUAGGGAUUGAGGAAGAGAGAGAAGGAAGCUCGAAAGGAAAAGAAUAUACACGCAAAUAUUCUCUUGUGAGAAAUUUGUACAAACAGAAAUUUCCUUGGAGUUGUCAACUAGAGAUCUUCUUCUCUUGAUAGUGGUUGGCUAACCUAUUUCCUUGGUUGCGAAGAUAACUUGGCGUGCAAGAAUUCUAGUUGCAAAAGUAGUCCUAUUUUAGCUCCAUGGAAAUCCUUGACAAAUCAUAUAAUAUCGUAAGCAAUUGGCAAAAGGAUGAAUAUAUAUUUAUUUCUAUCAAAAUAGAGUCAAUAUUAGCCAUAUUUUUUUCUAUAUUAAAUGUUGCAUGAAUCCAAAACAUUAUCUUGUAUUUCAAGCAAAUAUCUUCAAGAAUUUCCUCAAUUUGACAUGCACAACAAGUAAUUUCCUUGAAAUCCUAUAGAUCACGUAUUUUGGUCAUAAAUGGGCAAAAAUGCAAAUUUUGGUUCAAACAAUAUCAAAUGAGCGUGUGUGGCUGAAGACAAUUUCGUGCGGUUAUCUCUUACUGGGUCCAUGUGUCAUUAUGUUAUUAGCUUGAGAAUUUUUUGCUCCCACAUAUUCGCCCUAUCUCUUCCAAUCCCAAGAUUUCAUGCUUGCACAAAUCUGGAAGAGACACAUCUCAUUGCCUUUUGAAAAUCUUCACCAUUCCUAGUUCCAAGCUAGUUCCAAACUAGGUUUGGGUACAUACUUAUUUUCGGUCUCAUCUUUAUAGACCGCAACUGGAAGAUGGAGACCUUCAAGGGGAUAAUGACUAUUUCUAUAUUCCCACUAAGUUUUUCCUCAUUAAGUAUCUUAUAAUUCUGUCUACUUUGAAUUAUUUUUCUCGUUUCUUAAGAUUGUAGUAUGACCCUUUGUGUGCAUCAAGGCUCUUUCUUAUCACAAAGGAAUUCUCUUCUCUUUGAAAAGUUCAAUGUGGACAAUGCUAUUGGUCUUCCAAAGAAGUGGCAUCACUGAAGAUGGUUGCAGAGUCCUUAUAGGCCUAUAAAUGUGGGUCUUCCUCGUAGGAAAACUGUUGAAGGUGUCCUUUCCAAUAUUUAGAUGCCUCUCCAAGGCCUUUGCCUCGUUUGGUCAGGUUGGGCCUUUUCCUGUUGUUUUUGAAGAUGUUUGAGCAGACGAAAGUGACUCUCAUGCUCCUCCCCUUUCUUCAUGGAGGAAGAAGGGUUAUGCCUUUGGUGUCUCUACUAGUGGCAUGAGGGUUCUACUAAAAAGAAAUUUUUGAGGAAGGCGGUGGGCUCCUUUGCUGAGUGUGCCGCUAUAGUUGGACAAUGUAUAAUUUUUUUUAGUUUUUGUUUUUGUUGAGAAAUUCUAUGAUUGCAUUCAUAAUUCAGCCAAAAAAAUCAUUAGUCACAAAAUUUCAUUACAACGGAGCGAUCUAACAUUAAAAUUAAGACAAUCCGGGCUCCUCCACUAAGGGUGAAAAUUAAGAACAACAAAAAAUAGAUAAAGGAUGAAAAAACCGAGCAUACAAAUAAAACUUCCACAGAAGAGAGGUGCAAAGCUCUCACAAAUGAGAGGUGAAAAAGUAUCACAAAAGGAGAGGUGAAUGAUAAGUCAUUUAUAUAUCAUAUAAAUUUACUCUUUUCACUUAGAUAUUGUAUGCAAAAGUUUAUUGUUUUAUAGAGAUCUUCACAUAUUCCAGCUUUUGUGUUUUUAGAAACUCGAAAAUGCCAAAAAUUGAGAAAUUAUUUUUUACUCAGAGUUUUGGGAUGCAACUACUUGGAGAUAAAAACUAAGAGGUCAAGGGACGUUGUUUCAAAAUUUGAGUGUUAUUAGGCCAGCCAACUGUUCAGAACGAGUUGUUAAAGUCAGGACAUGUGCCAUACGGGCAGAUUAGAGCUGUUGGGCUUAAGGAUAUUUUAGUCAAGUUUAUGGGAUUUGUCUUGGAAAAUAUUUGUCAUACAAAAUGUAGCUGAGGCCAAUAUGUUUUUAAUGACAUCUUACACGUUAAAGUUGGUGAAAAGUAAGCCCUCCAAAAGCCCAAAAUCGGAAUCUCUGCUAUAAUUCACAAAUAAUUAGGAAAGCUGACUUGUACUUUCUAUUUUUUAUUUUUCCUAUAUGGUUAAAGUUUGUUUGCCAUUCUUGCCUUGCAAGUUAAGUUAUUUGAGGUUUCAUGACCCGUUUCAUCUAGAAGAGAAUACUGCGCUUUGUGUGUGCAUGCAACGUUGUAUUUCAAGGUUUUCUCUUUCACUCUUAUGAUAUUAUUUUGUGUUUUAAUUAUGUUCAUGUGUAACUAAACUUUAAUCUAAUGCGGGGUUAAGCCCUAGCAUGAUGAUAUAGUACUGUACAUUGAUUUAUCCAUAUAUUAAUGUGAUUUUGUGUUUGACUUUUAAUUGCCGAGAUUUAUACUGGCCAUUAUGAUAUAUGACUAGGUUAUAUGAUGAAAAAUUGAGUGAAUGCCACACUGAUUUUGAGUAUGCUUCUAGCAAUUAAAAGGUGUGAUUACUUAUGGUAAAUUCCAUGGUAUAAGAAUUACAUGAUUUAUUUAGUUACUCAUGUUCAUCGUACUUUUCAUGUUUAUAUCUAGCCUAAUGCCAUAAUGAGAUUGCAUGUUGUAGGAAUUAUUCAGCCUAAAUGCCAUAGGGAGAAUAAAUGUAAGUGCUAUAUUGGAUUGCUUGUGGUGGACACCUGGCCUUAGUAUGUUAUUUUCCUCAUUUUCUCAAUCAAUUAAUUAUCCUUCAAAACUUCCUUUCCAAUUUGUGUUUUAUUUUAUUCGCAUUGAAUCUUAAAAGUAAUAACCUUUGCUAUCCUAAUAAUAGCAUUCUUCUAUUGCGAGUAUAUAUAGCGUUUUAACCUCUGUUUUGUAGGUGGCUAAAAUCUUAUCACAAUUUUUGGCGCCGUUGUCGGGAACUGAAGAUCAAUCAUUAUUUAGUUUAUGCUGAGUACUUUACUUUGUUUAUUUUGUUUAAUUUUAAUUUAUUAAUUAGCCGUGUGUGUCUUGUGUAGUUUAUGGUGAGUAGUUGCAAAAGAUCCAAAAAUCCAAAUCUUAUCCCUUACGACUUUGAGCUUGAAAAAGCAGCAAAGAAGAACGCAAGAAACAAAGCUCCAUCUUAUACUACUCAUGAGGAUGGAUUAAUUAGUGAGUCUAAGAGUUCUACGCCUACUCCACCAAGACAGCGCACCAUCUCAAUGGCAUUGAAGAUUCCGACAGCUGGCCAACCCCUAAAAAGCUCCCUCUCUGCCAGAGCUAACAAUUCACUGUCCUGCAUCGUUUAUCCUGAAGUUGAAGAGGGAACUCAAUUUGAGUUAAAGCCAAGAAUUCUGAACUUGCCACCAUCUUUUCACGGCCUUCCCACGGAUGAUCCUUAUAUGCAUCUUAAGUUAUACCAUGAGACUGUGGAAAACAUAAUUAUUAAGGGAAUGGAACCUGAAUGCGUGAAUCGAAGGUUGUUUACUUACACUUUCAAAGGCAGAGCCAAAGCGUGGCUCUACUCAUUGCCUACAAAUAGCAUUAUCACUUGGCACUAGCUCCAAGAGAAAUUUUUGCUCAAAUUUUUCCAUUCUUCAAGAACACUAGCAUUGAAGAAAGAGAUCUUGGCAUUUUCACAAAAACCAGGAGAAGCAUUCCACGAAACUUGGGAUAGAUUUGGUGAGUUAUUCAUGGUGUCCACAUCACGGCCUACAUAGUGGGCUUUAGAUGCAGAUAUUUUAUGAUGGUCUCAAUGCAAUUACCAAAAGCAAUGUGAAUGCUUCUAUAGGAGGAUCUCUGAUGGAAAAGGCAACUAGACAAAUCUAUGAAUUAUAUGAUAUGCUUGCUACAAACUCUCAGCAGUGGUCUGAAGAUAAUACAAAGAAAAAUAGGUUUUUUUGAAAUCAAUCAAGCCACUCCCAAUGUCUCAACUCAAAUUGCUAGUUUGGAGAGAAAGAUUGAAGCCAUGAUGCAUGGUUCAUCAAUUUCAGUAACCUCACAAGUAUGCGCCAUAUGUAGUGUGAAGAAACACAUGAUAUUACUCAAUGCCCAAGCAAAGCCGCAUUUCCAGAGCUUGUUGAAGAGCAUGUUAAUGCUUUGAAUACUUUUAACGGACCAAAUAAUGACCCAUUUUCAUUCACUUACAAUCAGGGGUGAAGGAAUCAUCCAAACUUUGAAUGGGAAGGACAACAACAAUCUCGCUAGCUUCAGCCAUGCACAAAUUAGACUCAAACAUCCCAUGCAGAAAUAAAAAUAUCUACUUUGGAGCAAAUGAUGGCAAAACAACAAAAUACUCUAGAAUAGCAGCAAUCUACAAUGGAAGUUGUGACUUAACUAUUGCAAAAUCAGAGUGCUUCUGUUUCAAAGUUGGAAAUUCAGCUGGGUUAGUUAGCUAAUCAUGUUAAUGAUCGUGAAAAAGGGUUAUUCCCUAAUCAACUUGAACAAAACCCAAGAAAUCAAGAGCACCUCAAGGCUAUCAAGAUGCUUAGAAAGGGAAAAACUUUUGGCAAUAGGCCGAACAUUGAAUUUGAGGAAGAGGAAGCUCAUAUUGAAAAAGGCAUGCAACAUGUGUCAUCCAAUGCCACAACUGUGACAUCACUUGUGCCAAAUGCUAUGUCGGAAGCGCUAGCCCUUAUGCAAGAGCCUAACUCUCAUGAAAGCAAUGCCUGGGGUUUUGGUACCUUGUUUGCGCCCAUUAAAAAACUACCAUAUACUCUGCCAUUGCCUUUUCCUCAGAAAAGAUAGUGUGCUACCAAGGACCAACAAAUGUUGGAUUUCAUGAAGACACUUACUAAAGUGCAAAUUAACUUGCCACUACUUGAUAGAGCAUGAGAAGGUCAUACUUACAGAGCAAUGUAGCGUUGUGCUCCUUAAGAAACUACCACCUAAAAAGCCAGAUCCAAGGAGUUUUACAAUUUCUUGCACAAUUGGAAAUUCUCAAUUUGAAAAAGUUUUAAUUGAUCUAGGAGCUAGCAUUAAUUUGAUGCCUUUUUCAGUUUUUCAUAAACUAGAAAAAGGUUAACUUAAGCCAACUUCUAUAACUUUGCAAUAGGUCAGUCACUUACCCACUUGAAGUUCUAGAAAAUGUCAUCAUCAAAGUGGUUUGGCUCUACCUGCCAGUGUACUUUGUGGUCUUGAACAUGGAAGAAGACAAUGAUGUACCUUUGAUAUUUGGGAGACCUUUCAUGGCCACUGCUAGAACCUUAAUAGAUGUUGAAGAAAGCACCCUCACCAUACGCAUUACGGAUGAAUCAGUAGUUUUUAAAUUGUUUGAUAUUUCCAAGAAACUACAUAACAAAGAUGAUUGUUUUUGCAUUGAGGUAGUGAAAUUUGCGUUCUUGAGAAAUUCAACUUCAUAUAUUAUUCAAGCUUGCCUCACUAGACAAAAGAGUGCUUGGAAGAGGAAGAUGACAUGUUAGAGCUCAUUGCCGCACUUGACAAAGCUCCAAUUCAUUAUCCAAUUAGGCGCCAUUCCUUUGAAGCUCUUUGUCCACCAAAGCCACCCCUCCCACCUUCCAUUAAGUGACCACCAAGGCCGGAACUCAGACCAUGACUAGUUCAUCUUAAGUAUGCAUAUUUGCAUGCCUCAAACACGUUACCAGUAAUCAUUGUAGUAGACUUGAAUGAGACUGAGGAAGAUAAAUUGUUGAGAUUUUUUAGGGAAUACAAGAUAGCCAUUGGAUGGACUAUUGUAGACAUUAAAUGUAUUAGCCCCGCCAUGUGCAUAUACAUUAAAGGUAUUAGUCCCGCCAUGUGUUUGCACAUAAUACUGUUAAAAGCAGAUGCUAAACCUACUAUUGAAGCUUAAAGGCGUCUCAAUCCCAAUAUGAAGGAAGUAGUAAGAGUUGAGGUCAUGAAGCUACUUGAUGUUGGCGUGAUAUAUCCAAUUUUAGACAAUUCAUGGGUGAGUCCUACCUAAGUGCCAAAGAAGUUUGGAAUUACUGGAGUUUAGAAUGACAACAAUGAAUUGGUGCCUACAAGGUUGACUACAGGUUUGAGAGUUUAUAUCGACUACAGGAAGUUAUGCCUUAACAAGGAACGAUCACUUUUCUCUUCCAUUUAUGGAUCAAAUGCUUGAAAGAUUACCCUGCCAUUCUCCCCACUGCUUCCUUUAUGGUUAUUUAGACUAUAAUCAGAUUUCCAUUGCUCCAGAGGAUCAAGAAAAUACCACUUUUACAUGUUCUUUUGGCACUUUUGCCUAUAGGCGCACACCCUUUGGAUUGUGCAAUGCACCAGCCACAUUCCAAAGAUGCAUGAUGAGCAUCUUCUCAGAUAUGGUGGAAAAGAUUAUUGAGGUAUUCAUGGAUGACUUCUCAGCUGUUGGUAACUCUUUUAAUCAAUGUUUGGAAAAUCUUACAUUAUAUUUGGAAAGAUGCAAGGACACCAAUUUAAUUCUAAAUUGGGGAAAAUGCCUCUUUAUGGUGAGGCAUGGCAUUGUACUUUGUCAUUUGAUUUCAAGUAAAGGUAUCGAAGUUGAUAAUGCCAAGAUAGAUUUGAUUGCAAUGCUUCCACCACCAACUUCAGUGAAGGACAUCAUAAGUUUUCUUGGUCACACACAUUUCUAUAGAAGGUUCAUUAAAGACUUUUCAAAAAUCAGCAGCCUUUUAUGUCAUCUUCUUACCAAAUACGUGCCAUUUGUGUUUAAUGAAGCCUGUCUUAAAGCCUUCAACACGUUAAAGAAGCUUCUUACUUCUGCAGCAAUUAUCCAAGCUCUGGAUUAGGAUUUAUCGUUUGAAUUCAUGUGUGACACAUCAGACUAUGCUUUAGGUGCUAUUCUUGGCCAAGGGAAGGAGAAGCUGUAACACCUCAGUUCGGAAAAGAAAAAAAGUAUGUCAAUUAAUUAUUUGUAGUGAAAUUACAUUUUUGCCCUUGAGUGUAGGGACACUUUAGUCACUUUUUAUUCAGGAAGGACUUUGGAAAAUUGAGUGGUACUAUUGCGUAGAGCUCGAUGAUACAUGUUCGUAGACAUGUGGCACACCCAGUUCCGAGUUGUAACGAAGGAGGAAAGGUCUAGAAACAAAAAGGACAUAAUGAGAAUUUUCAAUUUGUUACUGCUAUAGUACUCGUUACAAUAACCGGGGUUGCUUUUUAUUUUUCUCCUUCCUUCUUUUUCCCCCCAACAUUUCUUCUUCCUCUCUUCUCUUGCAACAGUCACUAUAGCAACAAUGACUGUUUGACUUCUCAGCCACCAAUUGACGUCGUCGUGCAUCGGUUGGCCGUGCCACCUUCACAAGAAAUGCUCCUCUUGUCCUCCUCUACAAAACUCAAAACCCGAUCCGAUUCAUUGACGGUGAGCUCAAAUUGAAGCUGAGAAAAGGGUUAGGUUUUUCAGAGAUGUUCUAGCGUUUUCCAGCGAUUUCGAAGGCCAAAUCAGUCGACUAAGGUAUGGAAAUUCAUCCCCUUAUUAUGCUCUACCUGUUUAUGUAGUUAGUGUGGGUUAUUUUUGGAGUUUUGGACAUUGAUUUAAAUACCCAUUUUGGGCAAACGGUUUUGGCCGUUUUUCACCUAUUUUCGGCCACUUUUUGGCCAUUGUCCGAGACCAAAAGUUGCUUCCCUUGUUAGUCCGAUAGGUUUUGGCCGGUGGUUUGGAGAUUUUCUGUAGCCAAAAAAUCUCUCAAGACACCCACCGCUGCCAAUGGUAGAUGGCUGCGUGUGGGCUACUUGGUGGCGGUUCUUAGAGUUCCAAAAUACUCAUCAUGUUGUCCCGAGCACGACGGUAUGCUCGGAUUAGCAAUUGAAUACUGUUUGACUAUCGAACAGAUAUUACGCCUCUUAGGCGAUAUAUGGGUUUGAUAGGUUCGGACCUUCCGAUCAGUCUCAUUUUCAAAUAUGUUGUUCCUUAUAUCUCUAAGAUCGUGUAGAAACUGGUUGAUCGAGAAUCGGAGUCCCGGAUACUCCGAAUCAAUAAUUUUUAUGGUUAAGUAGUAAGUUGACGUCCGAUCGUGUGAUCAUGAGUGAUCUGAUCGCUCGAUUGGGACCAAGCUCUCGAGACGUGUUAUGUAGACUUGUAGGACUUAUAGGAACUUUCGGAUCGGAAAUCAUAGGUUGUGGGUCCCGCGGGCCCAAUUGGUCAAAUUUCGCCAUCAGGGUCAAACCGAACGUUGGAUCAUGAUGAGACUUUUAGGAUGGGUUUAAAUCAUGGUUUUGGACCAAUAGGAAUCGUCGUAUAACAAAUUGAGGUUAUGGUCCCUACGAGCCCAGUUGACUUAGAUAGUUGGCUUUGUCGGCUCUUUUGAGACCAUUUAGUAGUUGUAAUUGUAAUUAGAUGUUUGUUUUAAAAUGUUAUUAUAUUGUGAGAGUUUUAGUAAAUGUUCAUAAAUUAUUAUGCAAUCGCUUUUACUUUCCAAGCAUGUUAUAUUAUGUUUAAUCGUGUGGAGUUGGGAAUGGCUUGGAUAACCGGUUUUGGCAUGAAUAAGGAAUUAAUUAAAUGCUUGAUUAUGUCUAUAUUUAAAAACAUGCUCGGCGGCUUGAAAUCGGUGAAUUAUGGAUACUAGUUUUCUCAAUAGUAUGUUGUACAUAUUUGAAUGUAGUUUGAGAACAGUUUUGAAAGAUUAUGCAUGGUCAAAUUCAAGUUAAGAAAUGUUGGGAUUGAUCUCGUUUUAAAAAGAGAUUUUUCGUUAUCUAUUUAAGAACUGAUUUUUGGAAAGUUGAGGAAGGAUUUGGAAAAUAGAUUUGUGAAUGUGGAUUGAAAAAAAGAGUAAUUUUAUGAUAAGUUUUGGAAAAUGGUUUUCAAACCCACCACAGGAGUACUCCCCCACCACCCCUCUCCCCCCAAGUUGCCUUCAGAACAGUCUAGUCAUUUAUGAAAAUGCCCCAGGAGGGACGCCUAAAUCAUGUAGUGCGAGGAUUUGCGUUCUCAGGUUGAUUAUAUCUUCCUGAGUCCUAUGAGGGGAUUUGAUAGAUAUGCAUUCUCAGGCUGACUACAUGUCCCCUGAGUUCUAUGAGGAUAUGCAUUCUCGGGAUGACGAAGUGUCCCCUGAGUUCUGCAAGGAUAUGCAUUCUCGUGUUGACCACGUGUCCCUCGAGUUCUGUGAGGAUGUAACAUAUAUGACACUUGGAAUUGAAUGAAUAUUAUUGGAAUUGACGGAUUAUGAUUGGGGGUACGCCUGUUAUAAAAAAUAAUAGUUUUCCUCUUUCCGUAAAGCGAAAUACAAAACAUUUAUAUUAUAAAUAACAUAUAAACAAAUUGGAAAGUUUUAAGGUAUAAUGAAAUUUAAGAAAACAAAAUAAUAGGUAAGUAAAGGAAAAUAAAUAAUAAGUAAGAAGGUAAGUUUGGUACGGUGAAGCACGUCAAAGACGCUGUCCUAAAGCCUUUGUAGCCUCCCUACGUACAGGUACUGACGGUCUACAAGAUUCCAAGAUACGACCCCUUGUACACAAACUCAAGAUCCGCUAUGAGCACGUUUACAGACAGAUAUAGGUAUCCAAGUCACAUAACCAUUGCCCAAAAUAAUAAUAAUAUAAAGUAGAGAAUAUAUGUAAAAGUAGACAAUGAGAGAAUUAGAAUGUGUAUGUGAUAUUCUGAUAAUGUAUUGUAAUAUCGUGUGUGUAUCAAAUGUGAAUGAGGAGUGGCCUUUUAUAGGCAUCCAAAAUUAUGUAACUUUCACCAACCAUAAAAGUUCACCAACCAAAAAAUUAAAGCUUUCACCAACCAGAAAUAAAACCUGAAUAUUAAAUAUUUAGAACCCCCACAAUAAAUAAAAUAAAACAGCCAAGAUAAUUAAAUAAAUAAAACGGUUAAAUUUACCUUCGUACUUAUUGGUGAAAGUUUUAAUACAUGUUUUCAGAUUUAUGAGAUAAGGAUUGAGAGUUUUCUAAGUUUUAAGAUAUUUAUACAAUUCACAACUAUUUUCUUAGCUGAUGAGUUUGUUUUUAGAUGUGAAAGAUUGAAGCAUGUUUUAUUCAAACCGUUGAUAUUAAUGUUAAGGUUUCACGUGGCGAAUGUUAUUUUAAUAAUUUUCUCAUUUUCCUACUUAUCUGUAAUGAGCUAUUAUAUAUAUGUAUUUGUAUAUACACAUAUGUGUUGGGUGGAAGAUUGUUCUAAAAUCAAUAUCUUUUGCUUAAGUUUCAGCAGAUUGAUUAGAGUUUGAAGCUUUUGGUUUUAGGAAAGUGUGAAGAAAUAUUUAAUUCAUGUGCUUACAUGUGGGUUGAACUUUGUUUUCUUGUAUAAAGAAUUACGUGUAGCUUGAUCCCUCAGUAAGGGUACGUAGGCAACCUAGGGGCAGUCGUAGGUUUAUGAUUGGGUUGUUUUGUUCAGUUUUGUAAACUUGAAUUGCUGAAUGCUUGGGAAAUUAUUUGAGUUUGCUGUGCAGGCAGAUUUCUGGUUUUUGAGCUUUUUCAAGGGAGACUUUGCUGGUUUUUGCGGUAGAAGUUAAACCCUAAAGAAGCUUUUGGAUUAGGACAAGAAGGGUAUUUUGGUUAUUUGUGCCCGACACCUACCAUGUGUCGUACACACACAAGGUUCGACUCGGAUUCCAAAGUAAAAUUUGGGUCGGGUCCAAUCAGAAGCUGCCUCACGUUAUCUAUUAUGCAAGCCGUACCUUAAAUGAUUCUCAACUUAAUUAUUCAACUACAGAAAAAGAGCUCAUUGCUUUGAUUUUGCUUUGGAGAAAUUUCAAUCCUAUUGAGUUGGUUCCAAAGUGAUUAUUUACACUAACCAUGCAGCCCUCAAAUACUUGUUAUAAAAAUAAAAAUAAAAAGGCAAAGCCGAGAUUGGUUAGAUGGGUGCUUCUAUUACAAGAAUUUGAUUCGGAGAUUCGUUCGAAAAUGUUGUAACAGACCAUUUGUCCAUAUUAGUUCACACUCAUGAUGAAAAAAAUGAUUUACUUCCUUUGCAAGAGAUAUUUCCGGAUGAGAAACUCUUCAACAUUAGUUCUACACUACCAUGGUAUGUAGACAUAGUUAACUAUCUCGCCUGUGGGGUAGUUCCGAAGGAUUUUACAUAUCAAUAGAGGAAGAAGUUUUUAGCUACUAUGAAGUACAACUUUUGGGAUGAUCUCUGCCUUUACAAGCACUGUCCAGAUCAGAUUAUUCGAAGAUGUGUGCCUGCGGAGAAGCAAGGAAAUAUUUUGAAAUUCUCUCAUCAUUAUGCUUGUGGAGGUCAUUUCGGUCCCAAGAGAACUGCAACCAAAAUUCUUGAAGUGGUUUCUUAUGACCAACAUUGUUUAAAGAUGCUUAUCAUUGGUGCCAAGCGUGUGAUAAAUGUCAGAGAGUUGGAAAUUAGUCUUGUAGUAAUGAAAUGCCUCCAAAAAGUAUCUUAAUUGUGCAAGUAUUUGAUGUUUGGGGUAUAGAUUUCAUGCGACCUUUCCCUUCAUCUCAUGGUAACCAGUAUAUUUUAGUGGUUGUUGAUUAUGUAUCUAAGUGGGUUGAAGCCAUUGCGUCUCCAACAAACAAAGCCUCAGUUGUCACGAGUUUUCUUCAAGGAACCAUUUUUCCCAAAUUUGGAACUCCUAGAGAUAUAAUCAGGGAUGAGGGCACACAUUUUAUUAAUCGUGCUUUUGCUUCUAUGCUUACAAAAUAUAACAUCCUCACAGAGUUGCAACAGCCUAUAACCUCUUCUAGAAAAUACUGGAGUGUGAAGCGUACUGAUGCAUUAUAGGCGUAUUGAACAGCCUUCAAGACUCCAAUUGGCAUAUCCUUUUUUCAUUUAGUUUAUGGGAAGGGGUUGCAAUGGUGCAAACUAAUCCUUACUCACAUGUCAAAUUAGAACUCAUAUGUCUUUACUCACAUGUCAAACUAGAACUCAUAGAUUGCAAUUGAGCAAACUAAUCCUUAGACCUGAGACAUCAUAGAUGUCUUGUGGCUAUAUUGUUUGUCUUUGAGGGUAUCAUACAGUUGUGUUGUAGGAGACAUGACCUAAAAGUGUUUAUCAGGACUCUAAUAAAUUCAGGGAGGCAAAUGAAUGUGCAAUAAGGAAUCUCUGUUCUCAAUAAAGAGAAAGACUGCUCCAAUGAUAUGAUUGAUCAAAUCUCUACGCGGAGUAGUGGAUAAGAUUUGAAAGAAGAAGUCUUCAAAUCUUACCAGGAUAAUCAUAUAAAGGAAUAAUUCGCAUUAGGAUACAUUAGAUUACAUUAUCUAAUAAUGUGAAUAAGGAGUAUUGUAUAAGAGAAUGAUUCAAUUGCACGAUCAUUCCAAUUUGAUUAGGUUCUUCCCUACACCUAUUUAGCUCGGAUAACCAUGACAUGUUGCUAGACGUCAACUAUGAUUUGUGAAGUCCUAAAAGGUUCAAUCAUAAUUGAGCUUCACUAACAAGAAGAAUUAAAUAGUGAGAUUAACUCAUUAACUCACAAGUCAACUAAGAGAAGUUGAGUCUACCCACUACCUUACUAAAAGGAACCUACAGAUCGCACACCGAAAAAUGUGAUUAGAGGAACAAAUGAAGAGAAAAGAAACUAGGAGUCAAAAGUCAAUGGUCAAAGUCAACAUAUUUGACCAAAGUAAUUGACUGAGUCAAAUAGUAAAACUAUAAGUAUAACUUUAAUGGUUAAGUUAUAAUUCAUAAUUAAGAGUUAAUUAUGGAAUUAACUUUGACAUGAGGAAUGGGAUUGGGCGGCAAAAUACCCAAAAGUCCUUUGGCCCCAAGGAUAAGUGUUGUAUGACAACAUAAAUCUAAAGACCCAAGUCAAGCCCACCUUUCCCACAUGGCCAGCCAUAGAGAGAGCUUUCUCUCUCUCUCUCCCUUUGUGUGCUUUUUCCUAUAAAAGCUAAACUUGACUCAAAACCUAGUAAGAGAGCCCUCUCUCUCCCUCUGUAUUCUUUUUCCUAUAAAAGCUAACUUGACUCAAAACCUACUAAGGGUUUUGACAUUCCACUGUUGGGUUUUUUAUGUGUAGAAGAGACAUCUUCCCUCUCAUCUUCCUUAGCCAAAAAUCAAUCCAAUCUAGAGGAGGUCUAGCAUCUAAGUCUUCUAGGUUGAUUUCUCUUUAUCUCUAGUCCAUUUUGGUGUGGUGAGGUAGAGGACUUCAAUCUUGGAGUCUUAGGUUGAGGAGCUUGUAAGAAGAGGAAGAAAGAAACUUUUUUUCUUACGAAGGUGUUCAUUCUUAGCUUGUCCAAAAAAUAGUCUUCAAGGGUAAAAUCUUAUCAUUUCUUCUUUUCUUUUUUCUUUUUUUUGUGCUCAAAUAGACUAGAUCAUAAGAUAUUUGGGUUAAAACGAAAAAUACUUAGUUCAACUAGAAUAAGCAUAAUUAAUCCAUCAUUAUGAAUGUUUAUAUGUUAUAUGUUGUGGCUCAAUUCAUUUUCAAGUCAUGAGAUGUAAAUGUUUCCUUCAAAUAAACAGCGAAGUGUAAGAAGUCUUAGUAGAGAUAGAGUUUGUUUCAGAAUUUUGUAUGGGCUUAUCAAGGAAGAGGCAAGGGGAUGUCAACAGAAGUUGUUCACAGAUGGUAACCUAGUACUUCAUAAAAUUGCAAUCCGUAAUCAAUUUCAAUUGUUUGAUUGUUCAAUUUCUAAAGGCAAGAAGAUCCUUCACAUUUUUACCCUUAACCGCGUGGGUGUUUUUUGGACGAAGAAAUAGGCCAACUUAAAAAAAAUGUCUGAUCAAUUUUUAUUUGGGAGCUUCACUAAUAUACCCAAAAUAGGAGCUGAAAUUAUUUAUAAAAAAAACCCCACAUAGAAAAAACUUUAUAAACACAUUCAAAACCCAUUUAUUAAAUAACAAAUUAGUGUUGAAGUUUCAAUAAAUUACAGCACUGCCACUAUCAAGCCCAAUAGAUAAAAACUCAAAAAGCACCCAAAACAACCCCAACCCAAAUUUAUAAACAAGCCCAAACAUUUUACCAUCUCGAAAAUCGUAACUUUUGUCCACAAAAAAAAAGUAAACUGUAACUUAACUGCCAGCACGCGCGCCUUAUUAAGUCAUAUCUGCAAAACGUCUCUUCACUCAGCGUCUUCAUCAAAUCGUCUGCAAAGCCGAGACUCCAUAACCACCACCAAGCUUCAUCUACUUUCAAAAACAAACACCAGACAUUGACCUCCACCUUCAAAACCAAGACAAAAUUUCAGAGAACAAUUUCAACAAGAAAACGCUUCAAAGGUAAGACAUUUACAAACCAAACCUUUACUGUAAUAUUGAUUAUUUGCUAUAACGAUCCAGUCUAGGGUAAUAACAGUAUUUUAGAUUCAAAUGAAGGACAAAAUCUUGAAACUAUAUUGGAUUUCACUAUUGGACUAAAUGCAUAUGACCAUUAUUCUAGUCACUAAUUUAGUCGUUAGUUUACUGUCAUGUUGAUUAAUGGCUAUAAAGUUUCAGGAUAGGGUAAUAACACUGAUUGUACACUAUGAAAUCCUAUUUGUAAUGCAUGUCUACCACUAUAAAGUUCCAGUAUAGGGUAAUAAUACUACUUGUUUCCUAUGAAAUCCCCUUCGUAAUGCUUGUCUACCACUGUAAAGUUCCAGUAUAUGGUAAUAACACUGAUUGUUCCCAAUGAAAUCCUAUUUAUAACACAUGUUUGCCACUGUAAAGUUCCAGUAUAGGGUAAUAACACUACUAGUUCCCUAUGAAAUCCUAUUUCUAGUGCAUUUCUACCACUGUCAAGUUCCAGUAUAUGGUAUUAACAUUGAUACUUUACUGUCAUGUUCCUAUUUCUAAUACAGGUAUAUUAAUUAAAAGAUGAAGAAAUAACAAACCAGAAGAACCUCCAAACCAAAAGGACAACAGCCAUCAUCCAAAACAAAAACAAACAAGAAGCCAAGCAGAUAGGAGGACCCAAAUUAUGUGCAAAUCAAGAGCAACAUGCUCUCUUUUGCAACAACAAUUGACAACAUCAGACAAAGACUUGAACAUCGGCACGAUGUCUUACACUGCUAUCAAAGACACCUUUUGGACAUUGAUAGAAGCAUAUAUCCUGAGAAGGUUAACAAAGGUAGAGUGCAUGAAGUCUAACUAUGACAUUGUGAGACUCAUACUAGUUUAUGACACAAAGAGAAAGAAGUUCAAGUUUAAUGAUGGUGACAGUGAGAUGAAAAGCCAAGAUGUGGCUGAAAUUUUUGGCUUGCCAAAAAGAGGCAAGAAGCUACCAAGCACAACAACCUCAACAAGGCCAGAUUUGCAUUUUGUAAAGAAAUACUUCACGGGUUAUAAGAAGAUAACAAAGACUUCAAUUGACAAUUGCUUGAACUUAGCACUUGAAGAUGAAACAGAAUAGGGUGCUAUGGAUAUAACAAGAUUGAUAAUCCUACAACUCUUCAUGACCAAUCUCUUCUGCAACUCUGGUUGUACACUUGCUUGGACAUGUACAACCACAAUAGACAUUUUAGAAGAGAUGGGGAAAUAUAAUUGGGCUCAAUGAGUUUUGGACUACAUGUAUUUUGGAUUAGAACAAGCAAAGAAGAACAAGAAGGACAAAAAAAAGCAACCAAGCAUGAGUGGCUGCCUAAUCCUAAUACCGAUAAGAACACAAAUCUCCAAACUGCAAAUUCAUAGCAUUACUCUAAUGAUAUGAAUUGACACGUGAUAUUGCAAAAAAAAAAUUGUGCAGUAUUGGCUGUGUCAAAGAUCUAACCUGCUCACUCCAAUUCCUGGAAAAGAACAAAUGACACCAGCCGCUGUCAAAUGGAGUUUUCAAGAACUCAACGCGAAACUUCAUCAUCUAAAGAACAACCAAAUAAAAGUAAUAUUUCCUUUCAAAUAAUCUGCAGCUGAUAUGACAACACUGUUAAUACCAUGUCAUAGACAUACAUUCUUAAUACCAUGUCAUAGAAGUAAACUAUGAAUACCAUGUCACACAGGUAAACUAUGAAUACCAUUUCAUAGAAGUACACUAUUAAAAUCAUGUCAUAGAAUUACACUCUUAAUACCAUGUCAUAGAAGUACACUCUUAAUACUAACUCUACUCAACAAACAGAUAAAAGCACUAAAGGUCAAGAGCCGGAUGAUGAUUCUGAAGAAGAGAAUGAAGAGAAUGAUGAUGAUUCUAAAGAAGAGAGUGAAGAGGAGGAUGAUGUUGCUGAAGAAGUGAAUGAAAAGCAUGAUGAUGAUGCUGAAGAAGAAAAAGAGGAGAAGGAUGAUGCUGCUGAAGAGGUGAAUGAAGAGCAUGGUGAUGCUGCUGAAGAAGAAAAUGAAGAGGAGGAGGAUGCUGAAGUGAAUGAAGAGCAUGAUGAUGCUGCAGGCCAGCAACACCACCAGCUACAAGAAGACCUCCAAACUGAAAUCCCAGAAUACCGGAAUUAAACGUUGUUUGAGGAAAUUGUUAGAUCAGUCCCAUAAUACAAGGAGGAUGAAAUACAGCUUACAAAAGAGUAUAUGAUGGCAAUCAAUAAUGCUACUAAAUAUUGGACAAAUAAAUGAGAACAUUAAAAGAUCCAUGAUGCAAUAGCAUCCUGCAUAAAAAAGAAUAAAUUGAUUCAAAUGCUAUACAAUAAAAAAGAAGAAUUAAGGAAGCAUCAAUAGCAAUUACAGAAGAUGGUCAAGGAAGCAGCAUAUCACAAGAAUGCCAUACAACUUGAUGUUUAUGAGGAAAAACCCUACAUGACAAAGCUGCAGCUAGAAAAUGAUCAACUUUUUGCAGAGAAGAUUUCCUACUUGGACAUUAUUAAUGAAAAGGAAGCUGUUAUUGCCUCGUUGAGAGAUCAAAAAUUAGCGCAAGAACUGCAGAGUGAAUACGAUAAAGGAGAAAAGAAAGAAGGUGAAGCAGAAAAGAUAAUAUCAAGAAAACCAGAUUCCUCAUUCCCUAAAGCAGACACGAGAGCACAAAAAAAACCUCAAAAACCAACCAAAUCAAAGAAUAGGGCCAAAGGUUCAUUCCUGCAAUGGAAUACAUAUCAGGUCUACAACAUGCUGGAUGAACUCUCACAAGAAAGUUGAGAAAUUACUAGUAAAAUUCAAUUGAUGGGUAAGGCAAUGUGUUUCAUUUAUUUUCAAUGCAAGAUGCUAUUAUUGAACAUGCAUUAGAAAAUAGGAUUUCAUUGUGUUAUGACCCUAUACUUGAACUUUACAGGGAGUAGACAUGCAUUAGAUAUAGGAUUUCAGAGGAAUCUAGUAGUGUUAUUACCCUAUACUGGAACUUUGCAGUGAUAGAUAUGCAUUAGAUAUAGGAUUUCAUAGGAUACAAGCAGUGUUAUUACCGUAUACUGGAACUUUAUUGAACAGUUCUUUCACUUUUAUUGACAUUUUUUCUAACUACAAAUAUUGUUACAGCAUUGCUUUUUGGCAAGGGACAAGCAUUUUGUUCAAAGAUGACAUACCAAGCUUAUUAAGAGAUACUGAAAUUUAUGGACAAAUCAUAGAUGCUUAUGCCGAGAUACUUCAUCAUGAUGAAAAGAAGAACCCUGAAAGACAACAGAAUGCAUACAUCACGUGCUCCGCAUACGUAAGAACAUAAUUAUCCCAUUACUUCUAGUAAAAAUCACAAAUUAUUCAUCUUCCUAUACAUUUCACAUUCUCUCUAAUGCCGAAACUAUUAAUCUUGCAAAGAUACCUCACAGGUAAAAUGCACCCAAAAACAUUCGAUGAAUAUUUUUUUCAAACUCCUCGAAUGCAUAGGGAAAACUUCAAAAGUGUUCAUACCAAUAACGGAUGGCGAACACCACACCCUGCUUGUCUUUGACACCAAUCCAUUGCAAUGGACUCACUACAACUCAUUGAGGGGGGGAACUGAGCAAACCGUUGAAUACUACAACAAAAAAGCAAUAAUUCUUGUAAGACAGACUCCUACUAUGAACUGUUAAUACAAGGCAUGAACAAAACAGUUUAACAAAAAUCAAUGAAGCUAACAACAUACUUGCCUACAAUGCAGGCAGAUGCAUCAAAUGUCUUCCUCAAUAGUGCCAAGGAAUGUGCUCCAACAAUUUUAGAAAAAAACAGCUUCACACUUCUAAAGUUCAAGAAGCCCGUCUACGAUGAAGAAUUGACCGACGAGAUUGCAAAACUUCUUCUGAACAUGAAAGUUACACCAGCAAUUGCUCAAACAAUACAAUAUCUAAUGAAACAUGCUCCCACCAAAUUCAACUUUAAGGAGGACAGGGAAUGCGCCCAACAACCUGAAAAGUCGUAAGUGUCACAAUAACACUUUUCUUCCCCCAAUUCAAAUUAAACUAUGAUUCACAAAAUGUUGCAUAUGUAUAUAUGUAUGAAUUUGCAGAAAUGAUUGUGGAGUAUUUGUUAUGUACUACAUGUAGUAGUUGUCACAAGGAAAAUAAAUUGAAAAAAGCUUGAGUACAGAGCCUGUGGGAAAUGAGAAAAGCAGGAAAAAAUUUGGUAUUUCACAAAAGGGAAUGAAGGAUGAAAGCAUGGAUUUCACAAAUUUUAGAACUAUAAAAUAGUAAAUGCCCAGCUUCUAACUUUCAAAUGUCAAAUUGUUAAUAUGUAGCUUCUAAAAAAAAAUAUUUUGUUGCUUCUUAACUUUCAAAUGUCAAAUAGUUACUGUGUAGUGAGAUUCAAAUGUAAGAAAGUGUUAUUGUGUAGUUUCUUCUAAAUUUCAAACUGCGCAUUAAUAGUGCAUUUCAACACGCGUAUUAACAAUGACUUUCACAAAGCCCAGCCUAAGUUGAGAAAAUCAAGGUCAAAAAUGAAAUAAAAACCAAAACAAAUCAAGCAAGCCAUUGAAAAAUACAGAGAAAAAAAAAGCCUAGUCUAAUUUGACCAAAAAAAAAGCCCAAAUAAACUAAAAAGUCUCACACAAAAAGAAGCCCACAAAACUCAACAAGCCAAUAAAGCCCAAUUUCACUAAGCCCAAUGAAAAAAAUAUAUAUAUCUAAGCCCAAUUUCACACGCACACACCCAAAUAGCGAAAAACCAACUCACCUCUCACUCCAAUCUUUGCGACACCAACUCCAAAAACAGGCGACAACCUCCAUAACAAUCCUACAGGAGACAAACUCCAUAACCACCAACUAACGAUAACUUCAUAACGAGAAAGCCGGCAAAUCGAAGUUACACUCUGCCAUAGCCAAAAGUCUUCAAAAUCGACACUACAAAACCCUAAAAAAGCAACUGAGCACAAGGACAACCCAGGAAAAAAGGAAGAAAAUUUCAUCCAUAAACAUCGACAGAAGGUACAAUCUCAAAAACCCACACUCACUUUCCACUUUUCAUCUUAAGAUUCUACUAACUAAUUCAAGAGUGCCACGUUUAAUACAAGUAACCAACGAAAAGGUCUAACAAUGACAGAAACAAACACUCAAGAUGCAAAAAGCACAGAAGACCAUCCCAAAUCAAACCAAGAAACUUCAGAAAUGGCUGACAAAGCAUCAGUAUCAAACUUCCAGGUAUUAUAAAAUCUCUUAACUUCAAAGUCCAAUAGCAAUGUUUUGACAUGUUUUGAAAAGACGCAUGUUUUGACUGCAAUGUAUAUGUUUCAUAACUGUUAAUACUUUGUCAUAGAACUUGAACUGUUAAUACUAUGUCACAACUGUUACUACUAUGCUCCUUGCUCUUCUAGUGCACUACGAAGUAGUGCACUUGAAGACCAAAAUAUAUAGCAUCCUUUGUUAAUCAAAAUCUGGGACUGCUAUGCAUCUUUCUCUUCUAGUGCACGCUGCUAUGCAACUUUCUCUUCUAGUGCACUGCGAAGCAGUGCACUUGAAGACCAAAAUAUAUAGCAUGCUUUGUUAAUCAAAAUCUGGGACUGCUAUGUAUCUUGCUCGCAGUGCACUUGAAGACCAAAAUAUGUAGCAUCCUUUGUUAAUCAAAAUCUGGGACUUCUAUGCAUCUUGCUCGCAGUGCACUUGAAGACCAAAAUAUAUAGCAUGCUUUGUUAAUCAAAAUCUGGGACUACUAUGUAUCUUGCUCGCAGUGCACUUGAAGACCAAAAUAUGUAGCAUCCUUUGUUAAUCAAAAUCUAGGACUUCUAUGCAUCUUGCUCUUCUAGUGCAUAGAAAGAGAAGCAUGAGGUUCAAAUGCAUAGAAGUAAAUGGUUAAUACCAUGUCAUAGAAGUAUUCAUAUUUAUGUUUCAUCUUUCUUUUGCUUAGUUAAAGUAACUUAUUUGUUUCACUUUGCGGGUGGUCAUAUGGAAAAAGGUAACAGGGUUGAAAUUAAAAAAAAAAAAAAGCAUACAAAAGGAUCCCAAGCUAGCAAAGCAUAAAACAGAAUUAACAAACACACAAGGCACACCACCAACAAUAGCAAAAGCCAAACCAUCCACACCCAAAUCCACAAAUACACUGAAACCAAAGAAAACAAUGAAGACCAAAAAAACACCAUCCAAAACACAAAAACCUCGACCAAACAGAAGCAAUAACCCAAAUUAUGUGCAGAUCAAGAGCAACAUGCUCACAUUUGACAACACAUUGCAAACGGUAAAAGACAAGCUUGCAGCAAGAAAGGAUGUCCUCAAGAUCCUACAAAAAAUGCCAUUCUGGAGCAUCAUCAAGGCUUAUAUGGAAGGUCAAUUAACCAAGGCAGAAUGCCAGAAGUCUAAUUAUCAAAUAAUUAGACUAAUCAAACUCUACAACCCCGCAACCAAAAUAUUCAAAUUCAGUGAAGGCAACGAAUAUGAAAUUACAAGCAACGAUGUGUCUGACAUCUUUGGAUUGCCAAACAAAGGAAACAAGUUCCCAAGCACAACAACUUCCACAAGAACAAAUUUGGGCUUUGAAAAGAAGUACUUCAAGAAUUCAAAAAAUAUCACAAAAAACCGAGGUUGAUCGGUUUCUGAACACAGCAAUAGCAUAUGACAGAAACAAGAAUGCAAUGGAUGUUGUGAGAUUGUUAAUCCUAGAGCUGUUCAUCACAAAUCUCUUUUGCAACUCUGGGCAACAAUGGCUUGGACCUUUUUGACAAUGAUUGACACCUUAGAAGCAAUGAACAGCUACAACUGGGCAAACGGAGUUUUAGAUUAUAUGCAUUUUGGACUGGACCAAGCCAUAAAAAAUAAAAAAGGACAAGACAAAUCAACCAAUUGUCAGUGGUUGCCUUGUGCUAAUCUUGGUAAAAAAACUACAUCCAUUUGUUAAUGCUAUUAUAUUAUUUGUUUUCAUGUGCAUUAACACUUUAUAUUGAAAAAAAUGUUUGUAGUAUUGGCUGUGUGAAAGAACUAACCUCAACUCCUGGAAGAGAAGAUCACAAACCAGCGGCUGUCAAAUAGAGCCUUCCGGAGCUCAAUAUCAAGCUGAAUAUUGCAAAAUAUGAAAACACUAAGGCAUUUUUCUUACUUCCAUAAACAUAUAUAAUGUUAGUACACCAUAAUUACUACUUACUCCAAUAAUUCAACAGAUAAAAGCUGCUGACAAUGAAAAAGAGGAAGAAGCAACAAAGACUGAUCAUGCAGACCAUGAAGAACAAGAAGAAAAUGAAGAGGAUGAUGACUUUGUUAUCACACUUAAAGAUUGGGUAAGAUAACCUACAAUGAUCCAACAUUUAUAUUUCAAAACUGAAUUGAUGGUGUACAAACACAUAUACAUGUAUAUAAAUUUGCUAAUACUCUUUUUUUCCUUUCUAAUAUUUGUGACAGUUAAAGAGUCAAACACAAAAAGGAAAAAAGUAGACUAUUAUUACCCAGAAACAGAACUUCAGCUUCCAUGAAAAUGUGGACCAAAGUGCAACCCAGACAAAAACUCCACAACAUGAGCAAAAUGAAGACAAUGCACAAUCAUUGGGAUGCAAAGCAGAUGAUGAAAUUGAAGAACCACCAGCACAAUCAUUGGGAUGAAAAGCAGAUGAUGAAAUUGAUGAUCAAGCAAUUGACCUUAGUGCAGACUCAAUGAUUGAGGAAGACACUGUUAAUGUCCAGCAACAGCAGCCAGAACUUGACAACCAGGAUGAAGACUUCGACACCAUUUUUAAAGACAUAGUGGGUUCAAUUCCAAAGUACUACAAGCAUGAAAUAGUCCCUACCCAUGAGAAAAUCCAAUAGCUGAAAGAAGCAGUCGACUAUUGGAUUGAAAAGGCACAUACUCGAAGGGAUUUGAUGCAGAUUGCUAUAGAAUCCUGCAUAAAGAAAAAUUCAUUCGUUCAACAAAUACGGACUGAAAAGGAAGAGUUGGAGCAACAAAUUAAAAUACUGAAAAAGCAGCUUGAGCAAGAGAAAAAAGAAAGUGCAAAAUUACAAGGGGAACUUCAUGCACUCAAAUCAAACAGGAGACAGCUACAGGAACAACAUGAACUACUUGAAGGGGAAAAGUUGUCCUGCAUUGAGAGCAUGAAAGAAAAAGACACUGUUAUUGCCUCUUUGAAACAUGUGAUGGGAAAAAAUUUCAAACAUGGUGAACAAGGAGAAAUUCCAAUGAAAGAACAAGCUGAUAAGGAGAAAAAAGAUGAGAGAAUAGCAGAAGAAAGUCAAUUGGAGAUGCAAGAAUCUCCUAAUGAUGAAGAUGAGAAUGCCGAUGAAAAAACUCCUGAAAACUCAGUUAUCAUGCAAGCGAAAGAAGCAGGAACACGGCAGUUAUGUUCUGGCAUCAAAAUAAUCAAAUACAUAAAAGACAGAAAGCCUGCAAAGAAACCAGACUACACAUACCCCGAAGCACAUAAGAAAUCCCGAUAAAGAGCAAGCCAAAGCGAAGAUGAAGCAGCCAACAAAAAAAAGGACAAAGAUACAUACCUUCAGUUGCACAUGUAUGAGGUCUACAACAGGCUGGAUGAAAUAUCAAAGAAGAAGUUGGAAAAUUACUGGAAAUCUGCAUCUAAUACUGAUGAGUAAGCCAAUCUGUCAUAGAAUUUCACUGUUAAUACUAUGUCGUAGAACUGUCAUAGAAUUUCACUGUUAAUACUAUGUCAUAUAAUUGUCUUGUUAUUAAACUAUUACGAGAUUAUUAUUUGUUGAAUUAUUAUUUAAACAACAUUAUUGUUGCAAAGACGUUUUUACCUACACAAUAGGACAAUAUUGUACAAGCACAACAUUGAAAAGCUGAUGGGAGAUGAUCUAAUUUCUGCACUAAUCAUCGAUGCUUAUGGAGAGACACUUAAUGAUGAUGCAAAGCAGAACCCUCAGAAACAAAAAAAAUGCAUAUUUGUCUGCCAAUACUAUGUAAGAUCACAUCUAAUACAUCAAAUUUAUAUCAUCAACAUGCUCACUAAUCACCAACACAUGACUUUUGCAUAUGUUUUUGCGAGGUGCUUCAUACAAGCUGACAUAUCAUGCUUUCUAUAUGCCACUCCUAGAAAAUAUUGGAAAAGUUGAUAGAGUGUUCAUACCAAUUACAAAUGAAAACCACCGUACGCCGCUUGUCUUAGACACCGGUGCAGCAAAAUGGACACACUUCAACUCAUUCAAGGGGACAUUAGAACAAACUCUCCAAUAUUAUCACAAAAAGGUAAUUGUUUUGGUAAGUAAGAUUGGUGAUUAACACUGUUAAUACAUAGGACACUAAAUUUAAAGGAAACUAAGCAUAUACUUGACUAUGAUGCAGGUUGAGACAGCAAAUAUAUUCCUCUGUCUUCUUAAGGAAUGUGUUGCAGCAUCACUGAAAACAAAACUCGUCCAAAUUCCUUAUUUGAAUGCCAAGAAGCCGAGAGAGCUGAAUGAAGCUUCAGCUAAAAUGAUAGCAAAAAUACUUGUCAGCAUCAAACUUACACCAGAAUGUGCUCAGACAUUGAAGUAUCUGAUUCGUCAUGAUACUACUAGCUUCAAGCUGACUGAGAACAAAGAAUGUCCCCAACAAGCAAACAAUUCGUAAGUUACGCAAUAACAGUGAAACUUUAAUCCUCUUCAACUAAAAAAAUACUGAACUAACUCCUGGAUGCUAUCUCUAUUAUGCAGCAAUGAUUGUGGCGUCUUUGUCAUGCACUUCAUGAAGCAGCUUUCCAAAGACCAACAAAUAGAAUUAGAUUUCAACAAAGAAAAGGUCUGGGAAAUGAGAAAAGAAGUCCUCAUGAAAAUUAUGAGCAAUGAAAGAAGUUGGAUUUCCAUCAAAGAAAGAGAAGAGAGAAAUGCAAAAGAAUGAAAGUUGUAAUCAAAUAUUUUGCCAAAAUUCUUGCUUAUAUUGUAGUUUCUUAGGACUUGUGUAGGUUUAGAACAUUGAAGUUAAGUGAAUUUAAAAUUCAAGUUAUGUACUUAUUCAAAAACCAAUUUAUUUACGUGAAUUAACAGUGUAUGUAACCUGACAUGAUGGUCUCCAUAACACUAAAAGAACUAAAAAGGUGAACAACAAAUAACAACGCACUCUAAAACAAUGUUAAUGCUAUUUGAUAGAAAUAAAUUGUUAAUACCAUGUCAUAGAACUAUCUUUUAAUUUCAACAAUGAUGUAAACAACGCGCGUUAAACAGUGUUAGUUAAUUUAUAGAUCACUCAAACAGAAAUAAUGCUUAAUUCAUAUCAAACUUCAAAACCAAAAUUUGUAAAAUACCAAAAAUGGUAAAUAUUAUAUAUUAAUACCAAAAUUCAAAGAGUAUUCAUAUGCAGUAACUGCUAUUUCACCGUAUUAACAACUUGCAUAUCAAUUUCUAUUCCUUUCAACUAUGAUUGUCAUUAAUCAAUCACAUAGCACUUUAACUACUUAAAAACUAACUACUCUCAUUCAAGUCUUUAUACUCUAGAACCUUUACAUCAAAUAGGAGCCUUGCAAGUCCUAUUAUGAAGAUCACAAGAUCUGCAUCUCUUGCAUUUCACCUGCCUUUUAGUUUCACUGCUUGACUUGAAGCGUUUUGUCGGAGCUUGUCUCGGAGGCUUUCUUAUAUGAGGAGGUAGAAUAAAAACAUCUCCAGGAGGAGGCUUCUCAAUAUCAGGUAUGGGAAAUAUAAGGGUUGCAUAAGUAGCCCUAUAAAAGUCUGCCUUGUAAUACUCAUCAACAAAGUUGUACAAACAUAACCCGGCAUGUUGGAUAACUUGAAUAGCAUGCUGACACGGAAACCCAAGCAAUUGCCACUGAUAACAGGAGCAAAACCUCUCGUCCAAAUUGACCAUAACACUAAAAUCAACAUGAACUUUAAAUAUAGAUUCACUCGCGUGACAUAUCCUCAAAUGACGACCCUUUGCAGCUAAAUUCUCCAACUCAUCCUCAAUAACCUAACACAAAACACUACACCAUUUCUCAGAUGCAAGCUUCCUCCUAGAGAUCAUCUCCAUCAUUUUGACCCUAAUAGUGUCAAUCAUCUCAUAAAUUGGAAGCCUACUUACAUCCUUAACCCAUGAAUUAAACGACUCGGACAAGGCAUUACUAACCUCCCCAUACCUCUUUCCCGGAAAAAAUGCAUUAGCAAAAUUUUGGAUAGGGAGAUCAACCAAAAUCUUAUCAAUUAUUGUUGAACCGCCAUCAUCUCUUAAUUUUUUCAACGUAUCUUGAUAUUCCUCAACAGUCGGUGCAUAUAACAACUUAGAAAAAAGCCACAAAAUAUGAUCCUUGAAAGAGGAACCAACAGAAUGCAGAUACUUCUUUUCCAAGUUCUCUUUCAAAUGAUAUAGACAAAAACCAUGGGCAGAAGCAGGAAAAACAGUCCUAACAGCAUCGAUAAUAGCACCAUGCCUAUCAGAAAUGAAUGUAAGUAGCCUACCUUCAUCCACCAAGACUUCAAAUAUCCUUUGCAGAAAUGACCUCCAAUUGUCUACAGUUUCACCGGAUACAAUCGCAAAGGCAAAAGCGAAUACUUCUACAAGAAACAGAGAACUAUAUUAGUUAGUUUGAAUAUUGCAAGAGCUAACAGUGUUACAACAUGAAGCAGAGUCAAACUACAAUGCAUAAAAAUACUAAGAUGCAGGGUAUGAACAGUAUAAAAACUGUUCAUACCACUCAAUGGAAGUCAACAACUACAGCAUUUACAUUUGCAUAACUACAUUGUUCAUAUCACUCAAUGGAAGUCAACAACUACAUAAUAGGUACAAAAAAUUGUAACAACAGCAGUGAAAAAAAAAAUGCACUGCAUACCUUUAUUUCCAUUCUUUGCAGUAGCACUUAGAAAAGUACCUUUGUACUUGUUUGUGGCGAAAGUACCAUCAAUGAACAGCAUAGGCCUACACCAUCGAAAACCAACAAUGGAGGCCUUAAAACAUAUAAAGAUCCGCUGGAAACGAGAACCAUCCUCGCCACAGUCAAGCACACAAUGAGAUCCGACAUUGCUGGCCUUCAAAACAUCCACAUACCAAGGCAGGUGAGCAUAAGACAACUCCUCAUCACCAUGUAAAUCCUUGGUAGUCGACUCCUUCCCAUACCACGCAACAUGAUAAGGGAUAUCCAAUCCAUAAUUUUCCUUCAAAUCAAUAAUCAACUCAAUAGCCCUUACCAGAGGAUUGCUACGAACUUUAUCUUUGACAAUUGAAGACACCAAACAAGACCCCAUUGCCUUAUUUCUCUUCUCACGAAUCAAACCAUUGCAACUGUGUGUGUUAUUUAAAUUCUUAAUAUAAAAAAUUCCAUUUACAUUGGACUUAACAGCAUGCACAUGCCACUCACAGCCAUUUGAUUCCUUCUUAGCACACACGACAGUAACACAACGAGGCUCAUUUUUCAAAUACUUCAUCUUAAAACCAUUCUCAAUCGAGUACUUAGCCAACUUAUCACGGAAUUCACAAACUCCACCCUUAAACUUCUGACCCUCAUGACUAAUAUAACCCUCCCAAUCAGUAGACAAAUACUUACGACCUCCACAACUACCAUAUUUGCCUAAAUAUUCAUUUCCAAACUCACUACUAAUACCAUCAAAAUCCAUACUCAAACAAGAAGAAGAAGCUGCACUUGAAUCAACAAUACUACCAGUUUGACUUGAAUCUUUACAUGUAUCCUCAUGUUGUGCAAAACUGUCAUUGUUAGGAACAGCCUCCAAUAAAAAAGGAGAAGCAUUUAUGUUCGUAUUAACAGUUUGAACAUGAUUCACUACAGCCCUAUCCCUAACAGCAAUGUGAAUUAAUUGAUCCUUCAUCAGUCUACAUACCAUAAACAUGAUUUUCAAAUGAUCAUCCGAUUCCAAUAAACAAUUGUAGCAAUCCGUAAAAGAGUACCUCAACUCAAAAUAACCUAACUUAAGCUUAAACCUACUACACAACUUGUUGGACACCCAAUCAAAAGUAGUAAUUGAAGUAAAAAUAAGCAUUAAAGUUCCAAUACCAUAGGUGCACUUCGCCACUCUCGAAUCAUCCAUAUCUCUACAACAAAAUAAAACAAGCAAAACAAACAUGACUACUAGCAUUAACAGUGAAUUAUAGUCGACUCAAUAACCAAUAGUGCAUAAACACAAAAAACACGAAUAUACUCAUAUUCAACUGAAAAAGUAUACCUCAAUAUGAAAACUAAAUCAAAUAUCACAAAUUUUUUACCACAGCUCAAACCAAAACACAAGAGCAAAUCCACAAUCAAAACGAAUCUGAAAUCAAUCCAAAUUAUAAACAAAAAGAAACGAAAACCUAAUCAGCAACUUAAUUAAUCGAACAUGAAAUCACCAAAAAUCAUACUACAAUAUAAUCGAAUACCUCAAAAAAUGAAUAUCAAUUCACAAGAAAAAAACAAAUACCUCAAAAUCGAAGACCACAGAUCGCACCAAGCUCCAAUCGAGUCUCAUGCAGCAGCGCAAUAUCAAUCCAAAAAUUACCAAAUCAAACAAGAAAGAUAAAAAUUGAAGCAAUAGAACUCCAAUCGGCACCAUACUGAGCUCAGAUGAAUCGAAAAAGAAGAUCUGGAACCACAUCAUACUGAGCUUCGUUCGAAGAGGUGAACGAAGCUCGUUUGGAAUAUUCGAUCUGCUGACUGCCAAACAGGUUUCAAUUAUGAGGUCACCAACGUAAGUUUCAAGAAAUUCCUAUCCUAGCUGGCGAGUUUUGGGUAUGUUUCAAAAAAUUCAAACCAAAAGGUCAAAACCGUAAUCUAACAUAGAAAAUAAAUCCAAAAAUCUCCAGCUGUCAAUUUUAGGGUUUAUUUUGGGUGUGUUUCUAUGUAUUAAAUAGUGUAGGGUAUAUUUAUAGUUUCAUGUCUAGGAAUGGGUAUUUCACUAAUUUUUUAUUUUUAUUUUUCAGGCUUAUAGAAGAAAAAGGGAAAAUACCAACAAUUAAUUAAUUUAAAACAAUUGAGAAUUUGUCAUUAACAUUAGGACCGCAUAAGAAUGUUUGAAUCAUUGAAAUGCAAUGCGUAAGGACCCAACAAGAAUGUUCAUCAAAUAAAUUUAUUUGAUUGAUCCCUCAAUUGAAAAGUUGUGUUGUAUAUGCAUAGUCAUUCGAAAAUUUCAAUAACGAAAAAGAAGGAUCUAGAAUUGUAUACCAUGCACAAUCCAUUGAAACUAAAUACUCAUUCUUGUGAGUUUUAAUACAUUAACCCUACAGAUAGGCUUAUUACAUUUUCCUUUGAAAUGAUCGGUCAAGGAUUCAAUUCCUUUCAACGUAACAAAAAUUACAAAUUACGAAGUUCUACAACAAUGCUAUAUUUUGUAAAUGCAGUGCAUUCUUACACCUUGACCUUAGUAAAUUAAUUCUAACAAAUUCAUAAGUCGCCAAAAUAGUAUAUCUGCCUGUGCUACAACUUACAGAAAAAAUGAAAAAUGCUGCAGAAUGCGCCUAGCAUUACAAUGCAGUUACAGAAUUUUAAUGAAAUUUUGUACUAAGCUUGUGAGGAAGGCUCCCAAUUUAGUUUGAGUCUUGAAUCCAAAGAAUUAAUCAAAUCAUAGUAAGCUAUGGGAUGACAACAAGACCUCUCUGCUACGCAUCUCAGACGAACUGUGUCGGCAUGGGCAGGUAACCAGGCUUAUGAGCUUGAAAUGACAUCAGUUGUGGAAUCAACAUUCUGUUUCCCAUUGCCAAUAAUAAGACUACUCAAGGGGCCACUAAAUUCCGACCCAUAGAUGUGACCCAUUUUAGCACGUUUAGUCUCUAAAUACCUCUUGUUCUCCUUAGUAAUGGGAGUUACUAAUGGUAUUCUGCCCGAAACUGUUAAACCAUAACCCUUUAGCCCAACAUACUUGGAAGGGUUGUUUGUCAUCAGCUUCAUUGUUCGAACACCAAGGUCCCUUAGUAUCUGCAAUGAAUAAGCCAAUAGUUCAGUUUUACCAAGAGAAAGGUACUCUUGAACAUGCAAGUAUUCGGGGUUUAAAAAGAUAGUCACAGGAUAAAGUUCACAGUUCUAUGAAAUAAUAAAAAGAUUCAUUGAGGCAAAUAGCAUUUUCUCAACUAAUUUACUGUAGGAAUUCCUUAAAACUGAGUCUCUGAGAGUAAGUUUUUCCUUCAAACUUGUAGAAACCAACAUUCAUUCAACUCUUGAAUGCAAUACGAAAUCUAUUAUAUGUUGCAGAACAAAUCACUUGUCAAUAUUCAUCAUAACUACUCUAUAUUAAAACUUUUGAAAUCUUCAAAUUUGAGUUUCAACUAUCCAAUAAAUUUAACAGAAUUCAUGCAAGAUAAAGACCAAUACUUAAUUAAACAACAUUAUGAUGAGAUCCAAACUUCUAUGGCUAAAUAAAUUGUUUCGAAAUAUCAAAACUUAAGCAUGUAAUUUGAGGCCAGACAGAAUCAACAUUGAUUGCCGAGCAAUCGAAAGCUCAAUAAAGAAAUCUCAGUUAAUUUAUUACCAACUUUAAACAGUAAUUCAGUCUACUUUCAAAAUGCCUGUAAACAGAAUUUCUACUAGGAAGUACCUGGGCACCAAUGCCAUAUUCUCGUGAGUCAACAGGCAACCCCAAAUCCUCAUUGGCUUCAACUGUAUCACGUCCAGCAUCCUGUAGGUUAUAAGCACGAAGCUUGUGACCCAAACCAAUGCCCCUUCCUUCAUGACCACGUAGAUACACCAGGACACCCUUGCCGUUGGCCUCAAUCUGCCGCAUUGCAAGUGCGAGCUGUUUCCCGCAGUCACAUCUGGCCGAUCCAAAUAUAUCUCCUGUGAGACAUUCUGAAUGUACUCUCACUAGAACAUCUUGUCCGUCCCCAAUGUCACCCUGCUUAUACCAUAAACUUAGUUAUAAAUUAAACAUUACUAUAGUAUUGAAAAGAAAAAGAAAAAGAAAUUAUGGAUCCCACAUUCAGGCGAAGGAUCUAACAGGACCAGAUUGGCCUAGGCUUCAGACAUAAUUUCAUUCUGGUCAUCAGGCAACUUUGUCUACCAGCUAUACAACUAUUUUUGGUAUAAAAACUCUAGUAUUCUAGUAUUAAAAGUGAGUGCAACCAAUAACUUUGUUUUACAUUGUAACUGAGAUAAACAAAUUUAAAAUAGAUUGAAUACCAACGUAACAAACAGUGCUUACCUUAACCAUUGCAAUAUGUUCAAUCCCAUCUAAGAUGGAUCUAUAACAGAGGGCUGUGAAUGGUCCCCACAUUGUAGGUAUCCUUGCAGCACCAGAACGAUCAACUAAUUUGUCUCUCUUCCGCCUAUACCUGCCAUUAUCCGAGCACUGGAUCAGUUAAGUCGUUUAUGCUUUAAUGAAUAUGCAACGCCAUAACAAAUAAGAUGGAAGGUAAGUAUAAAAUUGAAAAGAAAAUAGUCGAUACAUGCAUAUAUUUAUUUAUACAUUGACCUGAAAAAAGAAUAGGGAUCAAUGAAUCUAUGAGAUGAGUUAAAGCAUGAGAUAAGAUGUUUGUUCUUUAUGAGCUAUUGCAUAUAAAAUAUGUGCAUGAAUAUAUAUUGCAUUGAAAAUGCAGGUGAAAUGUAGGCUUUCAUCGAGGUAUAAAACAAUUAAAACCGCAGGUUAAAUAAUUCUAGCUAUAUUUAAAGUCGCAGGAGAAAAUGUAGGCUUUCAUGGAGCAACUGCAGUUAACUUAAUAUACAGUAAAUUUUGUCCAAAAGUGAGCAAUAACUUUACCUUAUUAAAUCAGCAAUGGAUACAAUUUUCAAAUUCUCCCGCUGUGCAAAUUGGCGAAGCUUUGGUAAUCUAGCCAUUGAACCAUCAUCAUCAACAACCUCACACAAAACAGCAACGGGAUCCAAUCCAGCUAGCACGGUAAGAUCAACAGAUGCUUCAGUGUGUCCGGCUCUUUUCAAAACACCACCCUCUCUGUACUUCAGUGGAAAUAUAUGACCUGGGCGGUUGAAAUCAUCAGGUUUUGAAUCUCUAGAAGCAAGAGCUAAAACUGUUGUUGCCCUAUCACUUGCAGAUACCCCUGUGGUUGUACCAUUUUUUGCAUCCUAAAAAAGUUAUUAACGCAAAAUCAAAGUUGAGAAAGAGUUAGAUAAGUACGCAAAUGAAAAACAUCAACAACUAACUUACAAACCUUCCAUAAAGCACAACACUGCAAUUGAGUCAACUGGAAAUAUUGUCAGUGGACAAUUCAGGUAAAUAUCCUAAACAAGAUAGUUUAAGCUUUUUAAUGGGUUUGUUAUUGUACUGACUGUUGUGGUCAUUGAUUUUCUAAUAUAUGUUAGUACAUUUAACAUUUAAGUUCAAACCUAUGAUACAUUGGCAUAUUUUCUAGCAUAUUCAUUGUGAACAAACUGCAUUGUCUCAGCACUGUCUCUUCAGAAAGAGAACUAGCGUAUUAUCAUUGUUUUCUUUUUCAUGAUAAGAUAGGACAGCUCAAAUUUUAAAAUUGCAGGUCUGCCCUGCUGAGAUGAGGAAUUAAUCUAUUGUAGCCUUAGAAAUAAGAGAUCAACAUUAAGUUGAAAUUACAAUAUUGAAAGGAAAAGUUAAAAUUUUCAAAUAAAAUGUCAAAUAAUAAGAAUACUUACCACUGUCACGGUGAAUGCUGUUCGAAGCUUCUCAUCGUUAUCCUUUUGUGUUACCAUUAGAGGUAAUUGCAACCUCUCCAGAUCUUUUCCAUCCAUGCUCACGCACACUAUUCCAGUGCUAUGCUUCACGAUAAAAGCCAUAGCCUCAGGUGUUGCUAGUUGUGCUGCCAUGAUCAGAUCUCCUUCAUUUUCUCUGUCCUCAUCGUCUACAACCACUACCAUCUGCAAUAGUAAUUUCAAUUACUCAUGGAAAUAUACUUCAAAAAAAGGUGGACAAACAUAGAGUGCCAUGCCACCAAAAGACAAGAAAAAAAACACAUAAGAAAAGCAACCUUUCCUUGGCGAAUGUCUUCAAUGGCCUCUGGGAUGGAAGCAAAUCCUUUUGUGGGGCAAUCCAAAUCAAAUUCAUUAUUAUCAACUGGAAAACCACUAGUUGUUGGAACAGUAUCUGCUGAAAGUGUUCCAAAUGCUACUGCAUCCGGCUGUAUCUCAAUCCCAACUGACUGAUCAUCAAUGAGAGUACUAUUUGUCACUGCACCAUUGCCGUUAGUAUAAACAAGGUCACCCUCUUCAGACACCAUUGUAGCUCUAAUUCGAGAAACCCCCUUAUUACUGAAUGAAAAUUUACUACCCAUCUGGAUCGAGGCUAUACUAGACGUGUUCCCAUUAGACAGAGAAAGAUUCAGAGUAUGCAACCCAUUGAACAAUUUAAAAUUUUUGCAUGCCCUACAUAAAAUAGAAUGCCAAUAAGUACCAAGAGAUUAAAAUAGUGGUAGAGAAAGGAUACACGAAACAUAGCAAAAUGGUGUGAGUAGAUUGUGUAGCUAACACAAAUAGUUGAAGAGAUUAACUAGACAGGAACUUCUCAGCAUAUAAAAUGUAUUCGAACGUCCUUUUAUGAAGAGAACCAGUUGUUGAAUAAUCCAGACCUUAAAAUAAGUCUACCAUAAAUUAAAGUUUCUCCUAAGAGUUAUGGCCCAAACAAUCAUCAAUUGUAUUGCUUUGUUUAUGAGAUACGAAAAGAAAAAAAAAAAGUAACAUACACAUGAAUACUACAACUGUAUUUAAACUAUUAAUCAGUUACAUUAACGUAACAGUUGAAACGUUCAAUCCUUAAAGGGCCCAUUUGGUUAUGUGUUCUGCAAAAAGGUGCAGUCCUCAGAGUUCAUAUCUCAAAACCAAUCUUAGCAAAGCCUUUGAAAAAGUUUUUAUUUGCCAGUAUAUCGGAAAUGGGUAGAACUUUAUGAUAUUAUCUAAUUUGGUUUCCUUCAAAUUGAGUGAAACCGCUGGACACAACAAAUAGUCAAAAUUUUGUUUUUUCUCAAAAGAAGGUUGUCCAAAACUAUUUCCUAAGCAGACAAACAAAGCUGCCAAAUUUUUUAUUUAUUUUGUAACUUCCAUUAUCUGAGCACUUAAAAUUGUUAACUAAUCGAAAUAUUGGAUCUGACCAACUAGAGAAAAUUCCUACUCAGACACAACAACAAUCACAAAUAAGAGUUCUCUUAAAGGCAAAUCAUAUGAUAUGACAAACAUAUGGUAAACCAUGAAAAAAUAAAUAAUAGCAUGAAGUAUACAGCUAAAAACAUAAAUAAAUAAAAGUCAAAGAAUUAAGCAAAGCAUUAGCAUCUUGCCAUAAUCCAAGUCCACAUUUGAUGAGCAAAUUUCAAUCAAACAAGACAUCUGUAGAAGAUGUAAAGGAAAAUGGCUACAAAACAUCAAGAACACAAAAACCCAAAUGGGUUUUAACUUAAAAGGUUAAUACAACAGAUAAAAAGCUGAAGAAAUGAAAGAAAGCUCACUGAGGUCGUGAAAGGGGAGUUGUAGAAGGGCAUGAGACGUUGAUGGAAGCCAUGGGAUUGUUGGAGAAGCCUUGCCAAAGCCCAAAAUCAGACUCUUUUGAGACCUUCCCACUAAAACGGCUCCCUUUAGAUUAUAAAAUGAAAGAAGAUGAAGCAAAACGAAGGAAGGUGGACAGGGAACAGAUUAUGAAGCAAUGGCGAUUUAUAUAGAAGGGAGAGGUUUGUUACUCGCGGGUGACGAAGCUUUGUCCCCAACCAAUCAGAAAACAAUAAACACAUCACAUGGUACGAACUUUCUUUUUCAAUUGAAUAAAGAUGUUGAUCUCCUCGUUGAUAAUAAAAAAUUUAUAAAAUCCCUAGAAAAAAAAAAUUUAAGGCAUGAUAAUAUUGGAAAAAUGACUCAUCUAUUUAUUUUAUUUUUGAAUUUUUUAUACACAAGCAAUAUUAAAUAAGAGAAGAAUUGAACCUAGAACAUCAAAUGCAUAAAUAAUUACUAAUUCUUUAUUAUUUUCAAGUUUUUAAUAUCAAUAGGCUCUCAAUUUACAUUUUAAUACAAAAAUGCGAAUCAAACACAAAUUCUUGACUUACUCUUUAUCACUCCGUGGUCAAUAUUGUGGGCUCACUUAUUUUAUUUUUUAAUUAUUAAAAGAAAAGGUGGAUUCCAUCCUGGGAGUCCCACAGUUUGUUUGGGAGUGGUUUAUUUAUUUAUUUAUUUUAUUUUUUAUUUUUAUUUUUUAUAAAGCCUCUUUUAAUGAAGGGAUCGAUAAAAAUCUACAAACUCACACACACGCCGAUGCCGGGGGCAAGCCUAGGACCUCUCCUAGCAAGGCGCAAAGCCCUAACGACUGCACUAUGGUGCCCAUCCUCCAGUUUGUUUGGGAGUUUAUGUUAUCUUGGAUAAGGAAGACAGAAAAAAUAAAAAAUAAAAAAUUUUAAAAAUUUUAAAAAAAAUUUGAGAUUACCGCAGAAAAUCUUUUCUUAUUUUAAGGCAGAAGAUGCAUUUGAUGCAAAUAAAAGAAACAAGAAUAUGCACAUGAUUGUUGGAAAUUGAAAUAGGAGAAACUUAUUUGUGCAUAUGCAUCACGUGUAAUACAUGUCUCUCACAUCUUGUGGUCUAUAAAUUUAUAAUGAGAUUGACCUUUUACUUGCUUUAACAAAUGCUUUGCAAUGGCUCUCACGCUAGUGCACUAAAAAGUUGAUUGUUGAUAAAUAUAACAAUUUAAAGAAGAACAUCCUCGGUCCCUUCUCCACUGGUCACCUCUCCAUGUCCUUUUUGCUCCUUUCUCUUUCUUUUACAUAAAAACUUCCGAUUUAAUGAUGGGUAACCUUUUGAGUUCAAAUCAGGUUGAGAGAGAGAAAGGGGGACGGCAUGGUAGGUGGGAUUGCUAGGUUUUUUAAUUUAAAUUUACCUCCUGCAGCUUUUAGAAUAUUGUUAAUGGUAAAAUUAGGACUAUAUUUUUACAAUGUUUCUAAACUAGUAUAUAGAUGGGAAGGGGGAUCGAACUCAUGUGCAAGGGAACUGAUUUAGUAAUUUGAUCAAUUGUCCUAAUUCAUAUCUGCGAAAUUAGAACUUAAAUUAGAAGGAUCGUAGAGUGAGCAGUUGGGGUAGUAUAAAUACAAUUUUUCUAAUACUAUAUCAAUAGAUUUUUUAUCCGUUGUGUGCCCCUAGAUUUGGAUGAUAUAUUAUCUACACAAUUAAUUGAUGGGGUAUGGAGGAGGAUGGGGUAUGGAGGAUGGGGCGGAGCGGAGGGGUUGGUCCAUUUGCAUUUUGAUGAAAUAAAUUCUAUUUCACACUCGUCAAAAUAGCUUUUUAUUUUUUUAUUUUUUUUAUUUUAUUUUGAUGGUAUUAUAGAGCUCUACUCUACCUCACUUAACAUUGGGGUAGGGACGGAGAAUGGGGAAGAAAGGUAGGCUCAAAACGUGUUGAUUGGUAACCAUAGCUAGGCCUAGACCUACUCCAAGGACUAGUUAGUUUUCUAUGGCAUUUGGUCCUAUAAGACCAUCUCCAACUACGUUUGAGCUAAACUCAUAUUUCCACUCUCUAAAAUACAACUAUUCAUGUAUUUUCAGGACUCAAAUUUUUUUUCCCUCCAACUUUGCAGACUCAUAAUUUGAGUCCACAACUUUAUUAAAUUGUUUAAGAAUGAUUAACCCCUAAAUUUGUUUUCUCGUUAAUUUUUCUUGACAUUAUUUUUGUUUCAACAUUUGUGAUUUAAUUUUCUAAACAUUUUAACCUAAAAAAAUUAAAAUUCCAAAACAUAAUAGAAUUUCACUUAAAAAUAAAAACAAGUACAACACCAUAUGUGUUUAAAUUAUGUAAGUGUGUUUAAAUUAUGUUGUGUGUUUAAAUUAUAAAAGUGGUUGUUGUUGUAUUGUUAAUUGACACAAAUUAAUGUGCUAAGAAUGAGAAAAGUAUAAAAUAGAAUGAAAAAAAUAUAAGAAUGAAAGUAGAAUGAAAAAAAAUAACAAAAGGGAGAAAAAAAAAAGAUUUUUGGUUGACACAAAUUAUAGCUAUUGGAAUAUUUAAAAAAAUAAAAUAGUUUUAAAAAAAAAAGAAAAAAAAAAGAGCACAUAAUAAUUUUGAAAAAGUAGUCGUUGGGAUUCAAUCAAAUGGCCAACUUGUUGCAAAACUCACGUGAGGCUAGCACUUUUUGUUGUUCACGUGGGCUUCGAAGGCAAAAAACAAAGAAGAAAAAGCAGAUUUUGGGCCCACAAACGUUAUCAGUCCAGGCAAUAAUUUGAGUGGAAUUCCAGUUCAAAUUUGAGAUUCCUUAAAUUUCCACCCCCCAAAAUGCAUGGGUUUGAGAAGUUUUUUGGACUCAAAACUUAUAAUUUGGGUUUCCACCCCUUGAGUUGGAGAUGGCCUAAGGCCAUAUCCAAUUAUGGGCCAUAGGCCAAAUAUAGCCCUAAAAUAAUGUAAAAUUCAUCUUCAACUAUAGGCUAAAAAAAAAUUUGGCCAAAUUUAGAGGGUCACAUUCGGCCCUUUAGCCCUUCAACCAAGUCAAUUGUAGCCAGUUUUGGCCUAGGCCAAAAUUUUUUGUGGGCCCUAUACAUGUGCUUUUCAAGAAGAGAAAUUAUCAAGUGUGGGCAAGAGCACGCAACAUCUCGUACAAAUGCAUAUCCAACAGCCAAUAUUAAAGGCGCGCUGAUGUCAUUAAUGACGUCAGCUAGCCGUUAAGAUAAUUUUUUUUUAAAUAGCUUUUUAAAAUGUUAUCAAAGUAUACUGUCAUAUGUGGAUAUUGUCUCUAAAUAGUAGUUUAAUUAAAUUAAAUAAUACAUUGUUGUUGAAUGUAUGAGUGUUGUACUAUAUUUUUUUUCUCAAAAUAAAAAAAUAUGAAGGACCCUAAAACAUAGCCCUACAUGGCUAGAGAUGGAAAAAUUUUAGCCCUACACUAUUUUAAAAAAAAUUAAUAUUUUGGAGGGCUAAAUUUAUAGCCCUGGACUACAUUUAGCCCUAUGAGUCUAUGACUGGAGAUUGCCUAAUAACACCAAAACUUAUGAGCUCAUCUUUGAGAACUGAGUCAAAAAAAAAAACCAAAGUAAAAGUGAUUUCUCUUUCUUUUUUUUCAAGUUAUUUUUCAAUAUUACGUAUUCUUCUAUUCUUUUAAAUUGAAUGGUCCAAAGUUUAGUUGUGUGUUUGAUUAACACAUUGUUAGUCCCAUUCGUUUGUAUCUUCAAAUUGUAUUGAGCAUACUUCCAUAUAUAUGCUACUAAUAUAACAUAGGAAAAGAACAAAACUACUUAAUCAUCUCAUUUUAUUUUGGUCCUUCCAAAGGAUAAACGGGAAUCAUCAUUAUAGAUUACAUAGGGAAAAUUUUAACAUUGACCUUGAACUUAUGGCUUUCUUCCGAUUUAUCCCUCAACUUUUAGUUUGGUUAUGAGCACCUCUACGCUUUUAAAACAUGCCAAUUUGCCCAUACCGGCAAACUUGUCAAAAUUUAUAGUAGUUUUCUAUUGACAAUGCCCCCAGAAUGGAUGAAGCAAUCCUCAAUUUGACAUGAAUUUGACAAAUUUGAUUGUAAGCAUUGGCACGUUUUGAAAAAUUAAGGGAGAUCAUUCUCAAAAAGAAAGCCCAAAGAGAAAAAAGGAAGAAGGUCCUCAAUUUAGAUGACAUUGCCAAAAUGGUUUUUGAUUGUGCUUUCUAGACUUUUGUUGUUUGGUGGGUUCUUUCUAGCUAGGAGUCUGGUAGAGAGUUUUUCAAAUAAUUGCUGAUUUUUCAUCUUCAUGCGUAGUAGUUUAAAGCACAUUAAAUUACAAUUUUUUAUUCUUUUUUUAUUUCAAUUGUACAUAGAUUUUUUUUUUCCUCUCACACAUAUUGCCAAGGUACUAUGUACUUCGAACAUGAGAUCACUACCCUAGACUAGAAGUUACAGUUUUUUUUUCACUGAGUUAGACCUCAUUGGCAACUUAACCAUUGUGGUUGGUUGCCAUUUUUCAUUUAGGCUAAAUUCCGUCAAUUUAAUUAAGCAAAAGCUUAAAUGACGGUAAAACGUAAGCAUGCAUGUCAUUGUUGCAUAUACAUCCCACCAAUUUUACAAAGAGCUAUUUACACUGACAUCCAUGAGAUUUUUGGUGUUUUCACAAAAUUCUCAGAGGUUUCGGAAAUUACAUUAACAUUCCUUGAGGUUUCAAAUUGUUUUCACAAAUCUCCUUUACAGUGCGUUUGGAUGAGGGAAAUAAACUUGAGAUUUUGACAAAAGUCAAUUGGGAUUCUAGAGCGUUUAAAAAUAUUUUGUUUAAGUGCCAAAUUUCAUGGAACUUUGUGGAACUUUUAGAUUUCGUAUAGACUUUCAGAAGACUUCUAUACAAUUUUUUUAUAAUUUUCCUUAAGAUUUGUAUGGCUAUUAUUCUAGACUUCUAUAAAUUCUAUCUAAAAAGUUGUCAUUUUUAAAAUUCCAAGAGACAUUGAGUUUAUGGAAAAAGAAAAAAAAAACGUUUACAAAUAAAGGUUACAUUUCAUAUUUAAAUUCGUUACCAAAACAAGAAACUUUAUAAAUUCUAGAAUAUUAAUUUCCGUCAUUUUAAAUUUCAUCAUUUAUGAAUUUCUUUAUACUUUUAAAUUUCCUCAUCCAAAAUUAAUUUACUGUCAAAUAUAAAUAACUUUUCAUAAACUUAAUUAAUAAUUAUAUUUAUUCUUAAAUUAAAAAGAUACUGCAAGAAUUUGGUUUAGUUGUUUCUCGUUUACGUUUUGACUUUUUUUAAUCUUAAGAUUCAAAGAAGUUCCUUGUAAUUGGUGUACACGUUAUGUGUAGAGUCACAGGCAGGUGAUGCAAUGCAACAACGGGAUUACGACAAUAAAGGAUGAGAAGUGGAGAAAACGCAUGUGCCGCCACCCACGCAAGCAAUAUAGAGAAACAAAUUGAAAGGAAGGUCGAGGAGAUUCUUCUUCUGUCUGUGUCCCUAUCCACUGAGAAAUGAGGGUCAAAAUGCUCGUUGUUGGUUGGAUAACACAACACUCCUUCGACGACGUGGAGGUUGCAAAAGCCCAAACCAAAGUUUUCCUCCUACUAGUCUUCUCGCACCCCUUCUUUGACUAUGACCCUUUUACUUUUAUUUCUCUGUUUUUGUUUCCUAAAAACAAUCGAGACCGAAACGUUGUUUGUUUUCCGCUCAACAUCAAAAGGAACAUCCUUAAUAGUAAACGUUUAUUUCAGUUUAUUAUACAAUAUGGUCUCAUGAUUCGGAUAUUUCAUUUAUAUCUUAAAACAAAUCAGAGAACUUGAAACCCUUUAAUCAUUUAAUAUAUCAUGUUGAUUACUUUCAUUGUUUUUGUUGUUAAUAUUGUAUUUAUCUAUAUAGUUUAUCACAAUUAGAUGGCUACAGGAUUUUUUCGAUUGGGCUUUUUUUUUUUUUGCACGAUGAUUGUUAAAAUAAGGAUCUAAAGCCCAAACGGUUCACUUAUUGAUACCACAUUGUGACUAGUUGCCCCAAAUGAGUAGUUAGUAUCGUAUUAACUCAGUUUUUGACUAAUUUAUUUACUUUAAGUCAUUCAGUUAAAGGUUGGUGAAAUAAGGAAGAUAAUUUCAAUUUUGAGCGACUAUAUUGAGAAAGGAUAAGCCUAUAGGUUCUCAUUUCAUGGAGUUUUGGCCCAAUUGGUAAAACUAGACUUCUAUACUAAUUGUUAAGAGCCCAUGAGUAAAAAAAAUUCCAAUACAAAACCGGCUUAUAAGGAAAGAGUGCCUAGGAGAUCAUUUACUAUCCCGAACUAUGUUAUCGUAAUAUUUGGAUCCUUACAUUUGCAUGCAGGCCAUUUUAAAAUAUAUGGGCCUUGCACACGUCAUUUAACAUAAAAGCCUUUUAAUUAGUUGUGGGCUUCUCUCUUUCAUUUAUUGGCCCAUAAUGAUGUGAACUUAGUUCCCGUUGUGGGCUUCGGCCCACAACCCAAAGAGAAAAAAACAAAAAGAGACUGAUUUUCUCUUCUCCCAUGUUCCUGAAACUGCGGAAAUAUAUUGACUCCAAUUUCAAUGAAAGAGACGAUUUGGUUGCUUUGAAAUCAUAAUCUGCACUUGCCGAAGAAAAAGACAAAAAGCAAAUCGCCAGAUCACCAGAUCACCGGCCAUCUGCACCGUUGGAAAACUAACCGUUAUAGGCUGAACUUUUCAUCCAACGGCCAUAAAACCUGCGCAGUAAACAAACCGCGUUUCGCCUUGAGUUGGUAACACGUUUUCUAAACCGACCCCUGCCAUCAGAAGAAAAUCUCCACCGUCAAGUCCCUUAAAUUUCGCCACAAACAAGAUUUUAAUAAUCCAACGGCGAUCCCUCAGCCAAGUCUUCUCACCAUACCCCUUUAUAAAAGGCCCCCCUCCCUGCUCUCCUUAAACCCACAUCCUUCGCCUCUCUGCCUCUCAGCCUCUCAGACCCUCACUCUCUCUCUUCGUGCGAAUUCUCUCUCUCUCUCUACAAUGGCCAGAUUAAGCAGCGUCGUUUUGGUGCUAAUGGCUUCUCUCUUGUUGGCCUCAACAAGGGCGCAAUCCCCUACAUCGUCACCCGCCAAGUCCCCUGCGCUCUCUCCCAAACACCCCGCUGCCCCUUCUCCAUCGAGCAUUCCACCCAAGGCUUCGCCUUCUCCUUUGAGCACUCCACCGUCGGCUGCUCCUUCUCAGUCUCCCGUCGCAGUCUCUCCACCUUCUCCCCCAUCCGCUUCCCCUGAAUCUCCAGCGAUCCCUCCAUCUUCAGUUUCUGGACCGCCGUCUGAGGCUCCCGCACCCUCCACCAACGGCGCCGUUUUGAAUAGGUUCUCCGCCGCCGGAUCUGUGGCCGUAGGGGUUUUCGCUGCUGUCUUGGUUAUGUAGAGUGGGGGGUUUAUGGGUUUUUUUUUUUACAAUUAUCCAUUUAAUAUUUGUAUCAAUUUAAUUCAAUUUAUUUAUUUUAUUUAAUUUAAAUUUGUAGCGCAGUUAUAUGGAAAUAUAAAAGAGACAUAUUUGUUUUCUUAAAUAUUUUUUUCGAUACAUAUGAUUAUUCUCAAGUUAGCCCCUGCAUUGGGUCCAGAAUUACAAAUAAGUAGUCGUUAGCAACUGCCAACAGCUAUUGCUACCUCACACUGGGCAGAGCUAGUUGUGUUGAAGUUGAACCUAAAAGUUGUUCUUUUAUUAAACUCAAAUCAUCAAAUGAGAUUAGCUUUGACAUUAAAUAUUUAAUCAGACUUGAGUUUAAAUUAAAAUUUGCUCUUUUCUUUUCUUUUUUAAAGUUCUGUCCUCCUAGUUCUGUAGACAGCGAGUUUCUUGGUCACUUGCCAUUGGAAAUCCAAUGAUGCACAACACUCUUAACAACAAACUCAUUUUUUGUAAUUCUUUUUGGUAAAUGAUUUUUAAAGUUUUCACAAAUGUUAAGAAUAAAAAAUUUUGAAGUAAUUUUUCAGGAAGAAUCCAAUUUUUUUAUCUGUCUAGCGAGUUUGAAAUUUUUUUUCUACUCCCCUGUAAAGGAAAUUAUGAUUCUUAUUAAUCAAUUGAGAAAAUAUUACAGAAUAGUAUUUAAAACCUAACUAAUUUAUACAAUAGAUAAAGCCAUUGGUACAAGCUGUUACAACUACUCUCUUUAUUUUAGCCCCUAAAUUGUAUCCGUGUUUGAUUCACAUAGAAGACAAUCUUGAGACAACUCAAUAUAUUACUCCCCCCUCCUCCUCUCUAGCAAACGACAAAAAAAUAAAAAUAAAAAUUAGUGGAGUUUAUAUGUGAAAUAACUUAUUUUAAAUAACUUAGGGCAUGUUUGGUAUCCUACUCAAAAAAAUUUUUGGUUAGAACUCACAAACUAUGACUCUUAAAAAUAUGAGUUUUCAAAUAGUGAUUUAAAACUAUUUUUAAGAUCUAUAAGAAAUUGAAAUUGAAAUUAAAAUCAGAAACCAUAUAUUACCAAAUUGAAAUUAACAAAAGAAAAGGAAAAAUCUAUGUUGUUUCAAUGGAAACCAUAAAAACCCAAAACAUGAAAAAAAAAAAAAAUUUAUCAAUUUUGGUUGGGGUUGGGUCAGACCAAGGAGGUAGUGGAUGAAGGAGACCGUCACGGAGCUACAAACGACAAUGUCGACUCAUAACCACCAACCACGAAAGGGAGAGAGAGAGAGUGUGUGUGUGUGGAGAGAGAGAGGGAGGAGAGAGAGGUAGAAAAAACUCUUAAAACCUCACUUUUUUUGUUUGCAAUAAUGGGGGGUGUUUUGAGUGUUUUUUGAGUUUGAGUUUUAAAAAAUAGGCAUACCAAAUGAGUUUUUUUGUAAGUUUUGGACUUAAAACAUGUUUUUAAGUUUAUAAAAUUGAAUUCAAGUAUGAUACCAAACGGCCCUUAAUUUAUAUGGCAAACAGUCAUCUUACACUGCUCCAUUAGAAAAAUAUAAGAGCAAAAUAGCAUCUUAAUAUAAAGUGCAAAAUGAUGUUUUUUUGGAGUGCUGGCAAUCACAACUCUUUAAAAUAAAGCAACACUUUCCAACUGCAAGAGGAGGAUCCGUUGCAUAAAGCCACUAUUUGCACUGGCAAAAAAGAAAACACAAUCACCCAAACUUGCCAUCUGCACCGUAGGAAAACUAACCGUUAGAGACUAAACCUUUGCAUCCAACGGCUACAAAACAAGGCCAGUACACAAACCGCGUUUGGCCUGAGUUGGUAACACGUUCUCGAAACUGACCUUCUCUCAAAAGGCUAAAAUCUCGACCGUCCAAAUAAGCUCCUAAUAAUCCAACGGUCUAUCCCCCAUCCAAGUGUCCUCCCCUUCCAUCUAUAAAAUGCCCUCUCCCUGCUCUCCUUAAACCUAUCCAUCACCACUCUGCCUCGCAAUCCCACACACACACUCUCUCUCUCUCUCUCUCUCUCUCUCUCUCUCUUUGUGCCAAUUCUCUCUCUCUCUUCUCUCUUCUCUCUCUACAACAAUGGCCAGAUUCAGCGGCGUCGUUUUGGUGCUAAUGGCUUCUCUCUUGUUGGCCUCAACAAGGGCACAAUCCCCUACAUCGUCACCAGCCAAGUCCCCUGUGUUCUCUCCCAAAAAAGCCGCUGCCCCUUCUCCAUCGAGCACUCCACCCAAGGCUUCGCCUUCUCCAUUGAGCACUCCACCGUCGGCUGCUCCUUCUCAGUCUCCCGCCGCAGGCUCUCCACCUUCUCCCCCAUCCGCUUCCCCUGAAUCUCCAGCGAUCCCUCCAUCUUCAGUCUCUGGACCGCCCUCUGAGGCUCCCGCACCCGCCACCAACGGCGCCGUUUUGAAUAGAUUCUCCGCCGCCGGAUCUGUGGCUGCUGUGGUUUUCGCUGCUGUCUUGGUUAUGUAGAGUGGGUUUUUUAAUUACGAGUAUUUUUAGUGAGAGUUUAUGGAUUUUUAUUUAUUCAUUAAUUAUUGUACCGAUUCAAUUUAUUUGUUUUUUUUAAUGCUUAAAUUUAAUUAAAUGGAGACAUUUUAUUUAAUUAUUAAAUCCAUUUCUGUGGUGUCAAAUGCCAUUUCCAGCUGGAAAGCCUUAGCAAAAGCAGCUGCUGCUAGCUUUGUCACUGGGCAUUGGCAAAAGCAAAGAACGCAAGAUUUUGACCAAAAAGAAAAAAAGAAAUCUUCGUGCUCAAGACUAAACUUUAGCAAGUAAAAGGAAAUUGUGACAAUCAAAUGGCGGUCACAUAUAAAUGUUACCAUUCAGCACCUAUCAUGAGACAACCAGAUAAAAGAAUAAGAACCCACUUUCACCCAACUACAAGAAGCAAUGUGCAAUUUGCCUUGAGGAUGAGUAGUGUUUUGAGUAUGGUGUAAAUUUAAAGGUCGGAACCAUCAAAUUGAAAACCAUUGUGACAAAAAAUUAGAUGAACACAUUGUUUUGAAGAUAAUCUUUGAAGGAAUAUGUAAAAGACGGAUAGUUUAGAUGAUUGAAAUACAAUACGAAAUAGACCCACAAAAAUAUUCCUCAGAUAAACUUACAGAAUUGUGCGCCCGAUGGAGUUAGUUUGCAGGUUUGAUUCUCACUUGUGCACUCCAGUAGUUUCUUUACUUCUUUUUUCGAAGCAACAAAAUUUUCUUCAUAAAAUGGCCCUAGGGACUAUCAAUUUCAUGACGAGUUAGACAACAUUACCAACCACCAAACGACUGGACUGGGCAUGUCGUCAUGGAAGAUAGUUGUGCUUAGGUUUUUUAUGACAUCAACAAUUCAUGGUUUUUUGUUUUAGUUUUGUUUCAUUGUUUUAUCAUGUAAGAGUCUCAAUUUAAGUUUCGUAUAAAGCACUAAUAGUAAGGUUACAUAUCGUAGCCUAAUUACCUAAGUGUGCAACCUCAUCUAUCCAUGCACUUAAAUUUUUUUCUUUCAAGGACAACCAAGUACCUUUAAUAUAGUUCAAAACAGCUGCAUUCUCUUUGUACUCAUUUUCAAAACGAUCCAAGCUUCAUUGAAUGAUGGUUCAUUUGGAGAUUUGAUUAAAUAAACCCAAGUAGAUAGGAAAUCUGUAUCAUCUUGAAUAACAUAUUGCGUACCGAUCGUACCGUAUCGACAAUUUGGUCCUAUAGUGGAAGACACCAAGAGUAUGAUGCCACAGAUCAUUGAGGAAGUUUUUACUCCCGCUUGUGAUUGAGCGGAUAAGCCCACUUAGUUAAAUUAACAAUCAAACCCAUUGAUGUAGAGACACUUGCCUAAUCGCUGACAACAUAGCCUGAUUUUUUUUACUAAUUACUCAUUUUCUCUUCAAUACAUUUCUCUCCAACAAAAGAUAAUUCAUUCAUCAUUGACCAAAACAAGAUCCUUUAUUGACCAAAAAGAACAAUUCAUUAUUGUUAAAUAACCUUGUUCUCGUUCCCAUACAUACUGAGGAAUCCUCUCAUAUAAAAUGAACUUAUUCUCAUUCCCAUGAGAGGAUUUCUCUUUCAACUACUUAAUCACCAGAAGAACAAAAAAAAAUUACUUCAUAAUAAAAUUUUCUAAAAAGAAAAUUCUAAUUCAUGAUUGCAGCUUUUUCAUUUGUAAUCUCAAAUCUCAGAUUCUUGUCAAUUGUGAACUUGGCAACAAUUACACAAUUUAUCUCGACUUUUUUAUUAUUAUUAAUUCAUUCAAUCUUGAGCUUGAAGAUUUUUUGGAUGAAUGAAGAUUGAACCUCAAUUUCUUGAGAAUUCAUAGACAUAUCCAAUAACAGGGGUUAGCAAUGGCUGGUGCAAUGCGCCAACUUUUGCCUGUGAGUUAGAUACUGUACCUCUUUGAACCUGAGCUCGAUUCAUUUCACGUGUAUUAAAAUAUUUUUGCAAACACAAAAUUAUAUAAUUUUUAAUAUAAAAUAAAGAAAAAUUAGAUUGCAAUUCUGAUGACAAAAAAAUAUGUCUCUUUUUAUUCCCACAUAUAUAUAUAUAUAUAUCAACAACUACAAAAUGAAUGAAUUAAUCAGAUGGUAAAUUAAAUACAACAAAACAAAUGAUUAAAAUUCAUAAAACCCCCGCUGUACUUUCCCUCUUUACAUAAGCAUGGCGGCAGCGAAAACACCAACGGCCACGGAUCCAGCGAAGGAGAACCUGUUCAAAACUGCACCGUUAGGUGCAGGAGAUUCUGUGGGGGAUCCCGAGACCGAAGAAGGGGGAGAGGUGGCGGGAGAUUCAGGAGAAGACGAUGGGGGAGAAGGUGGAGAGUCUGCGACCGGAGAUGUAGAAGGAGCAGCCGAGGGUGGAGUGCCCGAAGGAGAAGGUGAGGUACUCGAAGGAGAAGGUGAAGCAGCGGGUGGAGUGCUCAAAGGAGAAGGAGCGGCGGCGGGUGGAGUGCUCAAAGGAGAAGGGGCAGAUGCAGGGGACUUGGCUGGGGAAGAUGCAGGGGAUUGUGCCCUUGUUGAGGCCACCAAGAGGGCAGCCAUUAGCACCAAAACGACGGCGUUGGAUUGAGCCAUUGUAGAAGAGCGAAUGAAGACAGAGAAAGUGAUGGGGUUUAAGAGGCAGGCAGAUGAAGAUUAAGAAGCGAAGGAUGGGUUUAAGGAGAGAAGGGAGAGGGCUUUUUAUAGGGGAGGGCUGAGGAGAGUUUGGUGAAUAGAUCCCCGUUGAUUUUGAGAAAUUUCUAAGGGGUUUGGACGGUGCAGAUUGUGGUUGGGAUGAAAGGAAAUAUUACGUAGCAAGCUGGACUUGGUUAGAAAAGUCUGACCAGAACGCGGUUGUUGUAUUGGCUGGGUUUUAGUGGCUGUUAGAUGUAAAGGUGUUGCUGCAUGAAAAAGGACCAAAGUUCAAUCCAAGAAGAUUUCGCACGAAAACUUAGAAGCCAAGUCAAGAAAAUCAGUUCCAGCAAAGAAUAUGAUUGUGACUAGCUUGGUGACAACACCACACCUUUGUGAUUUUGGUCUAAUUAGUCCGAUCUUGAUGUUUGUAUACCGAUCCUGGGUAUGUUGCUUGGGCCUUAAGUAAAAUCUUUUUCCAGUUGGAUCCAACAUAAGAGAGGACAUAAUACUAUUCACAUAGUGUGCUUGGUCCCACUUCUCCUCCUGGGGUGAACAGUUAUCCUAAUAUAUCACUGUAUAAAUACAACAAUGUAAUCAUUCUUCAAGUAUCAAACACUGAAAGAUAAGCAUCCCAGCAAAGAAGUGGCUAUUCACUUCAACUCAAAUUCCUCACAUCGAAGCCUAUAAAAAGGGCUAGAUGGCUGGGAGGAAAAAGGAACGGAGGGAAGAGGAGCAGCCGUAGGAAAAUAAGAGAAAGACAGCAAGCAAGCUCCAAGAUUCGAUCAAUCCAUGAAAAUUCUUGGCCGUGAUGCCUUCAAGCAUCUCAAACAACAAGAUCUUGAGAUUUCUCUCACUGAUGCCCUUAUCAUCCAAAAUAGCAAGUUCAAUCCUUGGGGAUUGUUAUGUUUCACAGCGCUGUUAAAAGACUUGGAGUUUUCUGGACAAUUGAAUUGUGCGGUAUGAGGUGAAGUCUCAGAACUUCAUGGACCCACAUAAUCAAAAAGAAAGAGGAAUUCUUUCUCAGUAUGCAAAAUCAGACAUUUGGGUUAUUAUGUUUGGCUGAAGGUAAACCAAAAAAUAAAUAAAGAAGAAGCCUGUGGGUGGUGAACCUACCACGUGAAAGUAAGAAGGAAGUCGUCUUGUUCCCUUUUGUUCCAAAGCCACCUGCAAAAAAUUGAGACUCGAGGACAAUUAAGACAUAAAGAAACAAACUAGCAAGAGCUCACAAAAAGACUCCAGUUCGCAGGUUGGAAGGCCAUGUGCAUUGUUGCCUUAAGCUCAAAAGACGUGAUCAAGAAAGCUAAAGGCUUGUGAGGACUCAGCUCAUUAACAAAUCAUUAACAGCUACAGGCCGAAUAUGAAAUUACAAGAUUUGAUGGCCUAAGACCUAAUGGUCUCAUAUGCAUUGGGCUCGUCUCACAUUUCAUGAUCAGUCAGUCUUACACCAACAUUCCUAGACUUAACGGUCUCAAAUACAAUGGGCUCAUUCUAUUGCAAGUCUCAAGCACAAUGGACUCGUUCACUAAAAGUCCAAUUGGAGAACAAUUGGUGCAAAAUCAUAAAUUCACAAUUUCUUUUUAUAAAAAUUUUGAUAAAAUUUUCUUGCCAUAUCGUUAUAUACAUUUUUUUUGUUUUAAUUGUUUAAAUGAAUUAUUUAUCUAUAUUGAAUUUUUUUUUUAGUGAAAAGUAGUGAUGUGUCGAAAUUCAUAAAAAUACACGAGUGUCAUGGUUACAUUGUCGCAUAUCUAUGUUUUCUACUAUAUAUGUAUAUUUGUUUGACUAAUUCGUUAUACCAUGUCAAUACGAUGAUUAAAUGGUAUGAUUACUCAACAUAAUUAAUAAUAUAAAAAUAUGAGUGAAACACAUUACAAAUUAAAACAAAGCAUGUGACAUUAUGUGAACAAUCAUACCAUAAAAUCAAAUAUUACAAUGAGAAUUUCUUCUAAAAGAAAAGGGAAUAAAGGAAGGCUAUAUUAAAAUGAAUUAAUAUAAAAAUAAAUUAUUUCCAAAAACAAUGGGUGAAGUUUUGUACAUUUAUAUUGAUACCCUUCCUCAUAUGGACGCAAUAAAAUUGCUGUGGAACAUUAUAGGAAAUUUUUGAAGCCUUAGAUACCCUAUACUAUUAUUAGAGUGAUUCCAAUAUACCUUGGUGCAAGACGCCAGAAACCGGAUCUCUCUUUUCUCUCUGUACAAGCUUUGCUUGAGUGUGAGCAUUGAGCACAAGAGUGAAACGGAUGUAGGUCGGGAAAGAGAGGGGGGAGAGAAGAAGAGAGUGGGACAUGGAAGGGAGGAUUUUGGGGGGUGGGAGAUGAUGAGGGGUGAAAAGGUGGCCGGGAUGAGAGAGGGAGAGAGGGGUUGCUUGGCUACAAGAUUUUUAUUUUUGGUUUUAAAAAUUUAAAAGUUAAAUUAUUUUUAGAGAGAUUUACUAUUAUACCCAAUAUAGGAGCCCAAAUUAUAAAAAAAACAUAUAUAAAAUGGACUUUAGAAACACACUCAAAACUCAUUUACAACAUAACAAAAAGACUUUUAACUUCUUUUAUAUUACAAAAUUGCCAUUGAUUUCUUAAAACAAACUCAAUCCCAAAAUCUUAUAAAAAAGCCUAAAACACUCAAUAGGGUAUCAAAGUAAUUUAAUAAUCAAAAUUAAAUUCAAUAGGGUCAGCUGUCAUUUUUUGAGUUUGUUUAUAGAAAUUAAAUGGUAUAGGGUUUAUUUAUAGUUUUAGUGCUAAGAAUGAGUAUAUGACUAAAUAUCUCUUAUUGAUAAAGAAUGGAUGGGUUAUGUUUUUUCCCUAAGUUUUUAGAAGUCAUUUAACGAAGGGGUAAAUUUGUCUUUAAAAUUUUGAAGAUAAAGUGAAUGGAGAAAUAGGACAAGGAGUGGAAAUAGCAGCACUCUCUUCUAGAUGGUGUAACAAUAAUGAAUUGUUUUUUACUGUGAAUAAUGGAUCCUGUUUUGGAAUAUGAUGAAUGAUUUUAAAUUUAGAAAUGAUGAACAAGAAUGACCAAUAAAUUAGGAGGAACUUGUUAGGACUUAAGGAAACUAACCAUUACGUUAUCAACUUCAACUUUACAUACAACAGCUAGGAAAAGCAGCCCAAUAUACAAACAAACCACGUUUUGCUCCAACCAAAUCCACCUUGGAGAGAUCUCCACCGUUCAAACUAGUUUCUCACAAUCCAACGGACCAGUGUUCUACAAGCCAAGCCUCCUCAGUGUCCCUCUAUAAAACCCAACAUCUUCUCUCAAUAAACCCAUCCUUGGCUUCUUCAUUUGCCUCUUAAACCGCCCUAAACCCCCAUAACUCUCUCUCUCUCUCUCUCUCUCUCUCCAAUGGGUCGAUUCAGUAAUGUUGUUUUGGUGCUAAUGGCUUCACUUUUGCUGGCCUCAACAACGGAAAAAUCCCAUGCAUCAUCACCUGCCAAGUCACAUGCGCCUUCUCACUCUAGCGCUCCAUCUAAGGCUUCACCUUCCCCUUCUCCGUCGAGUGCUCCACCAAAGGCCGCUCCUACUACGUCCGAAGCUGACUCUCCGCCUUCUCCUCCCUCAUCUUCCCCUGUUAGCUCUGCGGAGAUUUCUCCCUCUUCGAGUUCUGGUUCGUCUUUUGAGUUUCCUAUAUCCGCUCCUAACUUGGCCGUUUCGAAAAAGUACACCUGGUCGAUGGGAUUUACUCUGCAAACUUGGUUAAACAAGUACUUUGGGGGCAGAGAAAGAAUCCGCUAAUGUAAUGGUUUGAAGUAAUUGUUCUCUCAGAAAUUUACUGGAUUCAAGUCUAAGCAUCUGUGUAGUGUGUGUGAGUUUAAUAUGUUAUCGCCUCUCUAAAAGGUCAAACAAAAAACUUUGGGAGGUUUACCUAUCCAUUUUUAAUUAUCUAUUUGAAUAUUACUUGUAUUUAUUCAUUUAUUGGGAAAUAAAUAGCGACUUUAUUCCCCAAAUUAUUACUUGAAUAUAGUGGAUAGCUUUGCCAUUGAAGAAUUAUGAUUCCAUUUAACAGCUAAUGGUUGAGAUUAUCAUUAAUCAAAAAGUUGGGUGAUGGUUUCUCAAUCAUGGAUCAGAAUUUUUUUCUUGUCAAGAAGUAUUUCAAAGAGGGCCCUCAUCCUCCGAACUGAGAAUGAAAGGGAAGAUUGUUUUUUAAGAUGGUGUUACAACAAGUGAUUUUUUUUUUGGUUACCAACUAUGAAAGAAUUUUGAAAUACAAUAGUCCCGAUCUCUUGGACCACAGGAGUCCAAGAGAUUGUGGUCACCCACCGUUGGAUAUUAAUCCAAUGGUUUAAAAAAGUUUUUUAAAAUGAGUGCAAGAGUGAGUGAACCGUUGAAUUUACAUCCAACGGUGAGUGACCACAAAUUUCUUGGACCCCUGUAGUCCAAGAGAUCAGGACUGUACAAUAGGAAUGCUAUAAUUUUUUCGUUUUGUUUAUAAAAUGCAUAACAAUAGAUGACAGUUAAAUACCGAUAACAUCAUUUACAAUCUUUACUAACUCCCAUGAUUCCAUUCAAUUGGAUUGUUCAUUCCAACAAUCAAACACUUCUCUAACUACUAAUAAUAUAGAUCCUGAGCCUCCACAUUUAGGUGGUCUUGUACAUUUAUCCACAUUUGGCACAAUCCAAACCAAUCUAAUAACUGUGUAUUUACCCACUUACAUACUUGAAAUGAUAGAAGUUAUGAAUCAAAGAAAUGAGAAUUUAAAAAUGGGUAUGACAUCAACUACUGCUAAUUAGGCCUGAACACGGAUCGAUUCGGAAUGGUAGAGGGCUCUUUCGUUAACCAAACCAAAGUCUUCGAUAGACCAAUUUCUCUUUCGUUAACCAACCAUUAGAACAUUUAAUCAUUUAGAUCGGUUAACCGCUUCUUCGGUUUGAAUUAGUUCGAUACGCCGGUAGUACCAUUCACUACUACAAUUUUAGCUUAUACCGACAACCUAAUACUGGCGAAUGAGCAGUUUAGCCAGUACUAGGAACCAUUACUGGCCAAGUAAAGUUGUUUGCCACUACUAAAUAAUACUGGCAAAGUCUUUCGUCAGUACAAGUUUUACUGACGAGCAACAGCGCCAGCCCCUUUAAGGGUGGGAAGCCAAAAUAUUAAGCGCUCAAAUUUGUAGAUAUCAGGAAGCCAAAUUUUUUCACUGACGAGUUGGUUUGCCAAUACUAGACUUAAAUAUAAUUUUUUUUACUUAAACUUUCUCUUUACUUCCUUCAAAUCGACUCUCUCUCUCAUUGACCAAAACAUACCAUAUCUUCUCUCUCGUCUUUUUCUUUCGUUUUUGGGUUUUAGUCUCUGUCACUCACUUUCCCUUCCUCAUUUUUUUUAGUUGAAGAAGAAAGUGUUUUCUUCCUUAGAGCUAUUGGAGUUAGAGGAAUCAUGUGGUAGUUUGAUUUUCGUAUCAGUUGGUUCAGAUUGACAGAGAGAUUCAAUUUGGGGGUUUUCUUUGCUCUUUUCAGUUGAGGUUGAUUCCCUGUUCUGGUGAGAUUUCUGUUCCUAUUUCUUUUAUUUUUUUCAAGUAUUUGAGUAUAGGCAAUGACCCACGAAUCCUUCUGAUUAGUUAUAAAUUACAAUACAAAAAUUUUAAGAUGCAGACAUGGACGAUGUACCAGUUGUAUAGAUGAAAGGCUGAUUAUAUCCUUUGAUUUUUUAAAGCUCUUGUUUCAAUCUUUUAUUAUUUGUUGAUCAAGUCUGGGGCUUGUUUAUUUGUUUUUGGGAGCUUUGUCUUCUGUUUUGUUUUGUUUGGGUUGUGGUUCUGUUUUGUUUUUCUGUUGGGGUUCUGGUGGUUUGCCCUGGGGGAUUUUUGUCCUCUUUCUUGUGUUUCUUUUCUUUCUUGUUCUUAAUAAAAUUGUUUCUAUUAGAAAAAAAAUAUUGGGAGUAUUUUGCUUUUAUACAUGUGUGAGUUGAUAUAUUUCGGUUAAUAUGCAUACUUUAUUUGUUUGUUAUAAUGUGGUCCACUUGUUUGGUGUUAUUUCUUCUUUUCUUCAGUUCAAUGAAUGUACAAUUUCUUGUUUAAUUUGGUUUUGCUUGUGAGUUGAAGUAGAUGGUGUUGAGGGUCAUCCAAUUGAAAGACAAUAGAUUGUUUUGUAUUGAAAUACUGAAGUAAUAGUUUUUUUUUUAUACCAAUGAUGUCUGAUUAAUUUGUUACCACUUUAGAUGAGUAGUUCUGGAGAUAGUUCACAAGAAGGGCUCAAUGUUGACUUGGGGGAUGGUCUAGAGGGAGAUGGUUCUGCAAGUGGUACUGGUAUGUUGGUUUUUCCUUUUUUCUUUUAAUAAACUGGUAUGUUUAAAUAAUUACAUAAAUAUAUUGUAUAUGGGAUAUAUGAGAAACUUAUUACCUUUGUAUUGAGCGGUUAAAAUUAAUUUUUCAUGUAGGCAAUGACGCAAAGCAAGGUCGGGGUCAAGGGAUAUGCAACUGGUGUCUAAAUAACAUGAGAAAAAGUAUCAGACUCCAGCAAACUUGAUGCGUGGGACACUCUCGUGUUUCUUAUUCCUAAAAUUAUUGAAUACUUAGUGCAUGUAUGUGAGUUUAUUAGUUAUAUAUUUUAGAGUUGAUGUAAGACUACCUUAUUGUGGAUGCAAGGCACCAUUGAAUUUUGUCCUGAACAGCAGCCUUUGAUUCAUGUCUUCAAGGAUGUAUGUAUAAAUGAAGAAUAAUGAAAAAUUGUGGAGAAGUUUCAAGAGUGAUUUGAAGUAAGCUUAUUAUAAACCUUUCGAAGGAAGUGAAAGACGGUGGCAAUGUGAGGAUUCUCGUGUAGGCCCAAACCAGUAGCAGCUGUUGUUUGAACAUUAGGAAAAAGAUGAGACUGCAGUACGUAUUAUUACACAACAGUCAAUAUAUAUAUAUAAUCUGUGCAAUGAUUAAGCAUGUUUUGCUUUUGCGAAUAGUAGGAACAAGCUAAAUGAAAUGCUGAAAAUUGGAGUAAACAAAAGUUGAAUCACACAUCUAGCACAAAGUCUUAUGCGCGAAGCAAAGCACAAUAUGUAAGUUUAUGAGGCACAUGAAUGUUUAUUCUUUUUUCUUGUUCAUUGUUCUUUAUGUUCUUUUAUUUGUUCAAGUAUAUGAAAAACUGAAAUGUAGAGGUCCAGAAGACUAAUUGUACAAUUCAUCAUUGUAGAUUUUAUUGGUUUGGUUAAUCUAUGAUGACCAUAGAAUUUGAUGUAGAAUGAUGAACUGAAUAUGUAUCUUUAUUUUUUGUUAGGCUGAAAUGCAGGAAAACUUUAAGGGAUUAGUUGAAGAUGAAUGUCCUGAUAAUUUAAAGGCACGAAGAAGAGCUUUGGUUGGGCAACUAAAGUUUUGGAACUCUACUGAUGUAGGCAGACCUUUGUAAUAUUUGGCUAUUGUAAAUUGUAAUCCACAUUGGUACUUUAUAUUUUAUAAGAAUGGUUGUUGUAUCUUGUAUGGUUCAAUCUUUCAGUAUUGUACUUAUAAUUGUCAUUACAUUUUAAAUAUGAAUUAAAAAAAAAUUAGGAAUGAAAAAUGUGCAGAUUAUAUUACAAAACAAGAGGCAUUUGAAGGAAGUAUAUUUAAUGGUGCAUUAGCUCAAAAAAGAAUUGAAUUGACAAACAAUCCUGGCAUUUUUUAUUUUGGUUAAGAAACAAUCCUGGUGAAUGUUUGGCCAUUGGUAUCGAAACAAUAAUCCUCACAAAAGCUUCUUUAAUACUGGCCAUUUGUUUUGUCAGUAAUAAAUUGAAGUCACUUUAUGACUUGUGUCAGAGACAAACCUAUACUGACGAAUAUGUUACAAAAGUUGGUCAGCAUUAGUAUUACUGACAGGACUUUUACUGACAAGCCUUAUUUCCGUCGCUGCACUCGUCAGGAAGCCAUUACUGACGAAUUUUCGCCAGUAAUGAGGUUUCUACUGACCAUAGAGCGUUGUCGGUAUAAGCUAAAAUUGUAGUAGUGAUUUAACAAAAAACCUACUAAUUAUGUAAUGCAAAUUAGGCCAAAAUGGAUUAAAAACAAGUAUUCCAAAUUCAAAAAAGAAGAACCUUGGGAAUAAAAACAUUUAUCACUAAUGCCAGUUGAAAAACUCCAAAUGAGUAUUUACUGGGAGGACGGUGAAAUUCAAGCAUGUGGACUAAGAUUCUAGGAUGAAGGUUUUUGUAAAGGAAAAUACAGUGGACUGUGGAGGUUUCCUUAAGAAACCAAUGUGGUAUUCUUAGCAGUCCAACAUGAGGCUUCAAAGAACUUAUUAAUAUAAUCUUGAAUAACAUAUCGCUACAAGAUGCUUUCAUGUUUCUUUUCUGUCAAGAUAUGAUUCUUUUUCUUUUCCUGUUCUCAAUUUUAUUGUUGGAAGUUUGAAUUUUUGAAAUUGUGAUUGUUGUUGUGUUUGGUUUCAGUCAACACACAAUAAGUUGACAUGUGUAUAUUUGAUUUAAUUAAUAAAGCAAUUAUAAAUAUCGAAUUGGUACGGAUUUUUGUUGGGUUAGAAAGAAUAUUACCCAACGUUUUAAUCAAACAUUUCUGUACAAAUUGAAUCGAAAUAAUAAAAAAUAAAAAAUAAAAAUUUAACCAAACUAAACGAAACUGUCGGUAUCGUUAAUGAUCAAUCGAAUAAUUUUCAUGUAUUGAAUUACAUAUUGCAAUGUGAAACACAUACUUUUUUUUUUCUUCGUAUGUGUUAGUAAACACACAAGAAUCAUGAAUCGAAAUAAUUUCAACACUCAUGUGUUAACAAACCCAUAAAAAAUUAGGAAUCAUAACUAAUUCUAAUUGACAUUCCAAGUAUAUAAGCAUACAAUAGUUGCAUAGAGAACUAUUAUUAAUAUUCCAAAUAAGUUAUUUUGCACUCCUCUAUAUAAUUUCUCUCUUAUGUUUUUAAUUGCGAUGACUUUUUUAAAGUGCAAAUACCGAAUCCCUUUAUAUUUUGAAUAUAUAUAAAAAAAACAUACGAUACGGCGCGCGCAACACCUGAAUGGCGACGACCAAAAUACAUUCCUCCUUUUUGAAACAUUAUUCCAAAAAAAACAUUAAUCAAGAAACAAAUCGAAUCGAAUAAAUCGGGUAAUUGUAAGUUGUAACACCUGAUGCACGGCGGCGACCAAAAGACACAGAAAAAACACCUGUCUACCGACCAACCGUUGUAAACAGACCUUUACAUCCAAUAGCCAGUAAACACAACAACCGCGUCCUGGCCAAAAAUGGGUAACACGGUUUCUAACCAAGUCCAACUGUACCUAAUAUUUCCUUGCAUACCAAUCUGCGCCGUCCAAGCCUCAUCAAAUCCGCGUCAAACAGAUUAAUCCAACGGUGAUCUACAAUUUGCCAAACUCUCAUCAGCCUCCACCUAUAAAAGGCCCUCUCCGGUCUCUCCUUAAACCCAUCCUUCGCUUCUCAAUCUGCCUCUUAACACCUCCACAAUUUUCUGUCUUCAUUUUCUCUUUGAACUCUCUCUCUCUCUAAUGGCUCGAUCAAGCGCUGUCGUUUUGGUGCUUAUGGCUGCCCUUUUGGUGGCCUCAACAAGGGCACAAUCCCCUGCAUCUUCACCAGCCAAGUCCCCUGCCUCUGCCCCUUCUCCUUUGAGCACUCCACCUGCUGCCUCUCCUCCUUUGGGCACUCCAUCUUCAGCUGCUCCUUCAACAGCUCCCGUCGCAGACUCUCCACCUUCUCCCCCAUCGUCUUCCCCUAAAUCUCCGGCCACCUCUACCUCUACCUCUCCCUCUCUCUCUACUUCGGUGUCGGGAUCGCCCUCGGAAGCUCCUGCUCCCAACGGCGCCGUUUUGAACAGGUUCUCCAUCGCCGGAUCGGUGGCCGUUGGGGUUUUCGCUGCCGCAUUGCUUGUGUAAACAGGGAAUCUCAUACUAUAAGGCCAUGAGAACAGCGGGGGUUCUAUGAAUUUUUUAUCAUUUGUUUUAUUGUAUUUAAUUUCCCAUUUAAUUCAACCAUUCAUUUUGUAUUUAUUGAUAUAUAUAUAUAUAUAUUAUGGGAAUAUAUAGAGACACAUUAUUCUGUCAUUUGAUUGAUUAUCGUCAUGUGAAUUGCAAUCUAAUUUUUUUUCUUUCUAGAUUAAAAAUAUCUAAUUUUGUGUUUACAAAUAUAUUUUUACGUGGCAACAUAUUCGAAACUACGAGGAGGUAUUAACCAGAAAAGCAUUCUAAACUACUUCGAUACAUGUUGAUUGGAUCGAUUUGACAAUCAAAUGCCUCUCACACUAAAGUAUACUAUAUAUAUGUUUUUUCAAAAGAAACUGCGCAUGAAUCUUCUGAUACAUGUGCAUAAAAGUGUUCUAUUUUUUUUUUUUUUGUUUUUGUUUUUUCUCACAAUGAAAUUGGGAUGUGAGAACUUGAAAAACUAACCGGUUGUAAUCCACCAAUAAUACAAUGUUUAAGUAAAACUCAAUUUCAAAUUAUGAUAAAAUUUGUCCAUGUAGGUUAAUUUAUUUGUAAAUCAUGCCAUUGGAUCUUUAUUUGGUUGCUAACAAUUUCUCAAUCGCCUAAUUAAGGCAAAUGAAUAAUAUCUCACUGCACAUUUAUGUUUCAACUCUCAUAAAUAAUGGGCUACAAUCAAAUUACUUCAAAUAUUCCCUCCUAACCUCCUAUAGCUCGAAUAAAUGAAUUUUAUUAUACUUAGUAUCCUACAAUUAUAUUUAAACAUUACUUAAUAUUCUCCAAUGAUAUAAAUGUAUAUGUAUCAAAUAUAUUCUAACAGGUACAAUAUUAGGAGAAAAAAUGUGAUGGCUUUAAUAUACCUAUAAUACACCCCUAAUUGGUAAAUUACAAGUUAUAUUAUUGCAUAAUGGAUCCCGAGCCUCUGCAUUUAGACAGUGCAUUUACCCACAUUUCGUUAAAUAUAGACCGUUGUAAUAAUCUUACGCCUUAGAACAUGACACAUCAUCAAGUUUUUUUUUUUCUUCUUCUCUAAGCAAACAUUAAGUUUAGAGCGUGUUUCUUUUCUUAUUAUUAUUUUUUCCCUCCGCGUAAUCUUCUUUUCUCUAUGGUUCAAUCAAAAAUUGCCCAUGGUUGAACGAAUAUUCAAAUCCAAAUGGAAUGGAAAAACUCCCAAAUUCUUGAAUAAGUAGUUUCUUUGAAGUAAAAAUAAAGACAAAUCCGUUGCAAUCUGAUUAUGAAGGGAAGGAGAUGACGACAUAAAAGAACAACAAAAAAUCCCUCUUGUGAAGCCAAAAAACGCAUGAAACAACACUGAAGAAAAGCCAAAAACUAUUUUAACUUGGUUGGGUUUGAAGAUUAAUACAACCAUGAAGGUUUUCCAUUGAAUCCCAAAAGGGCAUCAAUCAAGCAGGGAGAAAGAAGGAGAUGACCAAAACACAAACUUGCUGUAAACUAAGGAGACAUGAAUGUGGUGAAACAAAAAAAACUCCAAACUAACAGCAAUAGUUAACGUCUGUUAUGUUUGUUUGGAGAAGAAAAAAAACCUUGAUGAUGUGUCAUAUUUUAAGUUGUUAGAUUAUUGCAAUGGCCUAGAUUGAGUGAAAUGCAGUUAAAUGCACAGGCUUGGGAUCCAUUGCAUAAUAGUCAAUUAUUAGGUAAAUUAUAUCUAAAAUGUGUUUAUAAAAAUUGGGUAUAUUAUUUGAAUAAUAAGUAAAUUCAUACUUAAUACAUUAUUUUCAUAAUAUAUUGUGAAAAGUUGGGUAGGUAAAUUCAUACUAGGUACAUAAUAAUCAAUGUACCUAUAAAAAGUUAGGUUAUGAAAUUAUUUUCACAAUAUACCUAUAAAUGUGUUGGCUUUAAUAUACCUACAAUAUACCCAUAAUAGGUAAAUUACAAAUUAUAUUAUUGCAUAAUAAUCAAUUAUUAGGUAAAUUAUAUCCAAAAUGCGUUUAUAAAAGUUACGUAUAUUAUUUGAAUAAUAAGUAAAUUCAUACAAGGUACAUUAUUUUUUGUAAAAGAAGUAAUAGUUAUGUUGUUUUUCAACAUUAAAACGUAUGUAUUUUCAACAUUGAAAUGUAUGUAUGCUAUUACAUUUAUAAAACAAUAAUAUAAUAGAUAAUUAAUCACGUAUACUUCAUAACUAAAUUUUAAAAAUAGUAUUUUUUAUAUUAAAUAAACCGAUUAAGUAUGUUAAAUUUAAAAAAGUUUCCAAAUUAAUUUGGGAGAUUCACUAUUAUACCCAAUAUAGGAGCCUAAAUUAUAUUAAAAAAAAACCUAUAUGAAAUGGACUUUAGAUACACACCCAAAACCUAUUUACAAUAUAACAAAGAGGCUUUUAAAUUCUUAUAAAUUACAAAAUUGCCAUCAAUUUCUUAAAACAAGCCCAACCAGAAAACCUCAUAAAAAUACCAAAACCACUCAAUAGGGCAUCAAAGUAAUUUUAAUAAAAAAAUAAAAUUCAUUAGGGCCAGCUAUCAUUUUUUGAAUUUUUUAUAUAUAGAAAUUUAGUGCUAAGAAUGGGUAUAUGACUAAAUAUCUCAAUUAAUUUAUACAUCCAUUUGGAGAUCUUCCCAAAUUCAAUGUGUGUCAUUAGUUAUAAUCCAAUUAAAAUCUGUUUCUAUAUUAGUUACUACAUUAAUAUACAAAAUGCAAUAAUGGCUUAGGUGGGGAGUACUUUAGGAAUUGAAAAAGUGCAAUAAAUUCGAUUUUGCACUUGAUUAGGUAACUUGCCGAGUUGGAUCCUAGUCAUCAAGUUUUAUUUAGGAAAAACAAGAUUUUAUUCAAACAAAAAUAAAGAGAUGGUUUGUGGUUGAGGAAAAAUGACUUUCAAGGGGUUAAGCUAAAUUUACUAUUUAUUUUAUUCGGUGCACGAAUAGCAUAACCUGGUUGCCAUAGAUUCUUUGACCAACGAACUUCCUUCUCCCUCGAUCUUUGUGAAAAAGGUUGGAGUAAAUAGAUCACACUCAGGGGGUGUUGGCCAAAGGCCCUCCGAUGCCUAAGUUAGUUUGAUUGGAUCUUGAAAAAGAUAUGACAAUAGCUAAAGUGGUCGGAGCUUUCUCUAAGGUACGAGAGAACUAGAUGGCCGAAGCCGUGGGUGGUGGUGGCUGGAGCGUGAGAGAGAGAGAGUGCCUAGAGUGGCAUGAGAGAGUGAGAGUGAGAGUGAGAGAGAGAGAGAGAGAGAGAGAGAGAGAGAGAGAGAGAGAGAGAGAGAGAGAGAGAGAGAGAGAGAGUUUCGGCUAGGGAUUUAGGAUUACCUCAUAUGUGUGAUGUAGCUAUAGUGCUCCUUGUCAACUAGGGUUUGAAGAAUAAUCCUUAUUUAAUAAGGAUUAUUCUUACACAAAAAUAGGAGAUUGGAAUUAAACAAGGAGAUUCGAUGGAAAUCUCAUCCUUGAUUUAGGGAGAUAUUCCUAUCUUAAAUCAAUUAUAAUUAGGAUAAUUAAUUGACAUAAGGAAUUUCCCUUUUCCAUGUGUCACCCAUUCAUUGGUCGCCAAAAUAUAUGCUCCCAUAAAUGCCCCCCCACCUUCUGCUUGGCGUCUGUGUGGCGGGGAAGAGAUGUGAAAUAUUCUUUGGGCUUUCCAACUUUGUUUGGGUUUCCACUUGUGAGUUGGGCUCCUAGUUGGAGUAGGCAUUUGACUUCUUCUUGGAAUUGGCUUGUGACUCCUAGUUGGAUAAGGAUACCCAACUAUUAUAAAUACAAGGCUUCUCUUCAUUCCUCUUCAAAUUGCAAACUUGUCUUCCUCUACUUUCUUGCUUGUAAGAGAGACCUUGGAGGAGUGUUUUGCUUGUCGAUGAGAAGAGUUGUCAUGUACACUAAGGUAGGUCAUACUUGGUUUUUGUAUGUAACUUUUUUCUUCACAGUGAGGACCAGCUGGGUGGGCCUGUCUGGUUGUUGUUGUGACCGCAUGGAGCAGGUAGAGCAAUCGGCGAUGAGCGAUGGUGGCAGCCGCAACAACUGCUGGUGGCAACUGCGGCAGCGGUAGUUGCAUCUUUUUACGUGUGCGCGUUAAGGGCCUAGCUGCUGGACCCUAGCUUUUGUUGAGGUUUGGCAACUGGACAACAUUGCAAGUCCAUUCGCGGGUGCUAAUGGUCGCCGUCGAAUAGUGGCUGCUGCCGCGGUGGUUGUUGGCUAUUGUUGGUGAUGGCUACGACCCUCUUUUUUUUUUUUUUUUUUUUGAAUUUUUUUUGCUGGAGCUUGUGUUGCACCAUGACCUACUGGGCAUGUGGUGGCUUACCUAUUGGGCAUGUAGUGGCUCAGAUCGGGCCGAGGAGCAUGCAGCUUGGCGGCUCGGCGCACUUGGCUUAUUCUUCCAUGUUCUUCUUUUCAAAUCACAAAUUAGGGUUUUCAUUUGCGAUUUGACUUGUGGAAUUUCUUUUCCUUUUACAAUUGUGCAAUCAUCAUGUCAUCUUAUGAGGGAAGCCAAUAUGUCGGUUCACAAGUGUCCAUGUAUUUGUGGGGUAGCUCCAAGGUACCUAAGAGGAAAUUUGUGGCGAACUUGUAUCAUAUCACAACCGAAUCCCAGUUUUAGAAAUGGUGCUUCACCUUUGCUUCUGCCAUACUGAGUAAUGGGCAUGUCAGGUUGGCAGAGCCUCCGAUAGACCAUGUGGCUUGCACAGACCCUAAUGAUCCAAAUGCUAGGAUCAUCACAUUCUACCCGUUCUACUUCUCUUUGGGGUUUCGAUUUCCGAUGUCGCGGUGCUUCAAGAGGGUGUUCCAUGCCAUGGAGUGUGCUCCUAGUCAGUGUACUCCGAACGUUUACCGGUCCGUCAUCUGCUUUGCUAACCUAAAUUGCUUCUUCAAGCUGGGCUUAACCUUGAGGUUACUUUAUGUAGGUGAGAUGAGGAUCAAAAUAUAAUAUUCGAACAAGUUUGUUGUGCUUCAUGUAGUAUCUUGCAGUUUUCUGCUUGAUUUUUUCUAGCCUCAAACUUCUCAUUUGUCAAAUUUUUGUUUACCAAGUAGUCGAUGAUGGGGUCUUGCCAGCUGGGAUCCUCAUCGAUCUGCAUUAGAUCUGACUGCUUUUCCUUUUUGAUACUUGGUUAAUCAAGGUGCUCGAUCGCAAUUGAAAGUCUGGACUGCAUGUCCAGCGUUGAUCCCAAGCCUAUCAGCGCAUCUAUAUGUGUGUUCUCUACCCGGGGAACUUGUUGGAUGAUGAAGGUAGGGAAUGCCUUCAAAAGUUUUUGGACUUUGUCCAGGUAAUAGAUCAUCCUUGGGUGCUUUGCCAUAUACUCCCCUGAAGCUUGAUUGGUGAUUAGUCAGGAAUCUGAGUAGAUGGCUAGCCUCUUGAUCGAUAACUCCCUUGUCGUGUGUAGGCCAACAAGCAACCUCGUACUCUGCUUCAUUGUUUGAGGUUGGAAAGUCGAGUGUGUUGGCUUGCACUAAUAAGGUUCCAUCCGGGGUGAUUAUAACGACGCCUAUUCCAGCUCCCUUUUGAUUUGACGCUCCAUCUAUGCGCAACUGCCACAUGUCUUUGGGCACGUCAGGAUUAGCAGCAGAGUUCUCGUCUGCUGUCAAACUUUCCUUGUUUUUGAUGACCAAAUUCUCUUUUUCAGCUGAUCGAGGGAACUCUAUGACGAAAUUUGCUAAAGCAUGGGCUUUUAUGGCAGUAUUCGACUGGUAGAAGAGGUCAUACUGACUUAAUUCGAUAGCCUACUUCAUGAGUAGCCAAGAAGCGUCGGGACUAUGAAGAAUCGACCUCAAAGAAAAUUAUGUCAUGACGAUGAUUCGUUGAACUUAGUAGUAGGGUCUUAACUUUCUCACGGAAACUACUAGGGACAAAAUGAGUCUUUCCAUUUUCGGAUUACGAGUCUCUGCAUCGUGGAGGACUUUUGACUUGUAGAAUAUUGGAUGUUGUGCCCCCAGCUCUUCUCGGAUGAGAGUUGAGCUGAUUGCUGAGUUGGACAUCGCCAGAUAGAUGAAUUAUUCUUCGCCUAGUACGGGUUUGAGAGUAGAGGAGGUGAAGUGAGCUAGGUCUUCAAGUUUUGAAAAGCUACUUCAUACUCUUCAUCCCACUUGUCUCUUUUCCUUUCUUCAAGGCUUUGAAGAAUGGCCUGCACUUGUCAGUUGAUCUCGAAAGGAAUUGGUUGAGAGCUGUUGCUCUGCCCAUCAAACUUUGUAUCACUUUCAGUGUGGCAGGCGACUUCAUAUUGAGGAUGGCCUUGAUUUAAUUCAGAUGUGCUUCAAUGCCUCUUUGGAUGGCUAAGUAUCCCAAAACUCGAGUAGAAGUGCACUUGCUCGGAUUGAACUUCAUGCGGUACUUUUGGAGCAGGCUGAAGGCUUUGGCAAGAUUCUUGAUAUGAUAUGCUCGUUAGGGAGCUUUGACUAGCAUGCCAUCCAUUUAGACCUCUAUAGUCUUGCCGAUCUACUUUUUGAAAAUCUUGUUCACGAACCUCUGGUACUUUGCUUCGGCAUUCUUCAACCCAAAGGUCAUGACUUUGUAGCAAUAUGUGCCUAUUUCAAUUAAGAAAGAAGUCUUUGCUUUAUCGUCCUCAUGCAUCAUGAUUUGAUUGUAGCCAGAGUAUGCACCCAUGAAGCUUAGCAGUUGGUUAACGGAAGUUGAAUCUAGGAGUUGAUCAAUUCUUAGUAGUGAAAAGUUAUCCUUCAGGCAUGCAUUGUUGAGGUCAGUGUAGUCUACACAAACUCUCCACUUACCUUGAAUUUUCUUUGCCACCAGAACAACUUUAGCUAGUCACUUUGAGUAUGAGACUUCUUCAAUGAAGCUAGCAACUAGGAGCUUGUCAAUCUCGACUUCAAUAAUAGCAACUCGCUCAGGAGCAAAGUUGUGUCUCUUAUGUGCCAUUGGUUUAACAUGAAGGCAAUGGCAGAUGAUCUGCGAAUCGAUGCCUGGCAUGUUAGAUGGUGACCACGCGAACACGUCCUUAUUGCUUGGACGAAGGUGGUCAACUCCAUUUUCUCAUUUUUUCUUUCUGGCUUAUUAGGAUCAAGAGGUACUAGCUUCAGGAGAGACCUCCAGAUGGAUUCCCUCGUCUUAGUCCCACUCUUUAAUUGCUAUUGGGGAAUGACUAUUCCCUUUCCAUUUUGAUCCGCUCGAUUGUUAGGAACAUGAUCUGCUUCCUCCCCUACUUGUUCUGCUCCCUUAAGAUCUACUUGAUUUACAAGGACGAAAUGGGUUUGUCUGCUCUUCUUUAGCCCUUGAGCUGAGCAUCUUCUCGCCAUUAUAUGAUUGCUGUUGAUUUGCCUGACACCACUUCUAGGGAUUAGGUAGUGGAUUUUUUGGUGCAUGGCCGAAGUGAUGGCAUUAAUCUUGUUAAUCCAUAGUCUGCCCAGGAUGCCGUUGUAUAGGGAAACCUCGUCAAUGAUCAUGAACGUGUAUGCGCUAAUCAUUGGUGGAGAGUAGACAUCGAGCUCUACCAUUCCCAUAAUGAUCAAGGUUGCUCCAUUGAAGCCAGUGAAUGAUCUAGUCGACUUGUUGAUCUUGGCCUCCAUGCCCAUCUACUCGACUAUCGAAAGUCGUAGGAUAUAGGUUGUGUUGCCAUCGUCCAUAUGAAUUCGCUCGAUCAUGGCUUGUGAAAUUUGGAUGCUUAUGAUGAGGGCGUCAUUGUGAGGCAGAUCAAACCCGAUCAAGUCUUUCUUCUAAAAACCGAUUACGGGAUCGUCUUCAAUUGUUGGGCAGCUUAUUAAGACUUGGGGGAUCACAGUCGCCUUCUUAAUCUCCCUUAUUUUUUCUUUGCUGGUCAGUUCGGAUUCCUUUGAGUCGACCAUGAUUGUGUUAAUCUUUAUCACCUUUUGCAGAGGCUCUUUAGCUGCGCUGCAUCUCGAUCCUCGAUCUGCUGGAUGGCCUUCUUUGUCACAAAUUCUGUUCAGUGGUCUUCUCUUACGAGCUCUUUGAGGUGUAUAUUUCAAGAUCGAUAGUUGGCUGUGUCAAGCCCAUGUGUGCCAUGGAAGGUGCAGUACUUGUUGGCACUCCUCUUGUCAGGAUCUCCCUUCAAAGGUAGUGGCCUCCUAGGCAAGGGAUUGUGAACUUUGUAUAGAGUUCAUGUGCUGGUGUGCCACCUUAGGAUGGUGCCUUGCGCUUUCCUCCAUGGUUCCUAUUGCUGGGCUUAUCACUUCUCUGACCUGCCUCCUAGGGUGGUUGUUCGGCUUGCUUAGCAGACUUCUUCUUAGGAAUUUGAUUAUCAUCACAGAGCGCCUAACAUUCUGCUGUCACGAAGACCUCUACCAGAGUUUCGCUGGGAGCGAUAGUCAGGUCGCGAUGCAAGUCGUUUUCAGCUGGUAAGCCCUUCUUGAAAGCAGAGGAUGCGAUUUGAUAAUCGCAUCCCAUAAUGUUGGCUUUCUUCCUCUUGAAUCUUUUGUUGUAGUCUCGGAGGGACUUAUCAUACUUCUUGAGCAGGUUGAACAGGUGGUCGGCUUGUUUUUUGAUCGUCCGAUAGGAAGUGUACUCCUUUAUGAAGAUGAAAGCUUGCUUCUUGAAGCAACUGAUCGACUUGGAUGGCAUGGAAUGAAACCAAUUCUAAGUUGCAUUUACUUAGAGGCUAGGUUUGAACCAUAUGUUUAGGGUUUCCUGGGUUUGAAGGGUUGAGGAGUGGGUACGUAUAUGGGUAAUUUUGGAACACAAGCUGAAAAGUCCAAUGUUGGGUUAAAAAUUUCAAAUAAAAAAUCUCUUAUUUUUUUAAUUUUUGUUUUUUUAACAAAGGGGAUCUAACAACCCAAAACAAACUAGUAACACAAUUUUGGGCUUCUAUGAAUCGUUCUUGGCAAAUCUUUUUCUGCGUAUGAGGACAACCAUUGAAUUUGAAGAGCUACCUAAAGUCAGGAGCUACCUAUUAUCCCAACCAAACUGGAUAUCCAAAAGGGCAAUUGAGGGACUAUAGUGUGACAAUUGUAUAGUCAAUAUUAAUAUAUUUUUGAGUUGGUGUCUUUUAAGGGUAGUUAGGUCUUUUACUUAUCUAGAGAUAUGCCUAUAUAUUGUAAGCAUACUGCAGCUUUAUUUUUCUAUUGAUUUGUGAAUAUAUUGGCAUUCUCUGCUUCUGCUUGAAUUGUUCACAUAGUAUCAGAGCGAUCCUCUUGGCUUGUUUCUGGUUUUUUGGUCUUCCCCCCAAUGCUUUCUUGAUUCGUGUUGCUGCGUUUCCUUGUUGAUUUGCUGCUGCGUUUUCUGGUGACGGCUGCUUUUGUCUUCUUGGUUUUCAUCUAUUUUGGUUUCCGCUGCUUUUGGUUCUUGUCUCUCCUAUAUUGUUUUGCACAUGGCUAGUGAAAAAGAUGAUUCUCCUCAAGCAAUCAGUGUCAAUUUGCAUGGCAGUAAUUAUUUUUAUUGGGCCUAUGUUAUGAAGAACUUUCUAAUGGGAAAAGGAAUGUGGGGUUAUGGCUCUGGUGAUAUUAUUGUCCCAUAUGAUAAAAAAGUAGAAAUGUAUGUUGAAUUGUUGAGUACGUGGCAGAUGCAAAAUUCUAAAUCAUCACUUAGAUCAAUAAUUAUGUGGACAUCUCGAUCAGUAUGCAACUUGCCAAAUUUGGUACAACUAAGGAAAUUUGGGAACACUUAGAAAGAUUGUACUAGAGAUCCAACUUUGCUAAAUGUUAUCAAUUAGAAAGUGAUCUUCGAGCCACCAAACAAGGAGAAAAAGCAUUCAAGAUUUUUAUAAUGUUAUGACUGGACUUUGGGAUCAACUUGCACUGAUUAAAUCUCCUGGACUUAGUUCUACUGAUCUUUAUUGUACAUAUAGAGAAGUGCAGCGCCUUGUUCAAUUUCUUAUGGCUCUCCAAGAUGAAUUUGAAGCUCUUCGUGGUUCAAUUCUUCAUCGUAAUCCCCUUCCUUAUGUUGAUUAUGUUCUCAAUGAAUUAUUAGCCAAAGAGGUUUGCUUAACAUCCCAUGUUGGCACAGGGCUUCUUCCUUUGCCAAACCAGAUAGUCUUUGUAGCCUAAUCCCGGUCCUUUCCUCCUUCAUAAAAUAAGCCACGCCCUAGAGUUGCAGUUGAUGAAUGCGCAUUUUACAAAGAAAAAGGCCAUUGGAAAUCUCAACGUCCUGUACUCCUUAAUAAGAAGGCCCAACCACAACAAUUCUUCCUACCCAAACGAUCUCCAACAGCUCAAUUGUUUCAUCCUAUUGUGAAUCUUCCACCAGUCCUACAAUGUUGCUUAUGGCAGAGCAAUUUCAUAAGCUUUGUUCUACCCAUCAGCCUAAUGCCUUGUCCAUGAUUUCCCAUUCUUUAGGUUUGCCUUCCUCAUCUUCUUCAAGAAUAUCCCCAUCCACUUGGGUCUUGACUCAGGUGCUACACAUCAUAUGACUAGUGAUCUGUCAUUGUUUACUUCAUUGUCUUAUUUGUCUACAUCAAUUUCUGUUUUGACUGCCAAUGGCACUUCUAUGUCAUUGGCUGGUAUCGGCUCUAUCACAACUUCUGGCCUAUGUCUAUCUAAUGUCUAUUAUAUUCCUCAACUAACCUUAAAUUUGAUUUCUAUUAAUCAAUUGUGUGCUUCUGGCAAUGUUCUUCAAUUUUCCUCUACUUCAUGUUAUGUACAGGAUCCUCACUCCAAGAAGCUGAUUGGGACAGGUCGUAGAGAAGGAGGAUUAUAUGUGUUGGGGAAGCUCUAGAUUGCUGCCUUGGUGGCUUCAUCUAUUGAUUUGUCAUCUUUUUGUUUGAGUCCUAAGUCGUCUAACUUUUACCUAUGGCAUUCUCAUCUUGGUCAUGUCUUUGGUUCUCGUUUGAAAUAUUUAGUUUCUAUAUGAGCUUUAGGCAAUUUCAAUUGUCAUGACAUUUCAUAUUACAGUGGGUGUAAACUUGCUAAAUUUUCUGCAUUACCUUUUACUAGAAGUUCCUCUACUUCUUUAGUCCCAUUUGAUUUAAUUCACUUUGAUGUGUGGGGCCCAUCUCUUAUUUCUAGUAACGGGCGAUAUUAUUUUUCUUUUAUUAGUGACUACUCUUAUUAUUGUUGGACUUAUCUUAUGAAACACCGCUCUGAUUUCUUUUCUAUAUUUCAAAAUUUUAGCGCCCUUGUUCAUACACAAGUUUCUACUGUCAUUAAAUGUUUUCGAUGUGACGAUGAAUAUACCUCUCGUGCUUUAACUGACUUGCUUGCCUCAGAUGGUACCGCACACCAAUUCUCUUACACUGCAACUCCUGAACAAAAUGGUGUUGCUGAAAGAAAACAUCGACAUAUUGUUGAAAUUGCCAGGUCUAUGUUGCUUUCUGCUGAUGUCCCAAAUUUUUUUGGAGGCGAAGCAGUUCUGAUUGCCAAUCAUGUGAUUAAUCGCAUUCCCACAUCUCUCACCUAUGGCAUAUCUCCGUUUGAAAGAUUGUAUGGUAACAGUCUUGACUAUUUCUCAUUGAAAGUGUUUGGUUGUACUUGUUUUGUUCUUCGUCCUCUUGUCGAACAUAUAAAAUUAUCUGCUCGCUCUGCUAUGUGUGUUUUUCUUGGUUAUGGCGAAGGACAAAAAGGUUAUCAUUGUUAUGAUCCUAGUGCAUAAAAAUUGUACGUUUCUUGUCAUGUGGUUUUUCUUGAGCAUAUUCCUUUUUUCUCCAUUCCUACUAGUUCUCCUAUUUUAUUGAAUUAUGAGCUCAUGUAUAUUGAUCCUUUUUCUCCUACUAAUGAUGAUUUCUCUUAUUCUAACAAUGUUAACAUUUCUCCUAUUUCUAGUUCCCCUUCUAAUCCUUGUGUUACUUCUCCUCCUAUUAUUCAAGUGUAUUCUUGCAUUACUUCUCCUCCUAUUACUCAAGUGUAUUCUUGCAGGAAACAUGUCAUAAGUUCUGAGACUAAUAAGUUCUUCUCCUUAUCCUUCGCACACUCAUAAGCCCCCUCAUUGGUUUAGUUAUUCUUCUAAUGAUUUUAGUUAUUCUUGUUAUUCUCAUAAUUUCUCUUCUUUCUUAUCCUCUAUACAUACUCUCUUUGGACCCACCUCCUACAAGGAUGCUAUAUGUAAUCCUCUUUGGCAACGGGCUAUGAAUGAAGAACUUUCUACUCUGCAUAAAACUGGCACAUGGGAUUUUGUUCCUCUUCCUCCUAGUAAACAUGCAGUUGUGUGAUGGGUCUAUAAAAUUAAGACUAAGACUGAGGGUUCUAUUGAGAGAUAUAAGGCUCGUUUGGUUGCUAAGGGAUUUACACAGGAAUAUGGCCUUGAUUAUGAAGAGAACUUUGCUCCAGUGGCCAAGAUGACUUAUGUCCUUACCUUACUUGCUGUUGCAUCAGUUCGUCAAUGGAGUUUAUCACAAAUGGAUUUUAAAAAUGCUUUUUUGAAUGGGGAUCUUUUCGAGGAGGUGUAUAUGGUUCCCCCCCUAGGUAUUCUUCAUAAUCCUGGGGAGGUGUGUCAUUUACGGAAAGCUUUGUAUGGUCUUAAACAAGCUCCUCGUGCUUGGUUUGAGAAAUUCUCUGCUAUUAUUGGUUCCCUUGGUUUUCAAUCAAGUGCUCAUGAUCCUGCCUUGUUUGUUUGUUCUACCUCUAUUGGUUGUAUCCUUCUCCUCCUGUAUGUUGAUGACAUGAUUCUUACGGUUGAUUAUUUGAAUGGUAUCACCGAAUUAAAAUUGGCUUUACAUGAUCAAUUUGAAAUGAAGGAUUUAUUGCAUUUUCCCCUAAAAGUUAUCUCCUUUCUCAAUCUAAAUAUGCUGUUAACGUUCUUCAAAAAGCUCGUAUUACAGAUACUAGAGUGGCUGAUACGCUUCUUGAGCUCAAUGUGCGUUAUAUUCCCUCUGAUGGUACCCCUUUGGAUUAUCCUACUCUUUAUCGCACUAUUGUUGGGAGCUUAGUUUGUCUCACUAUUACUCUCCCUGAUAUUGCAUAUGUCGUUCAUAUUGUUAGUCAGUUUGUCUCUUCUCCUACUACUCUUCACUGGGCUGCUGUGAUCUGUAUUUUAAACUAUCUUCGAGGGACUUUGUUUCAAAGCUUAUUGCUUCCUUCCACCACAAUUUUGGAGCUUCAAGCCUUUUCUGAUGUUGGUUGGGUUGGCGAUCCUUUUGAUCAGAAAUCUACUACUGGUUAUUGCAUUUUUCUUGGUGAUUCCCUUAUCUCCUGGAAGAGUAAGAAACAAUUAGUUUUUUCUCGUUCUUCUACUCAGGCUGAGUAUCGUGCUAUGGCCUCUACUGCUAUUGAAAUUGUUUGGCUUCGGUGGUUGCUUCAAGAUAUGGGUGUUUCUCUCUCUAUGCCUACUCCUAUGUAUUGUGAUAAUAAAAGUGUCAUUCAAAUUUCUCACAACUCUGUCUUUCAUAAGCGCACAAAAGCACAUUGAGUUGGACUGUCACUUUGUUCGCCAUCAUUUCCGACAAGGCACUUUCUCUCUUCCUUUUGUCUCCUCCAUCAUGCAAUUGGCCGAAUUCUUCACCAAGUCUCACACUCUUGCUUACUUCCGCUUUCUUCUUAGCAAACUCUCGAUGCUUAAUACUAUAACAUUGUGAGUUUGACAAGGGGUGUGACAAUUCUAUAGUCAAUAUUAAUAUAUAUUUGAGUCGGUGUUUUUUAACGGUAGUUAGUGUAAGAUGGUAAUACAUCUUACAAUUGUAUAGUCAAUAUUAAUAUAUAUUUGAGUCGGUGUUUUUUAACGGUAGUUAGUGUAAGAUGGUAAUACAUCUUACACUCAUUAAAGUGAUCUUCUAAUCACUGAGGGAUUGCAAGGAUUCCAAGUUAAUCAAGAACUCAUAGACUUACUCGACCAACAGCUUUGGAUAAUAUGUUAAACAGAAAUCUAAAGACUUUGGGAUUCCUAACUCUAUUAGGAUUGAGACUCCAACAUCUACUACAUUAAGGACAUCUCUUAGAGUUCCAUGAUGGGCAAAACUCUAAGAGAUAUAUGCAUAUAAAUAGAGAGCUCCCUCCAGAACCAACAACACACGCUUUAGCUAUCAGAUAUUCACCCCAUCAGAAUAAGCAUACAGUGUUGGUUUCUUGGAGAAGACCUUUCUUGUUCUUGCGACUAUUCUGGAUAAUGGCGGCUAAGAAUCAAGGUUAAUAUAUUUGAUUUUAUAGCUUAUCAAGUAUUACAAUUAGGUCUUUUACUUAUCUAGGGCAUCUUUACAUGCCUAUAUAUUGUAAGCGUACUGCAGCUUUAUUUUUCUAUUGAUUUGUGAAUAUAUUAGCAUUCUCUGCUUCUGCUUGAAUUGUUCACAUAUAGUACUAUCCCAAGCCUCCAAACUAACAUAAAAAAAGGGCAAGUCAGGACCUACUAUAUCCCACAACAAACUGGGAUAUCCAAAAGGGCAAGUCAGGAGCUACAAUCCCAAAACAGUAAGUAAAAAGAAGAAAUAGAUAGCGAUUUACUUGAUCAUAGAGCUAUUAUAUAUAUAGCUCUCUCUCUACCCCCAUUGUGUUCCAGGUUUAAGAUAGUGCAUGCACACAUCAUGCUUCUCGAUAAUCUUUUCCAUUUUCGCUUCUUUCUCUUUCUAAGUUCAUAUUCAUAGUUUGUAAUUUUACGUACAAUGUGUUGGGAAAGAUAGCGAAAAAUAAAAGAGCCAAUAAAUAAAUAUGGCACUCCCAGGAUCUGACUUCUCCCAGCCUAAGAAAAAUAAUGGAAAUACAAAAAUAAUCUCACCAAACACCGGUGGCUAAACUCUCUCUUGGUUUUUCUCUCAAGAGGAUUUUCUCUCUCACACACGUGAGGCUUUCUUACCUCUCAAAACUGUCUAAGUUUUGGUUUUCUAAGGGAUGUGUUGAACUGAAAGAAGGCAACUGCUUUUAUAGCCAGUAUUCCUAACUAAUUAGUGGCAAUGCAUGAGGGAGAGUUUUUCUCAUUUCCUCUUCCAUUCGUUUUCUUCAAAUUUUCCCUUUCUUUCAUUUUAUUUUAAUAUUUAUUUCCCUUCUUGUUCUCUUCUCCAUAGCGAGGGAAACCCAUCAAUCUCCCCCUCCCGACUUAGGUGGAGGGCUCCAGCAGUCCAGCUGUUCUUCUGCAAAAUUCAUAUUUUUCCUUAGGUAAGGACUUGGUCAUCAUAUCUGAACUAUUGUCAUCAGUAUGGAUUUUUUCAAGCUGUAAUUUCUUAGACUCCAACACAUCACGUAUCCAGUGAUAUCGCACAUCAAUGUGCUUCGACCUUGAGUGAAAACUCGGAUUCUUGCUCAAGUGGAUCGCACUCUGACUAUCACAAUGCAAAAUGUAUUUAUGCUACUCUUGUCCUAAUUCUUGUAGGAUUCGCUUCAUCCAGAGCAUUUCUUUGCACGCUUCAGUAGCUGCAAUAAACUCUACCUCUGUAGUUGAUAGAGCAACACAUUUUUGUAACUUUGAUUGCCACAAAACUGCUCCCCCUGAAAAUGUAAUCAGGUAUCCUGAAGUAGAUUUUCUGGAAUCAAGAUCUCCUGCCAUGUCUGCAUCUGUGUAGUCAAUCAAUGCAGGUUUUCCACCUCCAAAGCACAAACUCAUUUUGGAAGUACCCCUAAGAUAUCUAAGAAUCCAUUUCACAGCAUUCCAAUACUCUCUGCCUAGUUUAGACAGGAAUCUGCUUACAACGCCGACUGCAUGCGUUAUGUCUGGCCUCAUGCAAAUCAUUGCUUACAUCAGACUACCAACAGCUGAGGAAUAUGGCACCAUAGCCAUGUUUUCUUUUUCUUUCUCACAUGUAGGACUCUGCUUUGAACUAAGCUUGAAGUGAUUAGGAAAUGGAGUAGAAAUUGGUUUUUCUUUAUCCAUGUUAAACCGGUUUAGUACCUUCUCGAUAUAACUUUCUUGUGAUAACCUCAACUUCCGAUUUUUUCUAUCACGAGAUAUACUCAUACCGAGGAUUCGUUUUACGGGUCCUAAGUCUUUCAUAGCAAAAGACUUGCUCAACUCUUUCUUCAGCUUGCUAAUCUUGUCACUGUUUUGUCCUACGAUCAACAUGUUAUCGACAUAGAGAAAAAGUAUGAUGAAUUCACCAUCAUCAAAUCUUUUCACAAAUACACAAUGGUCUGAAGUAGUCCUCCAAUAUUUGUGUUCAAUCAUGAAGGAAUCAAACUUCUUGUACCAUUGUCGAGGUGCCUGCUUGAGUCCAUAUAAGCUCUUCUUCAGCCGACAUACCAAAUCUUCUUUUCCUUUGACUUUGAAUCCUUCUGGCUGCUCCAUGUAGAUUUCUUCUUCAAGAUCCCCGUGAAAAAAAGUUGUCUUCAGAUCUAGCUGUUCGAUCACAAGAUUCAGGCUUGUACCCAAACCGAGUACAACCCGUAUGGAUGACAUCUUCACUACGGGUGAGAAAAUCUCUUCAAAGUCAAUUCCUUUCUUAUGACUGAAACCUUUCACAACUAGCCUUACCUUAAACCUGAGCUUAGAGUUAUUUUCUUCCGUCUUCAGUCGAUACACCCAUUUGUUCUUGAGUGCUCUUCUACCUUUUGGUAGGUUCACCAGAUCAUAUGUACGGUUCUCAUGUAGAGAUUGUAUCUCUUCAUGCAUGGCUUUCAACCACUCAUCUUGUUGAUCAUGAGUCAAUGCUUCUUCAUAGCAUUCUCGUUCUCCCCCAUCAGUUAGGAGAACGUAAUCAUCUGGAGAAUACCUACUCGGAGGUCUCCGUACCCUGGUCGAUCUUUUUGGUUGGAAUUCGGCCACUGGCUCUUCAUGGGCUUGUGCUUUUUGCCCCUUAUCUGCUGCAUCAUCUAUUAUACCAUCAGUUGUAUGACCAUCACUCAUGUCAUCAUCAACUGGUUCAUUUAUAAUAGGAUCACUAGCUGGAUCAUCAGUAUCAUUAGAUUCAUCUCGCCCAUCAUUGUGCUCUAAUGGAGGAGGAAUUGGAUCCAAGUUAGCUAGAUAUUCUCUAGGAUUAUCAGGUUUAUCACCUCUUCGAAUGUCUUCAAUGUUCUGAUCUUCAAAGAAGACAACAUCUCUACCUAUAAUAAUAUUUCUAGCUACAGGAUCCCAUAACUUGUAACCGAAUUCUUUAUUCCCAUAUCCUACGAAUAUACAUUCUUUCGACUUCGUGUCGAGCUUGGAUCUCUCGUCUUUAGGAAUAUGAACAAAAGCUCUACAACCAAAAACUUUCAAAUGAUUGUAGGAAACGUCUUUUCCCGACCAGAACUUGUUCGGGACAUCACCAUUCAAAGGUGAUAAAGGAGAAAUGUUGAUUACAUCAACCGCAGUCAUCAGGGCUUCACCCCAAAAACUUUUGGGCAGCUUGGCAUGAGAUAACAUUGUUCUUAUUAUUUCAAUAAUUGUUCUGUUCAUUCUCUCAACUAUGCCAUUAUGCUAAGGAGUCUUCAGAACAGAUCGUUCAUGCCUGAUUUCAUUAAUUCUACAGUAGUUUCUAAACGCCCCUAUAUAUUCUCCUCCAUUAUCGGUGCACAUACAUUUCAAACUUCUACCAGUCUCUCGUUCAACGCUAGCAUGAAACUGCUUGAAAACUUCAUACACUUGAUCUUUUGUUCUAAGUGCAUAAGCUCAUACCUUCCUGGAAUGAUCAUCAAUGAAGGUGACAAAAUAUCUUGCACCACCAAGAGUACUAGUGGUCAUAGGACCACAAACAUCAGAGUACACAACAUCCAAUACUGUCACAUCCCGAGAUCAACUCCGCCGUAGUACGAUAUUGUCCGCUUUGGGCCCCUCUCUGGCCCUCACGGUUUUAUUUUUGGGAGCUCACUACCAACUUCCCAAUGGGUCACCCAUCCUGGGAUUGCUCUGGCCCCCAACUCGCUUAACUUCGGAGUUCCUACGACUCCGACGCCAGUGAGUUCCCAAAAGGCCUCGUGCUAGAUGGAUGCAGGUGUGCACAUAUAAGGCACAUCACCCCCUCUCCAUUGGUUGAUGUGGGAUCUUACAAUCCACCCCCCUUAAGGGCCUGACGUCCUCGUCGGCACACUCGCACCACACGGCAGAGUGGCUCUGAUACCAAAUUGUCACAUCCCGGGAUCAACUCCGCCGUAGCACGAUAUUGUCCACUUUGGGCCCCCCUUCUCUGGCCCUCACGAUUUUAUUUCUGGGAGCUCACGACCAACUUCCCAGUGGGUCACCUAUCCUGGGAUUGCUUUGGCCCCUAACUCGCUUAACUUCAGAGUUCCUACGACUCUGAAGCCAGUGAGCUCUCAAAAGGCCUCGUACUAGAUGGAUGCGGGUGUGCACAUAUAAGGCACAUCACCCCCUCUCCGUUGGUUGAUGUGGGAUCAUACAAAUACAUUGGAUUUUCUUUGUGCAUGACCAUGUUGAAACGAAGCUCUAUGUUGCUUUUCAGCCAAGCAUUGUGUGCAUGAUUUUAGAGGCAUGCAUUUCUUCAUCCCAGUCAGUGCCUCUCAUUGGGGUGAAUUUGUAGCCCUUUCUCACUCAUGUGACUGAGCCGUUUAUGACAUAGCUCGAUCGAGUUUUCUGCGAGAGCAUUUACGUACCCAUUACUGACUUUUGCAUGUGUCAUGUAUAGGGUGCUCUCAUUCUUCCCUUGUGCUAGGACAAGAGAGUUCUUGCUAAGUUUCCAUUUCCCUUCAGCAAAGACAUUGGUGUAUCCUUUAUCGUCAAGUAAUCCAGUGGAGAUUAGAUUGAGAUGCAUGUCUGAAACAUGUCUCACAUCCUUGAGGACCAAGUGACAACUUGUGUUGGUUUCAAGGGAAAUAUCUCCUCUUCCCACGAUCUUGGACAAUUUGUCAUUUCCCAUCCUCAUAUUACCAAAAUCUCCAUUGGUGUAAGAUCUAAAGAAGUCCCUCCAUGAGGUGACAUGAAAUGAUGCACCAGAAUCUACUAUCCAACAUGUAUUUUGAGAGGAAAAAUUAAUGAAGCCAUCACACAGAGAAUAAUUAACUCAUUUCCACUAGAGGUAGUUGCAGUCGUGUGCCUGGUAUCACUCUUUCCGUUACCUUUAUCUUGCUCUCGUUUAAACAACCUGCACUCUCUCUUCAUAUGGCCUAUCCCUCCAUAAUGGUAACAUUCUAGGUCCUUUCUUGUAUUGGACCUUCCUCUCGAGCCAUCUCUUAACUUGCCCUUUGACUUAUCUGGCCUGUGGAAUUUUCUAUUGUUAGUUCUUCCACGAUACUCUGAGACGAGGGCUUCUAACUCGGCUACUACACCUUGUUCUUUCCUUCUUGCUUCUUCAUUGAACAUGCUAUCUUUAAUUAUGUCUAAUGUAAGAACACCUUAAGGAGCUGAAUUGCUUAAGGAUACUACUAGUGUAUCCCAGUUAUCAGGCAAAGAGCUGAGUAACACUAAUGCUUGUAACUCAUCAUCAAGCACCAUCUUCAUAUUCGUCAACAGGUUGAUCAAACCUUGGAAGUUACUGAGAUGCUCGGUAACACUUCGACCAUCUCUGUACUUAAGGUUUACCAAUUGUCGGAUAACCGAUGCUUUAUUUUGAGUGGUCUUCCACUCGUACAUGGACGACAAUUUUGUCCAUAAUUUGUAUGCAUCCGUCUCUUGUGCCACAUGGUGGAACACACUUUGAUCCACCCAUUGUCGGAUUUGUCCGACAGCUUUUCUAUUCAGAAUGCUCCAUGCAUCGUCUGACUUCCCUGCUAGUUUUUGUCUUAGCAAUUGAAGGGGCUCGUACAAAUCCUUGCAGUAAAGGAUGUCCUCCAUUCUUAGCUUCCAAAUUGAGUAAUUGGAUGCAGUCAAUUUUAACAUUGUUGUUGAUGAUGACGACGAUGAAUCCUCCAUCUUAAAUUAUACAAUAAUAUAAUUUUUGAGCCGAAGCUCUGAUACCAUUUGUUGGGAAAGAUGACGAAAAAUCAAAGAGCCAAUAAAUAAAUAUGGCAGUCCCAGGAUCUGACUUCUCCCAACCUUGUGUAAAUAAAAUGGGCAAAAUUAACACUCUAUCUUCCACUAAGAAAAAUAAUAUCACCGAACACCAGUGGCUAAACUCUCUCUUAGUUUUUCUCUCAAACGGAUUUUCUCUCUCACACAAGUGAGGUUUUCAUAUCUCUCAAAACUGUCUAAGUUUUGAUUUUCUAAGGGAUGCGUUGAACUGAAAGAAGGCAACUGCUUUUAUAGCCAGCAUUCCUAACUAAUUGGUGGCCAUGCAUGAGGGAGAGUUUUUCUCAUUUUCACUUCCAUUUGUUUUCUUCAAUUUUUCCCGUUCUUUCUUUCAUUUUAUUUUUAUUUUUAUUUUUCUUCUUUUUCUCUUCUCCACUAACGAGGGAAACCCAUCACAAUGGAUGAACAAGAAGGAGCACCACGACAUUUACCUGGACAAAAAUCACCAUCAUAUUACAACAACCUUCAAUAUGAAGCUGCAGUCACUACAUCUAUUUACUAUGGUAGAAUGGUUGUUGGGGGUCAGGUAGCAGUCAAUGAUGGUAACCAUCACGGUCAGGGAGUAGCAGCCAAUGAUGGCGAGGAAGUUCAAUUUGAGGAAGUAGCAAGCGUGUGGACGAAGGAGAUAGUCGGGUAUGUAUCCUACAAAAAUUUUAAUUAUUAGUUUUCAUUUGUGUUAUAAAUGUUUAAUUCUUUAUAUUUUUUUUCCAAAAAUCUGAAACUGAAACAGCACAUAAAAACACUUGAUAAGAUGAUAUAAAGCUCAAAUAAUAUGAAUUAAAAAACUCUAUGGUGUUUUUGAGUUUUUGAUUGAUUGACAUGUUUGUACUCUUUAGUACUAUAUCGUAUCGCGAUUGAUUUUUAUUUUGUUGGUAAAAGAUGCAUUUUAAAUAAAAUACCCUAGGUCUAUUUUUUUUUUUUCUGGUUGUACACAUUCUAAAACAGUUCUUAACUGAUUUUUUUUUCUUUUUUAUAAAUGAAAAAUAAAUUUAAAAAAUCCUUUCAAAAUCCUUAUAUUGAGGUUUUAUUUCAUGAUAUUUUUAAGAACUGCUACAGAUUUAGGAUUGUGGCCUCUAUAAGGGACAAGAUUGAAUGUUUAUUGUCAAACAAAGUAGGGCAAAUAUUCAAUUAUGCUCAUAAAUGUUCAUAUUGUUAUUCUUCUCCAAUAUGGAGGUAUUUAUACAAGUACAAAGAUGUGUUAACCCUAAAUAAAAUAGAAAAUAUAUCUAAAUUAUAAUAGGCAAUAAAUUUCAAUUAUAAUAGGACUAGAUAAAUGGAUAAGUAACCAAAAUCCUAACAUAGUAAGGAACCCAAAUCCUAACUAAGUAAGGACUCGCCAAUAUUUACUAGGGAUAACAGUAUCCCAGCAAGUCUUAUUCUUCAAUGAAGAAUAUCUUCAUGAAGAUUGGCGUUUCUUCAAUGGAGAAUUUAUCAAAAAUAGCCAAAACUUGACCCCUAAUUUCAAAAAUGUCAAUUUUUAUAAAAAAAUUCAAAGCAGAAAACUCAUCUAAAUAGACACAAACGCCCUCAAAUUUAAAACUCACAAAAACCUAUAAAAAAAACCUUAUUAAAUAAAACUUUGGAAUAUUUCCUUCAAAAACUUCUCCAAUCACCUCUCUAUUUCUUUUUCAUUUCUUUUUUCUUUCUUCUUCCGUUUGUCUCUAGCAUCACUCCCUCUCUCUUCCUUUUCUUUCUUCUUCUCUCCCAUUUGUCUUCAAAUGAAAUGUAUGUCGGUUAUUCCUAUUAUUGAUCCGUUAAUUCUGUUAACCACCCUUGCCCUUAAGUGGGGGUACUGAGUUAAUCAACUGUUAUUACUGAACGGAAUGCAAUGGUGCCAAAAUAAUUUAUAUUUAGCUGUCAGUAACAACUACAAAUCAACUCUUGGCUAAGCUACCUACUAGAUAUACUAGCCUCUCUUCCACUUGCAUGCAGUCAUUUACUCAAAGCAUCCCUUUUGGCAAAUUAACAUAUAAUUGACUAAAGGACCAAAGCAUCUCAACAAUCAUAUGCUUUGGCUAAAUCACUACAGCAUUUCUUUCACUUCCAUAACUACGGCUUACAUUUUUAUCUAGAAGGGCCUGCCAGAUUAUUCAUCUCAUAUAACACAGAUGAACUCACGGGAGACCAAAAUUCGUUUACAUGCAGAUUCUUGAGGGUAAAAGACAAAUUUUCUAUAUAGCUAUGUGAACAAGAACGCAAUUACCAAACUCAAUAAUUUUCCAAGCCUAUAUACACUAACCUUUGAUGUAGGCUCAAAGUGAAUUGACAAUAUUAAAUCAUAGCACUUUGGAUAGGGCUCAAGAGUUAAGUCAGCAAAACUAGAAUUGAAAUUUUAUAAAUAUAGAUGAAGAAUAAACGAAGAAACGAGUAAGAAAUUGACGAAGAACUAAGGAAGCAAAAUCAUAAUUGAAAUUUUAUAAAUAUAGAUGAAGAAUAAACAAAGAACCAAGGAAGAACUACACUCAUCGUUCGACUAUGACAGCAAUACGUCUGCGAACAAACUCUACGUACAAAGAUUCCCAAUCUAAUAGGGUUUUCUUUUUUAGGUUUAUCUGGGUUUUAAAUUUGAGAGUAUUUGUGUCUAUUUAGGUGAGUUUUUUGCUAUAUUUGAAAUUUUUUUUACAAAAACUGAUAUUUUUGAAAUUAGGGGUCAAGUUUUGGCUAUUUUUGAUAAAUUCUCAAGGGGAGAAUUGCAUCCAACUCACGCAUCCAGCUCUUUGUGUUAGAACCAUCGGCCAUGAUCCCCACAUCAGCCCCUAUUGAAGGGUCAGCAUCUCCAACUAGAUAUUCUCUAUGACCACGGCCUAAGCUCUAAACCGAUUUGCUUCCAUUUGGCCGACAGUUUGUUUUAUAUGGGAUCAACACUGGCCUUUCUGUUACCUUUAAGUUUAAGUUAUGCGAGAGAUAGAUUAAGCUAUAAUAAUUUAUGCGAGAGAUAGAUUAAGUUAGAAUUUAUGCGAGGGAUAAUUAAGUUAUAAUUUAUGCAAGCGAUAAAUUUAGCUAUAUAUGAAUAUUAUUUACAUGCUACGUAGUAAGAAAUCGAAAGAUUUUUUUUUUUUUUUUUCUGAGGAAGUACUGAUUUUCUAUGGUCACCAAAGUUCAAGUAUCCUAUUUCCUUUCGCAAUAAAAUGAAAACAAGAGGUUACAUAGAAAACUGCUCACUGUCUUGAAAAGAAUUCCCAUACUAAAACUAGUUUAAUUUAAUACCAUGCCCGCAGUACAUAUAUAAUUCGACAUGAAAAAUACAUGCAACACAUUAGAAAAAUGAAAGCACGACAUCCCACUUCACUCUAUAUUCGAGUUCAAAUCCUCUUCUUCGUUAUUUAGAUUAGAUUAGAGGAGAAUAUUAUUUAUAAAAAAAAUAAUUAUGUGUAUUCAUACCAUCCACUGCAUUUAUAACAUUGACAAAUAAUAUAUUAGUACAGUAAAAUGCUAUUGAUUUAUUACCUAAUAAACUAGAGAACAACAAAAUGAAGAAUACAAUAUCUCAUUGAAUUGAAGAAUGAUUACAUUGUUGUAUUUAUACAAUGAUAUAUUAGGAUAACUAUUCACCCCAUGAGGAGAGAAGUGGGACCAAGCACACUAUGUGAAUAGUAUUUUGUCCUCUCAUAUGUUGGAUCCAACUAAAAAGAGAGUUUACUUAAAACCCAAGAAACAUCAAGAUCAUACUAAUACGACCAAGAUCGUGCCAGAAAACCCUAGAUCAAGCUAGCUUUCCUAACAGAGACUCUAGUAUUUUCUAGUUCAAUAUUAAAUUAAACAAAAAAAAGAUAAAUGAACACUUUAUAAACUUAAAUGCAAUCAGAAAGCAUGAUUUAAAACUGCAGAUUUCGCGAUUCAAUCAAUUACAUCAAGCGUUUAAAGGAAAGCAACUGAAAAUUAAAUUGAUAAAACUAGUAAACUGACAGAAUGGUAAAGAGAAAAACAACAACCCUAGUGACUAGAAAUCGAUAUCAAUUGUUGACAGAGUAAUAACAUUAAAAGAUAACUGAGGAAUUGUCAACUAGAUAUUCUAAUACAUUGAGAAAUAAUUGAGUUUCAACGGGAUCAAUCAUGUGUUGAUCGAGUGUAAAGUCUUUUUAUGGGAGGAAAGUUGUGUAUUUUUAGAGUUGUGCUCUGCUGAUUCAUAUAAGCUUCUUGGUUCUUGAAUCCGCACGCUUGGUGAAGGGAUGGCUCGAAACUGUUGUUAGUCCUUUCUUUGCGAGUGAAACUAGUGAACUUGAGUGCUUUGAUCUGUGUGCUGAUGGUGAGCUGCCCAAACAUGACUUUAUUCGAUAAGUUGGUUCAGUAGAGACUCAUGGUUCAAAUCUGAUUUAAUGCUGUUGCUCAGCCUUUCUUUUGCCGCCUAACUUCUUCCUGGUUGUCGAAGUCACUAAAACCUUUACAUCUAACAGCCACUAAAACCCAGCCAAUACGACAACCGCGUUCUGGUCAGACUUUUCUAACCAAGUCCAGCUUGCUUGCUACGUAAUAUUUCCUUUCAUCCCAACCACAAAAUCUGCACCGUCCAAACCCCUUAGAAAUUUCUCAAAAUCAACGGGGAUCUAUUCACCAAACUCUCCUCAGCCCUCCCCUAUAAAAAGCCCUCUCCCUUCUCUCCUUUAACCCAUUCUUCGCUUCUUAAUCUUGAUCUGCCUGCCUCUUAAACCCCAUCACUUUCUCUGUCUUCAUUCGCUCUUCUACAAUGGCCCAAUCCAACGCCGUCGUUUUGGUGCUAAUGGCUGCCCUCUUGGUGGCCUCAACAAGGGCACAAUCCCCUGCCUCUGCCCCUUCUCCUUUGAGCACUCCACCCGCCGCCGCUCCUUCUCCUUUGAGCACUCCACCCGCUGCUUCACCUUCUCCUUUGAGUACCUCACCUUCUCCUUCGGGCACUCCACCCUCGGCUGCUCCUUCUACACCUCCGGUCGCAGACUCUCCACUUUCUCCCCCAUCGUCUUCUCCUGAAUCUCCGGCCCCCUCUCCCCCUUCUUCGGUCUCGGGAUCCCCCACAGAAGCUCCUGCACCCAACGGUGUAGUUUUGAACAGGUUCUCCCUCGCCGGUUCCGUGGCCGUUGGGGUUUUCUCUGUCGCCAUGCUUAUGUAAAGAGGGAAAGUACAGCGGGGGUUUUAUGAAUUUUAAUCAUUUGUUUUAUUGUAUUUAAUUUACCAUCUGAUUAAUUCAUUCAUUUUGUAGUUGUUGAUAUAUAUGGGAAUAAAAAGAGACACAUUUUUUUGUCAUCAGAAUUGCAAUCUAAUUUUUCUUUAUUUUAUAUUAAAAAUUAUAUAAUUUUGUGUUUGCAAAAAUAUUUUAAUACACGUGGAAUGAAUCGAGCUCAGGUUCAAAGAGUUGGCCCAUUGGCUUUUGCACCAGCUCUUGCCAACUCCUGUUAUUGGAUGUGUCUAUGAAUUCUUGAGAAAUUGAAGUUCAAUCUUCGUGAUCAAAUUUUUUUAUGAAAAAUUAGGGCUCAGAGGCCGUUUUCCAUUUUCAUUCUUAGAUUGCGUUCAAUGGUGAGUUUGAGAAAUUGCAGAAAACCUUUUGAACCUUUUAGUUCAAAUGCAUUGAAAACGCAUCAAACAUCAAAAUGAUAUCAUUUUCAUAGAAUAUUGGCAAAAAAAUAGUGCAUAAGCGACCAGCAUAACCACCAUCGUCAAACACCACCCAAUAGCCACUACAGGGCAAUCGAACCACAAUCACCACAAACAGACUAGCCACCUGCUAAUUGCACCACCACCCAGUCGAAUCCAAUCGACCCUACCAUCAAUACCACCAGUACAAAAUUGAAGUACUAGCAGUGCCGACCCUAGACAAGAGUGGUAAGUGCAACUGCCCUGGGCCCACUAUCCAGGGGGCCCUAAUUUUUAAAUUUUUUAUUAUAUUUAUUAUAUAUUGUUUUAAUAUUUUUUAAAAAGUAACAUGGGUGUUUCAACUCUUUUAAGCUCUAAUUGAUUGCAAAUUUGGAAGUUUUAAGUUUGUUUGUAGAGUGGGAUUUCUCAAAUUCCAAGUUAUAUUGUUCUUUGUUUAUUAUUUGAAGUUUAAAAUUUCAUUGGAUUUCUUUGUACUAAUUCUAACCAAGUAGCCAUAAUUUAUUAAAAAAAACAACACUCUUGGAACUAAAAAAAGAAAAAGCAAUUAUUGAAUUGUUACAAGUAUUUAUCUUGUUUAUGCAUUAGAUUUGAAUGUAUUAACAUAUUUUAGAUUUUUAUAUAUUCAAGUUUGAAUUUAUAUAAUUUGUUGGGCUAAUGUCAAAAGGCUCCCUGAAGGUUUGGGGUCAUUCUCAAUAUGGACCCCGAGUUUUAAUUUCAUUAAUUUACACCCUAUGAUUCAAUUUCAUCAAUUUAUACCCCAUGGUUUUCAAUUUCACCAAAUGGUUACACUACUACAAAAAGUGAAAAAGACGACCAGAAAACAACGACGGUCUAAGUGAAAACCGUCGUGGUUUUUAAAAAGACGAUGGUUCUAAAAACACCGUCGUGUAAUACCACCUUAGACAACUAAAAAAUGGAGAUUCAAAUGGCUGUUCAAAAACAACGACGUACCUAAUUAAACAACCGACGUCUAUUUGAAACAGAUUUCCGUAGUGUAAAAUCAAUGCCAACAAAGAACGGCAGAAGUUAUGAAUCGACCGACGUAGAAAGUAAAGACGACGAUUUCAAUAAAAACCGCCGUUUUUACUCAUAAAAUAACACGAUGAGGUUUUCGUAUAAGACGCCGUAUAAUUACAAACAAAUCCACGGCUUUAAAAUACAAAAUAUCGCCGUAUUAAAUUAAUGUACAACGACGGAAAAUAUAAAUAUAUCGACGUCAUUCUCGUAUAGUUCUACGACGUUAUCUUUAAAUCGUACAAUAAAAUUUAACGUCGUAUUUAUUCAUUUUAUACGUCGUACCUUUAAUUUAAACCGUCGUCUUAAUAAGAAUUUUUGUUAACAAUUUUUUUCUUUGAUUUUCUUAUCCUACGUCGGUAGAUCUACUUAAUGACAAGAAUUGAAAUAACCACGACGGUUUAUAUAGAAAACCGCCGACAUAAUCAGAUUUGUCUGAGAUCCCAAGGGUUACGAAAUCUUACCAGAUGGAACUCUGUUCCACAUCAUAAUCUUAACAGAUGACACAGAUUUGCAAUCAGAGAGACAAUUUUUUGGAAGUUGAUGAUGUGUGUGCGUUUGUGUAUCUACAAAUAUUAUACCUAACGUCGUUGCAAAUUUGCAAUCAGAGAGACAAUUUUCAACGUUGGUUAUAUUAUACCUAACGACGUUUAAAAAACAAAUCAACGUCGCUCAACAAAUAUAUUACGUCGUCUUAGUCUUACUUAAGACAACGAAAAACGACGACAGUAAUACAAAAACAGUCGUUGUUUUUAUAUUCUUAUUUUAUUUAAAUCUGUCAUCCAAAAAAGAAACUUUACAUAUUCCAGAACAUUAAUUUCCUUCAUUUUAAAUUUCCUCCGGAAAAAAAAACUCUAUUUAUAACGCACUGUAAUUGAAAAAUAAACUGAAAGGUCACGGGAAAAAAAAUUCUAUUCAUAAUUUAAAAAUUCAAAUCCACGUCGGUUAUAUAAAACCUAACGACGUUAAAUGAAAAGAUUCCACGUCGCAAAAUAAAUAUUACGUCGUGUUAGUUAAAAACGACGGCAUCACAAAAACCCGUCGUUGUUUCAAACUGAAUUAAUUUAAAAUUUAUUCGGGAAAGCAAAAUCUAUUUAUAACUUCCUCGGGUUAGUAAUAUUGCGUCGUGUUAGUUUACAAAUUCUAGAACAUUAAUUUUCCUCAUUUUAAAUUUCCUCGGGAAAGAAAAAUCUAUUUAUCACGCUUUGUAAUUGAAAACUAAAACUGAAAGAAUUCGGGAAAAAAAACUCUAUUUAUAAUUUAAAAAUAAAAUCCACAUCGGUUGUAGUAUACUUAACGACGUUUAACAAAAUAAUCUACGUCGGUAAUUAUAAAUCCACCGCCAUCUUACCUUAAUAUAGACGACGAGAAAAGACGACGGUAGAGCAGAAAACCGCCGUUGUUUCAGUUUCUUUAACAGUUUGGUCCUUUAUCUUUCUGCAGGACUUGUAUAGUUCAAAGCAUUGACAAUGUCUUCAUCAUAUCUCCCAGCAACUACUGAUUCGAUUGCUCAUGCUUUAGAGGCCAUCUGAAGCCAUUUCUAUUCUUUAUCGCAUUCUUGAAACCCAUCUUCUUCUUCUGAAGCUCUACGGAUAAAGGAAGAGGCUAUCACAAAUCUGACGGAUCUUCUUAGCCAAGAAAAUCAAGCAGAGGAUCAGGCACAUCUGAUCUUCAGAUUUCCCUGAGAAGCGAACUUUCUUUCGACAGCGAGUGGAGGCCAGGCUUGCAUCUCUUUUGAUGGAAAGCAAGGAGUAUUCAGAAGCACUAAGUGUCCUAUCAGGCUUGAUCAAGGAAGUGAGAAGGCUAGUUGACAAGCUUCUUCUUGUGGACAUAUAUUUGAUGCGACUAAGCUCAAUUUCUCUUUGAGAAAGACAUCCAAAUUAUUGUCUUUGAGACGUGAGAGACAGUGUCUCUGAGAGAGGAAGAACUUGGAACCCUAAAUGUAAACCGAAAAUGAAUGAAAGCGACAAAUUUAUAGAAUAAAUUUUUAAAACCAACGGCGGUCCUUACAAAAAAACCGCCAUUUAAAUUGUAAAAUCAACGUCGGUAUGACCGACAUAUAUUACAGAAAUCCACGUCGGUACAUUAAUAAAAACGACGUGUUAAAUAAUCUACCAUGACGCGAGUUAUUACUUAUGUACUUUAAUUUUUGAGUUUACUACGACGGUACCUACAACACUACUGUCGUAUUUAUUUACCACGUCCGAAGUUAAAUGUACCGUCGUAUUUUGUAAUUUAUACGUCGUAGUUAUAUGUAACCGCCGAAUUAUUUUUUUGAAAUGGUUUUGUAUGUAAGCAACUUUUCGUCUACCUGACUUACACAUGCGCUGUUUCCAAACCCGAUUAAAAAUUUCAAUCUCCCAGAGAAAACUUUUAGACUUUUUUCCUUGUCAGAGCACUGUCAGAGUAUCUCAUCGUCUUCCUCUCGUCUUCUUCGUCGUCUCUGAACUUAAACAUCGUCUUCCUCUUGCUUUCAUUGCACGCAAAAGGUAAGCUUUCAUUUUCACUAUUUUGGUUGCUGUUUUGCAUGCUCAUACGUUUUUUGUUUGAAAAAUCUUUUUACCUUUUUUCUGGCCAAAAUCAUUUUACUUCUUUCCAAGUUCGAUAAAAUAUACAGACAAAGAGGGAAAGUUUCCAACUUUGAAGACAACUACCUCAACUAAAUAAGACGACGGUAGCUUCUUAUUUACGUGGUUAAAUAUGUAGACCACGACGGUUCGUCAGUCGUUCUAGCGUCGUCUGAAAAUUGACAAAGUUGUUUUUAAAAUUAUAGUCUUUUUUUUAUUUGCUUGUUUAAUUGCAGGUUUGAUUUCUCUGAACAAUGGUUUUUGUUUUUCCCUAAUUUGAUAAAAUAUAAAGAAAAAGAAAGUAGGGUUGGUAUCUAAUAUAGACGACAGUAUCUUAUUGUUUUACGUCGUGUGAAUGUUAAUACCACGACGUCAUAUUAAAAUACCGUCGUCUAUAUAAGAUUCCAAAACUUUCUUUCUUGGCCUUGUAUUUUAUCAAAUUAGAAAACAAAAACCAUGGUUCAGAAAAAUCAAAUCUGCAAUCAAACAUUCACAGAGAAAGAAAGAAGGGUUUUGGAUCCUUAUAUAGACGACGGUAUAUUACUAUUGACGUCGUGUGAACAUCAAUACCACGACGUUAUAUAAAUAUUUCGUCGUUUAUAGUUAAUUAUUACGUCGUCCGGUAAAUAUCGACGUAAUAAGUUAUUAUUACGUCUUAUUUUAUAUUAUUUCGUCGUUGUUUAAUUACCUUGGUUUUAAACAUUUAUUACGUCUGAGAUUAUUUCAUUGCGUCGUUUAAAAUCAUAUCAUACGUCGUAUUUUAUUAAUAACCGUCGUUUGUGUUCUUAAUCUUUUCCUGAAAUAUUUUCACUUGCAGUUUUGUCUGUAAAAAUGGUUUCUCACCAAGACCAAAGUAAGGACUCUGGCUCCAAGAAAAAUGGAGGUAAGGAGCUUGGAAUGGUAACUCCUGAAGAGAAGUCUUCGAAGAAGAUGAAGUUUGCUUCAUCAUCUGCUGAGACAGAACCAACCAGCACGACAACAAUCUCUGAUGAUUUAAAGUCUGGUCGAGGUAUGAGCACAAUGCCUCGUGUUGUGAAGAGAAAACUUCAGAAACUCAGGCCAAUUGUUGAGUACAAUAAAAGGGGGAAAGGAAUUGGCCAAGCACAUAGUGAGAUGCAGUCCUACAUUGGUGUGUUGGCACGCUCCAAAGUUCCACUUGUGGACAUGAAAUGGGCUCAAAUCCCCAAGGAUAUAAAGGAGCAGAUUUGGGAAGCAGUUGACAUUGCUUUUGUGGUAGGUCAAGGGGGCAAGAACUCUGUGUUAGCUUCUGCUGCCAAGAAAUGGAAGGAUUUCAAGUCUACACUAACGAGGCAUUAUAUCCUUCCAUACACCAAUGACAGGGAGAGAUUAAGCCAACCCCCUGAAACAUAUAAAUUCAUAGAGAAAGCACAAUGGGAUGCCUUUGUAGCUUCAAGGUUAUCCAAAGAUUUUGAGUCUGUGCAUUCUCAACAUGCACAGAUUAGGGAGAAACUUGAGUACAAUCAUCGAUUGUCUCGAAAAGGAUAUGCUGGUUUGGAGGAUCAAUUGGAGGAAACCAUGCCUGGGGUAGAAAUUGAUCGAUCUACCUUAUGGAAGAGAGCUAGACAGGACAAAUAUGGUAACAUCCCGGAUCCAAAGGUGGCAGAGAAAGCAAAAUUAAUUGUAAGCCUACUCACUCUGUUUUAAAUUUUUAUUAAACUGUGAAUAAUUCUUAUUAUGUCUUAUGUUAUAUUUUGCGUCGUGUGAAUGAUAUUACCACGUCAAAAUUUUUUUAAAAACGUCGUUAAAGGUCUAAAUCAGGAAUCACUACUCUGUUUUCUGUAAUUAUAGCAUAAGAUGUCGGUGGUUCAUUUUCGCGUCGUUUGUAUUGAAUUACUACGUCGAAAUGUUUUAAACAAGGUCGUUAAAGGUGUGAAUAUUGAAUCAUCCCUCUGUUAUCUGUAAAUAAAGCAUAAGACGUCGGUGGUUUAUUCAUUUCGUCGUUUUAAAAACUAACCACGUCGGUAUAACUACCGUUGUGAUAAAUUAUAAUAACGUCGAUUUAUAUGUUACUGCGUCGUCUGAAAUUAUAUAAUACGUCGUUUGUAUAUAAAUAACCGUCGUGUGUUUUUUGUUCUUACUUUUUUAUAUAUCUUUGUUUUAGGAUGAAUUGCAAAAACAAGUCUCGGAAGGCAAAGUCACUGUAUCUGGCAGCAAUGAUGUGCUGACCAUGGCUUUGGGCCCCGAGCAUCCAGGCAGAGUGAGAGGGGUAGGUGUUGGGAUUUCCCCAAGGCAAUAUUUCAAUUUACCCAAACCACAGAGGCUGAGCUUUGACGACCGUUUAAAGGACAGUUUAAGAGUUCUCCUUCAAGAAAAGAAUAAAAAGAUGGAAGCUAAGGCAAGGGAAGAGGCUUUAAGGAUGGAGGCUAGAACCAAGCAAUUGGUAGAGGCUGAGAGGGAGCAUUUCCUGAGUCAACUUUCCCAAUUAAUUUCCAAUUUUGAUCCAAGCAUGCUUAAACCAAGAAUUAGCCAAAGUCCCAAAAAUCCAAUGUCUGACAAAGCAAGCUGCUCUGGAGGUGAUGUGAGAUCCCUACAUUUUGAGGAUGAUACUGCCAAAAAUGGGAAACAUCAGGAAGAAAAGGUAACAUAUCUGAAAUUUGAAUUCUCUGUUUUUUUAAAAACUAUUAGACGUCGUUAUUAUUAAUAAACCGUCGUUUGAAAUACAUACCACGACGAUUUUAAAAAUAAACCGUCGUUUGUAUUUCAAUACCACGUCGUAUUUAGUUUACUUGUUUUACACGCCAUUAAACGUCGUUAUUUUUAAAACUUUGUGGUUUUUAGACGACGGGGUUAGUCAUUCCCGACGUAAUAGAUGAAGAGAAGAAAGAAGAAAAAGAAGAUGAAAGGAGAAAGAAGAUGAAGAAAAGCAUGACGACCAGGUAUGUUCACAUAACUUUGCCUCUUUUAUUUGUUUUUCAAAAUUUCAGACGUCGAUAUUUUUCUUUAAACCGUCGUUUGUUUACAACUUAGACGGCGGAAUUUUUUUACGACGUAAUAAAUUAUUCACCACGACGAUUUUUUCACCGUCGUUUAAAUUCUUUUCAGACGACGUUUUAUUCCUUAAACCGUCGUUUUUAUUGAAUUACCACGUCAUUUUUUUUAUUUCUUUAAACAGGUUUCUGAAGUUGUUGAUUAUUCAAAUAUGGAGGCGCCAUCUUCUUUAAAAUCCCUUUGUCGUUAUGUGGAAACGACACUCGUGCCUCAGGAUAAGACCCUGAACUUUACAAUUGAUAAGGAGGUGUUUGGUCAAGAACGCGAUACCUUCCUCCUGCCUGAAGAUAUUACACAAUUUGCAGGCAUGGAAGAAAUAGGAGCUACGGUCAUUGCUGUAUAUAUGAGGUUUGUCAUUCUAAAAUAACCACGUCGUUAGUAUGUACCGUCGUUAUUGCGUCGUCUUAACUAACUAACCACGUCGUUAGUAUGUACCGUCGUGAUAAAUAUAUUAUAACGUCGUUGUCUAUUUCAGUACGUCGUGUGAAAUUUUAUAAUACGUCGUUUUGUUAUACAUAACCGUCGUGUGUUUUUUUGUGCUGACUUGUUUAUAUUAUUUUAUAUAUUUAGGUACUUACACGAUGUUUUGAAACAAGCAAAUAUGUGCAGCAUGGUAGGCUUUAUCGACCCUGCUACAGUUAGUGCCAACUCUGGCACAAUAGCUGACAGAUCAUGACUGGUAGCAGCUCGACUUCAGAGGACUGACGGUGAACAGAUUUUCAUGAUGCCUUACAAUCCAGGGUUAGUCUCCUUAACAGGAUUUUGUUUUUAUGAUUUUCAAUAAAUGACAGCGUAUAAACUAACCACGUUGGUGUUUUAUUUUAUUGAGUCGUUUGAAACUACUAACCACGUCGGUAGUUAUUUAUCGUCAUGAUAAAUAUAUAAUGUCGUCGAUUGCUACUUUAUUUCGUCGUGUGAAAUAUUAUAAUACGUCGUUUUUGUAAAUAACCGUCGUUUUUAUAUUAAUUUUGUGCAGCCGUCAUUGGAUCUUGCUGAUUGUGAGAGCAAAGAGGGAAACCGUCUAUUUUCUGGAUCCUCUGCCAGGAAAUCAUGUGGUCGAUGAAGAGGCCAAAAACAUCGUGAACAGUGCUAUAAAAAUUUAUAAUUCUCACAUAGCCAGAUCAGGCCGUAAGGCAGUAAUUUGGAAAACUCUGUCAGGCACACCAAAGCACAGCAGUGUCGAAUGCGGGUAUUAUGUGAUGCGCUUCAUGAGGGACAAAAUCAUGGAUCCUUCCUUGGCGUUUGAGAAGAAGGUAAGAAGAAAUUACCUUCAUACAUUUUACGUCGUUUUUUGUAUUAUCAACGACGGUCAUGUAAAAUUACCGUCGUUGAAUAGAUAUACUACGUCGGUUAUGAAAAAUAUCGUCGUCUGUGAUUGAAUUUUUUUUUAUUUAUAAACCCUAAUAGUCAUUGUUUAUGCAGUAUGCUAAGGGAAAACAGGAAGCGCCAUACCCCCAAGAAGCAAUUGAUGAAGUCCGGAAUGAAUGGGCAGAGUUUGUUUGCCUUCACCUGGAAUAGGGGAAUUAUUGAACACUUGAUAUUUAUGUAUAAUGUACAAAUUUUGUCUAUAAUAUAUAAUGUAAAAAUUUGUUGAGGUUUUCUUAAAUUAAAAAAAAACAUACAAAUUGCGUAACCGACGUGUAAUACAUUUCCAACGACCUAAUAAAGUCAAAAACCGUCGUUUUUUGUUGUUUCGUUUUAAACAAAUCCGACGUAAAAGGAUAUUUAGAUGACGUUCUUUGAACAAUUGAGUCGUUUAUGGUUUACAACGUCUUCAAUUUCUUAAGGGUUCAGGGUAGUACUUUGUAACGACAGCGGUUAAGUCGUGGAAUAUAUAUUUUACGUCGGAUAGUUAAAUAUCCGUCAUGGUUUCUCAUUUAAACGACGUCAUUUUAACAACUUAGUCGUCUAUUAAAAUUUACAACGUCUACAAUUUAUUAACACCGACGUGGUUUGUUGUUGUGAUAAGAAUAUUUUAUUAUUUUUAUAUCAAAAUAUUCAAAAUAAAUUUAAAAUAAAUCAGAAAAAUGCAAAGUCAACUCCUAUGAAGUCAUUGAUAUAUUUUCUUCCCCCUAAACCUUGAAAAAAUUCAUUUUAAAUAACAAAAAUUUAAAAUGACCAUCCAAAAUAAAAUUGUUUUGAUGAGUCAUAAAAUCACUUCUAGUUUUAUGGUUUAGGGUUUAGAGUCUAGGGUUUAGAGAUUAGGGUUGUUAUAUAUUGGUAAGUACUUUAGGAGUGCCUUUGAUUCACAAAAGAGUGUCAAGAAAGAAAACUAACUACAUAAUGAAGAAAGUGCAGCAAAGACUUGCAGGUUGGAAAGCCAAGUGGAUCUAUUUAACUGGGAUCGGAUCUCUCACAGAAAUGGCGAGUCCGUGAAUUUUUCAUUUGAAUUCCUCUAAAGAUAAAGAUUUGGAGGUCUGCCACCAAGUUUUUCAGACACAUUUUAUUGGGGUUUAUUUUUAAAGUAUAAUUUUUGGGUAGUCUAGGGUAUAUAUUAGGCUGUAAAACCAUAAACCCUUUUAUAAACUUAAUUUUUAAAAUUAUAUAAUUUAGUUUUAAGGGUUUAGGGUAUUAAUUUUUAACGACGGUGGUUGAGUCGUGGAAUACAUAUGUUACGUCGUGCAGUAAAAUAUCCGACAUGAUUUAUACUUUAAACGACGUCAAUUUAAUAUGUAAGUCGUCUAUUAUAAUUUACAACGUUUUCAAUUUCUUAACCCCGACGUGGUUUUUCAGUCGUCUUUAUAUCAAAAUAUUCAAAAUAAAUUUAAAAUUAAUCCGAAAAAUGAAGCGUCAAAAUAAACGGCGUUACGUUCAGUGUUUCCGUCGUGGAAUAUUACAUUUACGUCGGUUCUUGUAGAACUUUCGCCAUGGUUUUUCUUUCGACGUUUUAAAGAGCGCGCUCUCUAAAAAUUUUCGCGCGCCCUAAAUUUUUUAGAUUUGCUCUUAUUCUUAUACUUCUAACCCUGAACCCUAAAAUUUUCAGAUUUCGCGCAACAUAACAUUUCGCUCUCUCACUUCUGCUCUAAUUAAAAGUUGCACUUUCCAGGCUCCGUCGAAUCUGUGAGCUCGUCCAACCUGUAAGUACAAACCCUAUCUUCCCCUUGUAAAUUCAUUGAAUGAUAUUAGGUUGUUUUGUUAAAGGGUUUUAGGUAUAUGCUUUGCGAUCUGUUAAUAAUGUGCUUAUAGGUAUGGGUUCAUGGAUUUUCUGUUUAAUGGGUUCAUGGAUUUUCUGUUUAAUGGGUUCAUGGAUUACAUUAUCUGUUAUGUUGAAUUGGGAAUGGAUUUAAUUUUGUCGGAUCUUUUAAUCACCCUAUGUUAUGUUGAAUUGGGAAUGGAUUUAUUGUUUUCAUGCUUGGUUUCAUGUAUAUGUUGGUUUCUUGCUUGGUUUCAUAUAUAUGUUGUGUUCUUAAUGGGUUUUGGGUUCUUGAAAAUAAACUGAGACACGACGCCUUUUUAGGCAUACGACGACGAUUACACGACGGUUUAUGAAAAAACCGUCGUUGUAUUACUUAUACACGACGGUUUUUUCAUAAACCGUCGUUUGUAUUACUUAUAUUAGACGACGUCUGUUGAAAAUCCGUCGUCUAUAUAUGCCAAAUACGUCUGUUUUUGUUUAAAACCCGUCGUCUCUGUUGUGUAUUACUUGCUAUUAGAUCUUUGUAUAAUCUGCUAUAGUGAUGGUUAUUGCCUGUAUUUUCACUUUAUGAUAGAUACUAGGUUAUAGUGUCGGAGAUGGAUAAGUCAUGGAUGCACUCGGAUAGAAGAUCGAAGGCAUAUGAGUUUGGGGUGGAAGCAUUUUUGAACUUUGCUGUAGAAAAUCUUCUAACUACAACACAUAUCCGUUGUCCAUGUGUUAAAUGUGUUAAUUUGAAGUUGUUUGGGGUUGGAAUUAUAAGGGAUCACUUAUACUUUAAUGGAAUUGACCAAAGCUAUAAGAAUUGGACAUUUCACGGAGAACCUUGGGAAGCAACUACUAAUGCUAGUAGAAAUGUUGAAGAAGAUGAUGGCCAUAGUAGGUACAGUUUUGUGUCUGAAGAAAUUGAUAUGGAUGAUAAUGAUUUUGGUGAUUUUGGUUCCGAUCCGUAUGAGUUUGCCAAUGUGAUUGGGGAUGGAGAUCAACCAGUGUACCCUGGUUGUAGAAAGUACACGAAGUUAUCGGCAUUAGUGAAGUUGUAUAAUUUGAAGGCAAAACAUGGGAUGAGUGAUGUCUGUUUUACAGAAUUAUUGAUACUUCAAGGCGAUUUGCUUCCAGAAGGAAAUACAAUACCAACCUCUAUGUAUGAGGCUAAAAAGACUUUGUGUGCAUUGGGGCUGAGUUAUGAGAAAAUGCACGCAUGCCCUAAUGAUUGCAUCUUGUAUAGGAAGGAGUAUGAGGAUUCAACUAAUUGUCCUACUUGUGGUAUCUCAAGGUGAAAGGAAGGCAAAGAUUCAAUCUUGAAAGAGGGUGUGCCAGUGAAGGUGGUGUGAUAUUUUCCUCCAAUUCCAAGGCUUAAAAGGAUGUUUCAAUCACAUGAGACAGCUAAGAGUUUGACUUAGCAUGCUGCUAGAAAAUCAAUUGACAGUCAGAUGUCUCAUCCGGCGGAUUCCCCGUCUUGGAAACUUCUUGAUGAUAAAUGGCUUGAGUUUGGUAAUGAGCCGAGAAACUUGAGAUUGGCUCUUUCAUUUGAUGGAUUCAAUCCCCACAGUUCUCUAAGUAGCAGAUAUAGUUGUUGGCCGGUUAUCUUAGUUACAUAUAAUCUCCCUCCAUGGCUGUGCAUGAAACGAAAGUUCAUGAUGUUAACCUUAUUGAUUUUCGGUCCUAAACAACCCGGAAAUGAUAUAGACGUCUACUUGGAGCCUUUGAUUGAUGAUUUAAAAUCUUUGUGGGAUGGGAUUAGAGGAGUGUAUGAUGCACAUAAUGGAGAAUACUUUACACUCAGAGCUGCAUUAAUGUGGACAAUUAAUGAUUUCCCCGCCUAUGGAAACUUAUCUGGUUGUGUUGUUAAAGGAUAUAAAGCUUGUCCAAUAUGCGGCGAUGAUACACCUAGUCACAGGUUGAAAAAUGGCCACAAAAUUUGUUACAUUGGGCAUAGAAAAUGGUUACCAAUCAAUCAUCCAUAUAGGAGGCAACGUGCAGCUUUUAAUGGGAAACCUGAAUAUGGCAUACCUCCCGAGCCAUUAACCGGAGAAGAAGUGCUGCAUAUGGUUGAAAAUUGUGACAGAGUUUGUUGGAAGAAGAAAUCAAUAUUCUUUGAUCUCGAGUAUUGGAAAUACCUUCCUGUGAGGCAUGCCCUAGAUGUUAUGCACAUUGAGAAGAAUCUUUGUGAUAGUAUCAUUGGUACAUUGCUGGAGAUCCCUGGAAAAAAUAAAGAUGGGAUUGCUGCUCGAUUAGAUUUAUUGAACAUGGGGGUCAAAACUGAUUUGCAACCCGAGUAUGGAGAAAGACGUACUCGUUUGCCUCCUGGGCCUUGGAAUUUGUCAAGAGCAGAGAAGAGAGAGGUUUGCAAUUCUUUCUAUGGUAUGAAGGUCCCUGAAGGUUAUUCUUCAAAUAUUAAAAAUCUUGUAUCUUUACAAGAUUCAAGACUUCUUGGCCUUAAAUCACAUGAUUGUCAUACCUUAAUGCAACAAUUACUCCCUGUGGCAAUUCGUUCUGUUUUGGAGAAGCCUGCAAGGUAUGCAAUAACUCGUUUGUGCUUCUUCUUCAAUGCUAUAUGUGCAAAGACUGUUGAUGUUUCCAAGCUAGAUAAGUUGGAAGAAGAUGUAGUAGUUACUCUGUGUUUGCUUGAGAAGUACUUUCCCCCUUCAUUCUUUGAUAUCAUGGUUCAUCUAGUAGUACAUCUUGUCAGAGAAGUUCGUCUAUGUGGGCCAGUAUAUUUUAGGUGGAUGUAUCCGUUUGAAAGAUAUAUGAAAGUGCUGAAGGGGUAUGUUCAGAAUCGUACUCGUCCCGAAGGUUGCAUUGCUGAGCGGUAUAUAGCUGAAGAAGCGGUAGAGUUUUGUACUCAGCAUUUAUCUGAUGUUAGUACAGUUGGAGUGCCUUCAAGCCAAAAGAUGGGACUUUCAAAGCCAUUAUCAGGUUGCACAGUGAGCGUAGUUGAUCAGGACCUGUUGAAUCAAGCACAUCUAUAUGUCUUGGAUAAUACGGAGGAAGUCCUACCUUAUAUCGAAUACGUAUGAGUUUUAUUCUUUAAGUUUCCAUUUUAAAUUAUUUCUUAUGUUUAUCUUCUAUAUUUGGGACCGUAAUGCUUGAAUUUUUCGUGUCAUGUAGGCAACAUAUGAUCCACAUCAAGACUGCUUAUCCAAAAUUUAGAAAGAGAACAAAGUGGCUGCAGGAUAAGCACAAUAGCACUUUCAUUCAAUGGCUACGCUUCAAGGUAUAUGUUCUUGAAUAACAUAUUUCUCUUUUAAUUUUCUUCUUAUUUCUAUAUUAGAUUGAAUUAAGAUAUGAUUAAUUUGCAGGUUCAAAGUGAACUUGAGGAAGACAAUCAUGGCGUAUCAGAAAAUUUAAGGUGGCUAGCAGCUGGUCCAAACAUGGUAGUGCCAUUAUAUAGGAGCUAUCUUAUUAAAGGUAUUAAAUUCAAUAUCAAGGCACAAGAUGAUGUGCGGACAACUCAAAAUAGUGGAGUUUAUUUACUUGCACAUACCAUGCAAGUUGCUAGUGCCAAGGAUAAAACCCAAUUCUCUCAAAUAUGGGUUUCUAUGGUGUCAUUCAAGAAAUUUGGGACCUUGACUACCAAAAGUUUACAAUCCCAGUCUUUAGGUGUGAUUGGAUAGAUAGUUCUGGUCUUGUAGUCGACGAACUUGGAUUUAUCCUUGUAGAUUUGAGUAAAAUUGGACAUAGGAAUGACCAAUUUGUUUUGGCUUCUCAAGUCAAACAAAUAUUUUUUGUUGACGACCCGAUGCAUCGUGGUUGGUCGGUAGUGUUAUCAAUGCCUAAUAGAGAAUAUAAUGAUGUUAUUGGUGAUGAAGUCUUAGGUGAUGUGAUAAUUGAGUGUGAGCCAUUUACUAGAGGGAUGCCAAAUGUUGACACAUUUGAUGAACUGGUGGGUGAGUUAGGUGGUCAAAAUAUUCGAGAUGGGUGUGAAGAUAUAUGGAUUGAAUGAUGCUUAUGUAAUUGGCAGUGUAUGACAUUAAUUUUGUAAUAUAUUGUAAUGUGAUUUCUUCACUUUCUACGUUCAAAUAAAACACGACGUUAUUGUGAACCAGUUAUUCAGCAUAUUUACCGACGUCUUAAAGCAACGUAACAAUGAAGAACCACGACGCUAUUGUGAAGCUAUUAUUCAGGAUAUCACGUCGGGGAAGGAUUAAGAACCGCCACGUAAUUCAAAAUAACACGACUCCAAUCCCAUAAUACCGACGUCUAAAAAACGAGAUAUAUAAUCUGAACGUUAAAAAAUACGACGUCAUCAUACAUUUUCCACGUCGCAAGUUCUUUUAUAAACGAAGAGGAACGAAAUGAAUUCCGACGGUAAUUCAUUAUAACCGCCGUCUCAUAUCAAUUAAACGACGUUAUUUGUAAUACGGCUCUCAUCAUAAUCAACGCCGUCUAUAUGUUCUGUAAUACGGCCCUCAUUUAUUUGGAACCGACGUUGUUUAAGUUCAACGUCGUCUAUAUUAAUAAGUGCGUCGUGAGUAAUGAAUACAUAUAAAUACAACGUCGACUAUAUAAAUGCCACCGACGUUGUUUCGUAUUUCAACGUCAACUAUAUAAAUACAUACGUCGUAAAUAAUGACAAUGACAACUAUUUCCACGUCAUCUUUUUUAGAAAAAUCGAAGUGGAAAAUUUAUUUCACGACGGUUGUUUGUAAAUAAGAGACGUAGUAGAUUUCAAUAACGUCGUCUUCUCAUGUAUUUAAAGACGUCAUACUUUUUCUUGUCGUAAAAAUUAUAUUUAACGGCGUAGUGUUUUAGUUGUCGUCGUUGUAUGUCUAUCUUGCGGCCUUGUUCUUUUAAUAUGUAUCAUAUUUUUCCCUUUUAACGACGGUGAUUUGUUUGAGUUGGUCGUCUAUUCUCAUCCUCGACUAUUUUUUAGAAUUUUAGCAGACUAAACACGUCUGUUUUUAUUUGUUUUCGACGUUGUUUUAUUUAACAACGUCUAAUAUUUAUCGUCGUUGUUUGUUUCUGAAAAUAGGACGUAUAAAUUUUAUAAUACGACUCUCAUAUAUUUGUAACCGACGUUGUUUCGUUGUUCAACGUCUACUCUAUAAAUACAUACGUCGUAAAUAAUGACACUGACAACUAUUUCCACGUCAUCUUUUAUAGAAAAAUCGAAGUGGAAAAUUUAUUUUACGACGGUUGUUUUUAUAUAGGCGACGUAGUAGGUAUCAAUAACGUCGUCUUCUAAUGUAUUUAAAGACUUCAUAUUUUUUAUUGUCGUGAAAAUGAUAUUUAACGGCAUCUUGUUUUAAUUUUCGUCGUUGUAUGUCUAUCUUGCAGCCUUGUUCUGUUAAUAUGUGUCAUAUUUUUCCUUUUUAACGACGGUUUUUUUAGAGAGUUAGUCGUCUAUUCUCAUCCUCGACUGCUUUUUUAGAUCUUUUUGCAGUACAAAGAUGUCGUUUUGUAUUUGUUGAUGACGUUGUAUAUUUUAACAACGACGGUGAUUUAGCGUCGUGGUUUAUGAGGGAAAAGAUGACGGUGGAUUCCACGACCAUUGAAAAACCGAAUACACGACGGUGAUUUACCGUCGUCUUUUUUCUUUUUUGUAGUAGUGUUAACUUAAUAGAAGACUUAAAUUGGUCAAAUUUGAAAAUCAUGGGGUGUAAAUUAAUGAAAUUAAAACUUGGUGGCCCAUAUUGAGAAUGACCCCAAACCUUCAAGGAGUCUUUUGACGUUACCUCUAAAUUCUUUGUCUUGGAUGUUAAAUUUUUAGUUAAUUUGAAUAAGUUAAAUCUUGAUUGCAAAAUGAGAGUGAGUCUAGCACUUAAAUGAAAAAAUAUAUAUUUUAUAAAUAGAGACCAAAUUUUUUUCAUUUGCCCUGGAACUUGAAAAAUUCAAGAUCGGCUCUGAGUACUACCACCCACUUAGCAAGAAGAAAAGAGGAAGGAGAGAAGAGGAAGAAAGAUAAAAAAAAGGAACGGAGCCUAGGAAGGAAGAAAAGCGGAAUGAGAGAAGAGGAAGAAAGAAAGAAGAAGGAGAAAAGAAAAAUUGAAAGGGAGGGCAUCGGUUGAAAGCAACUGCUUUUGACUUGUUUUUUCUUUUUUUAAAUUUUAAAUUUUGUUUUUUAUAUUUGCACGUUAAUUUUUUAUUUUUUAUUUUUUUGUAUUUGUUCACAAGUAUAUAUUUUUUAAAUGAUAAUUUCAGCCUUAAAAAAUAUCAAUAUUUUAUUUUAUUUGUUAAAUUAUAUAUUUUUAUUGUUUAUGUUAUCAGACACGUUUUCACUGUUUUUAUUUUCUAAAACUGUAUUCUAGUUAAGCUACUAGAAACAUUCUCGGAUCUUGAAAAUGCAAAUUUGUUUCUUGUUUUCAUUCUCUGAAAACAUUCUCCAAAACGGUUACUAGAUGGCCCCUUAUAUGUGCUGGUGAAAAGGCUUUAACUUUAGUUGUUGUUUUCAAUUAGCAAAACCAGUUGUUGAUACCUUUGUCAUUUGGGCAUUGGAAAAGCAUGAUUUUGAUAAGAAAGUUGAAGAUCAAUUUUCACCCUCAAGUUUUUGACAAAAAAAAGAAGAAAAUAAAUCGUUAUGCUCAAGAGUGAACUUUAAAAAGAUCUUAAACUUCCAACCUUUUUAUAUGCAUCCUAGGCUUCUUCAACCUUUUUACCAAGACCCAUUGUUAACCCACAUAUUGUACAACCACCCCAAAUAUGUAAUGACCCAAACCUAAAAUUCAUAUUUAAUUAGUAAUUUAUUAUGCGGAAAGACAAUUUUGCCCUUGGAUUAAAUUAUGAAUGAAAAGUUGACUUUUUGACCGAAAAGGAAUUUGACAAUUCCACAUACACCGUUGCGUAGAGCACGAUGAAAUGAGUUCAUAGACACGAAGUGAGCUCGAAUCGGAGUUUUAACAAAGAAAAUACGAUUAAAAUAUCACGAAGGGCAAAACGGUAAUUAGAAAAAUCAGAUUUUUUUUUAUAAACCUCAUCUCUCUCUCUCUCUCUCUCUCUCUCUCUCUCUCCGUCGCGAACUCCCCCUCCUCGACAGUGUUUUUUUCUUUGAUCGCCGUCGCUGCCGCAGACCACCACCGGCCACCCGGUUUCUGUCGCUGUCAGCCACUCCAGCCGCCGGAAACUGCCGAAAAUCGAACGGUUGUGACCGGAAUUUCACGAUCGUCGUUCUCCCUCGUUUCUCAACCAAAUCGGACGAGCCAGGUAUGGAUUUUGACCCUCUCGAGCUGUUAUAGCUGCAUGUUGGGUAGGAAUUACUCGGUUCUCAGUGUAGAUAAUGAAUUUUUGAAUUGGAAAUUCGGCCAGUUUUCGGCCACCGUGUUCGGCUACUUCCGGUUAGUUUUUGGCGUUGGUCCAAGAACAAAAGUGGUUCCAAAUAUGGUGUUAUACCUAAGAUAGGAGUUUGGAGCCUUGGUUUUGCGAUUUUCCGGCGAUGCGUUAUCGCUUUGGACACCCAUCGCUGCCGGCACGUGCGGCGGCGCGUGGGCGAGGGUGGUGCAGUGACACUGUGUUCUAAUGCGAUUCAUAGGUCGUCACGAGCGCGUAGGAAUUCGCGGAUCUCAAUUUGGAUACCGUUUGAGCCUCGAACGGAUUUUCCAUAUUGUGCGAUUAUCGAGUUCAAUACUGUUGAACUGUUGGAUCGUAAUCAAUUUUAGAUAUGUUAUUCUAGAUAAUUUGAGAAACGUGUAGGAUUCGACGGAUUGUGAAUCGGGGUCCCGGAUACUCCGAAAUCGCGAACCCUAGGGCUAGGGUUGAGAAAUUAUGCGAUUACAGGAUUGUGAUCAAUCCGACCGUCCGAUCGACACCAAUACUCUCGGGACAUGUGUCCUAAAUAUAUUGGACCUUCUAGCGGCAUCCGGAUCAUAUUGUACCCGUGGGUUUCCGGAUUGACUUUUUGGACUUUAGUGCUAUUUGAGUCUCAAGAUACCGCUAAACUACCCCACGUGGAAGGAAAACUGUUAUGGGCAUAGGGAUCACUUUAAAUUGAUGCACGUACUUUUAGGAGCCUGGGAUAGGGUUUUUAAUUUAAUACUAUAUUGUAUUAAUAGAAUAUUAUGGUCAUUGAAUCAGGCACCCGGGCACCAGUUGAUCGGCAGGAGGGACCUUCAAGAGGUCCAGCGAGCUCGGACUAUCAGUGAGUGGACUCUUUGUUUUUGUAAAUGAAUUUAAGCAGUUUAGUUUCAGUUAAGCAGUUCAGUUUCAGUUAUAAGCUGUUUAUUCUGUUAAAUAUUUUAUGUUGCAUGCUGCCGAGUGAAAUUUCCUUUAAAGAAUAUAGGAACUGAUAUUCUCGUUCAUUAUCAGAUAAAUGGCAGCAGAAUUUUAAAGGUCACAGAAAAUUAAUUAUUCAUAAGAUUUUCUUCAGAAACUUUAUAUUUUCUUAAACCACCUUGUACCCAGAUAUUAAAUGUUGCCUUCGGAUUAUAUUUGUUGCCUUCGGUUUAGUCAGCAUGUUUGACAGUUGCCCCACGAGUUCCUUGGUACUCGAACUCGUGUGGAGCGAGUAAUGCGAAUAAAGGUGGACUACAGUUCCCUGAAUCCUGCGAGUUGCGGCUCGGACUGACCUCGUGUCACUGAGACCUGCGAGUAUGUGUCACCCAUGGUGAUGCAAGGAAUUGACGGAUAUAAGGAAUUGACGGAAAUAAGGGUACACCUAGAUGAUAAUUUUAACUGUUUUCAAAUAUAUAAUUAUAUACAUGCAUUGAUUUCAGAAAUAAAGAAAAUAAACUAGUUUGUAUAACUGUUUUUACAGUGGGGUUAGUAUGUUCUUAUACUAUUUUCUCAACUUUGUUUUUGGGUCCACUCACCCUUAUUGUUGUUUUGCGCCCCCAGGCAGUAGACGUGCACAGGAAUCCACCACUGGGCCACUUCCCAUCUUCCGCGCCUUUAUUUGCUGUAGGAUUUUUGUUUUGUAAAAGGAUUCACUCCUUUGUAAAUUCUUAGUAGUCGCUCUGAUAUUUUGCCCUAGACUGUAAAUUGAAAUGUUGGAAUGUAUAUAUACGUAUGCUGGCAGUUGGUUGUAUAUAUGUAUACUUGUUUGGCAGGUGAAAAUAUUUUGGUAUUGAGCCUGUUACAAGGGAAACUCUGCCGGUUUUUCGGUAGAAGUCAACCUUGUUAUUUUAUCAUGUUUUGUAUAGAAGGGCAAAUAGGUCAUUUGUGCCCGACAUUCGCCAGGUGUCGGACACGCACAGGGUUUGGUUCGGAUUCCAAAGCGGAAUUUAGAUCAGGUCCUAUCAAAAUACACCCACUUUCUGCCAAAUUACAGGAAGCAAUGUGGCAUUUGUGAGCCCUGGAAAACUUUGUAUUUUUAGUUAAUGUUAUCUGUGCGCAAUGAAAAAAAUUGGAGCUCAAAGUAGUGAAACUUGGAUUUUUGGAGGUUAAUUUGGAAGUGUAGGAAAUUUUUCUGAAAUUAUUUUAGAGGACUUUGGGGAAGUGAAGGUUAUAGAAAAUUAGUAGAGGUCGAGACGAGUCUGUAGGAGUUUUCGGGGAAUUUUUCCAACCUUGGAGGUAUUUUUUGUGGAUUUUAGAAGUUCUGGAAUUUAAGAAAAAUUAGAAAUUAGAUUUUUGUUUCUGCGUGACACGUGGCCCGAUCCUAACCAUCUAAGCGAAGCUGACGGAGCGGAUCUGAUGGCAGAGACGCACUGACAGCUCACUGACAUGGCGUGACGUGGUAGCACGUUAGUGGUCCAGGCGAUGCUGAUGCGGCGCUGCAUAGGCGCAAAGCGACGUCGUUUGAUACUAUAUCCAGAGGCUGACAUGUGGCUUCAUCUGGAGCGUAGAUGAGCUGACCUGUAUGAGAGAUCUAUGGACGAGGUGGAGUUGGGUCGUGAAAACCCGAAUUAGAUCCGCAUUUUUGAAACAGGUCGCGCUUGACCCAGGUUUCUCUGAGCCGUCAAUCUAAAGUGUUGACUUGAUCUAGACCAUUACCGUGGUGUUCCAAGUCAUCCAGUGCAUUCAACAUGUCGUUUUGGGCUCAUUUUUGGCGCAAUCUGGACCCUUCAAUUAAAUUUUCGGUGAUGAUCCGACGGCCCAUAUUUCACUGCCUUCUGCUUUGAUCUCAGUCUUCCAUUUGUAUCCGAAUUUUCUAUUUCUUUUCAUCCCAACCAUCCGUUUCCCUCCCCCAAGCCUACAAAUACCCUAGCUUCCCUUCAGAUUGCCAUUCUUGGCUGAUCCAGCUUGGGGAGCUUCUCUCUCUUCCAUUUUGGGUAAGUCUCCCUCUCUCUCUCUCUCUCUCUCUCUCUCUCUCUCUCUCUCUCUCUCUCUCUCUCUCUCUCUCAUUUUAAAUCAAUUUUAUUUAAUUAGCUUUGAUUCUAGAUUAAUUAUUUUAAGUUGUUUUAAUUAGUUUUAAUUAUGGUUUAGUUUAAUUACUUUAGUUAGUUUUAAUUAUCGUUUUAGUUUAAUUAAUUAUUUUAAGUAUUCCGAAUUUUAGUUAAUUAAUUUUAUAAAUUCCUAAUUAGGUUUAAUUAGUAUAAGUUUAUAUUAAUUAUUAAUUUACACUUGUUUAAUUACUUUAAUUAGUAAUUAGAAUUUAAUUAAUUUUCUAAAGUCAAUUAAAAAUUAUUAAAUAAUUGUGUUUAAUUAUUUUAUUUUAUUUUAUGGAGUUUAAAAUUAGUAAUUAAAUUCCUAAAAUUAUUUUUAAUUAGUAUUUAAUUUUUUGGACUUUUGGAAAUUAGUUUAAGUUUCCAAAAUUUGUUUUAAUUACUUCAAAUAGAUUUUGUACUUCUGAAAUUAUUUUCCAAGGUUGUGAACCUAAACCCUAAUUCUCGAUCCUUGUCCACUUUUGUUUCAAACCUAUUUUGAGACCUUAAACCCUAACCCUAAUUCGACUUCUACGAUAGGGAACACGUAUUUACGACUUAGGGUUUUGACUUCGACUUAGGGCUUAGCAGAAUGAAAUCGAACUUAAUUCUAGCUAGUUACGUUCAUCCCUAAGGCAUGUUUUUAACUCGUUACUUAUUGUCCGGUUAGGAGCUCGAAUAGCCGAAUGCGGAAUAACAUUUGAGUUGGGUGCCUGCGUGUGCUUGUGCUAGCUAAAGCUGUGGACUCUAAGUAGGGGGUCUCACUCCCAAACUUGUAUUUUUCCUACUUGUAUAUCUAAUAGAUAUGGACGUAUGAAAACUUGCAUAGUUUUGGAUGCCAUUUUUGUAUGGUUUUAUUAUGUGUUGGGCACUGGGCUCAUCUGUUAACGAUGUUCCAAUCAGAUGACUUGAGAGUGAAGGGGGCAUAGCGACUACCUUGGGUUUCGAUUCCCUAAACCUUCGGAGGUGGUUGUACAGAUCGACUAUUUCAAGACCCAUUCCUUAGGUGAGGAUAGUCUAUGUGGUAUAACCUUUGAAAUGGACACUCUCGCUACCAAACCACUUGAGUUGUUGUGGUGAGGGUAGUUGGCCCUUAAGGAUCGGUCAUCAACUGUUUGUUAUUGGGCCCUAAACCUAUUUUUUGUGGAAGUUGCCGGAGCAUUUUGGUUGGUGCAUUGUUUUAACGAUCUUCUUGUAUAUUAAAAAGUGAAAUGUAAUUUAACUUAAUUACUUUCAAACCUGGGCGGGGUGCCCCCUACUGGGCAAAUGUACAUAUAUGAUGCUCACCCCUACUCUUGGUGUGUAGAUCACAUACCAGUUAACAACCUGGACUAGGUCCACAACACGAUGUUUGAGGCUUGUCAACUCCUGUUUUGCUGAACCUUCCAUGCAGGUCAAGACCACUUUCCUUGUAUUAUACUAAACUUUGUGAAUCUAUCUUGUACUUCCUUUUGUAUAAAUAGCUUGUAAUCGUACCGUUUGGGGUUGUGUUUUUCAAACCUCUGUUUUGUUGUAAAUUAAGUAUGAGGUUAUUGUACUUUGUCAAACUCUUGUAACCUCGGGGUUGGUGUAAUAUAAAUAUUUAUUUUGAAAAUGUUAUGUGUUCAAUUUCCGCUGUCUACAAAACUUUGAUCCAACCCAUUUUUAUUAAACCAAAAGAGCUUAACGUGUUUCGAGAACACUUGGGAGUAGGACGCUCUGAUGAUUGGGUGUUGUAUUCUCGGAGUUCUUGGGGCACGUGCCGUUAUCACGUGACCGGAGUUUUUCCAGGGCAUGACAACAUUGCCUUGUGAAAGAAAGAAACCUUGAUUUUUUCUGUUCUAGAUAUUGACAUGGCGACAUAAUUUCUAGAUGAUGCAUGUGGGUUGGGCCAUUUUGUCUCUCCCAGAAAUGUACUGGGUUUGAGUCUUAGUAUCUGUAUAGUGUAUGUGAAUUUAAUAAGCUAUCAACUCUCUAAAAGGUUGAACAAAAAACUUUGGGGGUUUACCUAUCCAUUUUUAAUUAUCUAUUUGAAUAUUAAUUAUAUUUAUUCAUUUAAUAGGAAAUAGAUAGCGACUUGAUUCCCCCAAUUAUUUACUUGAAUAUAGUGGAUAGCUUUACCAUUUGAAGAAUUAUGAUUCCAUUUAAUGGGUAAUGGUUGAGAUUAUUAUUAAUCAAAAAAUGGCUUCUUCCCCCAUAAAAUACUGCGGUAGGAGUGUUUUUUUGAGGGAGAGGGGGCUAGGGUUUUUUGGUUCAUUAAACAUUUUGAUUAAAAAGUACUUCAUAAAGAGGAACCAUGUUAUUUUAGGAGUGUUGCUAUUUCCACCUCCUAUCCUAUUUCCCCAGCCACCAUUUAAAUUUGAAAAAGAAUAAUACUAGUCUUACCACAUUUUUUAUAUCACAAUUUUAUACCACAUGAUGUGACAGCUGAUGUGUACAUACCACAUCAUGUAAAAUACUAGUUUUUGUUUUUCUAAUUUUAUUUAUUAAAAUACACUUCAUUUAUUGAAUUGAUGUGACAUAUGAUUUGGACAUGCCACAUCAUGUGGAAGAAAAGUGAGAUAAUAAUGUGGUAAGUGUAGCAUUACUCUUUGAAAAAACACAAUCCUAUCUUUCCACUCACCAUUAUUCCUAAAAUACCCAACUUAGAGAAAACAUAAGUCCGCAUACCAAAAAUGAAUUCUGCCUCAUAACUCUUCAAAGCGUUCUCCUGCAUAAUCUUCAGAAUCCUUCUGUUUCUCUCCAUCGAUACCACCCAUAAGGUAGCCAUGAAUCAUGCAGCCCGCAUAACUUUGGCCUUCUUACGUCCAAAAUAAUUUGUGUUUGGCUAAGAAGAGAAAAGUAGUCCCUUGGAAUUACCCAGCUAACGCCCCAUCUCUCUGCACAAAUUCAACUAUUGACCCCGGGCAAUGAACGUAUGAUCAACCGUUUUCAAAUUCUUCUUAAAUAGGAUACACCAUUGAGGAGACAAGCGGGAAUACGAAAGCUUUCUUUGAACCAUUCCCAAGUCUUCACCUCUUUUAAUAUUGUACUAUAUAACCCGUUAAUAGUGAAAGUUCUUGUGAUUUCCUGGUAAUGUGUGAAGGAUGGGUUGACUGGGAGUGAUUCUUAAACGACUUUGGUGUGAACCGAAGUCGGAUGGGAAGACUGAACUUUUCAAAUUUCUAUUGGAGUGAUUCCAAUAUACCUUGGUGCGAGACGCCAGAGAACAGAUCUCUCUUUUCUUUCUAUACAAGCUUUGCUUGAGUGUGAACGUUGAGCAAGAGUGAAACGGAUGUAGGUCGGGGAAGAGAGGAGGAGAGAAGAACAGAGUGGGUCGUGGAAGGGCGGAUCUGUAGGGUGGGUCAGAGAAGGUGGCUGGGGUGAGAGAGGGAGAGAGGGGUUGUUGGGCUACGAGAUUUUUAUUUUUGGUUUUAAAAAUUUAAAAGUAAAUUAUUUGUAAAUAAUUGGUGGGUUAUGUUUUUUCUCUAAUUCUUUAGAAUUCAUUUUACAAAAGGGAAAAUUUGUCUUUCGAAUUUUGAAGAUAAAGUCGGUGGAAAAAUAUGACAGGGAUAGAAAUAACAGCACUCUAUUUUAGAUGAUGUAACAAUAAUGAAUUGUUUUUUAUGGUCAGUAAUAAAUCUUGUUUUGGUGAAUACUAAAUUAUUUUCAAUUUAGAAAUGAUAAACAAGAAUGACCAAUAAAUUAGGACAUGAAUGUAAAUAGCAGCACUCUAUUUUAACCGUCACAUUUUCAACUUCAACUUUACGUAUAACAGCUAGGAAAAGCAGCCCAAUAUACAAACAAACCACGUUUUGCUCCAACCAAAUCCACCUUGGAGAAAUUUCCACCGUUCAAACUAAUUUCUCACAAUCCAACAAACCAGUGUUCUGUAAGCCAAGCCUCCUCAGCGUCCCUCUAUAAAACCCAACAUCUUCUCUCAAUAAACCAUCCCUGGCUUCUUCAUUUGCCUUUUAAACCCCCUAAAACCCCAUAACUUUCUCUCUCUCUCUCUCUCUCUCCAAUGGGUCGAUUCAGUAGUGUCGUUUUGGUGCUAAUGGCUUCCCUCUUGCUGGCCUCAACAACGGAAAAAUCCCAUGCAUCAUCAACUACCAAGUCUCAUGCGCCUUCUCAAUCAAGCGCUCCAUCUAAGGCUUCACCUUCCCCUUCUCCAUCGAGCACUCCACCAAAGGCUGCUCCUACUGCGCCCGAAGCUGACUCUCCGUCUUCUCCUCCCUCGUCUUCCCCUGUUAGCUCUGCGGAGAUUUCUCCCUCUUGGAGUUUUGGUUCGUCUUCUGAGGCUCCUACAACCGCUCCUACCUUGGCCGUUUCGAGAAAGUUUGCCUGGCCGACGGGAUCUCCGCUGCAAAAUUGGUUCAAUAAGCACUUUGGGGGUGGAGAAAGGAUCCACUAAUGUAGUGGUUUGGAGUACGUGCUUCCCCAGAAAUGUACUGGGUUCGAGUCUUAACACCCGCGUAGUGUGUGUGAGUUUAAUAUGUUAUUGUCUCUCUAAAAGUUGAACAAAAAACUUGGGGGGAGGAGAGAGAGUUGGUUUAUCUAUCCAUUUUUAAUUAUCCAUUAAAUAUGAAUUUCUAUUUAUUCAUUUAUUGGGAAAUAAAUAGCGACUUU